AGACCGCAAGUGUUCCCAAGCGUUUACUGCUCUCGGCUAUGACCAAGGCUCGCUCGCUCUUGGUCGUCAUGGUGACUACUGGCGCGCUCUCCGGCGUCUCUGCUCCGCGGAGCUCCUCGUGAACAAGCGCGUCAACGAUACGGCCCACCUCAGGCAAAAGUGUGUCGACAGCAUGAUCAUGUAUAUAGAAGAAGAAAUGGCAGUCAAACAAGCAACAAAAGGUUAUUUCUUAAGUACUUGGUGUCAUUGCUGACUCUGUGUCCUAUGUGUCGCCUCGAAUGGUUGAAGUUAUAGCUUUUAGAAAAGUAAAAAAGCAACAGGGAGAGAUAGAUGAACUUAUCUUAAAUUCCAUAUAAAUAAGAUCAAGGUCCUAUACCCUACCCAAUAUUUUUACUAGGGUCACAACCCUUAAUUAUUUAUUAAUAUGAAGAAAAAGCUAAGAAGACGGUCCGAUCACUAUUUAGGAAACCACGAGGACACGCUGACCACAAAUCUCCGUUGUGGGAUAUUAGCAACAAGAAUAUAACAUUUUCAAAAUUCAAUUGCCAAAAAAUGACUUUCAUAGAGUAAAAUCAGAAAAAGUUAGACCAUAUAAACAUAAUAUACAUUGAGCCCAUGACUACACACCUGUAGGAAACCAAAGCUUGUUUAAGAUUUGUCAAAUUAGAAUUUCUAAGGUUUGUGUUUCAUUAUUAUUACUAAAUUAUUGUAAUAGGUAAAAUAUAGCAUCUUCAUAUCCCUUCUCUAAUAUGUCACUAGCACGAAAUUAUCUACUCUCUCAUGAUGAUCGAUGUCUACACAAAUUUAAACUAUGUGCUACUAGUUUCUGGUUUAGGUGUGACUAGGGCUACCGAAGCAAUAACUCGAACGUGAGCAACAUGAAAGCAGAGAAAUGAUGGGGAAUCAAAACAUUCGUAGUUUUUAUUUAAGAAAACAUUCUAUCUUGCCUUUUAGGCGAUGGUUCUUCAUUUGCCAUCUUGAAGUGUACUACCCCUAUAUAUUUGAAGUCGUUUUCUAGAUAGCAUUGGAUUCAUAUAAUUUUUUACUUCUAAAUUUCGAUUAAAAUUUUUAUUUUCCUUUUAGAGUCAUUCAUGACAUUCUACAAAUUAAUUUUGGUACAAGCACAUAAUCUAAAAUUGAUAAGAAAAGUUGGUGUUGCGUUAACUUUGGUUUCUUAUUAUGCUAAAUGAUUAUACUNNNNNNNNNNNNNNNNNNNNNNNNNNNNNNNNNNNNNNNNNNNNNNNNNNNNNNNNNNNNNNNNNNNNNNNNNNNNNNNNNNNNNNNNNNNNNNNNNNNNNNNNNNNNNNCACACUGACAUAUGUGAUCAGUAUAUCUGUCAGCUGACAACGCUGUCUUCUUAGCAUGGCCUAUUCAUAUAGGUAAAGAAAGCAACCUACAACUAGAUUUAACUUCUGGCACUUCCGCAAAAUGUUCAGUUAUAUAUUUUUUAGUUCAAGUGGGCCCUCGUCUUACAUAUGUAGAUUGAAUAUCUACGAGGAAUGUCGCGCCAGCGUUAUACGUUGGCACUAACUAAGCUAAUUUAUUUGGUGAAUUUUUUUUUUUUUCUAAACAUAGUUCUGAUAUGGGUAAGAAAAAUAAAUAAAAUAUUUAAAAAAAAUCUAACUAUAGUUCUGAUAUGGCUAGCUGGCUAGGGUAGACCGCAGUUUCGAGGCACGACGUGGAUCGUUGGGUGCUCGCCGUUCGCGAACGCCACCUCCCGUGCAAGCACACCCUUGCCACCUUAGCGACGAGUCGCCUCUAUCCUUAAUUCAGCAUAGCCUCCAUUCACGAACGUCUCCCCCUAGUUCACUCGCGACACUUCUGUUUUUCAUUUCUUCUUUUGCAAAUUUCCUUAUUUUUGAUUUGUUGAUAUUUAUGUUAUUUUUUAAUUUCCUUAUUUGUGAAUUUUUUGUUAUUCUAUUUUAAGUUUUUCCAAAAGAGAAAUAAUUGCGUGACAGUCUUUAAUAUACUAUAAGAAUAACAGUCAAUUCUAAAUCACAAAAAUCAAAUCAUAAAUAAUUAUAAAUUAUUAUAAAACUCAUUUUUUAAAGAAUUUAUGAUUCGCAGUAUAUUGUUAUUCUCAUAAUCCUUUCAAAAACUUAUGUAGGUUUACCGUGUUGACAUUCAACGAGACCUAAUUGCCAUUUCAACAUUUAUGUUUCCUUUUAAAUGGAAAGACCAAACCAAAUAAGAACGUAUAUGAUUUAGGGAUCUAAUUCCACCGAAAAAAAAGGGACCUAAUUAAACCCUUUGUAAAAGUUUAGGGAUUACCUAUACUUCUAUCUUUUUUUUUUCUUUUUUUGUGUACUGUAAUUGACAAAGUCAACAAAUUAAAUACUAGUGUAAAUAACUCAAUUUACCAAAGAGCUACUGGAAUUUAAUUUGUUUUUCAGUCGAACUCGCUUUCUUUUUUUGGGGUUCGAGUCGAACUAGAGUGGCUAAACUGUUGAAUUAUGUAAAGCUCGAGUGGCUUUAUCAUCGAAUUGCGUAGGUAAACUUUCGUGUUGGACAUUGAAGCAUACACAGUAAGUCAAGGAGCUUACGAGCAGUUUAGAGAUUGGUUCCUCUUGAUUUGACUGCAUCUUUCCUUUAACUAGUUGCACGACUUGGUACAAUCUAUUUUUCUCAUGUCUAAUUUUGUUAAGUGUGGUUAUACAUCAUCUGAUUAGAAUUAAUCAUAAAGAAAUUUUAUUUUUAUGAAGGACAAGGAAUCGACUUAUCUCACUUCCUCUUUCUCCUGGCAUUUAAUGUGGUGGGCAACAUGGUGCUCUCACGGGAUCUAUUGGACCCAAAAUCGAAGGAUGGGCCCGAGUUCUACGACGCCAUGAACCGGUUCAUGGAGUGGGCUGGCAAGCCCAACGUAGCCGACUUCAUGCCAUGGUUGAAAUGGUUGGAUCCGCAGGGGAUCAAGGCAGGCAUGGCGAAGGACAUGGGUCGAGCCAUGAGGAUUGCCGAAGGCUUUGUGAAAGAGAGGUUGGAGGAGCGAAAGCUAAGGGGAGAGAUGAGAACAACGAAUGAUUUCUUGGACGCAGUAUUGGAUUAUGAGGGCGAUGGAAAAGAAGGCCCUCACAAAAUCUCUUCCCAGAACAUAAAUAUAAUCAUUCUGGUGAGUUUGCUCCUCUCUUCCACGUUUAACAUGACCACACUUUGAGACAUUAGGUCGAAUUCGGUUGAUUAAGUGGCGCGACAAACUUAAGUGACCUUUAUUUCUUCGUAGAUUAACAACUAGGGUCACAUCACGCAUUACGGAGAAGUUUUAGUAGCUUACUUAAUAAAUCAAUCAUGGUGCUGUCUAAGCACUGAUUUUUCUUUUCAUUAAAAUAAACUAAAAUCAAUCUUAUGUCUUCGUCAAGCAAUUUAACUAGUUAUUAUAAAAUUACCAGGUUAGUCAAGUCAAUGUCAAUCAAGUCGAGAAAUUUUGACAUUGGCUUACAAAAUUUGGCUGAAAUCAAAUUGAUUGCAAGGAUAAAAACCAGUGCAAAUAAUUAUUGCAAUCAAACUCUUAGGCAGGAAUAAUUUUCAAAGCCGUUGACGGACAAUUGCAGUAAAGCAAUUAUUGUAGCUGAGACUAUAAGAAGCGCACAUCUUAAUGGAACGCGCAGACAUAAGAAGAACAAGCUUUACUUAUGUUAAUCCAUUUUGCUCUCUUGCAAAUCUUUUUCAGUUAUUUCCCAGCAACCUAUUUCUUGCCAUUCCAGUUGUUUAUUUCCUUUUGUCAAUCAAGCACUUGCCCCAUCUCUUUCAUAAAUACUUCUGUUGUCACUGGUGGAUUCAUUUCGUCAACUUCAAGUUCUUGUUCCUUUCUUUGUGUGCCAAUCAUCUGCCAAUUCGAAGAAUAGGAACUGCUGUGUUUGAUCAGGAUUGUUGAUCAGGUGAAGCAUGAUAAUUUUUACUAUUGAGCUGACGAUUCGAGGGUGACCUUUUCCAGCCAAAGAGAAUCUCUUAAUUAUAGGACGAAACUCGGACACUUGUGGUAUCCAAGACCUAAUCUUUGUACUAAAUGGGUCUACUUGAUGGUGCAGGAAAUGUUUUUCGCCGGAUCGGAGAGUACAAGUAGCACCAUCGAGUGGGCGAUGGCGGAGCUACUCCGCCAACCCGAGUCGAUGAAAAAGGCCAAAGAUGAGAUUGACCAGGUUGUGGGGUUGAACAGAAAGCUCGAAGAAAAUGACACGGAAAAGAUGCCAUUUUUGCAAGCCGUGGUGAAGGAAACCCUAAGAUUGCAUCCCCCAUUACCUUUACUUAUCCCACGAAAUGCUCUAAAGGAAACCAAAUUCAUGGGUUUUGAUAUACCCAAAGAUACCCAGGUUUUCGUGAAUGCAUGGAGCAUUGGAAGAGACCCCGAUGCUUGGGAGGACCCAUUGGCAUUCAAACCAGAGAGGUUCGUGGGAUCUAAAAUUGACUACAAGGGUCAAAACUUUGAGCUAAUUCCAUUUGGAUCAGGCAGAAGAAUAUGCGUCGGACUUUCAUUGGCGGAUAGGGUGCUUCAUCUUGGUCUUGCAACACUGCUUUACCAUUUCGAUUGGGAACUAGGCGAUGGUUCAACUCCAAAGACCCUCGACAUGAAAGAGCGGGUGGGAAUAACACUUAGAAAGCUCCAUCCUUUGAAAGUGAUACCUAAGAAAUGUAGCGUGUGAGGUAUAAUUACCCUAAGGUUAUUAUAAUGUUAUCGUGUCAAGGAUUAAAAAAGCUGUCCAAGAAAGACUUCUUAAGAACGAUGUCAUCCCUGCACAAAUAUCUUAGGGAAACUACAAGUUCUUAUGUUAGCAUUUGGGUCCCGUUUGAAUUGUAUGACUUGAGCAUGUAGCAGGGUAGCUCCCCUGCCCUUUAUACCAUCAAUAAAACCUCACUUGUCGAAAAAGAAAAUUACUCUACAUUUGGCUCCACACUUAGAGUCCACAAAAUGGACAUUUGCGAUGAACCGGAUUCACUAGACGCAAGACUGUACAAUAGAUUCCCGAAUCAUAUACUAUAAGCGGUUUCUAGUGGGUGAUGGUGGAGCGAUCAAAGAGAGCAAUAUAAAAGAAAAGUAACAGGAAGAUACUGUAUGAUCUUGUCGGAUCUUGUCAAAUCCAUAUGGACAAUUGAUCACGUGGACUCUGCAGUAGGACCCAGUCGGUGUUGGUUCACAUGUUUUGUCACUAUUGCAAAUUAUUCUAAAAUAAACACAAGAUUGCAAAUUUGCUGAAGAAGGCUGUAGAUACGUCUUGAUUCAUUAUCAUGAUCCAUCCGUAUAUAAUCCAAAAGCAUAUAUAUUUGGGCACCCCUCGAAUACCCCUUUGAACUUCUGACCAAUUAAUUUACUUUAGUAAGUUCACCUUUUACUUUUCCGUGGCGGCUACUUAAUUAAAUUCUUGCUAGGACCGAUCGACUACAUGUAAAAUGAAUGCAUCAACAAAAUAUACUUGACCAAAACAAAGAAAAUCAGUUAAAAAUCACGGUUCCAUUUAUGUCCAUCAUCUUAAAUCAUUUGCAAGCUUAGACUUAGCUCAAUAAUAAACGCCAUUUGGAAUGAUUCACUAAAAACAUUUCCUCAACAAAGAUGUUCAAAAUCAUUUGCACUUCAUGGACCUAGUUCAUGAUAGAUUUAGAAUCCACUAUCUUGAGUUCAAGAAUUUGGCUACCACAAAUUUCUCAGUUUUGUAUUUCUUUUCUAAGGAUUCCCAUAAUUGUCUAAUAGUUUCAAUGUUACAAUAAACAUGAUACAAGGAAUUUGCUAGAUAGUUAAGGAUAUAGUUUCAGCAUAGGAAAUCCUUGUGCUUCCAAGGCUCCAGCUCCCCAAGCGUCGUGACAUCUUUUGCUCAUCUGGACUAAUUAUUGAGCACACCUCUAAUGAGUACUUGACUAAAUUCAGUGUGGUCAAUAAAAGAACAUCUUCUAUUACCGUUGCUUAAAGCCCACACUAGUUAACUCACACGGUUUCUCAUUCGGUGUUAUUGGAGAAGGUAUCAUCAUAUUAGGCAAAGCUUGUUAAACCAUCUCUCCAGAAAUUGAACCAUACACCAUUAGAUAUGUACUUUUUUGAAAAAUAGUCCCUAGUGUAUCGGUCAAGCGACUUCUACUGGUACCACCAUAGAUGGUUUCGGCCUGAAAGUUUGCAGCAUUUGUUGUCACAACACUAGACCAUGAGGUUUGAACCUCCCUCAUUGAAACACCAUAUGAACGUCUCACAAACAUUCCAACAUUAUUGGGUACUUGAUUGUUAUUAGUCAUCUCGAUUUUUUGAUAAACCCAACAAAAACAGUAAAAGAUAAUCGCCUUAAGAUUGUGGGAAAUAUUAAUACGUAUUGGAGAAAAUAAUAAUAAUUUUAAGAAAGCAAUAUCAAAAUAAACAAGAGGUGAGGCACGGCUAAUCAAAUCUCCUUAAGGCGAUUAGUUCAUGUCAACCAAUUAGUUUCGCGAACUAUGCCUAUCAAAAUACAACACCUCAAACCCGUUUGUAUAAGCACUAUAUGAACAAGAUUUUAUCGAACACUUCUUUAAAUCAGCACACUUAAAGAAACUACCAAGAAACUAGAGGAAUACUUUGAGGAUUUUUUGUUGUUAUUUUGAAUUAAGAAGACGUGUCUAUUUAUAGACAAGGGAACUAGCUGUAGAAAACUGAAAGGACAUGAACUCAAGAGUCACACUGAUUAUGCUCACAUUAGUUGAGCCAUUAACCCUUAAUAACAACAUUAUUAGAUCAGAAACUACAGGAGAACAAAGAGUCAUGAACCCAUAAUUGCAACAAUUAGGGCAUGAUCCAAAGAGACAAACUGGUUGCAUGUGAAUUGAAAAAGGCGUGAAUUGAAGAGACGUUUCAUUAACGUUGAGCCAUUAAAACCUAUGAUUACAAUAAUAAUUACAACACACUGUGCCUCCCUUAGUUCUUGUCCCAAGAGCUUCUAAUUUGAAUUCAUCAAGUACGCUAUGUGCAUCAUAAAAGCAUCUUUCAGUUUCUCAAGCCAAAAUUAGGUCACAUAAACUUGUUAUACAUGUGUCCCUGAGCACCCCGAUCUCAUGCUUGAUGCCCUCUAAAUUUCCAACUUUUUCUAGUGCUUGUGGAGCCAUAGCUCUAGCAAUGCUAACGAUGACAGAUGCCAUCUCUCUCUCAUAAUAUAUUAGUCGAGUCAUUCCAAGGCCAGAGACUGCAGGUAAGUAUAAUAAGUUUAUGUGACCUGAUUUUUAACUUCUUCGAUGGAGUCGAGUUGUUGAAGGUAGGAUUCUCAUCAUCCACGCAAGCCUAUAUCAAUAAUGCAUAUAGGACGCACCGAUUUGGUUUGUCUAAGAUAUUUUGUGCUUCAAGAGUUUACUCGUUUAACGUGCUUGCAAGUCGUAAAGGCAAUGAAAAGGCUGGCGUUGAAUUGAAAUCCAUGUUUAUUUUGAAUAUUAAAUUAACAAUAAAAAAAUUAACAGUAAUAAAUUAGAAGGAUAGAACUAAGUUCCCUAUGUUCACUUUUUUUCCAUAAAAAUAGCCGCCUCCUUGGAAAGUCCUAACCACGUGAUAUAUGCAAUACCAAUCAAAUGUAAAAAAUCAUAAUUGAAUCUAUUUAAAAUGGGUAUAAUUAUUGGUGCAUCAUUUUCUAAUUAAAUCACUGUCCCCACAUAUCAAUCUUUUAAGAAGAAUAUGGCCAUUUUCAUCUAUUCUUUUCUUCAGGCUUAUUUGGAAACUGUUUCGAAAACUAUUCUCCAAAAUUUUCAAACAUUGCGCUGAUUCUCAACUUUUAUUCUUGACACAAGUGGAGAGCGAUCUGAAGAGGGUUAAUGCGUUUCUAGUUUUUGGUUACUUCAUGAUACAAUGGAUGUUGUUAUAAUUAUCAUUCAAUGAAAUAAUUUGCUUAGUCAAUAUAUAUGCUUACUGCUGUUCGUGGAAGGCUUCGUUCUUUAUUUUUAUUUUUUUCCAAAUAAUGGGGAAUCAUUAUCUAAAUUCUUGGGAUGAAUUUUGGGUAUGACAAGUUUGGAAUCAUAACUUAGGUUAUAAAACCAGUUUAGCUAGCAUUAAUUCGGGCACCGUGAUGUGCGAUGAGUUAGUAACUAGAUGUGUGUGCGUGCGCACGUCACACACAAUAUGCACUCAUGCAUUACAUGUAGCUACUCUUUCAAUGGAUAUAGAAAGUUCUAUAUGCAUAGGUAGCAUGAUCGAUUUGUUAGCAUUCUGAUGCAAAUGUCAUUGCUCUUGGCUUGAAACUAUUCUUCAUAUUGUCAUGAGACAUUAGUACUAUUAUUUUACUAAAACAUUACAAUUUGGAUAGGGAAGUUCACUCUCCUUGCUAAUCUCUCAGAUUUAUUUGCUUCCUAUGAGUAAAAUGCUUCUAUAUAGUUUAUUUCUUUCUUUAGCUUUCCUAUUCUCUAAGUAAAUGAAUAAUCUCUUCCCAUACUAGGCAAUAACAAAACUUGCACAUUUUGCAAACUCCUAACAUUUAGACAUUUUAUGCAUGUCACUCCUUUUCAUGAAAGGGAUGUCUACUUUUUUUUUUUUUUUUUUGAGAAGAAAGAGAAGCCUUUUUUGCCGCAAAUUGCAGGUAUUCCGAUUUGAGAUAUUUACUCGCGGGAAACAUGCAAACGAAGAACAAGUCUUAUGGGGGAAUCUACUCCGAGCACUGAAAGUCCAAUCAUUGAAUUUAAUGGACAAUCCGGGGAGGACACAAGUCAACCGCAUUCCAAGCACAGCCCCUAACAUGACUGUGACACAUCUCAUUUGACAAAUCACCUGCGAAGAGUACAUAUAUCGCAAUAACGGGGGGCAUUCUAGUUCAUUUACCCUGAACGCUACAGAUAUUCUUUUUAACUUACUUAAGAUAAAAGAAAGUGAAUUUGAAACUAUCCCGUCAAGAACCACACCACAAAGGGAGAAAAAUGAAGGUCAGAAUGAAACAAUUAUGAAGAUGUGGAGAAACAAAACUACCUUGUUUCGCUUACAUCAUUCUCUGAAUAAGCAAACUGGAGAAUGGGUUUUUGUAUUGAGUUGGAAGUCCUUGAAAGUUCCUCAAAUUCUUGAUCUGGGGGCACAAUUGGAGAAAUUUCUAUAUUCAUUCCCAGCCGGUAACGAAAAAUAUGAAGUUCUGCAUGCUCUGAAUCGGGUUUCAAGAGUGCAAAAAGGUGAUUAACGUUAAAGAGAAAACGAACAAGAAAAAACAAAAAAGAAGAGAUCAUUCCCAUCAAGGUUUUUCUGUCUGCUCAAGCAAUUUAUUUAUCAAUUUGAUAGUGUUACUUUCUUGCUUCCAUAACUGUAUGAUCAUUCAUCGCAUGUUAGUGGUUUAAGACCAAUCAAUCAAGGCUACUUGCAAAACAUUUUGUGAAAUAAAGUGAAGAUGCCAAAGGGAGAUAGAUUUAUCUAGCAUAAUCAAGUUCCUUAUUCAUGAAAUCUCUAGUUCAUAAAGUAAAGUGUUCUCUCACAUUUUACUUGGGUUUUUAAUCAACCAAAGUAGACUAAUGCCAAUUCUUAAAUGAAUUGAAUUGGAUGUCUAAAUAAUGUAAUUAAAACCCCAAAGUUGUGAUUGUCGGGGGUUUGAGAGAACCCACAUUAGACAAUGGUACCAUCUUUUUAAUGAGUAACCAUUCGCACUUGCAUAAUAAUCCAUUAGCUUUCUCUUAGUGGUCCACCUCUAAGAAGGUCAUGACAGUUGGCAAUUAGAGAGUGGCAACUAAAUUAAAGAAGGAAAAGUGAGCUUGUUGGAUUAGACACGAGUUGACCGAGCAAUCGCAUGGAAACGAUGAAUACACACUCCUCAUUUAUCCGAUUGCACUAAAAUGUCGAGGGGAGUUAGUCAACAAGCCGACGAAGCUUGUGUAAAAGUUUUAGACCAAACGGAUAUUGAAAAGUUUAGUUUUGAAGGCUUGACAUCAUUUUUUUUCCAGGCAUCCUUGUGUAAGAUCAUCCAGCAUUCCUUGAAAAAAUGCAAAUUUAGGAACUAUUCUUGGAACUAGCAUGUGAGCCAUAUAUUGUUUGAAAAUAGACGUAAAGACACUCGUCGUGAUACGUUUUUUUUUGUCAAAAUUGUUGUGAUACUUAUCUUGCAAUCGUUUUGAGCUUGUUUGGGUCUACAAUUAAUCAAGAGAAGUUGGGUAUAAAUUACUAGGAAGAAAAUUGAGUCCAAGUGUGAAUUGGUGCUGUUAAAGCUCUUUGGAGUGAUCAUAAUUUUAGCCGUGGGGCUUGAGGUUCUCAUACUACAUUGUCCCUAGUUGAAGAGUGUAGGAGAUUCCUAAUAUUCAUCAUAUGCACAGAUGACCUAUGUGAACUGAAACCUAACUAUUAAUGAACGAUCAUGCCUUUGGUUUAUAUGUGCAAAAGGAAUGCUGCGAGAAAAAUGAAUGCAAUGUUGUAUAAACUGAUUGUUUUGUUUUUAUCGUGGGUCAAAUUUAUGAGAUGCAAAUGUAUGAUAAAUUCAUCAGUGAAAUUCACGUGUUAGCAUCAAAAAGUCCUUUAAAUAGUGAAGAUUGGAAAUUUCGAUCAAAUUAAUGAUUGGACUUAAAUAUAUGAUGUUUUCGAAAAAGACAAGCCAUCUUACUAAGGCAAAAGUUGUUGGAGUUAUCCCACAUCAAUUAUGGAAUUGUUUGGUGGUUAGUUUAUAAAUAUGAAGGAAAGUUUCACCCUUUGAAUAAACGUUUGAGGUGAGAGAAGCCCAAGACUACCAAACAUUGGUGUUAGAGCCAAUGGUAGAUUGGUGGCCCCAAUCUGUUCUAGAUAUCUCAAUAAAAGGAAUCUAGUGACCAACCCAAUUUAUGGGCAAUGUGUGUUGUGGUAUAAUGCAAUCCCAAUGGUAGUCUUCAUGGUUCAAUUCAAAGAAAAAAAACAUGGAUAAAGGUGGGUGUUGGAGAUUCAAGUUAAGAUUAGUUAAUAUAGAAAGAUACCUAAAUUCAGGGGAGCAAACCUAACAUUGAGCUCAAAUGUGAUGGGGAGAUUGUUGAGAUAUACAUGUGAAUUAUCUUAAGGAAAGGAAUCUAGUGACCAACACAGUUUCUGGGCAGUGUGUGUGGUGCUGUUGCAACACAAUCCCAUGGUAUUUUUCAUGGUUCAAUCCAAUGAAAAAGAACAUGGACAAAGGAUGGAUGAAGGUGAAUGUUGAAGAUUCAAGUUGAGAUAAGUUAAUGUAGAAAGAUACUUGAAUUAAGGGGGAACAUACCUAACAUUAAGCUUACACGUGAUGAGGAGAUUGUUGAGAUACAUAUAUAAGUUGUGUUUGGGAAGUCCCACAGUGGAGAAUUGGUGUAGUGUGAAGUAAUUAAUUUAUCUAGUUGGUCAAUAACUCAUUACUUUAAGCUUUUGAGUGAAGAUGGGUUCAAUUAGAUAUGUUGAUAGACUUAGACUUCGGCUCCCUCUUAGCAAUCUCCUAGGGUAAAGAUAUUGAACAUCUGUUAUACACUCCCAACAAAAGUAAAUACAUAACUAUCCUAUUUUGAUAGGACAAAUUAGUUGAUAAAUCAAUCCAUGAAACCCAAGAAAGAACAAGGCAUCAUAAUUUUGUGGAAACCAGAGGAUUAUAUUGAGUACUAGAGUAAAGUUGUAAGAAUUAAAUGCACAAAUUAAGAGUUAUGGAUUUGAUUGCAUAAUUCAUGUAAGUUGUUUGACCAAAAAUGAAAUUAUUCCAAUGAAAUAAGAAUCGAAUUUAACCUAAUUCGAUGAAAUGGAUGAAUCACCAGACUCCACGUGACCAGCAUGUUACUCCUAUUCAUAGCCGAAAGAUAUAUUAAUGUUUUCUCCUUUUUAUUUUGUGGAUGGCAAAUAAUAGCAUCUCCUGUUUUUUCUUUAUUGUUUUGGGUUGCUUUCUUGUGAACAGGAUAUAUUAUAUCAUUUUUUCCACGCAAUAAUCGCAUAAGUGCAAGGUGAGCAAUAGCUCAAAGCUUAGCCAAUGGAGUACUGCCCUACUUUGCUCUUUUGGCUCGGCCUCCUCCUCCCGGCACUUCUAUUUUUCCUUCUCAACCGGAAGCGCACCAAGCUUCCCCCUCAGCCCCCCGCAUGGCCCGUGAUCGGCAAUAUCCUCGACCUCGGGACCACGCCGCACCAGAACCUCCACAACUUCCGAGCCAAGCAUGGGCCUGUGACGUGGUUGAAGCUCGGUUCCGUGAACACCAUGGUGAUCCAAUCAGCUCAGGCCGCCGCAGAGUUCUUCAAGGGCCAUGACUUCGCGUUCGCAGACCGCAAGUGUCCCCAUGCAUUGACAGCUCUCAAUUAUGACCAAGGCUCGCUCGCUGUGGGUCGUUACGGUGGCUACUGGCGCGUUCUAAGGCGUCUCUGCUCUGUUGAGUUCCUCGUGACGAAGCGCGUCAACGAGACGGUCCAUCUCAGGCAGAAGUGCGUCGACAACGUGAUCGUGUAUUUAGAGGAAGAAAUGGCGGUUAAACAAGUAACGACAGGUUAUUUCUUACGUGCUUCGUGUUACUUUGGACGUUUGCGUUGCAUGUGUAACCUUGAAUGACCGAAAUAAUAGUUUUCUUCUUCAAAGGGAAAAAAAAAAAGCAACAUAGAGAGAGAGAAAGGAACGUUUAAACUCCUUACAAAAUAUCGAAUAUUCCCACUAGUGUCACAAGUUCUUCUCACUAAUAUAUGUAAAAUCAACGGUUAAGAUAUGUUGGGACUUUUGCACCAUUAGGAGUUAAUGAUGCACGCUGUCAAAAGAAUAGUAUUUCAGUAAAGAACGCAACCUGCAACUAGAUCUACCUAAGAAAACAUUGGGCCUGCUUUUUACGGAUAAAGGAACCAGCAGUCUUUCUUUUUUGCAAAAUGUACAAUUAAGUUCCAGAAUCUUUUUUUUAUUUUUAUUUUUUCUACUAUUGAGUUCUUAAAUUAUACAUCUUUUAAUUUGAGUUGGCCCUCCUCUUAAAUAUGCGAAUGCAUUGGUUACGAUGAAUAUUGCAUCCCCACCAUAUGUUAGCACUAACUAGACUAACUAAUUAGGGAGACACGAAAGAAUUACUUAGUGCUAAGAUGGGUAAGAAAGGUUAUAAAAAUAAAGAAAUCUAAAUCCAAGUAAACAUUCACCAACCCAAGCGUUGCCUCAAUUUAUUGCAUGACCCAACUCACCUCCAUCCUAGUUAUUCAAAUUUUCUAUGUCAUUCUAUUUUUAGGUUUUUUAAGAAUUCACUUAAGACACCAUGUUGGUUUUCAAUGAGGACGUAACCACCAUGUCAACAUUUAUAUAUACUUCUUUAAUGGAAGGACUAAUUCAAAGAAGAAGUUAUACGGCUCGAGGAUCUAAUUGCACAACAAAUUUAGGAACCUAAUUAAAACUUUUUAUAAAAGUUUAGGGACUGCUGGUACUUUUAUCCCUUUGUUUUGUUACUGUAAUUGACAAAUUCAAUAAAAUAGAUACCAGUGUAAAUAAUUCAAGUUGUCCAAGAGCUACUGGUGUUUAAAGUGCUAUUUAGUCAAACUUGCUUUCAUUCUUCUCGAGUUUGAGUCGAACUAGAGUGGCUCUACUGUUGAAUUAUGCCAAGCUCGAGUAGCUUUACCAUUGAAUUGGGUCAAACUCGAGCAUGAUCAAGUAGUUGGGUUUUAUAUAUCUUCUGAUGCAUUGAUCAAGUAUAUCCCCAUUAUUAUGCAAGAGAAUGCAAAAGUAAAUUUUCCACUUUAUUUUAUUUGUAGAAGCCAAGUUGGAGUUUUUAAGAGUUCAGAUGCUAAUUUAGUUUUGUUAGUGGAAAAUAUCCGAAAACAAGCUUAUCAAGAACUUUAUUAAGUUCGACUUGAGCUUGAAAAAUCCAACUUUUGUCUUGAACAUUGCAGCUUGGAGGUUGAUUCCUCCAUCCCUCCUUAAACUAGUUGCAAAACUUGGUGCAAUAAUUUUUUUUUUCAUGUCUAAUUCAUUACGUUCUUCUAUACAUUCUCUAAUUAUAAUUAAUCGUUAAAAAUUUCUAAUUUUUAUGAAGAGCAAGGAAUCGACUUAUCCCACUUCCUCUUUCUCAUGGCAUUUAAUGUGGUGGGUAAUAUGGUGCUCUCGCGGGAUCUGUUGGACCCAAAAUCAAAGGACGGGCCCGAGUUCUUCGAUGCCAUGAACCGGUUCAUGGAAUGGGCUGGCAAGCCCAACGUAGCCGACUUCCUGCCGUGGUUGAAAUGGUUGGACCCGCAGGGGAUCAAGGCAAGCAUGGCGAAGGACAUGGGUCGAGCCAUGAAGAUUGCUGAGGGUUUUGUAAAAGAGAGGUUGGAGGAGCGAAAGCUAAGGGGAGAGAUGAGAACGACAAAUGACUUCUUGGAUGCGGUAUUGGAUUAUGAGGGCGAUGGAAAGGAAGGUCCUCGCAAAAUCUCUUCCCAGAACGUCAUCAUAAUAAUUCUGGUAUCCUCUCUUCCACUCUUGGCAAACAAGAAAUGAUUAACAUCUUAAGGAUAUUAGGUCCAGUUCGGUUUGUAAAGUGGGGUGGUAAACUUAAUUGACAAUUAACAAGCAGGUCAUAUCACGCGUCGUUCUCUACAGACUUGUGUUUUCGUAGAACAUUCUAGCACUAGAUUUUAUAAUAACUAGCCUUUUCCAAUCGACUAUCUAUGAAAACAUUUUACACUUUAAGUUUGUAGAGAACGUUGCAAAACAAAAAGCUACUACCAUUAUAAAGAUGUUACCAUUCUUUCCUGAUUUAGCCAAUCUGUGCUCAUUUUGUAAUAACUAGCUAAGAAUGUUCUCCAAAAACACAAGAUUGAUUUAUGGUUUUUUUAUUUAUUUUAAAUCCAGUGCUAGAAAGACACAUUGAAUGAUUUAUUAAAUUAAGUUGAUGUCAAUUUGACUGAUUAAUAGAACAUGUAGGGUAUCCACAAUGGAUGAGUGAAUAGUAUGUUGAUCAGAUGUGUGAUCUGAUAUUGACUAAAUAUAAUCGAUGCUCAAACACCAGCAUUGAUUAUAAGAAGCCAAUAAGAUUAAGUUGACGAGGCAUGAAAAGUUUUUGUCCAUGGACUUAUAAAUUAAAGUCAAGUUAAUGUCGGUCGAGUCAAGAAGUAUUGACAUUGGCUCACAAAAUUUGGUCGAAUCAAACCGACUGCAAGGAUAAAACUAACGCGAACAGUUAUUGUAGUCAAACUUCUAGGACGGACCAAUUUUUAAAGUUGUUGACCGGCAGUUGCAGUGAAGCAAUCGUUGUAGCCGAGACUACAAAAAGAGCACAUCUUAAGGGAAAAAAGACGCAUAAACAUGAAAAGAACACACUUCACUUUCUUGCCAUUCAUUUUCAGUUAUUUCUCAGCAACUUAAUUCUUGCCAUUCCAGUUGUUUAUUUCAUUUUUCCAAACAAACACCUGCUCUUGCCCUUUUAUAAAUAUUCCUGUUGUCAUUAGUGGAUUCAUUUCGUCAAUUUUAGGAUCCAAUCAUCAAAUUCUUGUUCCUUUCUUUAUGCGCAAUUGUCUGUCAAUUCGAAGCAUAGGAGCUGCUAUGUUUGAUAAGGAUUGUAUUAGGUGAAGCAUGAUGAUUUUUACUGUUAAGCCCACGAUUUGAGCGAGUGAUUUUCGAGCGAAAAUGAAUAUCUUAAUUAUAGCAAAAGUAUCAACAUUGGUGGUAACCCUAGCAAGACAUGAUCUUGUACUAAAUGGGUCUAAUUGAUGGUGCAGGAAAUGUUUUUCGCUGGAUCAGAGACUACAAGCAGCACCAUCGAGUGGGCGAUGGCGGAGCUACUCCGCCAACCCGUGUCAAUGAAAAAGGCCAAAGAUGAGAUUAACCAGAUUGUGGGGUUGAACAGAAAACUCGAAGAAAGUGACACGGAAAAAAUGCGGUUUUUGCAAGCUGUGGUGAAGGAAACCCUGAGAUUGCAUCCACCAUUACCUUUGCUUAUCCCACGAAAUGCUAUAAAAGAAACCAAUUUCAUGGGAUUUGAUAUACCCAAAGAUACCCAGGUUUUCGUGAAUGUAUGGGGCAUUGGAAGAGACCCAGAUGCUUGGGAGGACCCGCUAGCAUUCAAACCAGAGAGGUUUCUAGGAUCUAAAAUUGACUACAAAGGUCAAAACUUUGAGCUAAUUCCAUUCGGAUCAGGCAGAAGAAUGUGCGUCGGACUUUCGCUGGCGGAUAGGGUGCUUCAUCUCGGUCUUGCGAAGUUGCUCUACCAUUUCGAUUGGGAACUCAGUGAUGGUUUGACUUCAGAGACCCUCGACAUGAGAGAGCGGGUGGGAAUAGCACUAAGGAAGCUUCAUUCUUUAAAGGUGAUACCUAAAAAACGUAGUGUGUGAGGUUUUUAGAAUAUUAUGGUAACUAGUUAUAUUCCUGACUGGUUAUUUAGGAAAUGACAAGAUGUGAUGUAAUGUAUCCAAGGAAGACUUCUUAAGAAUGGUGUUUUUACUCCACAAAUACCUUAGGAAAAUUACCCAAAAGUUCUUAAACCUAUUAUAUUUUUACAAAUUCAGUUAUAAAUAUUUUUAUUAUAAAAAUUAGUCCCAAACGUUUUCACGUUUUGCCAAUUGAGCUUAUAUGAUCAAUUUUGAUUGGAAAUCACUAACACGAAUGUCAGACAUCCUACAUGGUGCAAUUGGUGUAGACCUGGAAAAUUUUUAAUAUAUAUAUUUUUAAAUUUUUAAAUACUUUUUCUUUUCUUUUCUUUUCUUUUCUUUCUCUGCUAGUUGUUGAGCCUUGAGGAUGACUACUAAUCAACCAUAGGCUACAACCAAUGAUGGUCGUUGCCAAGAUCUAGCAAGGGAGGACUUUGCUACCUUGCCAAAUUCGACAAGUCACAACUUCAUGCGAGGCUCGACUUUGCCCAAUCUAUCGAGGGCAAGGCGCAACCUCGUUAGUCUUCACAAGGGCUGGUCUCAGGUGAGACUUGCCCAAAGAUGGCGAGGCCGACCUUCCCUAAAGGCCAGCAAGGGCCAACCUUGGCAACUUCAAGCAACGCUCAACCUCGUCAAAUCUAGUUAGGACAAGCUUUACUCAAGGCUAACAAGGGUGACCUCACCUAAGGCUAGUAAGGGCAAUCCUCAUCAAUCAUAACCUGUGGCCGAUCACCGGCCAUCACCAAGGCUUGGCAAAGGAAGAAAACAAAAAAAUAAAUGAAAAGAAAAGAAAAUUAACAAUAAUAAAAUAUUAAAAAUUCAAAAAUAUUAAAAUACUAUUUUUUUAAAAGGUCUACUGGCAUUCACUUUUCGUUUUCUAGUCAAAAUAGGCUAGAUGGACUCAAUUAAUAAAAAUUGAAAAAAUUGGGACUCAAUUGAUACAAUUAAAAAGUUUAUGACUGAAUUAAAAUAAGUACAAUAUAUUAUGAUUUUUUUGAUAAUUUUCUCCAAAUAUCUUUGGGCAAUUACAAGUUUUUAUGUCAACAUUUGGGUCUUGUUUAAAUUGUAUGACUUAAGCAUGUAGCAGGUAGCUCACUUGCCUUUUAAGCCAACAAUAAAACUUUACUUGUCAAAAAAAAAAAAAAAAAACAAAUCGCCCUAAAGUUGGUUCUACACAAGAGUCCACAAAAUGGAUGAUUGUGAUGAACUCAGUCCACUAGACACCAAUCCAUAUAAUAUAAGCUUGAAUCAAAGACCAUGAACAAUGCUAGUUCCUUGAAUGGGUCGAAGCUUGACAUAGAUUGAUUUUGAUCCAUCCAAAUUGGAAUCCUGUUAAUGGAUUCAAACACAACGUUGAACCCAAUACCCCGAUUGCUAGUGCAUCGCCGGCUUCCAGUAGCACAUCAGUGGAAUCUGUGAAAGAUAGUGAAACUCAUUUGACUCUUAAGUACAUAAGUGAGAUGCUCAAGGAGGGGAAGUUGGAGGAGAAAAACUAAAUGUUUGCCGGAUUGACUGGCCACCCUCUGGGCCAAAGAAAAAAAAAUCAGCGUGAUGUCCUCUAUUAGAAGGGGACCCUUCCGACCACCAAAAAAAAAAAGUACUUGCCAACCAGCAAUAAUUUGGCCAACCAGUGAGAUCAAGUCUUCAUUUGAGAUUAAUUUAGCCACUUUAGACCCUUAUUUAAAAUAAUGUCCAUCUUAGGCAAUCUUUUGAAAAAAUAACCCACUUUAGAUGCUCAUUCAAAAAAAUUUCUUACUUUGCCAAAAAUUAGUCAUAUGAAGUGCAUGAUGGUAAAUGUAUACAAAUUGCUGAAUCUUUUUGUAUGUUACCAAGGUAAGAUUUUGCUAUAGUGCCAAACAUCCAAAUAGGUUGAUAAUUUACUAUUUAUAUUUUCAUCGUUAAAUUCCUUCAAUAGAUGGCAAUUCUUCGCCCACUUGUAAAUUUACCAAUUUAAUAAAAUCUUGCUAUGUAAUGUACGAGUAUUUUUCACUGAACCAUCCGACUUCGUUGGGCUUGAAUAUGACUCAUUUGAUUUCAUUUGUGUAAUGCUUGCAGAUAUUACUUUCGUUGGUGUUUUUUUUUAUUGCUCUACUUUCUAACACAUGAUAGUAAGGCCGAGUACCGGUCUAGGGUCAACCCUAGACUAAUCUUGGACUAGCCCAAUCCGGCCAACACUGGGUCUGUGUCCUUAGUCCCAGAACCCAAAUUUCUUGAAAAAAUUUCAAAUAAGGGUCCAGGGUUCUAUCAAUUUCUUAAAAAAAGAUUUAAAGUGUAUUUUUUUUUUCCCAAAAAAAGACCUAAAGUUGCCAUAGGAGUUUCAGAUAAAGGUCUACCUCACCGACUGGUUAAAUAUUCUGGCCAAAAUUUUUUUGUCCAAAGACAAUUUUAAACCAAAUUUUAAUUAAAUUAGUUUAAAAAUUAAUCUAAAAGCUUUUCAAAAAAAAAUAUAGAUGCAAUGUGGGGCCCUCACCAUUGGUCGGCAAGGGUUGUGGCCCUCAUCGAGGUACUUGCAACCUCGACGCCCUAUCGGCUAGGGGUGAAAGAUUUUAGGUUCAGUACAUAUUCCACUUAAGACUUGAAACUUACACAUUGGAACACAUUCCUUAUUUUUUGGAACUUGAAACUUAACUUGCAUAUCCUAAAACCUAAAACUUACCAUGUCACAAGUUCUAAGGUCGAUCCUAUGGUCUAUCUAGGUUCCAUCUAUAUUAUCAAUUGACCGAUUGCAAUGAAUUAAACCUUUAAUAAUCACCACUUGUUGCUACAAUUUACUUCAUAACUUAUAUUCAAACACACGAAAAAUAUGGACAUUAAUAUAAAAUGGAAGCUCAGACUAGUGCUUUUAGAUUAUACAUUCAUCAUCGAAUGACAUGGAAUAUCACAAAAUCGCAUGAAGAUAUGGACUAAGAAAAAUAUUAAAACUUGUUCUAGAUUAUAGGUUCCAAUUUCAAGUUCCAAGUUCCUCUAAUCAAGAGCCUAAAACCUACUCGUCGAAAUAGAUUCCUCAUUUUUGGGAGACUAGAAUCUAUCUUGCAUAUAUUGGAACUUGGAAUCUACAAGUUCUCAUCGAUCUAAUUCUCAAGUUACAAGUUCUACUUUAAAACCAUGCUCACCUCCACUACCAACAAUGGGUCAGCAAUCACAACCUUGGGUUUUUAUUUUUUUGUGUAAGUUUCUUUAUUUUUUUUUAUUUCUUUUUAUGUUUUUACCUCUUUUUUUUUCUUUUUUGAUUUUGUCUUUUUAUGGAAUUUUUUUUGGAGUUUUUAAGCCUAAUUUAAUUAAGAUUUUGUGUGAAAAUUAGGAUUCGGAUUAAAACGAUAUCGUUUUAUCACUUUAGUUAACCUUAAAGUACGUAGAACGCUACGUGGAAGAGAUAAGAUAUUUAAAAAGUUAGGUCAACAUUUUUCGUUAGUUAAGUUAAAUGGAGUUAGUGGAAAAACUCAAUUUUUAAACAAAAUUGAGUCUGCCUGUGGCUUUCAAGGGUAGCCUUGCUCGAGUAAGGUGAGGGCGACCCUCACCUGGCCCUCUCCACGUAUGGUUGGUGGCCUUCAAACCAGCCACUGAUGAAAAAGAAAAAAUAAGAAUAAGGAAAAAAGAAAAAAGGAAAGAAAACAAAAAAGAAAAUAAAGAGGGAAAUGCCAUUGACUAGCCAAUAAGGUCGUGCCCUUUUUUGGGGCACAUAUUUGCAAUAACAUUCACUUAAUUCCUUUAUUUAGAACCUUUCCUAAUUUCUUUUUUCACCAACUCUUAAAAAAAGAAAAAGGAAAUUCCCUUUUGAAGGCCACACGUGAUCGAUGCCCGUCCUUAAGAUUGCCGUCUCUAAUAGUUUUGCGUUCAUUAUCCUCUUUUCUUUUCUCUCUUUCUUCCAGCACGUUCAGCUCUGUCAUUUCAGACAAUUCAGCGGAGCCUUUUCCUAGGGUUGUUGAGAAAAAUAUCAAAUACAAUGUCAAGUCAUUGAGCCCUCUUUUGUCGAGAAUAGCAGCUGUCAAAUGGCCUCAUACGCAUCUCACUUCAGACCCAACAGGCUGCCUACGGUGGGCCCAUUCCAGUUUGAUCCCCGCAAAUUUUCAGCAAAAACCGGUCCUCUUCCUUUGCUGAAACCAGUCCCACUUCUAGCUCUGACAGCCCUUUUCUAGUUUUGUUUACAUUAAAAUAAGGCCUUGAGUUUGAACCAGUUAAUUAACACGGUCCAAAGCAAGUCCGAUCGAAUUGAUGAAAUUCGACCGCCUCUUCGAUUUGGUUCGAACCUGCAAUAGAUUCCUUACAUGUGUGUUCAACCGCUACACAUGAAGUUUGUCGUCUACUUUCGUUGAAUUCUCUUCACAAGCAGCAGCAACAUCUAAUGAAGAGCCUUCUUCUAGUAGUAUAAUUUUAUAGAGGAGGAGCUAAUGAUUGAGUAGAAAUAGGGGAGCUUGUUGGAAAAUCUUGUCAACACGAGAAGCAAAUACAAAACAAAAGAAAGAGUAAUCAUUGGUUCUGGUGGCCCCUCGGUCUUUUUAUUUUUUUAUUUUUUUUUUAUUUUGUCUUUUCUUUUUCUUCCGUUUAUCUGACCGGAAGGGAUUCUCUCUCUUUGGUGUAUAUUAUGAAAUUUGUUCCAUAAACACCGUGGGUAUUUGGUGUAAUUAUGGGACUGGAAAUUACUUAAAAGUGUGUCAUCAAUUGUAAUCGUGUGUUCUCCAAUUUACUAGUAGGUCAUUAACAGCUUACUCUUUUUACUAAUACAAGUUUCAACAUUUGUAUCGUAUGACAAUAAUUUCUUGUGUCAUUUAUUAUUUCUCAUUUUAUUUUCUCUGAAAAUUUUCAUGUGUCCAUAUAAUUGUGAAGGUUAUGCAUAUUCAAUGACCCUCCAAGAAUAACCUAAUAUGGGGAUGAAUUGAAGUAAAGAGUUGCCAAUGUUCAGUUCUUCUUUAAAGUAAAAAUCAUUGAUAUUCCCUAUAUGGAGGAAAGAAAAAUAUACACAUGCAAUUAGAGAAUGCAGGACGUGUAGGCACUGGCAUGUCAAAAUAAGGAAUGCAGCCCUACUAAGUACCACACAAGAUGGGACCAUCGUUUAUCAUUCCUCAUUAUAUUUUCUUUGAAAAUUUUCGUGUGUCCAUAUAAUUGCGAAGGCCCGGUCCCUUCUCUGACGGUUUACUGCAACCUCCAGCUGUAUUCACGCCAUUCUAGGUGGACAUUGAUAUAGCUAGUAUAAGCACCUGGAGGGGGGUGAAUAGGUGUAAAAAUAAUUUCUUGAGAUAUGAAAACAAUACUAGACAAAUCAGAAAGGAAGCUCUCCUUUAGUUAACAAAUCGAACUAUGAUUAAAGUAAAGUAGAGAGUAGGGAAGAGAAAAUUGAACACAAAGUUUAUAGUGGUUCGGUUUAUUCCAAGCCUACGUCCACUCUUCUGCACUGACAGCCCACUGGCUGGAUUUCACUAUGAACAAAAGAGAUGUUACAGCACUGCUUUCCCUUGAUUCCACAGUGUAGAUAUUCUAUCACACUUCCUCAAGGUAUCUCAAAAUAUAGACUCUCUUUUGUGUACAAGAUUUCGCUCAGUAAAUAAAUUGACUAAAAAUCAAAAAGCUUCAGACUUUGGAAUUCUUCUAUCGUGCACACCUCGAACAACUGGAAUGACUUCCUUUUAUACUCCUUUGUGCCAUCAUAUCCGUUGGCACUUACCAAAGGAAUUCUUUCAAUCCUCCCGUUGGACAGAAUCAAUUAGGAAGAUUAUUCGAGCUAUUAAAGGAACAUGUCGAUAGCCUAUCAAUCCUGCUCGCCUAUACAAUCAGGAUCUUGGUUUCCAUAAGUAGAACCUUCCAAGAAUACUUCGUCAAUCAUUGGAUCUUUAAUCAUUCUUGAUUUGAAUAAAGGAAUCCGUUAUGUCAUAUCCAGCCAAGAGAUCUUCUCCAGUUGAUAAGGCCAAAUCCUUAAUGAAGCAGUUUUGGAUAGCCUUUCUUCAACGGAUUAGAAACUGUCAAUAAGAAUAGACUUUGAGUCUUGAGUCAGGUAGUCUGGAGGUCUUCAGACUUUAAUAGAAGAGUCUGGAAAACUUCAGACUAGACUGAUAGAAACGUUUUGUCAGCUUCAAAAUAUUCCAGAAAGAUUUCUCCAACAAUCUCCCCCUUUUUGAUGGUGACAAAACUUUCCUGCAGAUUUUAAUAACUUUGACCUGCAAAACAUUACUCAAGCAAAUAUGGAUAUCUCAUAAAGAUUAAUAACUUAAUGAUAACACUAGAAUCUGCAACCACAGAAAAUAGGUUAGUCUUGCAUGAGAGUAAAUCCAUUUAUAAGAUAUCAAUAGUACUUAAUAUAAACAACAGUCAAAUCCAAAUCCACGUUCAGUCAAUCCUCAUCCAGACACAGACACACAAGUCAAACAUCAAAACAAACUAAAAAUUCAACAAGUUUAAGUUCAAAGAUUUCAAAUUUCACAUCUCUCCCCCUUUUUGUCAUCAUAAAAAAGAAGUUGAGAUGGGAAUAGAAUGAAGUCAAGUUUGCUUGGGAAUGCGAACAAGAUGGAAAUCUCCCAUGGACUGGAUGAUGCCUUCCAGCUUUUUCAAUUCUUCCUUCAGUUGAUCCACCUCUUCACCUUUAGCAUUGGCUUGAAUCUGAAGAGUAAGGGCUUGGAUCUGCUCAGACAAUGAAACGGAAGAAGCUUGACCAGCAUUCUUCAAGUUCUGAACUUCGCUUUCCAAAGCAUAUAUCUGACCCCGCAAUUCCAAAAGAACAUUAAUGAUUCUGCAAAAAUCUGCUGAGUUAUCAGUCUACGUAUUGGCUUCGGCAUGAUUUGAUGGAGUAAAGGCAGACGAUGGUAUAUCAGCAUAAUCACGUAGAUUUGGCGAUGAAGCACCAUGUCCCUCCUCAGGAAAUUGAGAGGCAUGAAUGUCUUCUGGAUCUGCUGGAGAGCGACUGACUCCUUCACUGGUAACAGGAUAUGAGGACAUUCCUCUAUUUUCACCAUCUCCCCCUGUUUCCAUGGCUUCAAGUGGAGAAGAGUUUUCCUCAUGCUCUCCUUCCUCUUGAUUUUCUCUUUCUUCUUCUUCUUCAAACCUUUCCUCGUCUGUUUCUUUUUCUUCAGCUUCUUUCUCCUUUUCUUCCUUCUCCUCUGCUUCUCUCUCCUUUGCUUCUGUUUCUUCUUCUUUCUCCAGUUCUUCUCUCUCCUCUGCUUCUUUCUCCUGUCGUUCCAUUGAUUCAGGAACAGAAUGACUCAGCUUCUUUAAUGCUAUAGCAAAAAUUGUGAGGUCAUCCUCAUCAUCUUCAUCAAUAAUGAGAGCUUUUCUUUUCUUAGAUGGAGCAACCAUGGGUUCCUUCCCUUUCCUUUUCGUUGCUGAAGAGACUUGAUGAGAUUUGACAGGGGUUUUCUCCUUAAAUUUCUCCAACGCCUUGUCAAGCUCUUUCAGACGCAUUUUGGACACCAUUUUUAGUCCUACCACCAUUUUGUUAUAAGGUCGAACACAGAGAAUUUGUGGAUGCUGAAUAUUCAAAUGUCUGAAUAUCUUUGACACAAGACCUGGAUAAGGAAGUUGGCCCUUGUCCUUUACCACUGCUCUAUACAUGUGAAACAGAAUAGUGUGAGGAAGAGAACUUUUUCCCAGCAUUGAUGACAUACAUCAGCUUUGCCUCUAAGUUAGAAACAUUAGUCUUGGAAGUUGAUUUCGGUUUGAGGCAAUUGAUCACAAUCUUGUGAAGCAGAAUGUUGAACGCAUGCAUCCUUGAGUAGGAACUUCCCUUUGUCAUUCUGUCUUUAACAAGUUCCAAUGUGGCACGAGCUAUAGAGACACUGAUGGGUUGAUAUCUCCCUCUCUCAACCCCAAUAACAUAUGCCAACAUAUCCACAUCCACUACAAAGUCCUGAUCUCGGACACUGAAAGAGAUUCUAUUUGCAUUAAAGAAAAUUGAACUUUUCCCACAAAUUGACAUUCAUAGCAUCAAGGAAAUCAAAAUCUACACACAGAACUGUUCAAGUUGAAGAAAACUAAACUUUUCCCGCAAAUUGACAUUCACAGCAUCAAGGAAAUCAAAAUCUACACUCCUAGGGUUUAUCACCCCACGCUUCAACAAUUUGGAGUAUAGAUUUUUUGUUCCCUCGAUCUAAACAACUUUGUUCUUUUUCCUCAAAUUUUCGCCGCAACACCCAUUUUCGGUUGAAAUUGGAUGUACAAUAUGUCAUCAUCAUUUCCAUCUAUCGGAUUAAAUCCCCUAACACACAGAUCACUUGGGAUAUUUGCAAGGGUUUUUUCUGCCAACCCCUUAGGAGCAAUUUCCAAACUCUCUAUUUUUCGCAAAAAUAUGUACUCAUUCCCAUAUCCCUUGUCCUUAAGAAACUCAUCGAUGUAGUUCAAUGGAGUACCAAUACUCUUUAAAGCACGGUAAAUCUUAUAAAUAAAAGAGGGCUUUUGAACUCUUAUAGGAUCUGCGUCUUCGACGAUUUCUUCCUCUUGUUGAUGAACAGCAUUCUGUGGACUAGAUGGUGGAGAAUGACGCUGCUGAGAAUGUUGUGGGCUCUGCUGCUGACUUGGUGACUCCUCUUCCUCGGUGAGAUCAAAGUGAGUAGGCCCCUUACUCAUUCGCCGUGGUCCCCUGCUUGCGAUCCUCGAAGACUUUCUUGAAGAUGACAUCUUUCUUAGUCUUUGAGAGAUUCCUUGCUUGACUUUCCCAAGAAAGAUGUCAACUUUUUCGAAGAUUAAACAAGAGAGAAAGACAGGAAUGGAAGAUCGAUGCUUUUUAGGGUUUUCGAGUUAAGUGAAGAGGAAUCGUCUGUAUAUAGUUUAGUCGAAGAGAGGCAUACCAAACGUUGUAAACGAAAGUAAAAGAUGCCCCUUUUAAAAAUAACUGCAUUUAAAAAAAAUAGAUAACUGCCAACUUUGAAAUAUUAACUCCUUUUUGAAAAAGAAAAAUUGCACUUUUCACAGAAAUUGAAGAUAGCAUAGAUCAAUUAUAAAUAGAUAAAUGAUCGUACCUUUCCGAGAUAAGAGAAAAUAAAAUAACUUACAGUCAAGAACCAUGAUUGUCUGAGACUGUGAGUCUCUAGACUUUAACUUCUUCAAGCUUCAAGAUGUUGAGUUUGGAACAGAUGAUUUCAAAUUGAUUUUUCUCCAAAGGCUUCGUAAAUAUAUUCGCCAGUUGAUUCUUUGAGUCAACAAACUGAAUCGAAACUUCUCCAUUUUGAACAUGAUCUCUAAUGAAGUGAUGUCGAAUUUCUAUAUGCUUUGCUCUUGAGUGAAGAAUUGGAUUUUUGGUAAGAUUGAUUGCACUGGUGUUGUCACAGUUAAUCUCCGUGCAUGAAUCUUCAAUUCCAAAGUCUCUUAAUUGUUAUUUUAUCCACAAAAUUUGUGAACAACAACUUUCGAGAACUACAUAUUCUGCUUCUACAGUAGAAAGAGCUACUGUAUUUUGCUUUCUUGAAAACCAAGACACUGUCCUGCUUCCAAGUAAUUGACAAGUACCCGAAGUGCUCUUUCUAUCAAUUAUGCAACCAGCUAGAUCUGCGUCUGAAUAUCCAAGGAGAGUAAAGUCUCCCUUUUUAGGAUACCAAAGGCCGAUACUUGAAGUUGAAGCAAUGUAUUUGAUAAUACGCUUUGCAGCACUUAGAUGAGAUUCUUUAGGGUCUGCUUGAAAUUUGUCACAAAUGCAAAUACUAAACAAAAUGUCAGGUCUAGAAGCAAUAAGAUAAAGAAGUGAACCGAUGAUACUCCUGUAUAGCUUAUGGUCAACUUUCUUUCCUCCUUCAUCUUUGUCUAUCUUCAAGGAACUUGACAUUGGUAUAUCAAUCUUUUUGUAAUUUUUCAGUCCAAACUUUUUGACAAGAUCAUUAGGAUAUUUUUCUUGAUGAAUAAAAGUCCCUUCCUUCAAUUGUUUCACUUGAAGUCCAAGAAAGUAGGUUAGUUUACCCAUCAUGCUCAUUUCAAAUUCAUCCUGCAUAGACUUAGAGAAUUUCUUGCACAAACUUUCAUUAGAGGAUCCAAAAAUGAUAUCAUCAUAAUAUAUUUGAACAAGCAGAAAAAUUUUGCUUUAUCUUUUGAUAAACAGAGUAGUGUCUACUUUAUCUUUUUCAAAGCCAUUUUGAAUUAAAAACUUACUCAGCCUGUCGUACCAAGGUCGAGGUGCUUGCUUUAAUCCAUACAAGGCUUUUUUCAGUCUGAAUACUGGGUCUGGCUUCCUUGGGUCUUCAAACCUAGGUGGUUGUUCCACAUAGACUUCCUCAUGGAUAAAUCCAUUUAGGAAAGCACUUUUGAUGUCCAUUUGGAAUAACCUGAAAUUCUUAUAACAAGCAAAAGCAAGUAAUAAUCGAAUUGCUUCUAAUCUUGCUACUGAUGCGUAAGUCUUGUCAUAGUCUAUCCCUUCUUCUUGCGUAUAUCCCUUGGCCACGAGUCUUGCUUUGUUUCUUACGACUUUACCUUUCUCGUUCAUCUUGUUCCUGAAAACCCAUUUAGCUCCAAUAAUAUAUUUACCUUUCGGUUUAGGAGUCAACUCCCAGACAUUAUUAAUACUGAAUUGUCUAAGUUCUUCUUGCAUAGCUUCAAUCUAGCUUUCAUCAGAUAAAGCUUCUUCUAUGCUUUUUGGUUCAAUUUCAAAAAUAAGAGCCACAGCACUAGACUCUUCGCGCCUUUUGGAUCUUGUGCGAAUUCUUUCAUUAAUGUCGCCAAUAAUGAGGUCUUUGGGAUGACUGGACUUAUGCUUCCAGUUACUGGUUGAUUUGUCAGGUUGAUGAUCACUUCCUUCAUUUGAAUCUUCAAUAACCAUUUGUUGCUCGUCUUUCAGAGUCUGAGUUGCUUCUUGAGAUUUAGACUUUGUAGAGUCUGGAGCAGCUUCAAAUUUUUCAAGAUAAGUCUGAGCAGAUUCAUUUUGCAUAGAAUCUUGGAAUUUGACAUUUAUUGAUUCCUCCACAGAUUGACUCUUCUUGUUAUAGACUCUGUAGGCUUUGCUUGAGGUAGAAUAUCCAAGGAAGAUUCAUUCAUCUGAUUUUUCUUCAAACUUACCAACUCUAUCAUUUGCAUUUUUCAAUAUAAAGCAUUUGCAUCCGAACACAUGAAAAUAUGAAACAAUAGGCUUCUUUCCUUUGAAUAACUCAUAGGGGUUUUUUUUUUUUCCAGAAUAGGCCUUAGAAAAACUCUAUUGAUAAUGUAACAUGCUGUUGAAACUGCUUCAGCCCAAAAACGUGAAGAUAUGUUACUUUCAAUUAAAAGAAUUCUAGCCAUUUCUUGAAGCGAUAUGUUCUUUCUUUCCGCAACUCCAUUUUGCUCUGGAGUAUAUGGAGAAGAGAACACAUGCUGAAAACCAGAUUCAUUACAGAAUUUUAUAAAAUCAUGAUUUUCAAAUUCACCUCCAUGAUCUGUUCUUAUACUCGAGAUAACAUACCCUUUUUCAUUUUGAAUCUUUUUUGCAAACUUUUCAAAGUAAGAGAAAGUUUCAGACUUACUUGCUAAGAAAUAUACCCAAGUAAACUGUGAGUAAUCAUCCACAAUUACUAGGCAAUAUUUCUUACCUCCAAUGCUCUGAAUUCUGGUUGGUCCGAAAAGGUCCAUAUGCAGAAGCUGUAAUACACGAUUAGUGGAAACUUGAUUUAUUGGUUUAAAGGAAUUUCUUACCUGCUUUCCCAAUACGCACGGUGUACAUAGAUCAGACUUUUGGUAUGACAAUUUGGGUAGACCAUGAACAAGCUUCUUUGCUGAAAUUUUGGCUAUUUGCUUCAUAUUGAUGUGCCCAAGCUUUCUGUGCCAUAAGCUCGCUUCAUCUUGAAUUGAGAUUAGACAUUACGAUUCAUCUGGUUUCACAUCCAAGAGGUAGAUAUUUCCAUGUCUUCGGCUCAUGAAUGACUGAGUAGAAUCUUUAUUGGUUCCUGAACAUAUUCCCUCUUGAAAGUUGAUUUUGAAACCAGUAUCACAUAGCUGACUGAUACUGAGUAAAUUGUAGUUGAGUCAUUCCACUAGGGAAACAUUGCUUAUAAUGAGAUUUCCAAUCUUUACAGUUCCAAAUCCCACAAUUUUUCUUUUGCUGUUUCCUCCAAAUGAGACUUUUCCACCAUUUACUUGAAUGAGUUUUAUGAAGCAAUUUGAGUCUCCUGUCAUAUGUCUUGAGCAUCCACUAUCCAGAUGUCAUUUUACCUUUUUCUUGAUAGUAACCUGUAUUUAAAAGAGAGACUCAAGCUUUCUUUGGUACCCAUAUUUUCUUAGGUCCAUUGGUGUUAGUAUGGUAUGCGGUUUUUGCCCAUACUUUCUUAACAGGUUUCCAAACCAUAGGACACUCUUUUUCAAAAUGAUUUGCACUAUUGCACUUUGAACAUCUGAGAGCAUUUUGACCCACUGGUUUUACAAACACUUUUUGAAAAUGAUUUUUGUAAAAUGUCUUUGAAUGUCUUUGCUUAAUUCUUUCCUUCACUUUAGGAAAAUCAAUUAAAGUGAUGGUUUCUACUGUCAUUCCUAAACCAGAUUUAUUGAAAUAAGGUCUUUGUGCUGAAAGAAUUUUUUCAAGUUUCUCAGAUCCUAUUGAAAAUCUUUUUGAAAUAUUUGAUAAGUCAUUUUUUAAAAAUGCAUUUUCUUUCAAGAGAUUAUCUUCGCUUUCUUUAAGAGUAGAAACAUUCGUGUCUAAAUGUUUCAACUUUUCUUUCAAAACAUUUUCCUGUUGUUUUAGUGCAGAGUUUUCCUUUUUAAGUUCGGAAAUCCUUUUAAGAGAAGUCUUAACACUAAAACAUAGCUCAUCAAUGUAUUUGGAAACUUUAACAGGGAUUUUAAAGUUACUUACCUCAAAUUCACUGUCUGAAUUUGAGUCUGUCUCGGACUUUGAUUCAGAAUCCGAUUGUGCCAUCAGACAUAUAUUGGCAUAAUCAUCAUCACUUUCUUCACACUCUGUAUCACUCCAGGUUUCUGCUUAAGAGCCUUUCGAUACUUUUCAGCUUUUCCUUUCUUCUUUUUUAGAAGAGGACAGUUGGGUCUAAUGCGUCCCUUUUUCUUACAUUCAAAGUAGACUACAUCUUUGUUUGAUUCAUCAUCAUCAACAGACUUGGUCUAUUGCUUUUGAAAACUCUGUUUCUUUGGAUUGAAUCUUCUUCCUUUUCUGUUAAGCUUUCUGAAUCUUCUUAUCAUGAGAGCAAGCUCCUCAUCAUCCAUAUCGUCUUCAUAAUCUGUGACAUCAGAAUCAUCAUUGGAUUUUAAUGUAAUGGAUUUCUUACCUUUAUGAUCUUCGUCUUCAUUAAUUCGUUCCACUUCAUAAGACUGAAGACUUAAUGUAAUGGAUUUCUUUGUGUCUCUCUUAUUGAGGUCUUUAUGUGAUUCCAAUCCUUGGAGAGUCCACGUAGUAACUUGUUUACAUUCAUGGGAUUAGAAAUUGGUUGACCUUGAUUUUGAAGACCAUUCACGAUUUCUGUAAAACGACUAAACAUAUCAGUUAUAGAUUCUCCCGAUUUCAUUUUGAAGGCUUCAUAUUGACCGGGGAGAAUGUUGAUUCUGGUCUCUUUCACUCGAUCAAUUCCUUCAUAGGUGAUAUGUAAUCUAUCCUAGACUUCUUGCUGUAACACAAGAAGAUAUUCUGUUAUAUUCAUAAGAUGAUAAAGCACAAUAUAAAGAAUAAAUUGCUUUUGCAUCAAGAGCUUGUCUCUUGAUUAUCUCUUCCUGAUUCAUUUCACUUGACUCAACAGUUUCUUUUCCUCUAUUUGUGACAGAUGCAGCUUUAGGAGUGAUUCCUUUUUCUACAACGUCCCAUUCCAGAGGAUCUUUUGAUCGUAGAAACGCUUUCAUCUUGUUUUUUCAGAUGUUGUAAUCCUUUCCAUCAAAAGUAAGGUGGUCUGGUAUUGCUCUGCCCUUCCACCAGCCUUGGAGCUAGCAUACUAGCCAUGAAUCUUUAACUCUGAAGUAAAACACUUCAACCAAAGUGAGUACACAGGCUUUGAUACCAAUUGAUAUAACUAGUAUAAGCACCUAGAGGGGGUGAAUAGGUGUAAAAAUAAUUUCUCGAGAUAUGAAACAAUACUAGACAAAUCAGGAAGCUCUUCUUUAGUUAACAAAUCGAACUAUAAUUAAAGUAAAGCAGAGAGUAGGGAAGAGAAAAUUGAACACAAAGUUUAUAGUGGUUCGGCUUAUUCCAAGCCUACGUCCACUCUUCUGCACUGACAGCCCACUGGCUGGAUUUCACUAUGAACAAAAGAGAUGUUACAGCACUGCUUUCCCUUGAUUCCACAGUGUAGAUAUUCUAUCACACUUCCUCAAGGUAUCUCAAAAUAUAGACUCUCUUUUGUGUACAAGAUUUCGCUCAGUAAAUGAAUUGACUAAGAAUCAAAGAGCUUCAGACUUUGGAAUUCUUCUAUCGUGCACACCUCGAACAACUGGAACGACUUCCUUUUAUACUCCUUUGUGCCAUCAUACCCGUUGGCACUUACCAAAGGAAUUCUUCCAAUCCUCCCGUUGGACAGAAUCAAUUAGGAAGAUUAUUUGAGCUAUUAAAGGAACAUGUCGAUAGCCCAUCAAUCCUGCUCGCCCAUACAAUCAGAAUCUUGGUUUGCAUAAGUAGAACCUUCCAAGAAUACUUCGUCAAUCAUCGGAUCUUUAAUCAUUCUUGAUUUGAAUAAAUGAAUCCAUUAUGUCAUAUCCAGCCAAGAGUUCUUCUCCAGUCGAUAAAGCCAAAUCCUUAAUGAAGCAGUUCUGGAUAGCCUUUCUUCAAUGGAUUAGAAACUGUCAAUGAGAAUAGACUUUGAGUCUUGAGUUUGGUAGUCCGGAGGUCUUCAGACUUUAAUAGAAGAGUCUGCAAAACUUCAGACUAGACUGAUAGAAACGUUUUGUCAAUUUCAAAAUAUUCCAGAAAGAUUUCUCCAACAGACAUCACUAGGGAUGGUGCUAGUUUGGAAGCUAGUUUGGUUCUUUAAUUCUCUAGUUCAAUUCUUGUUUGCUUCUAGUCCAGUUGGGAUUAGAUGGUGGCUGGCUUAGGGGCUUAACUAUGGGCAAUUAGAAGAUGGCAAUGGGAAUUAAAAAUAAAAAAAAGGAAAAGUGAGUUUCUCGGAUCAGACUUGAGCUGACCGCGCAAUCGCGCGGAAACGGAAAAUACAUGCUCAUCGUUUAUUCAAUUGAGCUGAAAUGUGAGUUAGUCAACAGGCUGACGUAAACUUGCGUAAAAUUUUUAGGCCGAACAACUAUUAUGAAAUCCACUUUUGAAAGUCUGACAUCACCCCGACAUCACCAUUUUUCAUUUAGGCGGCCAGUACAGGAUCAGCUGAUGUUUCUUAGAAAAAUACAAAUUUAGGAAACUAUAGUUAGAAUUAGUCCAUGAACUAUAUCAUUAGAAAAGAGACUCGAAAACGCUGACCUUGAUACUUAGCUUGCAAUCUUUUGAGCUUGUUUGGGUCUUUAAUUGAUUAGGAGAAGCCAAUUCAAAAUUAUUGAGAAGAAAAUUGAGUCCAAGUAAGAAUCAUAGACUCACUGUCAAUCAAAAUAAUAGCCAUCGGCCGGUGGUUCUCAUGAGACAUUGUCCCUAGUUGAAGAGCGUAGGAGAUCCCUAAUCUUCAUAAGAUAAAUGGAUGACUUAGUCAUAUUGAAACCUAACUAUUAAUGAACUAUCAUGCCUCUAGCUUAAAUGUGCAUAAGGGACGUUGCAAGAAAAAUGAAUGUAAGGUCAUAUAAAAUGAUUGUUUUUAUAUCAAGGAUCAAACUCCGUUCUCAUUGGUGAAUUUGAUUGCUGAAAUAAUUUUCUUUGAAAAUACAUGAUGAUUUCAUCGGUGAAAAUCAUGUUUUAACAUGAUCGUGAGGAAUGUGUGGGCUUGAGAAGUAAGUGGGCCACACGAAUUGGACUUAAGAAAUUGAAUGAGAGAUUAUGGGUUUGGACUUGGCUUGAAGCGGGCCAAGGUUCAGAAUUAUUAGAUUUGUAGAUUUAGUUUAGUGGGCCGGGAUUGUUAUAGAUUAAGCCUAUUGGGCCAAGAAUGAAUAUUUAGGCCCGAAUGAUUUUAUUUUAUAGAUUAUAGUUAUGAUGACUUAAUUAUUGUUUACAAUGCUAAUAUAAAUUUCUAACUUUAGCAUUUUGUGAUGAAUUCUUUAUAGACUAACGUUGACUAGUCGAUUUGUUAUAUAUAUGUUAUGACUUUGUAUAAUUGGGAUUAAGUAGAAACAAAAGGCAAUUAGAUGAAAAUAUUAGAAGCUAAUGAACUAACGAAUGAUAUCGAUAAAUUGUUAAUUAGCGACGAUCGACAGAUGGCGAAAAUCUUCAUGCAUGAAAGCCAUGACACUUUACUCUCUCUCGAUUCUCUCAUCAACACCCACGGUUUUUCUCAAUCCAUAGAACCGAAGAUGGCAACUCCAAGGAAGCAUAAUCAUUAGCCAAACUAAUCAUUACACUAGCCUAGGGAUUAGUUUGUAGACCUAUUUACCCCGGGAUAAGUACACUAAUGAUGCCAUAAGUUGUGUACGGCGCUCACUUUGGUGCCAAAAGUUUCCGUCGGAUCACUUAAGUGCCAAAAAAUUUGAAAAAUGCUCACUUUGGUGCCAACUCCGAUCCGGUUGGCCGGAAAUCCGACGUGGCACUUUUUUAUUAAUUUUUUAAGCUAAUGUGGCUCACCGGGGGAUAAGUACACUAAUGGUGUCAUAAGUUGUGUACGGCGCUCACUUUGGUGCCAAAAGUUUCUGCCGGAUCACUUAAGUGCCAAAUCGGCGGAAAAACGCUCACUCUGGUGCCACCGACGAAAGAUUCCGGCCACCGGCGAAAGAUUCCAGCCAAAAUGAUUUUAAAAAAAAAUCGAUAGGCCUUUAAAUGACGUCGUUUUCGGUCCUCCUUAAGAAAACGACGUCGUUUUGCCCUCCUACAUGGAUGGCUUCAUGGAAACGAUGCCGUUUAGCUCACAUAAGGAUUGAAAUUAGGGUUUCCGCCGCUCGGCCACCGUCGCUCGGCCACCGUCGCUACUCGGCCACCAUCGCUCAGCCACCAUUGUAGUUGCUCGACCAGGUGAGUGAGGAGAGACUGAGAUUGUUGCAGGAAAAAUCGAAGGCGAGGGGGGAGGAGGAGGAGGAAGAAGAUGGGUCGAAGGGCUGUUGGUGCACUGCUGCUGCUGGUGCGUUGCUGGUGUCGUUGCUGGUGUGCUGCCGUUGCUAGUGUAGGUCUUCGAGGAAGAAGAAGACACAAAGACAAGCCUUCCCUCUCUCUCAAUUUGGGGAUUAGGGUUUCAAAGUUGGGGGAAAGAUGCCAAACGGCGUCGUUUUGGUGUUUGGAUGCUGACUCAACUCUCCAACGAGCCACGUCAGCUUCAAAAAUUAAUAAAAAAAGGCCACGUCGGAUUUCCGACCAAUUUCGUCGGUGUUGGCACCAAAGUGAGUGUUUUUCAAAUUUUUUGGCACUUAAGUGAUUCGACGGAAACUUUUGGCACCAAAGUGAGCGCUGUACACAACUUAUGGCACCAUUAGUGUACUUAUCCCACUCACCAGAGAAUGCACCAUUAGUGUACUUAUCCCGCUCACCGGAGAAUACAGUCAGCAUCCUAACACCAAAACAACACCGUUUGGUGUCUCCCCCAAUUCAAAACCCUAAUAUCCGGCCGUCGCCGUCCUCGACGGUCCUUGCGCUCGGCGGCCAUGGCUUCGACCCCGACCUCGACCUCGACCCCAACCUUGACAAUGGCCACUCAAUGGCAGCGGCUCUGACCUCGACCCUGACCCCAACCCCGACCCCAACCCCGACAAUGGCCACUCAAUGGCAGCGGCUCCUACCUCGACCCCGACCCCGACCCCGACCCCGACGAUAGCCACUCGGCGGCCGUAACUCCAACCCCGACGGCGACGAUGGCCACUCGACGGCCGCGGCUUAGACCCUGACCUCGACACCGACCAUGGCCACUCGACGGCCACAGCUUCGACCCCGACCCCGACCUCGAUGAUGGCCACUCGGCGGUCGCAGCUUCGACCCCGACCCCGACCCCAACCCCGACGACGCCACUCGAAAGCCAAGUUGAAACCCUAAUUUCAUCCCCAAUGAGUUAAACGGCGUCGUUUUUGUGAGGCCUUCCAUGUUGGACGGCAAAACGACGUCGUUUAAAGUCUUGUCGAUUGUAAAAAAAAAAGCCACGUAAAGUAUAUUUGGCCGGGAUCUUUCGCCGGUGGUCGGGAAUCUUUUGCCGGGUGGCACCAAAGUGAGCGUUUUCCCUCCGAUUUGGCACUUAAGUGAUCCGGCGGAAACUUUGGGCACCAAAGGUGAGCGCCGUCCACAACUGAUGGCACAGGAGUGGUACUUAUCCCUAUUUUCCCCUCUCUCUCUCUCUCUCUCUCUCUCCAUAUAAAACCGAGAAACCCUCAUCUUCAUCUUCUUCUUUCUUUUUCUCUCGGCUGAGCAGCAAAAAACCAGAAGCAAACCAGCGAUGUCUCCUUCUUGCAUGCUGAUUUUGAGUGUUGAUCUUUAAGCAUCUCUGUGUUGUUUAGUAGCUGAAGCAAGGUAAGGAAAGAUCAAAUCUAAAUUGAAAGUUAUCCAUUGUUUCAUCAAGGGAGCUUGAGGAUCUAACCAAACAGUGAUGGAUAUAGUUUGUAGUUGUUGUUUUGUGAUUGAUCUAAGCUUAGUGAGUGUUAGAUUGAAGGUAGGAGCUAUUGCAUGUCACUCUUGAGUCUUGCAUGUCUCGAAAUCCAAGUGUGAGUAUGCUUUUUUGUUGAGCGAAGUGAUGAAAUGGAUGCCGAGUGUGUUGUUUUGGUAGAAAUCAUGAUAAGUGGCUUACGGAUGCAACGACACUUCGAGCCGAGUUGUGAAAUUGAUCAUUUGUUAGAGAAAGAUAUGCUGAAGUUGCUUUGAGUUGCUGUGAGUAAGCAUUGGAGUACUGUAGAAGAUAUUUGUGGAUAGACAAGUUGUUUUGUUGAGUUAGAAGUGAGAAAAUUUGUGUAUCUAUUCUGUUCUAAGUGAAAACAGUUAUGGAGUCUUCUGCUUGUGUUUAAUUUUCUUUAUGUAUGCUAAUAGAAAUAAGAAAGAAACCAUUCUACAUGAUAGAACGUCUAUAAUAUCAAGUUAUACACGUAGCUAUAAUCAUAUGACUAUAAAAACAUAGAGACAGAAGUGUACUUAGGAAAACCAGUAAACUGUUCUUGUGAGAAACGGUUUGACCUUUACUGAUUAUGCGAAUUUUCUGUAUUCACCUAGUUAGAUUUGGACUUCGAAUCCUUAAUGAAAAUUGUAUAAAACAUCUUAAGGAAUGACGUGUCAAAAUUUGAGACUAAAUCGAUAAGAAUUGGCUAGUGAAACAAUUUUCUUUGUAAAUACGAAAUUUGGACGUCGAUACAGGGUGCUAGUAAAGAUUAUGGCAAUUGUUACUCUUAAUACAGUGAGAAUCAGACUUAAGUUUCUUCACGGGAAUUGUUAGUCUAUGUCUUAAAUAUAACAUACUAAAAUUUGGUAGUAUUUAGACAAGAAUUGAUAUACCUUUUGUAUCCGAAACCGAAACUGUACAUUUAGUUAGGAAACUGUCUAGACCCGAGAACAUAUAUUAGAGGUUGUGUCUUUUAUAUUAGGCUUUUGUGAUGCACGUAGAGUCUAAUAAACCUCAUAAUAGCAGUUAUUCAUAUAAGAGUAAGUCUCAUAUAUCGUGUGAGAUAUAAGUGCAUAUAGUAUCAUGUGUGUGCAAUGAGUGCGGUGCAUAGUGCUUGAUUAUGGGAUAAAUAUCUGUUCGCCAUGGAAUGGGAAAUGACGUAAUGGGUUUAAUCUUAUAAUUUGGACAUGCACGUGUGCUAGUUUCAUGAGAGUUAGUUAUAUACUUUGGAGUCUUUUCUUUUGCAUAAGAUAAAUGCAUUAAUCAAAGGUGUGGUGGUGUGAAACGUGUGCUUAAGAUGAAUGAACCCACCGGUACCGAGAUACCGGUGAUGCCCCUGGAAGUUUGGGAUGCCCCUGCUGCGUGGUCUUGGAUGCCUCGGUAGAGAGAUAUUGAGAUGCCUCAGAGUGAGAUGCCCUUGUUUGUGAUCAAGGAUGCCUCGGUUGUGUGAUACCGGGAUGCCUCGGAGUGAGAUGCCCCUUGCUGUGUGGUCUUGGGAGGACCUCAGUUGUAUGAUGCCGGGAUGCCUCGGAGUGAGAUGCCCAUAAUUAGAGAUAUUGUGGAAGUCCGGAUAACGUACUUUCCGGAAGUGACUCGAUCGGCUAGUUGAAUUCCGGUUAGUGAUUGAUCGAGGGUGGAUUUUAUGCACACUAAAUAUAAUUCUAUUUGGUGAGUGAGUUCAUUUAUUAUUAUUGUUGCAUUACAUCUUGAUAUGAGAUUGAGUUUGAGAAAGGUAAGCAUAUAAAUGGAUGCUCAUAAGGUGAUUAUGUACAUAUUGUGUUAUUAUCCAAUUGUUUAUGCUGGUGAUAUACUUCCUUUAGCAUCCUAAAUUGUUUGAUGAUUCACUUGUAACUUUGAUGGCUAUGGAUUGUUUAAGUUAGAGUUUUAUCAUUCUUUACUGGGCAAUGUUGUUUGCUCAUACCUUACAUUUUCAAAUUGAUAGCAUGGAUGUACCGCCAAUAGCUCGAUACAAGGUGGUAGUGCAUCUUGAUGUUUCUCUUCAUGACGUGUAUGAUCCUGACAUUGACAUGGUUUUCUCCAAAUAUGAGGCGACUUUAUGGCUGGAUGACGGUAGAGCUGAGUUAUUACCGAUGACGUUCGUUGCAUGGUUUAUCAACCAUGAAGGGGAGAUGUUCGGACCUUUACCCUUUGGAGCUGGAGGACCUGGAGCGGGGAUGGAUGGCGCCUAGACGCCUUUGAUCUUGUUGUAGCUGACUGACUUUUGUUUUUUGUUAGACGUGGGCUUGUGUGGGAAGCUCAUGGAGUAGAUAACGUCACCCAUAUCCCUGGCUUUUGUUAUGCCUUACUUUUGUUUUGUAUAUGAUGUAAAUAUAUAGGUGAAGAACAUGGAAUGAGUCCAGGUUGAUAAUUUUGUAUGUACUGAUGAUGAUAAAAUGAAAGGAAGCCUUUUAUGAUCUUGUCUAUGUGCAUUGCAGGAUAACCUUAUAAUAUAAAUUUAGGAUUUUAAAUAAUCCAUGUUAUACAUGCUAACCUUCAAUGGUAAAUACUAUGGGUUAUUUAAAGGAGAUUACUAGUUAGGAAGAUAAUAAUAAUAAUAACUAUAAUUCCGCUUGCGCUUUGUACGUGACACCCUGGGACGUCACAGCUGCUCGUUACAUCUUGUUUACAAAAACACUGUAACAAGCAGCUGUGAUGUCCUAGAGCGUCACGUACUAAGCACAAGCGGAAUUAUAAUUAUCAUUAACAUCUUACCUAACUUAUAAACUCCUUUAUAUAACCUAUAGUGUUUACCAUUGAAGGUUAGCAUGUAUAACAUGGAUUAUUUAUAUCUCAAGUUUAUAUUAUGAGGUUAUCCUGCAAUUCACUCUACCUUCAAUUCAAGUAUUGGCCAAAUCAUUCAUGCACAUAAAAAAGAACACAAGAAACUUCAUUACUUCUUUUCAUCAUCGGGGCUUACAAAAUUUAUCAACCUGGACUCUUUCCACGUUCAUCGCCUAUAUAUACAACAUAUACAUUACAAAAGUGAGGCGUAACACAAGCCAUGUAUAAAGGGGUGAGGGAAUCUACUCCAUGAGUUCCCAUACCAGCCCGCAUCUAACAAAAAACAAAAGUUAGUCAGCCUCUACACGAUCCAAGGCGUCUAGGUGCCGUCCAUCCCCGCUCCAGGUCCUCUUGCUCCGAAAGGUAAAGGUCCGACCAUUUCCCCUUCAUGGUUGAUAAACCAUGCAACGAAUGUCAUCCGUAUCAACUCAGCCCUACCGUCAUCCAUCCAUAAAGUCGCCUCAUACUUGGAGAAAAUCAUGUCAAUGUCGGGAUCAUACACAUCAUGAAGAGAAACAUCAAGACGCACUACCGCCCCGUAUCGAGCUACUGGCGGUACGUCCAUGCUAUCAAUCUAAAAAUGUAAGGUAUGAGCAAACAACCUUGCCCAGUAAAGAAUGAUAAAACUAUAACUUAAACAAUCCACAGUCAUCAAUAUUGCAAGAGAAUCAUCAAACAAUUUAGGAUGCUAAAGAAAAUAUAUCACAAGCAUAAACAAUUGGAUAUUAACACACUAUGUACAUAAUCACCUUAUGAGCAUCCAUUUCUAUGCUUACCUUUCUCAAACUCAAUCUCAUAUCAAGGUGCAAUGCAACAAUAAUAAAUGGACUCACUCGCCAAAUAGAAUUAUAUUUAGUGUGCACAUGAUCCACCCUCGAUCAAUCACUAACCGGAAUUCAACCGGCCCGAUCGAGUCACUUCUGGAAGUUACCUUAUCCGGACUUCCAUAAUAUGGGGUAUCAUGGGCAUCUCACUCCGAGGCAUCCCGGUAUCACACAACCGAGGUCCUCCCAAGACCACAUAGCAAGGGGCAUCUCACUCCGAGGCAUCUCAGUAUCACACAACUGAGGCAUCCUUGAUCACACACAAGGGCAUCUCACUCCGAGGCAUCUCAGUAUCUCUCUAACGAGGCAUCCAAGACCACGCAGCAAGGGCAUCCCAAACUUUCGGGGGCAUCACCGGUAUCUCUCUACCGAUGGGUUCAUUCAUCUUAAGCACACGUUUCACACCACCACACCUUUGAUUAAUGCAUUUAUUGCAUUUAUUGUAUGCAAAAGAAAAAGACUCUAAAGUAUCUAUCUACUCUCAUGAACCUAGCACACGUGUGUGUCCAAAUUAUAAGAUAAAACCCAUUACGUCAUGUCCCAUUCCAUGGCGAACAGAUAUUUAUCCCAUAAUCAAGCACUAUGCACCGCACUCAUUGCACACACAUGAUUCUAUAUGCACUUAUAUCUCAAAUGAUAUAUGAGACUUACUCUUAUAUGAAUAACUUCUAUUAUGAGGUUUAUUAGGCUCUAUGUACAUCACGAAGACCUAAUAUAAAAGACACAACAUCUAGUAUAUGUUCUCAGGUCCAGACAGUUUACUAACUAAAUGUACAGUUUCGGUUUCAGAUACAAAAGGUAUAUCAAUUCUUGUCGAAAUAUUACCAAAUUUUAGUAUGUUAUAUUUAAGAUAUAGAAUAACAAUUCCCAUGAAGAAACUUAAGUCUAAUUCUCACUGUAUUAAGAGUAACAAUUGCCAUAAUCUUUACUAGUACCCUGUACCGACGUCCAGAUUCUUUAUCUACAAAGAAAAUUGUUUCACUAGCCAAAUAUUAUCGAUUUAAUCUCAAAUUUUGACACGUCAUUCCUUAAGAUGUUCUCUACAAUUUUAAUUAAGGAUUAGAAGUCCAAAUCUAACUAGGUAAAUAUAGAAAAUUCGUAUAUUCAGUUAAGGUCAUACUGUUUCUCACAAAACAGUUUACUGGUUUUACUAAGUUCACUUCUAUCUCUACAUUUUCUAUAGUCAUAUGGUUAUAGCUACGUGUAUGACUCAAUCUUAUAGAUGUUCUAUCAUGUAGAAUAGUUUCUUUCUUAUUUCUAUUAACAUACAUAAAGAAAAUUAAACACAAACAGAAGACUCCAUAACUGUUUUCACUUAGAACAGAAUAGAUACACAAAUUUUCUCACUUCUAACUCAACGAAACAACUUGUCUAUCCACAAAUCUCUUCUAAAAUACUCCAAUGCGUACUCACAGCAACUCAAAGCAACUUUAGCAUAUCUUUCUCUAACAAAUGAUCGAUUCCACAGCUUGGCUCGAAGUGUCGUUGCAUCCGUAAGCCACGUAUCACGACUUCUACCAAAACAACACACUCGGCAUCCAUUUCAUCACUUCGCUUAACAAAACAUCAUACUCACAAGGAUUUCGAAACAUGCAGUCCUCAAAAACAACAUGCAAUGGCUUCUAACUCUAAUCUAACACUUACUCAGCUUAGAUUAACCACAAAACAACAACUACAAACUAAAUCUUUCAUCGUUUGGAUUGAUCCGCAAGCUUUCUUGACAAAACAAUGGAUAACUUUCAAUUUAGAGUUAUAUCUUUCCUUACCUUGUUCAGCUGUUAGACAACACAAAGAUGCUUCAAGAUCAACACCAAAAUCUCGCAUGCAAGAAGAAGAAAUCACUGGUUUGCUUCUGUUUUGUUUCUGGUUCUACCGCUCAGCUGAGAGAAAAGAAAGAAGAAGAUGAAGAUGGGUUGCUGGGUUUUAUAUGGAGAGAGAGAGAGAGGUACAAAACUUAAGGGGGAAAAUAGGUCUACAAACUAAUCCCUAGGCUAGAGUAAUGAUGAAAUUUGCUAAUGAUUUUUUUCCUUGAAGUUUACAUGUCUCGGUUCGUGGGUAUCAAAACCGUGGGUGAAGAAAAACAAAGAGAGAAGAGAGGUGUCGAGAAUCGAGAGAGAGAAAAGUGUCAUGGCUUUCAUGCAUGAAGAUUUUCGCCAUCUGUCGAUCGUCGCCAAUUAACAAUUUAUUGAUAUCAUUCGUUAGUUCAUUAGCUUCUAAUAUUUUCAUCUAAUUGCCUGUUGUUUCUACUUAAUCCCAAUUAUACAUAUCGAAUGACAUAACAUAUUGACUAGUCAAUGUUAGUCUAUAAAGAAUUCAUCACAAAAUGCUAAAGUUAGAAAUUGAUAUUAGCAUUAUAAACAUUAAUCAAGUUAUCAUAACUAUAAUCUAUAAAAUAAAGUCAUUCGGGCCUAAAUAUUCAUUCCCGGCCCAACAAGCUCAAUCUAUAACAAUCUAGGCCCACUUAACCAAAUCUACAAAUCUAAUAAUUUCGAACCUUGGCCCGCUUCAAGCCAAGUCCAAGCCCAUAAUCACUCAUUUGAUUUCUUAAGUCCAAUUCGUGUGGCCCACUCACUUCUCAAGCCCACACGUUUCUCACGAUCCAUCGGGUUCACUUUCUGGCCCAAUCUAAUUAAUCUAAGUUCCUAAUGAUCUAAUUACACUAAUGAAAGUCAAUGAAAUUUGGGAUGUCACAACUCUCCCCUACUUAGAAAAUUUCGUCCUCGAAAUUGAAGUCUUACCUUAUUCACUUGAAAAGCUGAGGAUACUUUUGUAUGAUCUCUUCCUCAUUUUCCCAAGUUGCUUCCUCUGAAUCAUGGCAUCGCCACAAAAUUUUGACUAAAGGUAUAGUCUUAUUCCUCAAUACUUGCUCUCUUCGAUCCAAAAUUUGCACAUGCUCUUCUACAUAUCUAGUUCUUUCAUCUAUUUCUAGUACCUCAAAAUCUAACACAUGAGUUGGAUCCGGCUCAUAUUUCCUAAGCAUAGAUACAUGAAAAACAUCAUGAAUACUGGAUAGCUUUGGUGGUAAUGCUAUUCUAUAUGCUAACUCUCCAAUCCUUUCUAAUACUUCAAAAGGUCCUAUAAAUCUUGGGCUCAACUUUCCUUUCUUCCCAAAUCUUGACACAUUCUUCAUAGGUGAUACUUUCAAAAAUACAUGAUCUCCUACAUUGAAUUCUAAAGGUCUACGACAUUUGUCUGCAUAACUCUUUUGUCUACUCUGAGCUGUCCUGAGUUGUUCAUGUAUAGUCUUCACUGCUUCCAAUGUGAUUUGAACUAUUUCUGGUCCUGUCAACUUUUGCUCUCCAACUUCAUUCCAGCAAAUAGGGGUUCUACAAUUUCUACCAUAUAGAGUUUCAAAUGGAGCCAUACCAAUACUUUGCUGAAAACUAUUGUUAUAAGAAAAUUCCACUAAAUGUAAUUUCUCAUCCCAAUUUCCUUUGAAAUCAAUGACAUAAGCUCUUAGCAUAUCUUCCAAUGUUUGUAUAGUCUUCUUUGAUUGCCCGUCUGUCUGUGGAUGAAAGGCAGUACUAUAUUGGAGUUUAGUUCCUAAGGCAAGUUGAAGACUCUUCCAAAAAUUUGACGUAAAUCGCGGAUCUCUAUAUGAUGUUAUGGUUACAGGAACACAAUGUAGUCAUACUAUUCGUCUAACAUACAAUGUGGCAUACUUCUCUAGUGAAUAGUCUAUCCUGAUAGCUAAAAAGUGUGCUGACUUUGUUAAUCGGUCUACUAUUUCCCAGAUUGAGUCAUGACCGCUUGAAGUCCUUGGCAAUCCUUCUACAAAGUCCAUGGUUAUAUGUUCCCACUUCCAUUCUGGAAUUUCCAAUGGUUUUAGCAAUCCUGCAAGCUUUCGAUGUUCAGCUUUCACCUGUUGACAUGUCAGACAUCUUGCAACAUACUUAGCAAUAUCAGUCUUCAUUCCGUUCCACCAAAAAUAUUGACGAAGGUUCCUAUUCAUCUUUGUACUUCCUAGGUGAAUACUAUAACUACUAUGAUGAGCUUCAGUCAGAAUUUCUCUCUUCAAUUCGUCACUACUAGGCACACAAAAACGUCCAUGAAAUUUAACUAUCCCAGAAAAUUCAAAUUUGAUUGGUCAGAGGAAUGUGAGCAAAGUUUCCAAGAACUCAAGAGGAGAUUGACGACGGCACCAGUGUUAACAAUACCCAUAGGAUCUGGAGGUUUUGUGGUGUAUAGUAAUGCUUCUCAUAAAGGAUUAGGAUGUGUUCUUAUGCAACACGAGAAAGUUAUAACAUAUGCAUUGAGACAAUUGAAACCACAUGAAUUGAAUUACCCUACCCAUGACUUAGAGCUAGCUGCCAUUGUUUUUGCUUUAAAGAUUUGGAGACAUUAUCUUUAUGGAGAAAGAUUUGAAAUUUUUACGGAUCACAAGAGUUUAAAGUAACUAUUCUCUCAAAAGGAAUUGAACAUGAGGCAAAGGAGAUGGAUAGAUGAGAUGGAAAAGAUAUUUGCAUUACUGAAUUGUACUGAUGUAGAGAAGGUAUCAUUAGUAGAAUAUCAACUUCAAGGAAAUGCUGAUUAUUGGUGGAAAGCGACAAAAGGAACAGUAUUCACUGAAGGUGUAGAUGUGACUUGGACUGGAUUUGUAGGAGUCUUCUAUAGUAAGUAUUUUUCAGACUGUGCAAGGGAUAAAAAGGCAAUGUAAUUUAUGCAGUUGACCCAAAAUAACUUGACUAUAGAUCAGUAUGAGGCGAGAUUUGCUGAGCUCUCUAGAUUUUCCUCUAGAUUAAUAGAAUAUCCAGAGGAUAAGGCUAAGAGAUUCUUGAAUGGGUUAAGGUCUAAUAUAAGAGGAUGAUUGGUGCCUUUGAAUUUGAAGGAUUAUAGUGAAUUGUAUGAAAGGGCACAGCUAAUGGAAAGAGAUUUGAUGUCAAGAAACCAGACAUCGGCAUAUCAGGUAAGACCACAAUCUCGAGGAGACUCAUCAUCGGCAUAUCAGGUAAGACCACAAUCUCGAGGAGACUCAUCGAAUUUUCGUUAUAAUAAGAGAUCUCAUUAGGUUGGAAAGUGUGGAAUAAUCAACCAAUGGAACGACCACAGUAUGGUAACAAUGAGUGUCGUCGGUGUGGUAGAUCACAUGGGUUUGGACCAUGUUAUAGAACAAAUGUUUGUUUUAAUUGCGGACAGUUAGGGCAUUAUAUGAGAGAUUGUCCUCAGAAAAGAAUGCAGCAGCCACAACCACAACAGAAUUCAGGUAGACCAUUACCACCAAGAGAUAACCAACAACCCCCAGCUCAAUGAAGAAUUUAUGCGAUUACUCAGGAUGAGGCUGAAGGGUCUCAAACAGUUAUUACAGGUAUCAUUUCCUUGCCCAAUCAGAAUGCUUAUGCUUUGUUCGACACUGGAGCAACUCUCUAUUCCUUUGUAUCUGCUCAAUUUGUGCGACUGAAUAGGAUGGAACCUGAAUUGUUAGAAGUGCCUCUUAGUGUCUCUACUCCAUUAAAGGAUGUCAUUUUAUCUAAUUCAGUGUGUAGGGAUUCCACUAUCCAUAUAGGUGGACAACACUUGUUAGCUGAUUUGAUGGUGUUAGUUAUGUAUGACUUUGAUGUAAUUCUAGGAAUGGAUUGGUUGCAUAGACACCGAGCUAGUGUGGAUUGUUAUAGGAAGAUGAUUCGAUUUGACCCACCAGAUAGGCCAAGUUUUGAAUUUUAUGAUGGAAAGACAACUCCCUCUAUACCUCUUAUUAAUGCAUUAGAAGCCCACAUAUUUCUUAGAAAUGGUUGUUAAGGGUAUUUGGCAUAUGCAAGUGAACAAACCAAGAAGGAAGUACAACUUGAGGAUAUCCGUGUAGUACUAGAAUUUUCUAAUGUAUUUCUCGGGGAAUUGAUAGGAUUACCCCUAGAGCAAGAGAUUGAGUUUACUAUUGAAUUGGCACCUGGUACAAAACCCAUAUCGAAAGCUUCUUAUAGGAUGACGUUGACAGAAUUAAAGGAAUUGAAGGUACAAUUACAAGAAUUACUUGACCAAGUAUUUAUUAGACCAAGUGUUUCCCCAUGGGGUGCACCAGUGUUAUUUGUUAGAAAGAAGGAUGGAUCAUUAUGCCUUUGUAUUGAUUAUAGGCAAUUGAAUCAAGUGACAAUUAAAAAUAAGUACCCAUUACCAAGGAUUGAUGACCUAUUUGAUCAAUUACAAGGAGCGUCAGUUUUCUCAAAGAUUGACUUAAGAUCAGGAUAUCAUCAAUUACGGAUAAGGAAAGAAGAUAUUCCUAAAACAACUUUUCAAACUAGAUAUGGACACUAUGAAUUUUUGGUUAUGCCAUUUGGAUUGACGAAUGCCCCAGCAUCUUUUAUGGACCUUAUGAAUAGAGUAUUUAAGUCUUUUAUGGACCAAUGUGUGAUAGUCUUUAUAGAUGAUAUUUUGGUGUAUUCAAAGAGACAAGAUGAACAUGAAGAACAUUUAAGGAUUGUGCUCCAAACUCUUAGAGAACACAAACUGUAUGCUAAAUUUAGUAAAUGUGAAUUUUGGUUGGACCAAGUGACAUUUUUAGGACAUGUGGUGAUCGGUGAAGGAAUAUCGGUGGACCCAGUUAAAGUUGAGGCUAUGAUUGAUUGGCCUAGACCAUCGACAGUGACAGAAAUACGAAGUUUUCUAGGUUUAGCUAGAUAUUACCAAAGAUUUGUAGAAGGAUUUUCUUGAAUUGCAGGACCUUUACCCUUUGGAGCAGGAGGACCUGGACCAGGGAUGGACGGCGCCUAGACGCCUUGGAUCGUGUAGAGGCUGACUGACUUUUGUUUUUUGUUAGAUGCGAGCUGUGUGGAAACUCUGGAGUAGAUACCCUCACCCUUUAUCCCUGGCUUGUGUUACGCCUUACUUUUGUUAUGUACAUGUUGUAUAUAUAUAGGCGAUGAACAUGGAAAGAGUCUAGGUUGAUAAAUUUUGUAAGCCCUGAUGAUGAAAAGAAGUAAUGAAGUUUCUUGUGUUCUUGUUUAUGUGCAUGAAUGAUUUGGCCAAUACUUGAAUUGAAGGUAGAGUGAAUUGCAGGAUAACCUCAUAAUAUAAACUUGAGAUUUUAAAUAAUCCAUGUUAUACAUGCUAACCUUCAAUGGUAAACAUUAUAGGUUAUCUAAAGGAGUUUAUAAGUUAGGUAAGAUGUUAAUGAUAAUUAUAAUUCCGCUUGCGCUUAGUACGUGACGAUUUGGGACGUCACAACUGCUCGUUACAGUGUUUUUGGUAUCAAAGCAUAAGAUUUAUCUGGAGUGAUAAGGUGCGGUAGUGACUAUGCGUUAGGAUAAUGAUAUUUUCUUUGUAAGGAACAAGUAACUUAUGUUACUCAUAGGAUAUCAAUAACAAUUGUUGCAGUUGUUACUUAUUUGUUUUGUAAGGAGACUCGGUAGCCUAAUGAGUAGUGACCGAUGUGCAGAAACCAGGAAUUGUCAGGAUGAGUAGAAAUGGACGAGGAAUGACCAUGGAUCCCUGUGUGGAAGGAAUCUUGGAAGCACUUGCUAAUGUAGGAACCUUAUUGGAAAGGCAAGCCCAACAACAGGUAGGAGGUGACCGUAGAAUGCAAAGCUUAGUAGAACAAUUUCUGAAACUAAAACCCUCUAGAUUUGCUAGAUUAGGAGAUCCCGUAGAGGUAGAAUUAUGGAUAGAUGAAGAUGGAUAGUGUUGCUGUUAGUCCUUUGGAUAGUGAAGAUCAGAAAUUUCAAUCAAAUUGAUGAUUGAAUUAUUUUUUAUUUUUACUUUUUUGGCAAAAUGUAAGAAUAUAUUGAGGAAAUGUCAAAUGUACAAAAGAUCUCGUCACCAGAAACUUACACUCCAGAUACAGGAACAAAGGAAGUGGAAGGGUGACAAGAUGUAAAAGUCGCAAAGCGCGGCACACACACUACAACACCAAAACCAAAAGAAGCACGGCAUGGACAACUAGCUACCAAACACGCCACAGGCGAGGAAGAGGUCAUCGUUGAAUUGAACUACCUAUGAGUCCCCAGUGAAAAUAAUCAGUAUCUAGGCCCCAACUUCUCUGCAACCUUCUAUUUCUGAAAUUAUCUUCGAUGUUCUUGAAGGUAAUAGCCUUGUCUCGGACCACUUUGAAGAGGUGGUUCUUCAUGGCCAGAAUUGUCAGGGGCUGGUCUCUAAAGAUGAUACUAUUCCUGUUUUUCCAAAUGAUAUGACAAAGUGCGCCAAAGGAAAAAGGGGCAAAUCUUUACCCACUAAAUAGGUAGCGGCUCAGCAGAGGUUCUCCCUCCAAGUUCUGUUGCGCUAAGGCAAAUUGCAUCUAGAAACCCAAAAGAAAGCAAUGCCAGUUAUGACACGGCAAUAAAAAAAUAGGCGAUCAACAAAGUCGGGCAUACUCUUGCAAAAUGCACAGGCAGCUCUUUCAAUUCUACCAUAAGACAGAAGGAGAGCCUAGGUUAGAAGUUUGCGCUUGGCAAUGAGCCAAAGAUUAAGCUGAUAGCAAGGCACUAUGACGUUGUCCCACACGAAGGAGUACCAAUGGACUCUCGUUCUCUUCUUCAUGAUAGAGUUCCACACCAUUGCUACCAUGAACCGACCCGAAGAGCUUUCUCGCUAGCAACAACGAUCCAGGUCACUCGACAGGAUCGGGAGAGGAUAACCCCAUGAUUCAAGCACUAUCCUAAGAGCUUAGCCAACAUCUGAGAAAAGGUCAGCAACACAGGCCUGCCAAGAGAACCCUGAGCUGUAGAUAAGUGAAUCCGAGAAAAGCAGGUUUAGGGGCCCCUUAGGGUGCCAAUUAUCAAACCGAAUAGAGAUUGUUUGGCCAUCGCCAUUUUUCCAGUAGAAAGCCAUCCAGAAAUCACUCAUUAGGUUCAACAAGCUCUUCCAAGCCUAAGAGCCAAAGGUUGGCUUCCUAACAACCCAAAAGUUCUUGUUCUUUAAGAAAGUGGAAUGGACCCACCUACACCACAACGCUUCCUUGUUAGAGAACAAGAACCAGGUAUGCUUCAAUAUGACGGCUUUAUUGCAAUCUCGAAGCCUCCUGAUACCUUGCCCUCCUUCAUCCUUUGGAAGGCAAACUUCAUCUCAAGCUACCUUAGCACCACCCACCCCUGCCCAGGUCCGGACCUUUCCAUAGGAAUUGUCUAAGGAUUUUCUCUAUCUGGUCCACUACAACUAUAUAUAAAACAAAUACACUAGCCUAAUAGGCUUGUAUAGUGUGAAGAAUUAACCUUAUAAGCUAAAGCCGUCCAGCAAGAGAGAGGAAUCUGUGAGUCCAAAACUGAACCCUAGCAGCGAUACGGUUGACAAGGGCACAAGAGAGAGGAAUUGGUGAGUCCAAGAUUGAUGAUUGAAUUAUUUAUAUAGUAAUUUUGGAAAAUUGACAUGCUAUCUUACUAAAGCAAAAGUGAGUGCAUAAUAAUUAUGCAAAAGUGAGUGCAAAAAUUAACAUGAAGUAGUCCACUUUGGGUGCUUUUGCCGCUGUUUUGGCUUUGCCCUCGUUCUUUUACCUUGGCACCCUUCCACUCGCUCUGACUUUUGUGUUCAUGAGUAUAAGUUUUUGGUGCCGAAUUCUUGCUGUAUAGCUUUAUAUAACUCUUUGGUUUAAAGUCAAUAUAAUCUUACCUUUUACCCCCCAAAAAAAAAGUUGAUAAUACAAUCUGUGAAAUUCAAGAUAGAACAAGACAUCAUAAUUUUGACAGGAAUUUUCGAUCUUUGGUAGCUGUAGAUUACAUUGAAUACUAAACUUAAGUAAUAAGAUUCAAUUGCAUAAAUUAAGUACAAGAUUUAAUUGCAUAAUUCGCGUAAGUUGUUGGACCAAUAUUGAAAUUAUUAAAACGAAGAAUCUAAUUUUACCUAAUUCGAUGAAAUGGAUGUGCGAGAAUCAACAUGACCAGCACGUUUACUCCAUUUCGUAGCCAAAAGAUAUAUAUAUAUAUAUAUAUAUAUAUAUUUCCUUUAUUAUAAUGUGGACGGCAUAUAUUUCGGCAUAUAUUUCUUUUUCUUUAUUGUUUUGGGUUGGUUUCUCGUGAAGUGAAGAGGAUAAGAGUGUAUAUUUAUAUCCUGUUUUCCACGCAAUAAUCGCAGAAGUGCAAGGUGAGCAAUAGCUGAAAGCUUGGCCAAUGGAGUACUGCCCUACUUCGCCCUUUUGGCUCGGCCUCCUCCUCCCGGCGCUUCUAUUUUUCCUUCUCAACCGUUGGAAGCGCACCAAGCUUCCCCCUCAGCCCCCAGCAUGGCCCAUGAUCGGCAACAUCCUCGACCUCGGGAUCAUGCCGUACCAGAACCUCCACAGCUUCCGAGCCGAGCACGGGCCUGUCACGUGGUUGAAGCUCGGUUCUGUGAACACCAUGGUGAUCCAAUCAGCUCAGGCCGCCGCAGAGUUCUUCAAGGGCCAUGACAUGGCAUUCGUGGUUGACGGCUCUCGGCUAUGACCAAGGUUCGCUCACCGUGGGUCGUUACGGCUGCUACUGGCACGUUCUCCGGCAUCUCUGCUCUGCAGAGCUCCUCGUGACCAAGCGCAUCAACGAGACGGCCCAUCUCAGGCAGAAGUGCGUCGACAGCAUGAUCGGUUAUUUAGAGAAAGAAAUGGCAGCUAAACAAGUAACAACAGGUUAUUUCUCAUGUGCUUGGUGUUCCUUUUGACUUUUUUUUUUUGAAGAGAGAGUAGGGAGGGGGACGUCUCUUUAGCUCCUUAUAAAAUAUCAAAGCAGAAUCAAGAUCAUAUACACUACAAGAUAUUUCCACUAGUGUCACAACCACUUCUCGAUUAUUAAUAUAGGUAAAAUCAAUGAUUAAGACAUGUUAAGACUUCUACAAAAGUGCGGCUAAGAGGAAUGAUCCCUUGCGUCAAAAUAAUGCAUUUCAGUGAAGAAUACAACUUGCAACUAGAUUUAACUCAAAAAAAUAAAAUAAUGGGACCUGUUUUUUAGGGAUAAAGGAACGACGGUUUUUGAACUUUUGUAAAGUGUUCAAUCAGGUUCCAGAAUCUUUUUUGUGUGUGAAUUUGGUCCUCAAAAUUAUACAUCAGCUGACCCUCCUUAUAGAUGUGUAGAUGGAAUGAUAAUGAGGAAUGUCGCCCCAGCACUAUAAGUUAGCACUGACUGUACCAACUUAUUUGGUGACAUUUAUUUAUUUUUAAACAUAGUGCUGAUAUGGACAAGGAAAAAAAAAUCUAACUAAUAAUUACGCACAAGGGAAUAGAGGGCUGGCUGGCCAGUGUGGGCGGCAGCCUCGCGGCACGACAUGGGUCGUUGAGUGCAUGCCGUCCGCGACUCCCACCUCCCAUCCAAGCACGUCCCCCCUACUUUAGUAACGAUACUUCUUUUUAUCGUUUUUUUUUUCAAAUUUCCUUACUUUUCAUUUUUUAAUAAUUAUUUUUUAAAAUUUCCAUAUUUAUGAAUUCUGUGUUAUUCCAUUUUAAAAAUUUUAAAUGCCACACAGAAUAUCAUAUUUGCAUUCUGUAAGACUUAAAAGUGUCACGUCAUUACUUCUAUUUCCUUUUUUAAUGAAAUGACCAUGUCGGAUAUGAAAGUAUAUGAUUUAAGGAUGUAAUUGUACAAAAAAAAAUUUAGGGACCUAAUUAAACCUUUUGUAAAGGUUUAGGGACUGCUCAUACUUUUGUCCCUUGGUUUUGUGUACUGUAAUUGACAAAGUCAACAAAUUAACUAGUGUAAAUAACUCAACUUACCCAAGAGCUACUGUGAUUAAAUAUGUUAUUUAGUCCAACUCACGUUCAUUCUUUUCGAGUUCGAGUCUAACUAGAGUGACUCUACCGUUAAAUUACUGCAAGCUCGUGCAGCUUCAUCAUUGAAUUGAGCCAAACUCGAGCGUGAUCAAGAAGUUGGGUUUCAUAUAUCUUCCGUUGCAUUUAUCAAGUGCAUCUCUAUAAAAUUAAAAAGCAUGCAUAAGUAAACUUUCCACUCAAUUUUAUUUGUAGAAGUCAACUUGAAGUUUUCAGAGUUUAGAUGCUGUAGGAAAUGGAUUCCUAAAAAUCGAACCGAUACUCGAAUGAUCAAAUAGCAAAAAAUGAAUAUGGAAACGAGUCCAGGAAACAUGUAACACUGAUCAAAGGUAUAUUACGGAAAUAGACAUACCUUACUUGCCACAUAUUAAGUACCAUUGCAGUCUCAGAUGAAUCAGUUAAAGCCCUAGAGUUCCAUUCUUUAAGAGGGAGUAUACUAUUUUAAGAGGAAGAAAAAUGGAAAAGCGUAUUUUCUCUCUGAAACGCUAUAGGUAAUGUUAUCCCAUUUUAUUUUUUAUAUUAUAUAUUGCAAUUAUUUUCAGUUAGAAAAUAACUACCCUUUCCUCUUAUGAGCCAUUCACUUAUGGGUCUAGUUUUAGCCCAACAUGAGCAAAUGGACUUAACUUGGCCAAUCAAAUAAAAAACCAUAAUCUCUCACUUGCACAUGGUGGGUCAAACAUAACAUUUUCUUCAUCUUUCUGUAACAUUCAUAUCAGUAAAUAAUCCGUGCAACCAGUAUAUUUUAAGAGCUCGUUGCCAUACAUCUGUUGAUAAUAUAUAAUAGCUCAUAAUAGGUAUCACAUUUUUUGAGUAAAUAUAGUAUACAACAUCAUAAAUCAAUUAAUCACAUUUAUAUCUCUCUUGAUUUCUUUUUAAUAAUGAUAAAUUGUAUUCACAAUUAUGAUUAUCUCAAAACAAUCAUAAUUUGUCAACUAGUGAAUAUAAAAUUAGAAUGUAAUUUUCCAAACUUGAUAUUCUUCUUUCCUUGAAACUCUCAAUUUUAAUUCAACUUGCUUUUCUAGAAAUAUCCCAUUAGAUUGAAUCAAUUCAUGAUAAUUGAAAACAUUCUAAAAUAACAAACACUAAAUAGAAAUAUUGAGAAUAAGAAAGAAUCAUGAGGGUACUUAAUUGAGGAACUCUUUUCCUUAAGAGUCUCACAUGGCAUAAAAGUUAAGAUAAAAACUUUUACUACUCUUGUUGAUCAUCUCAUGCAUACGUAGUAUGAAAUAUGUAUUAUAGUAUUAACUCCUUUCCACAGAGUAUAUAUUUAUACUUUCAAUAUCGUACAAAUGAUAGUUCAAACAAACCUAAUGUCUAAUUUGAGUUCACGUAUCUAUUCUUUCACAAAAUUCAUUAGAACUCACAUUUGGCAUUAAAGACAGAUAUAGUAAAAUAUGUGGAUUAUUUUACUUUCGGACAUAGUAAAUAUUAUGUCAUUAUCUUAAUACUCAGUUAAGGUGACAUUUAUAUUUUAAGUUUGAACUCUCGAUUAUCACAUAGAUAAUAAGCUUAAAAAAUUGUUUCAUUUCUAUUUAUCACAUAGUAAAUAAAUGUGAUUACUUGUGUGAGUGGGCUACUCUCUUAUCUGACCAACAUACUUUCUCAAUUUUAUAUGAUGCACUAAGCAUUAAGAUGCAUAAACAUCAAAUAAGACUCAUAAGCAUUAAUAAUAAAAAUACAAAUUCAUUAAAUGUGAACAUUUAAGGGAUAUUACAAUAUUCAAUACAUCAGCAUCUAUGUAGUCCUAGAAAUUUUACAUAGCCACAGAACACAUCCCUAGGUACUAGCUUCAUCAUAAGAUCUACUAUCACUCUAUAGGUAGAUAUGUACUGUAAGUUUACAUCUUUUUGUGCAACUAUAUCUUUUACAAAAUUAUAUUUGGUAUAUACAUGUUUGAUUCUGUCAUGAUAUUUUGGUGUAUGCUAUUGUUGUUUGGUUAUCACAGUUAAAUAAUGAGUUUGCAACAUUCUUAAUAACACCUAAAUGAUCCAAAAAUUUCUUAAAUCAAACCCUUUCUUGUAUUGAUAUUAAUAAUGCCACGAACUCAACCUCCAUCGUGGACAAUAUUAUAUAUGUUUGUUUCUUACUACUCCAAAAUAUGAUACCAUCAUUUAAUAAGAAAACAAAUCUAGAGGUAAAUUUCAUUUCAUUUAAAUCUCCUCCUUAGUUAGUAUCUGAAUAGCUUUCAAGUCGCAAAUUCUUUCCUUAAUAACUCAACGUAUAAUUAACAUAUCCUUUCAGAUACCUCAGUAUCCUUUUGACGGCUUUCCAAUGUGCUUGACUUGAAUUGGAUAUCUAUUUAUCAUUCAAAUUACAAAACAUAUGUUAGGUCUUGUGCACAUCAUAGAGUACAUUAAAUUUCCAGCAACACUACCAUAAGGAAUAUGUUGCAUUUGUUCAUUCUCUCGUUGAGCCUUUGGAUAUAUUCUAUAGCUUAAUCAUUCACCUUUUACAAUGGGAAUAUGUAUGAGUUUACAAAAUUGCAUACGAAAUCGUUCAAGAACCUUAUUAUGUAUUUUUCUUGUGAAAGAGACAAUGAUAUUCUCGAACAAUCUCUUGAAAUUUUAACUUCGAGAAUAUAUGUAGCCUCACCCAUGUCUUUCAUAUCAAAGUUGGAAGAUAACCAACUCUUGACAUUAUUAACAAACUCCAUAUUGCUUCCGGCAAUCGGUAUAUCAUCAACAUAUAAUGAUAUAAUCACAAAUUGAUCUUUGGAUAUUUUGAUAUAUACACAAUGAUCCACAUCAAUCAUUGUAAAAUCAUAUGUCAUUAUGGUAUUAUGAAAACAUAUAUAUUAAUGUCUCGACGACCGCUUAAGGACAUAUAUAGAUCCCAAAAGUCAACAAAUCUUUUGUUUUUGGCAUUUCAAAAUGAAACUAACAGGUUGUUUCAUAUAUAUUUUUUCUUCUACUUCUUCAUUGAGAAAAGCAGUAUUUAUAUCCAUUUGAUGUAACUUAAGAUUCAUACUAACUACUAUUGCCAGAAUAAUGCAAAUCGAAGUAAAUCUAAUUACAAGAGAAAAUGUUUCGUUAUAAUCAAUUCAUUUCUAUUGGUUAUACUCAUUUGGCACAAAAUGAGCCUUAUAUCUUUCUAUUAAACCAUCGGUUUUAUGCUUUUUAUUUUUUUAUUUUAUUUUUAUAAUCCACUUGUUUCCAAUGGCUUUGUGUCCUUUUGGAAGGUUAAUCAAUUCCUAAAUACGGUUUAACUUCUUUGACUCCAUUUCCUUUUUCAUUGUAUGCAUCCAUUUUUUCUUACUAGGGAAAUUUAAAGCCUUAUUUACAUUUAUUGACUCAUAUUCAUCUUAUGGAGCAACCAUAAAAACGUCGACGUGGAAUAUUUUUGUGACUUAUUUUCCGUACGAGAGAUAGUACACUUUGCACAUUAUUCUCUAUUAUGCUCAUACUCAAAUUAGAUAAUGACGAUAUCGUCUCAUCAUAUAACUAUAAUUGAGAGUAAGUCAAAUUUAAUUCCUCACUUCUCAUGUUACUCCUACUUUGACAAACUCUACCAAGUCCAUUAUCUUGAUUCAAGGUUUCAAAUAGUGAGUAAUCCUCACAUAUUUGCUUUUCUUAAGAAAUUCAUUCUUUAAAAAUGUGACAUCCCGUGAUUUAAAUUCAGUUAUAUUCUCACUUUUCUGCUCACUUAUAAAUACAUACCCUUUCGAAUGUUCUGAGUAUUUUAUAAAAAUACUCUUCUUGCCUCUAAGACCCAAUUUCUCAUACUUGUGAGAAGGCUCAUGAGUAUAGGCAGUACAAUCCUACGGUUUAAGAAAACUUAAGUUCGGUUUUCUACCUGUCUAUAACUUAUAUGAAGUGAAAGUAACUGGUUUGAAAAACACACGGUUAAGUAUAUAGACAGCAGUUUAUAAAGCAUCACCCCAAAAGGUGAGAGGUAAGUUAGCAUGCGUUAUCAUAGAUACAACAAUUCUCAGUAGAGUUCUAUUUCUUCUUUUCAUAACACUAUUUUGUUGAGGAGUAUAGGGAAUAGAAAAUUGUAUUUCUAUUCAUUUUUCGUCACAUAAAUUUAUGAAUUCAUCAGAAAAAUAUUUUCGACCUUGAUCGAAUCUCAAUACUUUUAUUUUCUUAUUAUAUUGAUUUUCUACCAAGCUCAUAAACUUUUUAAAACAACUAAAUACUUCAGAUUUAUGAGAAAUCAAAUGACAUAUAUGAAUCGAGUAUAAUUAUCUAUAAAUGUGAUAAAAUAAAUAGCAUCAUGCCUUCCUCUCACAUUUAUUAGACCACAAAAAUUAAAAUGGAUUAAUUGCAAAGGAAAUUCAGCUUUCACAUUUUCCAAAUUGUUUCGUUGUCGUUUUCCCUACUAGGCAAUGCUUAGAUAUAGGCAAAUAAACUUUUCUAAUGUUGCCUAACAAGCCUUCUUUGACUAGCCUAUUCAUAUGUUGUUGGUCAAUAUGACUAAGUUUAGCAUGCCACAUAUUCACAUCAUUAUCAUAUGAAUUAAAAGACGCGAAGAGGGAAUAAUAAACAUUAAUAUUACUAUAGAUUGCAUUGAAUACAAUAAAACCAGCUAAAAAAUAACUACAACCAUAAUAGUUUGUAUUCAAAUACAAAUCCACACCAUUAUUAUGGAAGUUUAAAUUAAAAGAAAUUUUUACCAAUACUAAAACAGACACUAAAUUCUAAUAAAUCUCCAUAACAUAUAAUACAUCAUGUAGAAAUACGGUGCGUUCACUACACAUGUUUAAUUGGCAAGUGCCAAUCUCUUUUACUUUAGCAUUAAAGUUGUUUCCUACAUAGAUCCAUUUAGUUCCAGUUGGUACUCGUCGGAAUUCUACGAAGAAUUCUCUAUCAUUUGCUACAUGGUUCGUUGCUCCUGAAUCUAUAGUUCACAAAGGAUUAUAUUCAGUUAAGAAUACAAAAUUUGAUGCAUAAGCAAAGUUCUUAAGAAUACAAUGGGUGUUUUUCUUCUUUGGCUAGUGAUAGUUGCAAGCAUAGUGACUAUUCUUGUCACAACUAUAACACUUCACCAUUGACAACUUAUUCAUUCGAGAACAUUUUCUUCUUUCAUGUUGGUCAACUUUUGGUUUCUUUCUCGAAGAACUUGCUUCCUUACCUUUCCACAUUUUGAACGAAUCAAGACGUUUGUGCUUGGAGCUCGAAAUCCCUUGUGAGCUAGGACCAUCAUAAUAAAUAUCAGUUUACAAUUUAGUUGCCAGGAGGCAGUCCUCUUCUAACUCAAGAUGGCGCACUACAUCCUCAAAGUUUUUAAUAUUCUCGUUGUGUGUCAAAUGCACCUUCAUAUGCUCACAACUUGGAGGCAAGGAACGAAUCACUACUUGCACUUGUUGCUUGUCAGUCAGGACAUGGCCAACAUCUUUAAGCUCAUUAAUCAUAUUUAACAUCUUUCUCGCGUAUUGUUUUAUGAUCUGACUAUGAGGCUUAUUAUAAGAGUCAAAUCUCAUAAUGAGCUGCCUUGGUUUUGUCAUUGAUGUAUGACCAAAUCUUGUUGCUAAUACUUCCUACAUUUCUUUGGCAUUCUCAAAACGCAUGAACUCUCACAUGACAUCAUUUUCCAUGCUACUCAGCAAUGUAAUUCGAGUAAAGGAGUUCUUUCUUUACCAUGUAGCAAAUGCAUCAUUAUCUAUUUUAUGUUGUGUAGUGUUCACAUCUUCAGGUUUUUCCAUAAUCAGGUUAAGAGCUUCUAAUGCCUUUUGCUCUUCAAGCACAUAUUGGAUUUUCAGAUGCCAUAAUUCAUAAUUAUUGUCGUUCAGCUUCUCACCUUUGUUCAAUUCAGCGUCUAUGCUCUUAGUUGUCGAAGUCAUUGGAUCUAAACAUAUCAGACACAUAUGCAUGAAUUAUUAACGCCUCUCAUUUAUGCAUUCAUUUUGCAUAAAGUCAUCAUAUUAAUGAAUAAUUUUAAAUAAGGUUUUAGAAUCAAAAUGUCACUAUGUUUCCAAUCAUCAUCUAAAAAUUCUAAUUCAAAAUUAUCAUUAAUGUAGUCUUCUAUGCAAAAUAAGUUCUUUGAAGCUACAAAAUUUUCUAUGAACUACCCACAACGCUUAAUGAUAACAGAAGCAAUUGACAUUGAAUAUCCAUUAAUGAUAGAAUAAAAAUAAUUUCAUAUAAUAUAACAAAUACAUCAAUUGCUACAACGACAUCAAUAUGGUAGAAAUUAUCUAUAUAAGAUAUUCAUAAAACAUACUAAAUAAAUGCUACUAGAAACAACUAAGGCUAAGUCAACCUAUGAACAGGGAAAGAUUCUUUUAAUUUCUUGGAAAUUUCCUUUGUAAAUUCUCUAGGCACAUUUGGCAACCACAGAAAAAUAGACGGAAAUCCUUUAGGAUUUCUCCUUCACACUUUCAUCACCCCAUGGAUUGAACUCAUUCAUUGGGUCAAAGUCUUUGUGGCUUCAAUCCUAUAAUAUUCCUUCAAAAAAGCCACUAUAAAUUUCUUAUAAUCAAGAAUCAAAUUGACAUCCCAUAGGCGAUUCAACAUUCCUUGCCAUUCAUAUAGAAGAAUGCUAAUGAAGAAUCGCACCAUCUCAAAAGCUGACAUGGGGUAACCCUUCCAAAUGACUUCUUGUAUCUUUUUAUUGACCUUGUAAACAUGAUCAAAUAAAUUACCAUUUUCGCAUUGAUAAUUAGCCAACUCAGUUAUCAUCCUUGCAAGCCUUGUCCUUUGUCUUUCCGAAUGUGCGCGAAUAGGUGUACGUAUACGAAGGGGAGACGUUGUUCUUAUAACAAAUGCAAAACGAAAAAGGAUUACUUAUAAUCCAUAGGGACAUACUUGAAAAAGAAACGAUCAAUGGUCAAAGAGUCAACUGUCAAUGUGGUCAACAAAGUAAAUGGUCAACGGAGAUUAGGUCAGGUCAAACAGGUCCAACAUGGGUCAGGUCAAACUGAUUGACCCGACUAGGUGAUGUCAUAGUGACAUCACCAACAAGUGCCACAUGUGUGCAUGGGCAACCUCGGCUGACGUCACCAUGACGUCAGCUAGCGAGUGUGGCGCCGCAAGCACCCUAAAAAUUGUUGUUGCAUGCGCCAACGAGGCCUUUUCUCCUAGCUGUGCGUGGCAACAUGUCUGACAACCCACAGUGGCGAGCCACUACUUAUUUUUAUCAUCUCAAUGAAAACUACAACCCCGCACUAUCAAAAAUGAGUUUUGAUUCACCAAAAAUCAAAAAGGGAGGCGAACAAUACGAGCAUGUUAGGAUUUCCAUCCUUGAGCAUCAGACGGCAACCUUUUUCAAAAUUUCAUCCAAAAACAAUUUAUCAACAUCAACAUUGAUUGGGAAACAUGAACAACAUUACUUUGAUACCAAUGUAGGAAACAAAUUCCUAAAAAUUGAACCGAUACUCGAACGAUUAAAAACCCUAAAACGAAUGUGGAAAUGAGUCUGGGAAACAUGUGUGACAUCCUGAAAUUCGAUCCCGUUUCGAUAAAAUGAAAUGCGCAUAUUGUCAGCGUGCCUAUCCUCAUUUUUCUUUGAGCUGAUCACUCACGGGUUAACUAAUCUAUUGGGUGAAGCCGUUAAGGGAUAUAUCCGCGGUAAAAUCCCUAAAAGCUACCUAAUUUGUUAGAUUGGACUAAAAUCACGUUCGAUCGAUUUUAAUCAUGAAAUUUAAUUCGGUUUUGGGAAUCGAAUAUCCGAGCGUGUCACAAUUCAUUUUUAGGACCUCGUCUCAUUGUCCGUCAAAUUAUCGACGAGUCCGAAAUUUCAUGAAAGAAAUUAUUGGAGGAAAAAAUCGAAAACUGGAAGAAAUUAGAAAGGGAAAUGGAAAGAGAAAAGAAAAUAUAGAAUAGUAUUAUUCUUUUUCUUUUUCUCUCUCUCUCCCUUUUCUCUCUUUCUUUUCUCUCUCUUCUCUCUCCUCUCCCCUCCCCCUCGUACGAAAACCCUCCCCACCGACCGCCCCUUGCUGUCUUCCACUUUGCUUUCUUUUAUUUUAUUUUAUUUUUUUGACCAAUCAAAUCUCUCUCUCAUCUCUCAUCCCUCUCUCUCUCGUCACUCUUUCUUCUUCCUUCUUCUCCGUGCAAACGAACGGAACCAGAAGCUGAAGAAGAUCGAAAGCAGCAGCAGCCACCAUUGUCGCUUGUCCCGCCGCCGCACCGCACGCCCGCGCACACCGCACCUCCACCGAUCGCCGCCCGUGCGCCGCCUGUGCUUGCCGUCCCUGCCGCACGAUCCAACCUCUGUUCGGCCUCUGUUCAACCGCCGAGAGCGGCUGAGCAGGCCGCUGGAGCCACCGUCCGGCCUCACCGGAGCUCCGCCCGCUCUCCUGACCUCUUGCCGCCCCCAACCCUCUCUGUUUCUCUCUGUUUUGCAGCUGAACCAGCAAACCCACAAGUGGGUUUCCAGCCGGUUCGUGGUUGGUUUUGGGCCGUUUCCGGGCCUCGAACCCGAGCUGUGCUUUGGGAAGAAUCGUUCCUCGCGUCGCCCCCGUCGGAUUGAUUCGAUUUGCGCGCGAUUUGGUGAGUAAUCUCACUAAUCCCGGAUUAGUUGGCUAAUUAUGCUUAAGGUUGGUUUAGUUUUAAUUAAUUAUGUUAGGUUGUUAGAUUAAAAUAAAUUAGCAAUUAUUAGUCAAUUGUGAUGCGAUUUAGAUAAAUUGAUUGUGUAAUUAGCAAGUAGACGUGGUCUACUAAUUAUUGGAAGUGUCUCGGGAUUUUUCCCGACCCUUAGUGGGCUCCAAUUAGGCUUUUCGGGCCUAAGGGGAAUUUUUAGUAUUUAAAUAUUAAUUUUCGGAAUUAAAUUAAAUAAUUAUUUAUUUUCCGAAAAUUCAACUGGGAUGGCCCGAAACCGGAAUAUUAUACUGAUGACUGUGGUGAAGUCUGUUUAUUUAAUCGGGCUUUAUUUUGAGCAGAAUCGAAUUUUUAAUAUUAAUUAUUUAAUUUUCGAAUUUAAUUAAUUAAUUAUUUAUUUCCGAAAAUUCAAUUGAGAUGGUAAAUGACCAGAAUAUUAUGCUGAUGACUGUGGUGAAGUCCGUUUAUUUAAUUGGGCUUUAUUUUGUGUUAAAUUGAAUUUUUAAUUGUUAUUAAUUAAUUAUUUUUCGGAAAUUAAGAUUUUGAUGGCCGACGAUCGAAAUCUCGUGCUGAUUGUCGUGGCGCAGUUUGUUUAUUUAAUUGAGCUCUACAUUGCAUGAAAUUAAAUAAAUUGCGAUAUUUUAGGGAUUUACCCUAAAUUGGUUGAAAUUGAAUUAUUGAUUGGUAGUUGGAUGAGUAUGGCUAUUUAGCAUUUUGAAUGCCUUGUUGAGCUGUAAGUGGAGAGAGUGGUGAGAACUAACUGAGAAUUCUAUUGGCUGAGACCGAUCAAGUACGAAGUAUAGACAAGCAUGGUUCGGUGAUAAAGUACAUCACUGUGCGAAAACGACGCCUUAAAGAACGCACGUAGACUGUCUAUGACUUAUGGCAGGCAUGGUUCGGUGAUUAGGGAGAUCACUGUGCGAAAACGGCGCCUUAAAGAACGCACGUAGACUGCCUAUGAAUAGUGACAGGCGUGGUUCGGUGAUGAAGGACAUCACUGUGCGAAAACGGCGCCUUAAAGAACGCACGUAGGUUGUCAGUGAUUUGUGACCUAUGACGGGCGUGGUUCGAUGAUGAGGAAUAUCACUGUGCGAAAACGACGCCUUAAAGAAUGCACGUAGACCAUUUGUUACUUAUGUCACCUUGGCGAAAAGAACAUUGAUGGAGCUCUAUGACUAAGUGUACUAUUGGAGGUUAUGUGGGACGGAGUGAAUGACCUAGAAAUGAUUCGACUGACUUGUAAUCGACUAGGUCGAUUAAUCGAUGAUUUAAUCUGAGUGUGAUUCAAUGUGAUUGAUCAUUGCCUUGAUUUGAUGUUGCGAAUUGAUUGAUUGAAUGGAAAUGACCGUGAGUGGUCUUGUUGGCAUAUAAUCGACUAGGUCGAUUUGAUCGAUGUUUCGAUCGAUGAUAUGAUUGCUUGAGUGCCUAUUGUAUAUUAUGCUGACUUGCAGGUGGGAUUUGAGGCCAAGGUAAGUCAUUUGCCCUGUGCGUGGUUAGGCAGCCUGUAGUAUAAUAGUUUACUAAUCUGGCCUUAAUGGGGUAGAACUCGCUGAGACAUAGUCUCAUCCCGGUUUGGGGAAAUCAUUUCAGGACCCCACUGAGGAGCUGAGGAGGAGGAAUCUGAGAAGGAUUUUUGGAAGAAGAAGAUAAUCCCGAGAGGGGCCUUGAGUACGGCCCGGGUGAACUGAGAUUCUAUUUUCUUUUGAGGUCUCCAUUUUGAUGUGAAUAGAGUUUAGAGUAAAAAGUUAUGAAGUGCUCUGGUUUGUGUUUUGUAUAAAAGUUUGGUUAUAAGUUUCAAUAUGAAAAAUAUGGCUUUGCUUUUCUAUCCCAUCGUUUUAUUGUCUGGGGAUUGUAACUGCUUCCGCAUGUGCUUAAUAAAAGAAAGGGUCGGCGAUACAUAGUCUUGGGAUAUCGCAUUAUAAAAUUGACCAAGUGAGAAGGAUGUGUCCGUGCCCGAGGAUCGGGGCGUGACAACAUGUAAUAUCGAUUGAAGGCGACGGACAUACCUUGCUUGCUAUAGAUUAAGUACCAUCGCAGUCUCAGAGGAAUCCUUUGAAGCCCUAGAAUUCCAUUCUUUAAGAGGAAGUAUACUGUUUCAAGAGGAAGAAAAAUGGAGAAGUGUAUUUUCUCUCUGAAACACUAUAGGUAACAUUAUCCUAUUUUAUUUUUAUUUUUUAUAUUGCAGUUAUUUUCACUUAGAAAAUAACUACCCUUUCCUCUUAUGAGCCCUUCACUUACGGGUCGGGUUUUGGCCCAACAUAAGCGAAUGGGCUUAAUUUGACCCAUCAAAUAAAAAACCAUCAGAUGCUAGUUUAGCUUUGUUAGUGAAGUAGAGUCGAAAACAAGCUUAUCAAGCACUUUAUUAAGUUCGAGUUGAGCUAAAAAAAAGGACCUUUCAUAUUGAACAUUGCAGCAUACAUAGUAAGACAAGUAGAACUCACGAGUAGUUUAGAAGACAAUCCCUCUCGAUUCGACUAUAUCCCUCUUUUAACUAGUUGCACAACUUGAUGCAAUAAAUUUUUUCACGUCUAAUUCGUUACAUGCAGAUAUAAAUUCUCUGAUUAUAAUUAAUUGUAAAAAAAAAAUCAUUAUAUGAAGAGUAAGGAAUCGACUUAUCACAUUUCCUUUUUCUCUUGGGGUUUAAUGUGGUUGGCAACAUGGUGCUCUCGCGAGAUCUGUUGGACCCAAAAUCGAAGGAUGCGCUCGAGUUCUACGAUGCCAUGAACCGGGUCACGGUGUGGGCCAGCAAGCCUAAUGUAGCCGACUUCAUGCCGUGGUUGAAAUGGUGGGAUCCACAGGGGAUCAAAACAAGCAUGGCAGAGGACAUGGGUCGAGCCAUGAAGAUUGCCGAAGGCUUCAUGAAAGAGAGAUUGGAGGAGCGAAAGCUAAGGGGAGAGAUGAGGACGACGAAUAACUUCUUGGACGCGGUAUUGGAUUAUGAGGGCGAUGGAAAAGAAGGCCCUCACAAGAUCUCUUCCCAGAACGUCAACAUAAUCAUUCUGGUAAGUUUGCUCCUCCCUUCCACGUUUAACACAGUCUCACAGAAGUAAUUAUCGAUUACCAUCUUAUAGAUAUUAGGUUAAAUUCAGUUUAUUAAGUGGUACAGUGAACUUAAUUGACAUUUAAACAAGAUCACAUCACACGUCAAGGACAAGUUUUAGUAGUUAAUAUUAAAAUAUGGGUGGCGCUAUUUUCACCCCUCAUGAUUUCACUCACUCUACCAAAAAGACAAAAUUGCUCUUAAUCAUUCGAUUGUAAUUUUGAUGGCUCAAACUUAUUUACUUUCCUUCUUUUUCUUGUUUUUCUUCUUUUAUGUAGGAUCUAUUUAUCAUAAUCUAUAUUUAACAUGUUUCAUUUUGGUUUAUUGUGGGUAGCCCAUGUAUAUGAAAGGCACUAUGUUUUCACUUUAUUAUUACAAUUUACUUAUGUAGACAUUAAUUUACUCAUGGAGAAAAUUUUCCAAUAAAUCAAAUUAUUUUCAACGUUGUCUAACAAAUUUGUUGAUUAAUUGACUAGAAAAUUUUUAACACAUAUACUUUCUUAACGCGAUAACUUAUUUAUAAACUUCAACAUUUGUUGUGCAUGUCACCAUUAAAUCAUUUCUUAUCAGUUUGCACACAUAUACAUAAAAUGGGAUGAUCGAUGAAAAAAAGAAGAAGAAAAAAUCCCUGUAAAUUUUUUUUUGAAAUAAAUUCUUGAUCGCAUUCUCCAAUGUGAAACUUUAAAAGAUAAAAUUUCUUUUUAAAAAUUCAAGUGAAGUCUCAUCAUAUUGGAAUAACAAAAAUUAAUAUCAUCCAUGAAGUGUUUUUGGAAAAAAAAAAAUCUGAUUAGAAAGGAUUUGAUGGUGAUAUACACAACAAAAGUAAAAGUUUAUAAAGAUGAGAUUGUUUUGAAAAAUUGUCUAUGUUAAUCUCUAGGUUAUAUGUGACAAUUAAUCCAUAAAUUUGCUCAAUAAUGUAAAAAAGAAUUAAGCUUCUCAGAAAAUUUAUUUUUGAUGUAACUUAUUCUGUGGAAGUAAAAUCUACAAAUUAAAAGAAAAAAAAAUGCCUUCAAUAUACACAUUAUAGGCAUACUAAAUAACUCGUCAAAAGUUUAAUUAUGGCAACUAGAUUCUAAACAAAAACAGAAUAAGAAUGAAAAAGAAGGAAAGUGAAUAAAUGAGGGUCUACCACUUUAAAUUGCAGUUAAAUGAUUAAGGGCGAUUUUGCUUUUUUUAGUGAAAAAUAAGGUGGAAUUAGUCAUAUGAGAGGUGGAAAUAGCUUGACCUUAAAAAUAAACCAUAAAUCAAUCUUGCAUUUUUGUGGAGCAUUCAAGCUAGUUAUUAUAAAAUGGGGAGAAGUACACUAUCAAUGUUAUAAAUUGUGUACGGAGCUCAUUUUAAUGCCAAAAAUUUCCAUAGGAUCACUUAAGUGCCAAAAUUUUUGAAAAACGAUCAUUUCAGUGCCAACAUCGAUCAGGCUGACCGGAAAUUCGACGUGGCAGUUUUUUAUUCAUUUUUGAUGCUGAUGUGGCUCGCCAGAGAAUACAGUUAGCAUGUAAACCACAAAACGACAUCAUUUGGUGUUUUCCCCAAGUCGAAACCCUAAAUCCCCAAAUCGAGAGAGAGAGAGAGAGAGAGAGAGAGAGAGAGAGAGGCAUGAUGGCGUCGUCUUCUUCCCCGAAGAACAACACUAGCACCGGCCACUCUCUGAGCGGAACUUGAUCCACCAUCUCCAUCUGUGCCCUCCUUGUUUCCCUCACACUCUGUCUUCUUUCUCUCUCUGCACCUUCGAGCCCCCUUCUUCCUCCUCCUCCUCCGCCCUCACCUCCUAUUUUCCCAUCACUUCUUGCCCAAGAAACAACCUCAGCCUCUCCUUGCUCACCUAGUCGAGCAACUACGAUGGAGGCCGAGCGACGGUGGUCGAGCACGGUGGCUGAGCAAGCUAGGUCGGCGAGGAUUGAACAAAAAAACCCUAAUUUCAAUCCCAAAUGAGCUGUGCGGCAUCGUUUUUGCGAGGCCAUCCACAUAUGAUGGCAAAACGACGUCUUUUUCUUAAGGUGGACGGAAAACGACGUCGUUUAAAAGGCUCCUCGAUUUUAAUUUUAAAUAGAAAAGCCACGUAAUCAUUUUGGCCGGAAUAUCUCGCCAGUAGCACCAAAAUGAUCGUUUUUUCUCCGAUUUGGCACUUAAGCGAUCCGACAGAAACUUUUGGCAUCAAAGUAAGCGCCGUACACAACUUAUGGCACUGGUAGUAUACUUCUCCCUUAUAAAAUGAGUGGGGAUUGGCCAAAUCAAAAUAGAAUGAUAAAAUCUAUAUACUAGUAGUAACUUUUUGUUAUGCACCAUUUUCUAAAAACUCAAGUGUUAAAUGUUUUCAUAAAUAGUAAGUAGUUGUGAAAAAGGCUAUUUCAAUUGUGGAAGGUAUCAUUGGACCUUAGUAAACAAGUCUUAAGCCUAGAGAAGAGGUUCGAUUAAGAUCGACAAUCUUAUUCAAAUUGGAACCCAAAAUGAGUAAUUCUUUUGUGAAUUCGUCGGCACCCUAAACAUUUGUUUGCCAAUUUGAAGUAUAAGAAUUGCUAUGUUUGAUCAGGAUUUUUUAUCAAGUGAAGCACGAUAACUUUUACUAUUAACCUGACGAUUCAAGAGAGUUAAUCUUCAAGUGAGAUAGAAUUUUUUAAUGAUGGCACACGUGUUAAGAAAACUCCUAUUAGAUUUUCAAGUUGACAAAACUUUUCUUUUUUCUAUUCUUAUUCUCAUUCUGAGGAAUACAAGACUUCUGUGGAAUUUUUUCAAAGUCUAUCUUACAUAAGAAGUCUGCUCCACUCUGACGAAGACCUAGAUUGAACUCAAGUGAAGAACAAAGACAUAAUUAGACUCAUGAUUAUUUUUCUUCCUUCAAAGAUUCAGUACAAAAAAGAUAUAUCUGUCUUUCUAGUUGAAAAUCUCACUUACCUUUUUGGAUAUUAUUGAUAAAAUCAAUCACGGAAUAGUAAAAUCAUUUUGGAAGGCAAGUUUAUUUGGAAAGAAUCUACUUAUGGAAAGCAAGAUUAUAAUUGUAUGGGCAACCAGGAUCAUCAGACCUUCAUCUCAAUCUUCAAACGACUCAAGAUCUCCUUGAUUGAUUCUAUCCAACAGGUUGAUUGGAAGAAUUUAUCUGGAAAGUACCAACGGUCACAAAGGCAUGGAGGAGUAUUUAAUGAGGUUUUUUGAGUCAUUUGAUAGAGAGCGUGAAAGCUAGAAUUCCAAAGUCUGAAACUUCUCAAAUCACUUGUUCUUCCUCAAUAGUGCUCAAACGUCUAUUCGAAAGACAAAGAAACACUAAAAAGUGAUUUAGUGAGAGAAAUAGAAAAUCUUUACUGAGUAGUCAGUAAUAUAUUGUUGUAAUUAUCUUUUGAUUUAUAGUGAAAACCAGCCAGAAGGCUAUCAGCGUAUGAGAGUAGACGUAAGCUUAAUCUAAGACAAAUCACUAUAAAUCUUGUGUUCAUUUUCUCUUCCCUAAACUCUUUUAAUUUAUUUGUUGUGAUAAUUUUAUGAAAUUUGAAUCUUUAUUCAAAGUCUAUUGUUUAACAGACUCAAUUUAAAAGAAAAAUAUUUUUACUGUUUCUGUAGAAAAUCGACUUUUACACCUAUUCACCCCCUCUAGGCGUUUAUACUAACUCUUUCAAGUGUGAGUAUAGUUUCCAAGAGCUUAAGCAGAAGCUGACUACUACACCCGUGUUGACAACUCCGUCUGGUCUUGGAGGAUACAAGAUCUAUAGUGAUGUGUCGUUUAGGAGACUGGGUUGUGUGUUCAUGCAGCAUGGCAAAGUUGUUGCAUACAUGUCCUGUCAGUUGAGACCUCAUGAGCUAAAUUACCUGAUGCAUGACUUGGAACUCGCAGUGAUUAUUUUUGCUUUGAAGAUUUAGAGACAUUACUUGUACGGAGAAAUAUUUCAAAUCUUCACAGACCAUCAAAGUCUCAAGUACCUAUUCUCUCAAAAGAAGUUGAAUAUGAGACAGCAUCGCUGGAUGGAACUUUUGAAGGACUAUGAUUGAGACAUCCUGUAUCAUCUUGGAAAGGCUAAUAAGGUCACAUAUGCGCUAAGUCGGAAGUCUUCAGUUGCGUAAAUGGUGAUCAAGGAUUGGAUUUUACUUGAGAGAGCUUGAGAUUCAGUUUUCAAAUUUGAAGUUGGCCACCUUUCAAAUCUUAUGGCCACCCUCAAACUUGAACCGAAAGUACAAAUAAGGAUCAAGAUGCUUCAAUUGAUAAACCUAGAGAUUCAGAAGAUCCUACAAGAGGUACCGAAAAGAGAAAUGCUAACUUUCAGAUUUCUGAAUACGGAACACUGAGGUUCUAAGGACGAUUAUAUGUGCCUGACGAUGUAGAGCUUAAGGAAGAGAUUUUGUCAAAAGCUCAUCGUAGCAGUUACAACAUUCAUCCAAGCAGUACAAAGAUGUAUCGAAAUCUGUGUCAAUACUAUUGGUGGUCUGGUAUGAAGGCGGAUAUUACCAAGCAUAUCGCUAAGUGUUUGACAUAUUAGCAAGUGAAGGCAAAACAUUAUAAGAAGGAGGACUUAUGCAACCUCUCAAGAUUCCUGAGUGGAAAUGGGAACACAUCACAAUGGAUUUUGUGACAGGCUUACCAAGGAGUCAGAUGGGCAAUGAUUCUAUUUGGGUAGUGGUCAACAGACUAACAAAGUUGGCUCACUUUAUCGCCAUACGAAAGGACAUUGCAUUGGAUAGAUAUGUAGAAUUGUACAUGCGUCAGAUUGUUGAUCUGCAUGGAGUGCCGAUGACGAUUACAUCAGACUGGGACCCGAGGUUCACAGCCGCCUUUUGAAAGAGUUUACAGACUGCCUUAGGAAUGAAGCUGCAGUACAAUACGGCCUAUCAUCCUUAAAUGGAUGGCCAAUUUGAAAGGACGAUUCAAACCCUUGAAGACAUGCUGUGAGCUUGCGUGUUAGACUUCAAGGGAAGCUGGGAGGAAUAACUUCAUCUUGUCAAGUUUGCCUACAAUAACAGCUACCAACAGAGCAUUCAGAUGGCUCCUUUUGAAGUGUUGUAUGGCAGGGCGUGCAGAACGCCAGUUUGUUGGGAUGAGGUCGGAGAACGAAAGAUUACAGGCCUAGAGUUGGUUCAGUAGUCAGUGAAUGCAGUUGUCGUUAUCUAAGACAGAUCAAAUACCGCUCAAAGCAGCUAGAAAAGCUACGCAGAUAAGUGUUGAAGACCAUUAGAAUUCUAAUUUGGUAAACACGUCUUUCUAAAGGUGUCACCAAUGAGGGGUACUUCGCACUUCGGAAAAAAUGGAAACUGAAUCCAAGAUACGUAUGUCCUUUUGAGAUUUUGGAAAUGAUAGGGACUGUAGCGUAUUGUCUUGCAUUGCCAUUGAGGUUGGCGCAAGUGCAUGACGUCUUUCACAUGUCAAUGUUAAGGAAGAAUAAGCCUAACCCAACCCACUUGCUAAAUAGAGUGUUGUAUGUGGAAAGACCGAUUCAAAUUGUGGAUCAGAAGGAGUAGGUUUUGCACACGAAGAUGAUUCCAUUGGUUAAAGUGGUCUGGCAACACCACGGUAUAGAAGGAGCAAUAUGGGAAAGUGAAGAUUUGAUGAGACGACAAUACCACCACCUUUUUGUUUAAAGAUUUGUAAUGGUUUAAAUUUCAAAGACAAAAUUUUUAUAAGAGGGGAAGAGUUGUGACAUUCUGAUUUUCAGGUUUUGUUUUCAAUUGAAUAAGUUGGGCUUUUCAUCGACGCGCCUAUAGUUCUUUUUCCUGAACUGAUCACUCACGAGAUAACUAGUCUAUCAAGUAAAGCUAUUAAGGAAUUUAAAUGCAAUAGACUUGAGAAUUCAACUAGAAAAUGACUGCUCGACCAUGCUAAUAUACAAGGAUCAUUACGGCACUAUCAAAAUUGAUCAGAGAUCAGAGUUAGAUCGAUUCGAUAGAGGUAUGUGAUUAAUGUGUUGGUGAUCCCACUUGAUUGCAAAAUUUCUAUCGAACGACACUAGACCAAUUUUUCUAUCAUUUAUGUACCUUGUACCCAUAUUUCAAACCUUUAGAUUUUCACAACAACCGAGAGUCGCCAAUGUGUCGAAGAUGUACAAUGUGACUCGAAAAUAAUCGACCAUGGGUCAAAAGCACUAAAAAUUACUAAAAGCUACUUGGUAAGUUAGGUCACAUUAAAAUCGCAUCUAGUUGAAAUUAACCAUGAAAUUGAACCCGAUUUAAAUUAUGUCAUGUCACAAUUCAUUUUAGGAACGUUGACUCAUACUCUGAAGAUUUUUCGGCAAAUCGGGAUUUUCGACGAAAAUUCAAAGUAAGUCUAUUUUAGACCGGGAAAAUUAAAGGGCCGUUUUUUAGCACACCACUGGCCAUCAAGUUGGUUCAAUUGGUAAGGAAAAAUAUGAAUUUGAUGUAGGCACCUUGGUUGAUUUUAUGGGGGUUAAUUUGAGCUCAAUUGGAGAAUUUUUGGUGAGGAAUUGAAUGAAAUUUGAGGCUAAAGGUCCAAAAUUCGUAGCUAGGGGGUGCUACAAUAUUUUGGACCUUUUGGGAGACUUCUUGAGCAAGCCAUGGUGCAGCAAAUGGCGGAGGAUGAUAGCCAUGCAUGGUGGGGCAUAGAACUCAAGCACUUGGGAUAUUUAGUUUGACUUUGAAGGUUUGUGCCCCCCCUCUUGCAACAGCCCUUCUUCUUCCUUUACUUCCCUCCUUUCUCCAUUGUUGUGCAAUUGAAAGCUCGAGAAAAAUUAGAGAGAGUCCCCCCUUGCCCAUUGACACCCCUUUAUCGUUGCCUGAGCAUCACCGUGCAUGCCUGCACGCCGCACCAUCGCGCACCAGCCUGCACAUCCGCAUGCCCAUUCUAGCCUUCUAGCUGUUGUUUUGAUGCCCUCCAGCCCCCGUCACAGCUCCCCUGGUUGCCGUUCAGCCACCAUAUGCUGCUAGAGCCAUCCGCCUAGUCCACCACUGCCACCAUCAUUUCGCCAUGCCCCUUUCUCAAGCCGAGUAGGCCUUUCGACCAGUUCCUCCAGCCCAAAGCAAAAGCCGAACUCUCAGCUUAGAGCUGAGAGCUUGUGGCCCGUUUUAAGGCCCGUGCGGACCCCGUUGGUGUUGUCGUAAGUUUGGUUGUCGCUCGCCUCCGCGUCUCCAUCACCGUGAACUCAUCAUAUUGCAAAACUAGUGAGUUUACUUGCUAAUCUCUACUUAGGGAGUUAAUUAUGCUUAAUGGUUUUAUUAAUUUAGGCUAAUUAUGGAUUAGGUGGUUAGUUAGUUUAGAUUAGUGAUUUAAUCAUUUAAUUAUGCAUGUUAGAUGGUUAGAUUAGAUUAAUUAUGGGCUAAUUAGAUUGUACUAUUUAUCUAGAUAGAUGCAUUAAUUUUCUAGACUCGUUUAGGUGGUUAGAUUAGCAUUUCCAGCUUAGGUUAGUAUUUAUUGGAUUUAAUUUGCAUUAUUUAAUUAUUUUGUAAUUUAUUUGAUUAUUUAAUAUUUUCCCGAAAUUAUACCGAGAUAGACGAUAGCCAGAAUUUCGUGCUGAUUGCAAUGGUAUGCUUAGUUUAUGCAAUUGAGUGUUAAUUUGUGCAAAUUGAGUGGUGAUUGUAAUUUCGAGUUAUUAUUUCAAAAUUAUAAAAUUUUGGUAUUUAAUCAGAAAAAAUUGGGCAUCGGUUUUUGAUGCCAAAACGGUUUUUAUGUACUAUAUUAAAUAGUGGGAUUUUUGAAGAGGAAGAUAUAGCAUUUUUGGCUCAAACUAACCGUGUACCACACACGAUUAUUUUUAUCGGGUGUUUUUAAUACGAAGAAAAUAUUCCAAGUUCAUUAUUUUAAUUGAGGCAUUUUAGUGCAAAGCACAAUGUUCUUGACCAGGAUUGAUUGAUCGUGUGAUGGCUAAGUGAACCCAUCCUCGAUGUGCGUCGAUAGGACGUUGCCCCUAUAUGGGAUGCCCCUGAACAAUGGAAGCCAGUCGCAGUAGAUUCUGGAUCGAUGCUCCUUCGGGAAUGCUGUCCCUGAUGUCUGUUGGUGGAUGUUGUCAUGCUUAAAGGAGUGAGACGAAGCCUGGCUACGCCAGAAGACCGAUGUGCGUCGAUAUAUUGUGCCUGUGCGGGCAGUAAUCGAAUUGGAACGUGUGAUUGAUUGAAAUUGAUGUGCCAAAUUAUGAAACAAAAUUGUGUCAUGAUAUGGGACGUGUCAUAAUUAUCUGGUCUUAUAAUCAGGACCCUUGGAUCGAUUGCAGUGAUUGUAUUAAUUGAAUCAAUCGAUUAAUGAUUGAUUGAUUGAUGGAUUGAUUGAUUGAGUAUAUGAAUCAUACUGACGUGGAUGAGGGAACUGAGGCGAGGUAAGUUAUUUGUAUUGUGUUUAUAGACUAUAUUUCCUUCCUAAUUGGAGUUUAAGGGGUGAACUUGCUGAGACAUUGUCUCACCCCGUCGUAGGCUCAAUUCUUUUCAGGUCCUUAGAUAGAGCAACGUCAUGUAUGCUAUGGGGUUCCAAGGGAGGUAGACUUCCAAUAUUUCUAUUUCCCAGUUCCUGGGACCGGCUUAACCCGUGAGCUUGUUGAGUCCACUGUCUGGGUCGAUGAGAGUCUAUCCCACCUGGUACCUCAUCAUUUCAAGGCGUGGUAUCUUCACAAGCCUGAUAGGAGUUAGGAGGGUCCUGUAGGUGGUUUUGACGGGCCUCUCGUUGGGAUAGGGGAGUGGAAAAUAGGGCACCCUCUGGACAUCAACACCCUUGAUGGUGCCAUGGAGGAACCGGAGCCAAGAACUUAAGAGCCUGGAGUUUAGAAUCUUCGUAGCCCCUUUUUGAUCUAGACUUCUAUACAUAGAUCAUUUUGUAGACUUUUGUAUAUAACUCAGUGUGUAUAUAAAAGUGUGCUGUGUUUAUGAGAUUAUUGUCCUGCUUUUCUAUCCUAUGUUAUUUGCUGUCAGGGGUUAUUGUUUCGCUUCCGUAUGUGCAUUAAAAUGAAUGGGUUCGCGACGCGUCUUGAGACGUCGCAAUUUCACCAACCACCGAGGGAUUGUGCGCGCUCGAGGUUUGAGGCAUGACAUAAGGCGUAUGCAUAAGCGGGAUGAUAUCAUACCCGAUUGGGUAGGACGAUGCCUGAUUAUGCUAGAUAAUCGCUAACCUUCGAGUUAGCCGUGGCCCUGAGUGGUUGUAAUAAUCUAGACAUAUAUGUGUGUGAAACGUGCAUAAGAUUGAUAUGUGAUUAUGUCUAGAUUAUGAUAUGGCAUUAACGCAUGAUUAUGAGAUGUUGCACAUUCUUAUUCCUACGUCAUGUGUAAUUUCUUGUGGGAAUUGCUUAUGUGUGUAUGUCCUGAUGGCCUUAGGAAAGUGAGGUAAUUGUUCAUGUUAAUAGUAAAGGUAAAGCUAGGGCAUUGCUAUUAAUGUGCCAUCAAUAGAUAACUUACACGUUUACGGCGAUCUCAAGGUGAAUAACUUCCCUACUUGAGGUCUAGAAAGUUUACUAAUUGAGUUUAUCUCAUUAUUGUUUGUUAAAUGUUUACAAGCCCUACGAAUGUUUGAGCCUUUCCGUCAGAUCAGAUUUAGGCUCCCCACUAAACAUAGCCAAGAAGUGACUGAUUAUUCAAUUGAGGGGACUAAUGCAUGUUACACGCACUAUGUCACGACCAUUAGGGUUGAUGAGGGACUCUCUAACUUAGUGAUUUGACACUUUGUAACAUGGUACUUUUGGAUAUCAGACAAUGUCCACAAGACCAUCUGCAGUUUUGAUUAAUCUCCGGAUGUAGGAGGAUCGGGGGGAGACAUUAGCUAGGAUGCAAUGAAUGUGGAUGUACGUGAUGAGGAUUUGUCCAAUCCAAAGAUCGACCUCGGAAUGAUCGUCGAGCCGAAGCCCUAAGUUAUGGAGCCCUUAGCGAGUUAGGUGAUAGUAGGGAUAUACAACACUUUUUGGAGCUGCCCUCGUAGUACUAGAGUGUUAGGUUACCCCGAGACCUUUUUUGGAGAAGGUUGUGGCCGCGCUUUUGGGCUGAUCUAACAUGGUGAAGCUAGUUGUGUUUAGGCUUGUUUAUUUAAGCCUUGUGUAUAUGGUUUGUACGGUUUAGGCUUGGUUAGGUGAUUUGUUAUGCUUCCGUUACAUAUAUAGUUGAUAAUGUGAAUGGGUCGGCAACGCCUCCUGGGACGUCAUAAUCAAAUGACUACAAGGUAAUUAUGUUGAGCAUGAGGUGGCGCGCCUCGAGCAAGUCAAGGUGUGAUAGUUAUAUAUCACAUUUUGGUGCCCUUGUGAUCACUGCUUGAUUGUCACAAUGAAUGCAUAUCAGUGGCACAAGUUUUGGCCACAAUAAACGACCAUUUAAAAUUGCCAAAGUCGCUUUGCUUGUUCAGCAGCUUUAUCCAAAGCAACAAACUCAAACUCCAUUGUGAAUCACGCUAUUAGAGUUUGUUUCGAGGAUCUUGACAAUAGUGUGGCACUUCAUAGUGUGAAAACAUAUUAGCUAGUCAAUUUCAAUUAAUUGAAAUCCAAAAUCCAGUUGGCAUCAUAAUAGCCUUCCAAAAACAGCUAUAUAUUUGCCAUGCUAUAAAACAUAACCUUUGGUUCUUUGCAAAUAAUCCAAUACUCUCAAAAGAGCAUUCUAAUUCUCAUAAGUAGGAUUACUUGUAUACCAUUUGAGUUUUCCUACUGAGUGCGCAAUAUUUGGUUUAUGCAGUUCACGAUGUACAUGAUGUUGCCAAUCAAAGUAUUCCAACUGCCUAAUAUUGUUUAUAGUAUUCUUUCUCAAAGUUAAGUGUAGAAGAAAAAGAUUGUUUGCAUCUUUAAUAUUGAACCCUUUAAACCUCUUAAUUACAUUUUCAAUACAAUGAGAUUGUGUUAAACCUAAACCAUUGGAAUUCUUUAGAAUUGUGAUGCCAAGUAUAACAUCCGCAAUACCUAACUCUUCAAUCUCAAAGUUUUUCUUGAAAACAUUCUUGGUGAUUUCGAUAACCUUAGUGCUAUCUCAAAAAAUCAAUGAGUCAUCAACAUAUAGACAAAUAAUUAACAUCAAACAGUUGUGGAUUUAGUAUAUACACAUUUGUCACACUUAUUAAUUUUAUAUCCAUUUUGGAUCAUCACACAGUCAAAUUUUUCAUAUCAUUGUUAAAGAGUUUUGUUUAAGUCCAUAUAAUAAUUUGACAAGUCUCCACACUUUGUGUUCUUAUGCUUUGACCUUGAAUACUUUAAGUUGUUCCAUAUAAAUCUCCCCAUCAAGAUAAUUAUUUAAGAAUGCAGUUUUCACAUCCAUUUGGUGUACUUGCAAAUUCUACAGCCAAGCUAUAGAAAUCAACAUCCUAAUUGAUGUUAUUCUUGUAACAGGUGAAUAAAUUUUUAAGUAGUCUAUGUCACGCCCCGAUCAUCAAGCACAUGCCCAUCCCUCGGUGGUCGAUUAAAUUGCAACGUCUCAGGACGCGUCGCCGACCCAUUGAUUUUAAUGCGCAUACGGAAGCGAAACAAUUACCCCUAACAACAACCAACACGGGAUAGAAAAGCGUGAAACAUAUUCACAACCAAAACACUUUUUAUAUAUACAAGACUAGUCUAAAGACAAAAGUCUAGCCAAGCAGAAAAGCCUACAAGUCCUCUAGGCACUCGAAUCCCCAACUAAAAACUCCGAGGUCUCCUGGGGAUUUAGGUCCACCACUGCACCACCAGGAGGGUCAGCUGUGCCCGUGCCAAAAGCAACUUCUAACACUGAUACUAGGACCUCAAAAUCCUGAAGGGGAUCCACUUUGUGUCCAUUGAGCCCACAAUGAUACCAUGCUUUGAAUUGAUGGGGUACCCUUUAAGGUAGAUCCUCAUCGACCCAGACGAUGGUCUUUACGAGUUCAUAGACCCAAACUCCGUGGCCCUCGAGGACAGGGAUAUCGAUGACUUGCUUGGUAAUCCUCUUAGGUUGGCCAAAACAUUCCGGAGGAACUGCCAUUUGAGGACCUGAAUGGCCUGAAAAGGUUGAGUGAGACAAUGUCUUAACAAGUUUACCCCCAAACUUCGACUAGGAAGGAAAUACGCCUAGAGGUAGCUAUACACACAAGUCAGAAGACUUACCUUGCCUUAGUUCCCUCCUGCAUGUUAGUACAAUUUAUAAUCUCAACCAAUCAAUUAAGUCCAAUUGAUCAUUCGAUCCAAUCAAUACCAUCUAUCAAUUCAAUCAAUUCGAUCACUACUCACACAAGCUGAAGUAUAUUUAUGCUCGCACAAGCUAAUAUAGAUGGUUGCUCAUACCAGCUGAUAUAGAUUAUUGCUCACCCAAACUGAUAUAGUAUACUGCUCUCAUAAGCUGACAUAUCAAUGCUCACAUCGGCUGAUAUAGUAUACUGCUCUCACAAGCUGACAUAUCAAUGCUUACACAAGCUGAAGUAUAUUUAUGCUCGCACAAGCUAAUAUAGAUGGUUACUCGUACCAACUGAUAUAGAUUAUAGCUCACCCAAGCUUAUACAUAAUAUAGCUCACCCAAGUUGAUAUAGUAUACUGUUCUCACAAGCUGAUAUAUCAAUGCUCACAUAGGCUAAUAUAGUAUACUGCUCUCACAAGUUGAUAUAUCAAUGCUCAUGUAGGCUGAUAUAGUAUACUGCGUUCACAAGCUGACAUAUUAAUGCUCACACAAGUUGACGAUUUAAUGCUCACACAAGCUGACACACGAUAAAUCAAUCUCGGCCAAGGACCUUGUGCUUUGCACACCAAUUUCUCAAUUAAAAUAAUGAACUUGGCCUAAUAUCAUUGUGUUAAAAAUAUCAGAUGAAAAUAAUCGUGUGUGGGUACAUGGUCAGUUUGAGCCAUAAUGCUAUAUCUUUCUUUUCAAAAAUCUCACUAUUUAAUAUAGUGCCUAAAAAAAAUUUGGUGUUAAAAAUCGACACCUCGUUAUUUUCUAAUUAAUUACUGAAAUUACAAAAUUUUGGGAUAAAUACCCAAACUUACAAUCACCACUCAAUUUGCACAAAAUAGCAUUCAAUUGCAAAAACUAAGCAUACCAAUGCAAUCAGCACAAAAUCUCAAUCACCAGCUAUCGGGGUAUAAUUUCCAUAAAAUAAUAAAUAAUUAAAUAAAUACAAAAAAUAAUUAAAUAAUUACAAUUAAUGACCAAAAAUGCAAACUUAGGUCGGAAAUGCUUAAUUAACCGCCCAAGCGAGCCAGAAAAAUUUUCGAACCUAUCUAGAUAAAUAGUACAACUUAUUUAGUCUCUAAUCUAUUCGUUCUAACUACCUAACAUGCACAAACGGAUAAUUAAAUCGAUAAUCCAUUCUAACUAACCACUUAAUCCAUGCUUAACUUAAACUAAUCACCCCUUAAUUGUCAUUAACUCCCUAGGUAGAGUUUAGCAAGUAAACUCACCGGUUUAGCGAUUCGGUGAGUCCACGACAAUGGCAACAUGGAGAUGGGUAACAAACAACCCUGCGGCGAAAGCAAGCGGAGACCGAACGGGCAUGAAAAUGUGCCACGAAGCCUUAAAGCCCUUGUUGGCUUUUUGGUUUUGACCUUGGGCCGAGCAAGCUGGAACAGCAGCCGGUUGGAGCUGAAACAACGAGGUGGAUCGGUGGCUGCAGCGAGCAACUAUGGGCAACGACGAUUGCUAGACGGCGGCCAAGGGGCUUUGAUGGUGGCUUGGGCAGCACGGGGGAUGGCGGGGUGGCUCGGGAUAGGUGGGAAGAUGAGCAAGAGGUGCAGACUGGCGGGGCGACGCGCGACGAGCUGGGGCGGCGCAAGUGGUGGCUUCGAUGGCUCGGUAGGUGUGCGACGGGCUAGGGGAGGGGCUGCUCAAUUUCUCUGCAAUUUUGAGCUUCUCAAAUGCUCUAUAAUGGAUAAAGCAAGCUACUGAAGANNNNNNNNNNNNNNNNNNNNNNNNNNNNNNNNNNNNNNNNNNNNNNNNNNNNNNNNNNNNNNNNNNNNNNNNNNNNNNNNNNNNNNNNNNNNNNNNNNNNNNNNNNNNNNNNNNNNNNNNNNNNNNNNNNNNNNNNNNNNNNNNNNNNNNNNNNNNNNNNNNNNNNNNNNNNNNNNNNNNNNNNNNNNNNNNNNNNNNNNNNNNNNNNNNNNNNNNNNNNNNNNNNNNNNNNNNNNNNNNNNNNNNNNNNNNNNNNNNNNNNNNNNNNNNNNNNNNNNNNNNNNCCAUUUGAACUAACUUGAAUUCCAAAGAUGCGAUAAAAAACGGUCAUCUGAUUUUCUCGGACAAAAACGACCCUACUUUGAAAUUUGCCAAAAAUCUCAAUUUGCAGAAAAAUCUUUGAAGGAUAAAUUGACGAUCCUAAAAUAAACCAUGACAUGAUAGAACUUUCAAUUUCUGAAAUCGGGUUUAAAUUCGCGAUUAAUUUCAAUUUGGCACAAUUUUAGCGUGACCUAACCUACCGGGUAGCUUUUAGGAAUUUUUAAUCCAAUUGACCCAUGUUUGAUUAUUUUCGAGCCACAUUAUACAUUUUUGACACAUUGACGACUCUCGGUUGUCAUGAAAAUCUCGAGAUUUCAAAUGCGGAAAUAGGUACCAAAAUGACAGAAAAAUCAAUAUAGUGCCAAUCGACGAGAAUUUUGCAAUUAGGUGGAAUCACCAACACUCAAUCACAUGACUUAGUCGAGUCAACCCAUCUCUGAUCUCUAAUUAAUUUUUAACUGUGCCGUAAUGACCCUUGCAAACUAGCACAGUUGAGUAGUCAAUUCUUAGUCGAAUUAUCAAAUUUAUUGAAUUAAAAUCCCUUAACAGCUACACCUAAUAGAUUAGUUAUCUCGUAAGUGAUCAAUUCAGGUAAAAGAACUAUAAGCGCAUCGAUGAAAAGCUCGACUCAUUCAAUUGAAAACAGAACUGGAAAUUCAGGAUGUCACAAUCUAGACACUCUCUUUCUUUAAACCUAUUGACAACAAGCCAUGGUUUGUACUUAUAUAUGGAAACAUCAACUUUAUGUUUCUUUUUGAAAAUCCAUUUAAUUCCUAUUGAAUUAUUUCCUGAUAGAUUAUCAGCGAAUUCACGAGUGUGAUUACUUAGGAAAUAAUUAAUCUCAUUGUCAACCACUUCUUUUCAGUCAGGUGUAUCUGGAGUUGACAUUGUCUCUUGAAAUGUUUGAGGCCCACCUUAUAAUAUGUAUAUUGGAAAAUCAAGUACGGAAUUUUUUUCAAUCCAUGACUUCUUGCCCCUUGAAAGUUCAACUUCUUGUUCCUCAACUUCAUCAUUCUCAAUACCCCUAUACUUUCAAAUAAUUGUAAGAUGAUAACCUUUCAUUCCAUAACUCAUAUGGAGUCUUACCUAUCUUCUUGCGGGGCACUUUAAUUAAAUUAUAGUUUGCAAUUAAAAAUGCAUCCCUUCACAAGUUCUAAGAUAAACUUGAACUUAAGAGCAUGGCGGUAGCCGUCUCCUUUGGAGUUUUGUUCUUCCAUUCAGUACCUCCACUUUACUGUGAAGUGCAUGAUGUAGUUGUUUGGAGAAUUAGUUUGGGGACACAACUCCAUCAAAUUUGAAGAAUUAUAUUCUUCUCCCCCAUCAAACCUAAGAUGUAACAUCCCGAUUUUUGACAUAUGAGAAAUUGUUGUGAAUCAGGUGUCUCAAUGGCAAGGAUAGGUCAUGGAUCAUUUCAAGAAUCGGCCAUGUACUAAUCAUGGAUCAAUCAAGGAAACGGUCGUGGACCAAUCCAAUGACCAUGUUAGUGGACUUGAGUAGUUCGGUUGACAGACGACUGCUCGACCGUAAGGGCUGAUCAAGGGAUGGUCACAUCUACCAUGGAUCAAUCAAUGAUCAUGAAUCGAUCCAAAUGGCCAUGUACUGAUCGUGAGUUAUUCCGCUAGGUCAUGUGCUGGUCAUGGAUGACCAUGGUUUGACUCGGUACAACCGUGUGAUGGGUAUGAAUUUGACUGAUCUCAAAAGGCCAUAUGACAAUCAGGAGUCGGUCUGGAUGAGGCCUAUGGCUAAUCUCAGAUCCGAUCUGCUUGGCCAGAACUGAUUUAAAAGCCGAUCAUUGGAUUUGCACCCUAAGCCACCAAUCUAGCUAAGAAGGUAAACAUUGCCUACAACAACCACACCGAGGGUGGCUUGGUCAUGAACCUCGGGUGUGUCGGAAUGGUCGUUAGGGAUGCACAAAAAAAAAAAAAUUCCUUGCUUAGUCCCAGUUGCACUUCCGAUGGCUUAUUUCCUAUGGUUGUCAUAUUACUUGAAUAUGGACAAAUUAGAACUCUCUACAACACACUAGCUUCUUCAAGAAGAAGAAUGAUUUACCAUUUCACCUAGAUUUUUCUAGAUUUGGCCAUGAUUACUAAUGAUUCGCCUUAGAGAUUGAGCAAAGAAUCUAGGCCAAAUAUCCCAAUAAAAAAGAGACAUCUUGGGGCACAUUAUGACUGGUCUAUGGGCAAGAUGCAACUCAUCUUUUUAGGGUGCCACCUAUCCAUGAUGAAUUUUCCCUUGAUAAUGAGUUAAGUGCUCAUGCGACCCAAUAAAAAGGAGACAAACAAACCUUCAAAUGAUUAUGUUAGGCCAUUAGAUCUAUACCUCAUAAGCCUAGGUGUCCACUCAAAGAUUUACUAAUGAUGGCUUGAGAUUUGCCUUUCAGAAGAAGUUGGUAAUUCAUGCUUAGGUGUCCUCUAGAAUCUUAGGCUAUGAUGACCCUAAAAUACAGCGUUGGUGAACAAAGCAAGAGCCAACCAAUUAGAAGAGGACAUUAGGCAUCAAAAGGGCUUAUGUGUCCCUUAGGACCAUAGGCACAUCAUAAGCCUAAAUUGAGCCUUAGAAAGCAAGCCAAUAGGUGAUCCAGUAAGAAGAUGACAAGUAUUCUCUUAGAACCCUAGGUGUACCACCUUGAUGGCAUAGCUGUGCCAUUUAAAGAAAUGUGAUUGGGUUGCUUGAAUGAGUAAUGGUGAGCUUGAUGCUUAUAAAUAAGAAGGGCUCCCAUUCAUUUCCAUCAAUUUAAGCCCUCUUGCCAUUCACGCCUAUUCUCCCCUUCCAUUCCUUUCUUUUGACCUCGUACCAUCGCUUCUUAUCAAGUCAUUCAAGCUAAUUCUCAAGGUUCAUCCAGGUAAGUAAGAUCCCUAUGUCUCUUCUAGGGCGAUCGUCUCCAUUGUCGAGUCUAGUUAGGUGCUCAUCCGUUAAGCCAUGGGUAGGAUGUUGAAUCUUUUGCAUGGCUUUGCUCAUGAUUAUGUUUAAACGUGUUUUUGAGCUGUUCAUGCCCGAAAUGAAGCUGAGGUUCGCUUAGGUUGAGUUCAACACAAGGCAAGGUCACUUAAGGCUAAAUGGCAUUGGAUCGGCAUUCAAGCAUGCCAAUUCUAAGUCUUGUUCGGUGUGAGUAUCCUAAGGCUGCAAGCUCUUGAAUUGACAUUGAGGUGUGCCAGUUCUAAGUCUUGAUUAGUAUGAGGAUCACUCAAGCUCGCGAGGUCUUGAUAAGGCACUAUAGCAUGCCGAUUUUAUGCCUUUGUUGGUGUGAGGACUUUGUGCUUGACAUUUGAAUCAAGACAUGACCUAAGGGUCAUUCAUGGCAUGAAGUAUGUUCAUGUCGGGUUGAAGAUGAGGUCCAUUGAGCUUAAUCUUCACGAAAGUGAGGUGUACCCAAGCCUCAAGGUCUUGGAUCGGCAUUGAGGCAUGUAGUUUCUGAACCUUGUCUAGUUCAGGGAUCGAAGCUUAGCAAUUGGUUCAAAUCAUAGAUCACGGGUCAUUCUCAACAUGUUUACUUGUGCAGUAUAAGAAUUCAUGACACACAAGUAUGGAUGAGCAAACCUUCAGGCCAUGCAUGUGUCAGCUAAGAGAAAAGAUAAGAACCAACUUGUAUGAUGUAUAUACGUCUGUACUUAAAGAGAAAAAAAAAAAAAAAAGCCCACUGCCACACAGCAUUGGUGGCAAUGCCUUGAUUGAGCCAGGAUGUCUGGGUCUUAAACCCAUAAGCCUAAAGAAGCUAGCCCAAAGAAGACUUGGUCGAGCUGAGAUGCCCUGAUCAAGACAAGAAGUUAGAAGCUCCAGUCAAGCUAGGAUGAAGAUAAAUAGAUUUGCAUGAAUGCCGAUUAUUGAUAAGUAUGAAUUAUUGUUAAGCCGAUGGUAGUUUUGACAUGGAUGGCAUGAGUUUAAAUAAAGCAUGACAUAUGAUUUGUGAUUGAUCUGCCAUCGACACUGUUUGCGAGUGUUAUACUUGUUAAGCUUUGAUGACAAGAUGUUUUCCUAGUAGAGAACUAAGAAUUUUACCUACUGAGUUCCCACGACUUACUUUCUCAUCUUUCAGUCUUGUAGGUAUGGAAGUCUCACGUCAGUUUUGGGAGCUGCAGUCACGUUCAAGGAGAUAGUAAUUUCUUUUGCCUUUAUGGAAACUUGUAGUAUGAUGUAAAAAGGAAAGAGAACCCCAUAGCAAAGAGGCUUGUAAAAGUACUGUUAUAAUAUAAACUAGUGUGUUUUAUGUAACAUUUAUCCCAAUUUUCUAGCAGUUGUUUGUCCGAGAGUGUUUAUUCACAUUUCUGUGUGUGCAUGAAAACAAAAUUAAAAGAAUCAAGACGGUGAUGAGCCUAAGACGUUGUGAAAUAACCCAUGUCACUCAAGACCCUAGGAAUGAAGUCGAGAUCGUGACAUGAGCACUUUAAUUCAUUUAUCAAGUUGGUUCUCGGUCUCAUUUUUAUACUUAACAAACGUGUUCAUAACCUUAUCUUUGCUAGUUAAUAGAUAAAUAUAGCAAAAUUGAGUAAAGUCAUCUACAAAAGUGAAGAAAUACUUUUUUUUCACCUCUACUUUCUACAAAUUUUAAAUCACAUAAAUCACUAUGGAUUGCUAUAGAGGUUCAUUCGAUCUUUCUACCAAUUUGAAUGGUUUUUUUAACAAACUUAGCCUCAACACAAGUCUCAUACUUGUGAUGGACAUCCAACUCAAACAUUGGAAUUAGCCCCAAUUUUGUUAUCUUUUUUGUUGUAGCAUAGCUUAUAUGUCGCAAUCUACCAUGCCAUAGAUAAGGAGACACAAUAGUGUAAACCAAAGACUUCUCAUUAUCAAUAGUCUUUGGGUACAAGAAUUUCGAGUUUACAUCAAUGACAACCACAUUUACUUUGAACGGGUCAUUACAUAAGUACCAUUUCCCCACAUACACCAUAUUUGGAAAGUACACAAUUAUCCAAUUCCAAUAUAAUGUUGAAACUCUUCUAGACAGGUAUGGGUUGAUUUACUUGCUAAGGGUGAAUUUCAAGAUCACUUUUCUUCUUCUAGCAAUAUUUGCUAAUGUGGAGUUAGUCAUAUAAAACUUAUAUUCUUCCUCAUGCUUCUUGUAAGAUGAAAACAGGUGUUUAUCCACGUGAUAUGUGGUACUUGUUUCCAACCACCAAUUAGUAUUAUUUAAUACCAAGGAUACCUCAUACACAACCACGACAAUCAGUCUCUCAUCCUCUGUUUAAUCUGUCAGAUUCAGCUACUUGACUACACUAUCGCCCUUGCCUUUGUUCAAGCGCUUUUUACAAUCCCUGGCCCAAUGGUCAAGCUUGUUACAAACAAAACAUGUCCCUUGGAAUUUCAAGAUUGUUCAUUCUGCUGGCAUUUUCCUUAAAAGAACUUUUUCCUCUUUGUAUCUUGCUUGGAAUUGGAAAACUCAAUAGUGUUGGCCUUUGGUUCAAUAAAGAGAUAUGCAUUCCACCUAUUGUCUUCCUUGAUUAUGAGGCACGGAAUAAGAUCUUCAAGGCUCAUCUCUUUCCGAUUAUCAUUCAUAUAUUUUUGAAAUCUAACCAGCCCAAAGGUAGCUUCUCAAUAAUAAAUGCCACUUGGAAUGAUUCACUAAGAACAUUUCCUCAACAAAGAUGUUCAAAAUCAUUUGCACUUCAUGGACCUAGUUCAUGGCAGAUUUAGAAUCCACCAUCUUGAGUCCAAGAAUUUGGCUACCACAAAUUUCUCAGUUUUGUAUUUCUUUUCUAAGGACUCCCAUAAUUAUCUAGUAGUUUCAAUGUUACAAUAAACAUGAUACAAGGAAUUUGCUAGGCAAUUAAGGAUAUAGUUUCGGAAUAGGAAAUCCUUGUGCUUCCAAGGCUCUAGCUCCCCAUGCAUUAUGACAUCUUGUUCAUCUAGACUAAUUAUUGAGCACACCUCUAAUUAUUGACUCCCAUAAUUAUCUGUUACCACUGCUUAAAGCCCACACUAGUUAACUCAUACAGUUUCUCAUUCGAUGUUAUUGGAGAAGGUAUCAUCAGAUUAGGCAAAGCUUGUUAAACCAUCUCUCCAAAAAUUGAACCAUGUACUUUUUUGAAAAACAGUCCCUAGUGUAUCGGUCAAGCGACUUCUACCGGUACCACCAUAGAUGCUUUCAGCCCGAAAGCUUGCAGCAUUUGUUGCCGUAACACUAGGCCAUGAGGUUUGAACCCACUCAUUGAAACGACCAUAUGAACGUCCUCGCAAACAUUCCGGACAUCAUUGGGUACUUGAUUAUUAUUAGUCAUCUCAAUUUUUUGAUAAGCCCAACAAACAGUAAAAGAUAAUCACCUUAAGAUUGUGGGAAAUAUUAAGACGUAUUGGGGAAAAUAGUAAAAAUUCCAAGAAAGCAAUAGCAAAAUAAACAAGGGUGAGGUUCGGCUAAUCAAAUCUCCUUAAGGCGAUUAGUUCAUGUCAAUGGUGCCAAUUAGUUUCAUGAACUAUGACUCUCAAAAUACAACACCUCAAACCCAAUUGUAUAAGCACUAUAUGAACAAGAUUCUAUCGAACACUUCUUUAAAUCAGCACGCUUAAAGAAACUACCAAGAAACUAGAGGAAUACUUUGAGGAGUUUUUGUUGUUAUUUUGAAUUAAGAAGACACAUCUAUUUAUAGACCAGGGAACUAGUUGUAGAAAACUGAAAGGACAUGAACUCAAGAGCCACACCGAUUAUGCACACAUUAGUUGAGCCAUUAACCCUUAAUAACAACAUUAUUAAAUCAGAAACUACAAGAGAACAAAGAGCCAUUAACCCAUAAUUGCAACAAUUAGGGCAUGAUCCAAAGAGACAUAACGGUUGCAUGUGAAUUGAAAAAGGCGUGAAUUGAAGAGACGUGUCAUUAACAUUGAGCCAUUAAAACCUAUGAUUACAAUAAUAAUUACAACACACUGUGCCCCCCUCAGUUCUUGUCACAAGAGCUUCUAAUUUGAAUUCAUCAAGUACGCCAUGUGCAUCAUAGAAUGCAUCCUUCAAUUGCUCAAGCCAAAAUUAGGUCACAUAAACUUGUUAUACAUGUGUCCCUGAGCACCCCGAUCUCAUGCUUGAUGCCCUAUAAAUUUCCAACUUUUUCUAGUGCUUGUCGAGCCAAAUCUCCAGCAAUGCUGACGAUGACAGAUGCCAUCUCUCUCUCAUAUAAUAUAUUAGUCGAGUCAUUCCAAGGCCAGAGAUUUCAGGUAUGUAUAACAAGUUUAUGUGACCUAAUUUUUAACUUCUUUGACGGAGUUGAGUUGUUGAAGGUAGGAUUCUCAUCAUCCACGCAAGCCUAUGUCAAUAAUGCAGAUAGGACCCACUGAUUUGGUUUGUCUAAGAUAUUUCGUGCUUCUAGAGUUUACUAGCUUAACACGCUUGCAAGUUGCAAAGGCAAUGAAAAGGCUGGCGUUGAAUUGAAAUCCAUGUUUAUUUAGAAGAUUAAAUUAACAAUAAUAACAAUAAAUUAAGAGUAAUAAAUUAGAAGGAUUGGACUAAGUUGCCUACGUUCACUCUUUUUCCAUAAAAAUAGCCGCCUCCUUGGAAUGUCCUAACCACGUGCUAUAUGCAAUACCAAUCAAUUGUAAAAAAUCAUAAUUGAAACUAUUUAAAAUGGGUAUAAUUAUCGGUGCAUCAUUUUCUAAUUAAAUCACUUUCCCCACAUAUCAAUCUUUUAGGAAGAAUAUGGCCAUUUUCAUCUAUUCUUUUCUUCAGGUUUAUUUGGAAACUGUUUCGAAAACUAUUCUCCAAAAUUUUUAAACAUUGCGUCAAUUCUCAACUUUUACUCUUGAUACACGUGGAGAGCGAUCUGAAGAGGGUUAAUGCGUCUCUAGUUUUUGGUUUCUUCAUGAUACAAUGGAUGUUGUUAUAAUUAUCAUUCAAUGAAAUAAUUUGCUUAGUCAAUAUAUAUAUGCUUACUGAUGUUCGUGGAAGGAUUCGUUCUUUAUUUUUAUUUUUCCCAAAUAAUAGGGAAUCAUUAUCUAAAUUAUUGGGAUGAAUUUUGGGUAUGACAAGUUUGGAAUCACAACUUAGGUUAUAAAACUAGUGAAUAUUAGCUAGCAUUAAUUCGGGCACUGUGACGUGCGAUUAGUUAGUAACUAGACGUGCGCACGUGCGUCACACACAAUACGUGCUCAUACAUUACGCAUAGCUACUCUUUCAGUGAAUAUAGAAAGUUCUAUAUGCGUAGGUAAUAUUAUCGACCUCUCAGUUUGAAACUAUUCUUCAUAUUAUCACAAGACAUUAGUACUAUUAUUUUACUAAAACAUUGCAAUUUGAUUAGGGAAGUUCACUCUCCUUGUUAAUCUCUCAUAUUUAUUUGCUUCCUAUGAGUAAAAUGCUUCUAUAUAGUUUAUUUCUUUCUUUAACUUUUCCUAUUCUCUAAGUAAAUGAAUAAUCUCUUCCCAUACAUUUUGUGAAUAAUCUCUUCCCAAACAUUGCAAUAACAAAACUUGCACAUUUUGUAAACUCCUAGUAUUUAGACAUUUUAUGCAUGUCACUCCUUUUCAUGAAAGGGAUAUCUUUUUUUGAGAAGAAAGAGAAGCCUUUUUUGCUGCAAAUUGCAGGUAUUCCCACUUGAGAUAUUUACUCGCGGGAAACAUGUAAACGAAGAACAAGUCUCGCUGGGGGAAUCUACUCCGAGCACUGAAAGUCCAAUCAUUGGACCUAAUGGACAUCCUGGGUGGACACAGGCAACCGCAAUCCAAGCACAGCCCCUACGCGACUGUGGCACAUCUCAUUUGACAAAUCACNNNNNNNNNNNNNNNNNNNNNNNNNNNNNNNNNNNNNNNNNNNNNNNNNNNNNNNNNNNNNNNNNNNNNNNNNNNNNNNNNNNNNNNNNNNNNNNNNNNNNNNNNNNNAACUAUCCCGUCAGAACCCACCACAAGGGAGAAAAAAUGAAGGUCAAGUGAACAAUAAUGAAGAUGCUAAGAAACAAAACUAUCUGUCUCGCUUACAUCAUUCUCUGAAAAAGCAAACUGGAGAAUGGGUUUUUACAUUGACUUGGAAGUCCUUGAAGGUUUCCUCAAAUUCUUGAUCAUGCCCAAGUAGGGGGCGCAAUUGGAGAAAUUUCUAUAUUCAUUCCCAGCCGGUAACAAAAAAAAUAUGAAGUUCUGCAAGCUCUAAAUUGGAUUUCAAGAGUGCAAAAAGGUAAUUAACGUUAAAGAGAAAACGAACAAGAAAAAACAAAACAAGAAGAGAUCAUUCCUAGCAAGGUUUUUCUGUCUGCUCAAGCAUUUGGCUAAAGUACACUUCAAGUGCCAAAAGUUGGUAUAAAGGGACACUUAAGUGCAAAAAAUUACAAAAGUGACACUUAAGUGCCAAAAUUGGAAAGAAAUGGAUCACUUAAGUGCCAAUCUAGCCAAAAUCCGGCCAAAAUGCUGAUGUGCGCAAUUUUCGGCAAAGUAAGUGCAAAACGGCGUCAUUUUGCAUGCUGACGUGGCCAGAUAAUGAAAAAAUGACGUCAUUUUGGUGCUAACAUGGUAAAAAUUAAUAUAAAAAUUAAUUAAAUUUAAUUGAAAACUAAAUUUAUUUAAAAAUUUUAAAAAUACAAAUACAAAUAUAUAUAUAUAUAUAUAUUUUUAAAAGGUGGGAGGGAGGCGGUGGCAGCUAGGGCUCAACCCUCAGCUGCCUCCCUUUUUAAAUAUUUUAAAUAUUUUUAUUUUAUUUUACAAAAUUUUAAAAAAUUUAAUUUAAUUUUUAUAUUAAUUUUUUCCCACAUUAGCACUAAAACAACGCCGUUUGUACUCGCUCGCCGGAAAAUUGACAUAUAAGCAUUUUGGCCGGAUUUUGGCCAAAUUAAUACUUAAGUGAUCCAUUUUGCUCCGAUUUUGGCACUUAAGUGUCCCUUUGUACCAACUUUUAGCACUCCAAGGGUCUUGGUGUCUAAGCAUUUUAUUUAUCAUUUUGAUAGUGUUACUUUCUUGUUUCCAUACUUGUAUGAUCAUCCAUCGCAUGUAAGUGGUUUAAGACCAAAUCAAUCAAGGCUACUUGCAAAACAUUUUGUGAAAUAAAGUGAAGGUGCCAAAGGGAGAUAGAUUUAUCUAGCAUAAUCAAGUCCCUUAUCCAUGAAAUCUCUAGUUCACAAAAAUAAAGUGUUCUCUCACAUUUUACUCGGGUUUUUAAUCAACCAUAGUAGACUAAUGGCAAUUCUUAAAUGAAUUGAAUUGGAUGUCUAAAUAAUUUAAUUAAAACCCCAAAGUUGUGAUUGUUGGGGGUUUGAGAGAACCCGCAUUAGACAAUGGUACCGUCUUUUUAAUGAGUUACCAUUUGUACUUGCAUGAUAAUCCAUUAACUUUCUCUUAGUGGUCCACCUCUAAGAAGGUCAUGACAAUUGGCAAUUAGAGAGUGGCAACUAAAUUAAAGAAGGAAAAGUGAGCUUGUUGAAUUAGAGACGAGUUGACCGAGCAACCGCAUGGAAACAAUGAAUACACACUCCUCAUUCAUCCGAUUGCACUAAAAUGUUGAGGGGAGUUAGUCAACAAGCGGACGAAGCUUGUGUAAAAUUUUUAGACCAAACGGAUAUUGAAAAUUUCAGUUUUGAAGGCUUGACAACAUUGUCUUUUUGUCCAGGCAUCUUGGUGCAGAUCAUCCAACAUUCCUUGAAAAAUGCAAUUUAGGAACUAUUCUUGGAAACUAGCACNNNNNNNNNNNNNNNNNNNNNNNNNNNNNNNNNNNNNNNNNNNNNNNNNNNNNNNNNNNNNNNNNNNNNNNNNNNNNNNNNNNNNNNNNNNNNNNNNNNNNNNNNNNNNNNNNNNNNNNNNNNNNNNNNNNNNNNNNNNNNNNNNNNNNNNNNNNNNNNNNNNNNNNNNNNNNNNNNNNNNNNNNNNNNNNNNNNNNNNNNNNNNUUUUCCCGUAGAGCCGAGGUUCUUGCACUACAUUGUCCCUAGUCGAAGAGUAUAGGAGAUUCCUAAUAUUCAUCAUAUGCACGGAUGACCUAUGUGAACUGAAACCUAACUAUAAAUGAAAUAUCAUGCCUCUAGUUUAUAUGUGCAAAACGAAUGCCACGAGAAAAAUGAAUGCAAUGUUGUAUAAACUGAUUGUUUUGUUUUUAUCAUGGUCAAAUUUAUGAGAUGCAAAUUUAUGAUAAAUUCAUCAGUGAAAUUCAAGUGUCAACAUCAAAAAGUCCUUUAAAUAGUGAAGAUUGGAAAAUUCGAUCAAAUUGAUGAUUGGACUUAUAUAUAUGAUGUUUUUGAAAAAGACAAGCCAUCUUACUAAGGCAAAAAUUGUUGGAGUUAUCCCACAUCGAUUAUGGAAUUGUCUAGUGGUUAGUUUAUAAAUAUGAGAGAAAGUCUCGCCCUUUGAGUAAACUUUUGAGGUGAGAGAAGUGCAAGACUACCAAACAUUGGUGUUAGAGCCAAUAGUAGAUUGGCGGCCCCCAAUUUGUUCAAGAUAUCUCAAGAAAAGGAAUCUAGUUACCAACAUAGUUUCUAGGCAGUGUGUGUUGUGGUAUAACACAAUCCCAAUGGUAGUCUUCAUGGUUCGAUUCCAAGAAAAAAAAAACAUGGAUAAAGGUGAGUGUUGGAGAUUCAAGUUAAGAUAAAAAGAUACCUAAGUUAAGGGGAACAAACCUAACAAUGAGCUCAUAUGUGAUGGGGAGAUUGUUGAGAUAUACAUGUGAGUUAUCUCAAAGAAAGGAAUCUAGUGACCAACAUAGUUUCUGAGCAGUGUGUGUUGUGGUGUUGCAAUGCGCAAUCCAAUGGUAGUUUUCAUGGUUCGAUCUAAUGAAAAAGAACAUGGAUGAAGGUGAAUGUUAGAGAUUCAAAUUGAGAUAAGUUAAUAUAGAAAGAUACCUGAAUUAAGGGGAAACGGACCUAACAUUGAGCUCACACGUGAUGGAGAGAUUAUUGAGAUACAUAUGUAAGUAGGAAUCUAGUGACUAACACAGUUUCUAGGCAGCGUGUGUUGAGGUGUUGCAACGCAAUCCAAUGGUAGUUUUCAUGGUUCGGUCCAUUGAAAAAGAACAUGGAUGUUGGUGAAUGUUGGAGAUUCAAGUUGAGAUAAGUUAACGUAGAAAGAUACUUGAAUUAAGGAGGAACAAACCUAACAUUGAGCUCACACGUGAUGGGGAGAUUGUUGACAUACAUAUGUAAGUAGGAAUCUAGUGACUAACACAGUUUCCGGGUAAUGUGUGUUGUGGUGUUGCAACGCAAUCCAAUGGCAGUUUUUAUGGUAUGGUCCGAUGAAAAAGAACAUGGAUGAAGGUGAUUGUUGGAGAUUCAAGUUGAGAUAAGUUAAUAUAGAAAUGUACAUGAAUUAAGGGGGAACAGACUUAACAUUGAGCUCAUACAUGAUGGGGAGAUUGUUGAGAUUCAUAUGUAAGUUGUGUUAGGGAAGUCCCAUAGCGGAGAAUUGAUGCAAUGUAAAGUAAUUAAUAUAUCUAGUUGGCCAAUAACUCAUUGCUUUAAGCUUUUGAGUGAAGAUAUGUCCAAUUAGAUAUGUUAAUAGGCUUAGACUUGUGCUCCUUCUUAGCAAUCUCCUAGGGUAAAGAUAUUGGACAUCUAUUAUACACUUUCAACAAAAAUAAAUACAUAACUAUCCGAUUUUGAUAGGACAAAUUAGUUGAUAAACCAAUCCGUGAAACCCAAGAAAGAACAAGACAUCAUAAUAUUUGUGGUACUGAAGUAAAGUUGUAGGCCUUAAAUGCACAAAUUAAGAGUUACGGAUUUGAUUGCAUAAUUCGUGUAAGUUGUUUGACCAAAAAUGAAAUUCCAAUGAAAUAAGAAUCAAAUUUAACCUAAUACGAUGAAAUGGAUGGAUCACCAGACUCUACGCGACCAGCAUGUUUACUCCUAUUCAUAGCCAAAAGAUAUAUCAAUGUUUUCUCCUUUUUAUAUUGUGGACAGCAAAUAAUAGCAUCUCCUGCUUUUUCUUUAUUGUUUUGGGUUGCUUUCUUGUGAACAGGAUAAGAGUGUAUAUUAAUAUCAUGNNNNNNNNNNNNNNNNNNNNNNNNNNNNNNNNNNNNNNNNNNNNNNNNNNNNNNNNNNNNNNNNNNNNNNNNNNNNNNNNNNNNNNNNNNNNNNNNNNNNNNNNNNNNNNNNNNNNNNNNNNNNNNNNNNNNNNNNNNNNNNNNNNNNNNNNNNNNNNNNNNNNNNNNNNNNNNNNNNNNNNNNNNNNNNNNNNNNNNNNNNNNNNNNCCAGAACCUCCACAACUUCCGAGCCAAGCACGGGCCUGUGACGUGGUUGAAGCUCGGUUCCGUGAACACCAUGGUGAUUCAAUCAGCUCAGGCCGCGGCAGAGUUCUUCAAGGGCCAUGAUUCCGCGUUCGCAGACCGCAAGUGUCCCCAUGCAUUGACAGCUCUCGGUUAUGACCAAGGCUCGCUCGCUAUAGGUCGUUACGGUAGCUACUGGCGCGUUCUCAGGCGUCUCUGCUCUGCUGAGCUCCUCGUGACCAAGCGCGUCAACGAGACAGCCCAUCUCAGGCAGAAGUGCGUCGACAACAUGGUCAUGUAUUUAGAGGAAGAAAUGGCGGUUAAACAAGUAACAACAGGUUAUUUCUUACGUGCUUCGUGUUACUUUGGACGUUUGCGUUUCAUAUGUAACCUUGAAUGACCGAAAUAACAGUUUUCUUCUUCAAAGGGAAAAAAAAAAAGCAACAGAGAGAGAGAAAGGAACGUUUAAACUCCCUAUAAAAUAUCAAAAGAGGAUGAAGGCCUAUACCCUACACAAUAUUCCCACUAGUGUCACAAGUUCUUCUCAAUUAUUAAUAUAGGUAAAAUCAACGGUUAAGAUAUGUUGGGACGUCUGCACCAUUAGGAGUUAACGAUCCACGCUGUCAAAAGAAUCGUACUUCAGUAAAGAACGCAACCUGCAACUAGAUCUACCUAAGAAAACAUUGGGCCUGCUUUUUACGGAUAAAGGAACCGGCAGUGUUUAUUUUUUGUAAAAUGUACGAUUAAGUUCUAAAAUCUUUUUUAUUUUCUUUUUUCUUUUUUCUACUAUUGAGUUCUUAAAUUAUACAUCUUUUAAUUUGAGUUGGCCCUCCUCUUAAAUUUGCUAAUGCAUUGGUUACGAUGAAUAUUGCAUCCCCACCAUAUGUUAGCACUGACUAGACUAACUAAUUAGGGAGACAUGAAUUCUUUUUUACGUGCCAAGAUGGGUAAGAAAGAUUAUAAAAAUAAAGAAAUCUAAAUCCAAGUAAACAUUCACCAACCCAAGCGUUGCCUCAAUUUAUUGCAUGACCCAACUCACCUCCAUCCUAGUUAUUCAAUUUUUCUAUGUCAUUCUAUUUUUAGGUUUUUUAAGAAUUCACUUAAGACACCAUGUUGGUUUUCAAUGAGGACGUAACCACCAUGUCAACAUUUAUAUCUACUUCUUUAAUGGAAGGACUAAAUCAAAGAAGAACUUAUACGGCUCGAGGAUCUAAUUGCACAACAAAUUUAGGAACCUAAUUAGAACUUUUUAUAAAAGUUUAGGGACUGCUGGUACUUUUAUCCCUUUGUUUUGUUGCUGUAAUUGACAAAUUCAAUAAAUAGAUACCAGUGUAAAUAAUUCAAGUUGCCCAAGAGCUACUGGUGUUUAAAGUGCUAUUUAGUCAAACUUGCUUUCAUUCUUCUCGAGUUUGAGUCGAACUAGAGUGGCUCUACAGUUGAAUUAUGCCAAGCUCGAGUAGCUUUACCAUUGAAUUGGGUCAAACUCGAGCAUGAUCAAGUAGUUGGGUUUUAUAUAUCUUCUGAUGCAUUGAUCAAGUAUAUCCCCAUUAUUAUGCAAGAGAAUGCAAAAGUAAACUUUACACUAUAUUUUAUUUGUAGAAGCCAAGUUGGAGUUUUUAAGAGUUCAGAUGCUAAUUUAGUUUUGUUAGUGAAAAAUAUCCGAAAACAAGCUUAUCAAGAACUUUGUUAAGUUCGACUUGAGCUUGAAAAAUCCAACUUUUGUCUUGAACAUUGCAGCUUGGAGGUUGAUUCCUCCAUCCCUCCUUAAACUAGUUGCAAAACUUGGUGCAAUAAUUUUUUUCUUCAUGUCUAAUUCAUUACGUUCUGCUAUGCAUUCUCUAAUUAUAAUUAAUCGUUAAAAAUUUCUAAAUUUUAUGAAGAGCAAGGAAUCGACUUAUCCCACUUCCUCUUUCUCAUGGCAUUUAAUGUGGUGGGUAAUAUGGUGCUCUCGCGGGAUCUGUUGGACCCAAAAUCGAAGGACGGGCCCGAGUUCUUUGAUGCCAUGAACCGGUUCAUGGAAUGGGCUGGCAAGCCCAACGUAGCCGACUUCCUGCCGUGGUUGAAAUGGCUGGACCCGCAGGGGAUCAAGGCAAGCAUGGCGAAGGACAUGGGUCGAGCCAUGAAGUUUGCUGAAGGUUUUGUAAAAGAGAGGUUGGAGGAGCGAAAGCUGAGGGGAGAGAUGAGAACGACAAAUGACUUCUUGGAUGCGGUAUUGGAUUAUGAGGGCGAUGGAAAAGAAGGCCCUCGCAAAAUCUCUUCCCCGAACGUCAUCAUAAUAAUUCUGGUAUCCUCUCUUCCACUCUUGGCAAACAAGAAAUGAUUAACAUCUUAAGGAUAUUUGGUCCAGUUCAGUUUGUAAAGUGGGGUGGUAAACUUAAUUGACAAUUAACAAGCAGGUCAUAUUACGCGUCAUUCUCUACAAAUGCAUGUUUUCGUAGAACAUUCUAGCACUAGAUUUUAUAAUAACUAGCCUUUUCCAAUCAACUAUCUAUGAAAACAUUUUACACUUUAAGUUUGUAGAGAACGUUGCAUAACAAAAAGCUACUACUAUUAUAAAGAUGUUUCCAUUCUUUCCUGAUUUAGCCAAUCUGUCUCAUUUUGUAAUAACUAGCUAAGAAUGUUCUACGAAAACACAAGAUUGAUUAAUGGUUAUUUUUUAUAAAAAGAAAAUCUAGUGCUAGAAAGACACAUUGAAUUAUUUAUUAAAUUAAGUCGAUGUCAAUUUGGUGAUUAAUAGAACAUGUUGGGUAUCCUCAAUGAAUGAGUGAAUAGUAUGUUGAUUAGAUGUGUGAUUUAAUAUUGACUAUAAAUAUAAUCGAUAAUCAAACACCAGCAUUGGUUAUAAGAAGCCAAUAAAAUUAAGUUGACAAGGCAUGAACAGUUUUUGUCCAUGGACUUAUAAAUGAAAGUCAAGUUAAUGUCGGUCGAGUCGAGAAGUACUGACAUUGGCUCACAAAAUUUGGUCGAAUCAAACCGACUGCAAGGAUAAAACUAGCGCGAACAAUUAUUGUAGUCAAACUUCUAGGACGGAACAAUUUUUAAGGUUGUUGACCGGCGGUUGCAGUGAAGCAAUCGUUGUAGGCGAGACUACAAAAAGAGCACAUCUUAAGGGAAAAAGACGCACAAACAUAAAAAGAACACACUUCACUUUCUUGCCAUUCAUUUUCAGUUAUUUCUCAGCAACUUAAUUCUUGCCAUUCCAGUUGUUUAUUUCAUUUUUCCCAAUCAAACACCUGCUCUUGCCCUUUUAUAAAUAUUUCUGUUGUCAUUAGUGUAUUCAUUUCGUCAAUUUUAGGAUCCAAUCAUCAAAUUCUUGUUCCUUUCUUUAUGCGCAAUUGUCUGUCAAUUCGAAGCAUAGGAGCUGCUAUGUUUGACAAGGAUUUUAUCAGGUGAAGCAUGAUGAUUUUUACUAUUAAGCCCACGAUUUGAGGGAGUGAUUUUCGAGCGAACUGAAUAUCUUAAUUAUAGCAAAAGAAUCAACAUUGGUGGUAACCCUAGCAAGACAUGAUCUUGUACUAAAUGGGUCUAAUUGAUGGUGCAGGAAAUGUUUUUCGCUGGAUCAGAGACUACAAGCAGCACCAUCGAGUGGGCGAUGGCGGAGCUACUCCGCCAACCCGUGUCAAUGAGAAAGGCCAAAGAUGAGAUUAACCAGAUUGUGGGGUUGAACAGAAAACUCGAAGAAAGUGACACGGAAAAAAUGCCGUUUUUGCAAGCUGUGGUGAAGGAAACCCUAAGAUUGCAUUGCAUCCACCAGUACCUUUGCUUCUCCCACGAAAUGCUAUAAAAGAAACCAAUUUCAUGGGCUUUGAUAUACCCAAAGAUACCCAGGUUUUCGUGAAUGCAUGGGGCAUUGGAAGAGACCCAGAUGCUUGGGAAGACCCAUCAGCAUUCAAACCAGAGAGGUUUCUAGGAUCUAAAAUUGACUACAAAGGUCAAAACUUUGAGCUAAUUCCAUUCGGAUCAGGCAGAAGAAUGUGCGUCGGACUUUCGUUGGCGGAUAGGGUGCUUCAUCUCGGUCUUGCGAAGUUGCUCUACCAUUUCGAUUGGGAACUCAGUGAUGGUUUGACUUCAGAGACCCUCGACAUGAGAGAGCGGGUGGGAAUAACACUACGGAAGCUCCAUCCUUUAAAAGUGAUACCUAAAAAAUGUAGUGUGUGAGGUCUUUAGAAUAUCAUUAAUGGUAACUAGUUAUAUUCCUUACUAGUUAAUAAGGAAAUGACAAGAUGUGAUGUCAUGUAUUCAAAACAAGCAGAAGAUGUUAAGUUUCAUGAACAUAAUUUCAACAUAUUAUUACCCUAAGGUUGUUGGUGCUGAUGUUAUUGUGUCGAGGAUUAAUGAACCUACCCAAGGAAGACUUCUUAAGAAUGGUGUUUUUACUCCACAAACACCUCAGGAAAAUUACCAAAAAGUUCUUAAACCUAUUAUACUUUUAUCAAUUUAGGAUGUGUUUGUUUCACGAAAAACGUAAUAUUUUUGGAAAAUGUUUUCCGAGAAACCAUUUUCCUUUGUUUGGUGAUACGUGACUGAAAGUAUUUUCUGUGUUUGGAUCGUAUUUGAAAAAUGAUUGAAUGCUAUUUGAUCUAACAAUUGACAACAGUGCCUCUUACUUCCAAAUUAAUUUAUUGAAUCCAUGUUACUUUAUAAACGGAUUUUCUAAAAUAAUACAUAAUAUUUGUGUUGACCAGAAAAAUGAUUGGAUGACAUUUGACCUAACAAUUGGGCAUGUUGAUAUCCUGGCCUUGAGCUUGAUUUAUCGAGCUUGAGCAUGGUUGACUUCACAAAGCUCAAAAUCAACCUCAAAUUCUUCAAAUUGCAAGACUAAGUACUACAUCAUGUAGCUAUUUGCAGCAUCGAUACAUGUAUUCAUACAAUCUUUGAUUACUUGAUUCGGCUUGUGAGUUAUUCGAGAGUAAUCUAAAAGCUGGAGAUCAAGUCAAGUAAACCAUUUUCAACGGACGUACUUGCAUGAUUUCGGCAAUUCAUGUGGCUCCAGCGGGCUUGGGGCCAUCUCACAGACCAACGUGUCCCUCCAAUCCGCUGCCACCACCUUGAACAAAUUGAAAUUCGAGAAGUAGAGCACCUUCCUCCCCUUCUCACGCAAGUAUCACUCCCUCCUUCCCUCACUCUCAUGGAACCUCCGCACCCCUUGUGACAUUCUGAUUUUCUGAUUCUGUUUUCGAUUGAAUGAGUUGGUCUUUUCAUCGACUCACCUAUAGUUCUUUUUCCUGAGUUGAUCACUCAUGAGAUAACUAGUCUAUCAGGUGAAGUUGUUAAGGAAUCUAAAUGCAAUAAACUGGAGAAUUUGACCAGAAAUCAACUGCUCGACUGUGCUAAUCUACAAGGGUCAAUACGACACCGUCAAAAUUAAUCAGAGACCGAAGAUAGGUCGAUUCGAUAGAGGUAUGUGAUUAGUGUGCGGGUGAUUCCAUCUAAUUUCAAAAUUUUAAACCGAUUUUUCUGUCAUUUCUAUACCCUGUGCCCGUAUUUGAAACCUCAAGAUUUUCUUGAUAACCGAGAGUCACCAAUGUGUUGAAGAUGUACAGUAUGGCUUGAAAAUAAUCGAUCUAGGGUCAAAUGUGCUAAAAAUUCCUAAAAGCUACCAAAUAGGUUAGGUCACGCUAAAAUUGUGCAUGGUUGAAAUUAACUGCGAAAUUGAACUUGAUUAAAUUAUGUCAUGUCACAAUUUAUUUUAGGAACGUCAAUUUAUCCUCCGAAAUUUUUUCGACUAAUCGGGAAUUUUGGCGAAAAAAUCGAAGUUGGGCCGUUUUGGACCGGAAAAAUUAGAGGGUUGUUUUUUGUUGCACUUUUGGCAUUCAAGUUGGACUAAUUGGCAAGGAAAAAUGUGAAAGAUGAUGUGGGCACAUUGGCUGAAUUUAUGGGCACCAAUUUGAGUCCAAUUGAAAAGAAAUUGAAGUAAAAUUGAAGAGGCAAAUGUCCAAAUUCGUAGCCACCCGGGAGGGGGGAGCAACUUUUGGACCCUUUGGAUGGCUUCUAUGAGAAGCUUUGGUGUAGAAAUUGCUGUUGUGGAUAGGGCUGAUCAAGUGGGGGCCAAGCAAUGAGUGAAUGGGAUAUUUGUGAAGACUUUGUGGCCAUUUGGUAGCCCCCCCCCCCCUUCAAGCUACAGCCUUCUUCUUCUUCCUUAGCCUUGCUUUCUCCAUUAGUGUUGUGUUUUGAGCUCAAGAAAACCAGAGAACCAGCUAGCCAGCCCCUCACACCGUCAACCGCCCCUCCUAGCCGUCCGAGCACCAUCAAGCCCUGCCCGAGCUCCAGCACCUGCUGUCCCGCUCGUGCGCCUAUCCGCACAUCCCCACGGCCUGCGUUCGUCACCCGUGCCCUGCUCGUCGAUUAUCGGAGCUAAUCCAGCCACCUAGUGUCGCCGUCAAGCCCCUCCACCGCUCGUCCAAGCCACCUAGUCCACCUCCUCACCAUUCCAGCCCAUUUCAGCUGUGAAGCCCUUCGGUCCAACCCUUAGAUAGAACCGAAGGCCCAACUUUGGCAGUGAGCUGUUGGGCUGUUUUCUGGGCCCUUUCGGACCUUCGUUGGUGUCGCUAUAGGCUUGGUUUUUGCUCGCCUUGGCAUCACCAUCACCGUGAACUCAAUGGCCCUCAAAACUGAUGAGUUUACUUGCUAAACUUUGCUUAUCGAGUUAAUUAUACUUAAGUGUUGAUUAGCUUAAGUUAAGUAUGGCUUAGGUGGCUAGUUUAGAUAAAUUAGUGAUUUAAUUGCUUAAUUGUGAUAAUUAUGUGGUUAGAUUAGAUUAGUUAAUGGUUAAUUGAAUUGUAUUAUUUAUUGAGCAUGGUGCAUUAUUUUCUAGGCCCGUUUAGGUAGUUAGAUUAGCAUUAUUAGGCCUAAGUUGGUAUUUAUCUAUUUAAUUUGUAUUUAUUAAUUAAUUUUGCUAUUUAUUUAAUAAUUUAAUAUUUUUCGAAAAUUAUACCGGAAUAGCCGGUGACUGGAAUUUCGUGCCGAUUGCAGUGAUGCUUAGUUUAUGCAAUUGAUGGUUAAAUUGUCCAAUCGAGUGGUGAUUGUGAAUUUUGAGUAUUUAUUUCAAAAUUGUGAAAAUUUGGUUUUUAAUCAGAAAUUAUUGAGUGUCCGUUUUUAACGUCAAAAAUGUUUUUAGGUACUAUAUUAAAUAGUGAGAUUUUUAAAAAGGAAGAUAUCGCAUUUUUUGCCCAAACUAACCAUGUACCCAAACACAAUUAUUUUACUAGGUGUUUUUAAUAUGAAAAAAAAUAGGCCAAGUUCAUUAUUUUAAUUGAGGCAUUUGAGUGCAAAGCACAAUGUCUUUGGCCGGGAUUGAUUAAUCGUGUGAUGGUUAAGUGAACCCGUCCCCGAUGUGCGUUGGUAGGACGUUGCCCAUAUAUAAGAUGCCCCUGGACAACGGAUACCAGUCGCAGUAGAUUCUAAACCAAUGCUCCUUCAAGAAUGUUGUCCCGAUGUGCGUCGGUGGAUGUUGCUAUGCUCAAGGGGGGAGACAAAGCCUGCCUACGCUAGAAGACCGAUGUGUGUCAGUAGAUUGUGUAUAUGCGGGCAAUAAUCAAUUGGAACAUGUGAUUAAUUGAAAUUGACGUGCCGGAUUUUGAGAUAAAAUUGUGUGGCAUGGUAUGGGACGUGCCAUAACGAUUUGGCCUUAUAAUCGGGACUCCUAUGAUCGAUUGAUUAGUUGAUUGAUUGAUUGAUUGAUUGAAAUGUGAAUUGAGACAUUCUAAAUGAUCGAGUGGUAUUACUAUACAUAUAUAAUAUAUGAAUUGUACUGACAUGCAAAAGGGAACUAAGGCGAGGUAAGUCAUCUGUAUUGUGUAUAGUGUCACGCCCCCAUCCUCAAGCGCGUGCCCAUCCCUUGGUGGUCAAUUAAAUUGCAACGUCCUAGAACACGUAGCCGACUCAUUCAUUGUAAUGUGCAUGCAGAAGCGAAUAAAUAAAUCCCCAGACAACACAAAGAUGGGAUAGAAAAGUAGGGCCAAAAUUUUGAAAACCACGGCACACUUUUAUACACAGCAAACUAAGUCAUAUACAAUUCUAGUCUAUAUUUAAAUAUAAAUCAUGCUUCCACAAGCUAAUAAAACAAUCUUAGCUCACACAAGCUAAUAUAUAUAUCUAUAUAUCGUGCCCCCACAAGCUGAUAAAAUGAUCUCAACUCACACAAGCUGAUAAUGUAUACUGCUCUCACAAGCUGACAUAUUGAGCUUAUAAGCUGAUAUAGUAUACUGCUCUCACAAGUUGACAUGCAAAAGGGACUCUCACAAGCUAACGAUAAAUAUGCUUGCACAAGCUGAUACUAAAUGGUCUCAUAAGCUAAUAAAACACCGAGUUGAAAAUACCCGAUAAAGAUAAUCGUGUGUGGGUACACAGUCGGCCUGAGCCAAAAUUUCAAUAUCUUUCUUAUCAAAAAUCCCACUAUUUAUAAUAGUUCAUAAACACAUUUUUGGCGUUAUAAACCGAUGUCCGAUAUUUUCUAAUUAAAUACCAAAAUUACUCAAAUUUGAGAUACCACUCAAUUUGCACAAAUUAGCACUCAAUUAAAUAAACCAAACAUACCAUUGUAAUCAGUACGAAAUUCUGGUCAUCGGCUAUCUCAGUAUAAUUUCUGGAAAAUAAUAAAUAAUUAAAUAAAUACUAAAAUUAAUUAAAUAAAUACAAUUAAAUACAAUAAAUAGGAACUUAGAUUGGAAAAGCCUAAUUAAACACUGAGACAGGCCCGGAAAAUUUCCGAACCAAUCUACAUAAAUAAUACGAUCUAUCUAGUCUCUAAUUAAGCCGUUCUAACAACCUAACAUGCAUAAACGAAUAUUUAAAUCACUAAUCUAUUCUAACUAACCACCUAAACCAUACUUAGCCUAAACUAAUCAACUAUUAAGAUCAUUAAAUCCCUAAAUAGAGUUUAGCGGGUAAACUCACUGGUUUUGUGAUCCAGUGAGUCCACGAUGACGGCAAUGUGGAGACGGGCGAUAAACUCCAAAGCGGCGACACCCGACAAGGCUUGAAAGUGUCCUAAAAUGGGCCUUGUAGUCCACGGAAGCUUGUUGGCCUUCGGUUCUAGUUGAUGGGCCUAGAGGCUGCUUGAGCAACCAAAAGCCACAAGGAGAGACGGUGAUGGUCCAGUGGGGCUAAGUGGACAACAGUGGGGCUUCACGGCAGUGGAGGUGAGCUUGAGUGGCAGCCAAGGCUUCGAUGGCAACCAGGGAUGGCUCGGGACGGGUGAAAUGGCAACGGAACAGGUGGGAUGGACGACGGACUAGCGUGGGCUCACACGAGGGCGCGACAAGUGCGAAAGGUGAGCGGCGGUGACAGACGGUCCAAUGGUGGCUUGCAAUGGCAGGGGGUGGCUGGCUCGGUUUUCUAGUUCUUUGGAGCUUCAAGGUGGACUAAAAAUGGAGAAAGCGAGCUGUGCUAAAAAAGAAAGGGGACAUCAGCCACUCAGAGGGUCCAUCAAGCCUCCAUUCUAUCCUCUUGUCCCUUUAAGAGGCCCCACCAGCCCUUGGCUAUCUUCCACAGCCUCUUGGCAGCCCACAAACUUCCCUUGCAAGCCAAUGAAGUGGUCCAAAGGUGGUGGAGGCCAUAACAUACGAAUUUGGUGCCAAAUUGAACCAAAUUUAUCCUCUAUUGGAUCCAAUUCGGUCCCCAUAAAUUCCAUGAAGGUGCUCUUGACCAAAUUGACAUUUUUCCUUGCCAAUAAAACCAACUUGCAUUCCAAAAACAUGAUAAAAAAGGUCCCCUUGAAUUUUCUGAUAAAAACGGCCAUAUUUUGAAUUUUUGCCAAAAAUCUCGAUUUGCAGAAAAAUCUUUGGAGGAUGAGUUGACGUUCCCAAAAUGAAUUAUGACAUGAUAGAACUUUCAAUUUCUGAAAUUAGGUUCAAAUUUGUGGUUAAUUUCAAUCUAGCGCGAUUUUAGCAUAACAUAACCUACCGAGUAACUUUUAUAAAUUUUUAGUGCAAUUGACCCGUGGUCAAUUAUUUUUUAGCCACAUUGCACAUCUUUGACACAUUGGCAACUCUCGGUAGUCGUGAAAAUCUCGAGAUUUCAAAUGCGGACAUAGGAUACCAAAGCGACAAAAAAUUGGUCUAAUGUCGAUGGACAAGAAUUUUGCAAUAUGGUGGAAUCACCCACACUUUGAUCAUAUAUCUUAGUCGAAUUGACCUAUCUUUGAUCUCUAAUCGAUUUUUGAUUGUGUUGUAAUGAUCCUUGCAAACUAGCAUGGUCGAGCAAUCGAUUCCUAGUAGAAUUCUCAAGUUUAUUGCGUUAAAAUCCCUUAACGGCUUCACUUUUUAGACUAGUUAUCUCAUGAGUGAUCAGCUCAGAGAAUAGAACUAUAGACGUGUCAAUGAAAAACCCAAUUCAUUCAAUUGAAAAUAAAACCUGAAAUUCAAGAUAUCACGUAUAGACUGUCUUUAAGUGUAUUUCCUUCCUAAUAGGGGUUUAGAGGGUGAACUUGCUGAAACAUUGUCUCACCCCGUCGUGGGCUUAACCUUUUCAGGUUCUUAGAUGGCAAUCCCUUCGAAACGUUUUGGUCGGCCUUAGGGAGUAACUGAGUGGAGCAUAGACAUCCCGAUCCUCGGGAGUCACUGGGUCUUUAAACUCAUGGUGACCACUGUCUGGGUUGAUGAGGGCCUACCUUAAAGGGUACCUCAUCGAUUUAGGGUGUGGUAUUGCCAUGGGCUCAAUUGGUAUAAGGAAUGUCCUAUUUGGGGUUUUGAUGUCCCCGUUGCUGUGGUUGACACCGCUCUAGGCAAGGGUGAAGCUGACCCUCCUGAUGGGGUUGUGGAGGACCCGAAGCUCUCGAAGUUUUCAGAGAUGGAGUCUGAAGGAUCGACGAAUGUGUUCAACUAGUAGGUCGUAGAACAGCUUCUUUUUUAGAGCCAAUCUUUUGUAGAUAGACUAGCUUUGUAUAUAAACCUAAUGUGUUUAUGAAUGCAUGUUUGUUUGUGAAUUUGUUAUCCUGCUUUUCUAUCUCAUGUUUUGCUAUCAAAGGUUUUUAUUUUGCUUCCGCAUGUACAAUAAAAUAAAUGGAUUGGUGAUGCGUCUUGGGAUGUUGCAAUUUGAUCAACCAUUGAGGGAUGUGCGCACGCUCGAGGUUCAAGGUGUGACACCCCUCCGAACAUCUCCUCCAGCAUGCCCUCCAAAAUCUCGUGGUUCACUGCAUGGAACAACCCCCAGCCCUUGCACGCACUUCGGACUUCCUCCACGACCCUUCGCCAGAGAUCCCCGUUGCCACCGCCGCCGUCGACAAUGACCGCGAGGUCGAUGGUGGGGAUCGCGAGGUCGACAGCAUCGACUGUGGCCUCCUGAGGGGCGUGGACGAAGAAUGAUAGGAUCUGGGAGAUGUCGGAGUCGACGAGGCCCUUAACGCUGACCCUCACAUCAUCGAAAAGCUUCAGCUCCUCAUCUCGCCGAAGCACGACGAUGCUCACCACCGACAUCUCCACACUCUAGCUUUCGCUUUAGCGAGCUGAUUGGCGAAGUCUGUACCUUAGAAAAAUCUAGAGAGGAAAAGUGAAAGGUAAGAGAGAAAAAGAUGAAAAGGGACAGUGUUUUCACCUUCUGAGGCGGAGGAAUUCAUUUUCCUAAAAUAAUACAUAAUAUUUUUGUUGACCAAAAAGUAUUUUCCAUUGACCAAAUCUUUUUAGAGAACCAAACAACUGAAAAUCCAAAAAACACUUUCUGGUAAAAUACUUUCAAUGAAACAAACACACCCUUAGUAAUAAACCUUUUUAUUAUAUAAGUUAGUCCCAAAUGUUUUCAUGUUUUGCCAAUUGAGCUCAUAUGAUCAAUUUUGGUAAAAAAAUCACUAACAUAAAUGUCAGGCAUCCUAUAUGGUGCAACUAGCGCAAACGUGGAAUAUUUUUAAUAUUUUUAUUUUAUUUUUGAAUACUUUUUCUUUUCUUUUCUUUCUCUGAUGGUUGUUGAGCCUUGGGAAUGACUACUGACCAACCAUAGGCUACAACCAAUGAUGGUUACCCUCACCAAGACCUAGCAAGGGAGGAUCUUGCCGCCUCGCCAAAUUCGGCAAGUCAUAGCUUCACACGAGGCUCAACUUUGCCUAAUCUAGCGAGGGUAAGGCGAAACCUCGUUAACCUUCACAAGGGUUGGUCUCGGGCGAGGCUUGCCCAAAGAUGGCGAGGCCAACCAUCCCUAAAGGCUAGCAAGGGCCAACCUAGCCAGCUUCAGGCAAAGCUCAACCCUAUCAAAUCUAGUUUGGACAAGCCUUACUCAAGGGCAACAAGGGUGACCUCACCUAAGGCUAGCAAGGGCAACCAUUGUCAGUCAUAACCUGUGGUCGAUCACCGGCCAUCACCAAGGCUUGGCAAAGGAAGAAAACAGCAAAAAAAAAAAAAAGGAUGAAAAAGAGAAACUUAAAAAUAUUUAAUAUUAAAAAUUCAAAAAUAUUAAAAUACUAAAAAAAUGUUUGAUGUCAUUUACUUUGAUAAUUUUCGGUCAAAAUUGGUUAGAUUGACUCAAUUAGUGAAACUUGAAAAACUUUAGGACUCAAUUGACACAAUUAAAAGGUUUAUGACUGAAUUAGCAAAAGUAUAAUAUAUUAUGAUUUUUUUGGUAAUUUUCCCCAAAUAUCUUUGGGCAAUUGCAAGUUUUUAUGUAAGCAUUUGGGUCUUGUUUAAAUUGUAUGACUUAAGCAUGUAGCAGGUAGUUAACUUGCCUUUUAAGCCAACGAUAAAACUUUACUUGUCGAAAAAAAAAAUUGCCCUAAAGUUAGUUCUACACAAGUCCAAUAAAUGGAUGAUUGUGAUUAACUCGGUCCAUAUACGCCAAUCCAUAAUAGAGUCUUGAAUCACAGACCAUGAACAAUACCAGUUCCUUGAAUGGAUCGAAGGUUGACAUGGAUUGACUUUGAUCCCCAUCCAAAUUAGAAUCCUGUUAAUGGAUUCAAACACAAUGCUGAACCCAAUAAUGCGAUUGCUAGUGCAUCACCGACUUCCAGUAGCAUAGCAGUGGAAUCUAAAGAAGAUGGUGAAACUCCAAUUCGACUCUUAAGUACAAAAGUGAGAUGCUCAUGGAGGGGGAUUUGGAGGACAAAAACUGCAUGUGUUGCCAAAUUGACUAGCCACCCUCUGGGCCAAAGGAAAAAAAUCAACGUGAUUUCCUCUACUAGAAGGGUACCCUUCUGACCACCAAAAAAAAAAAAAAUCAAGUACUUGCCAACUAGCGAAAAUUUGGCCAACAAGCAAGCUCAAGUCUUCAUUUGAGACUAAUUUGGCAACUUCAGACAUUUAUUUGAAAUAAUGUCCACCUUAGGCCAUCUUUUGGAAAAAUAACCUCACUUUAGACGUUCAUUUAAAAAUUUUUGCCAAACAUUAGUCAUCUGAAGUGCAUGACGGUAAUUGUAUGCAAAUUGCUUAAUCUCUUUGUAUGUUACAAAGGUAAGAUUUUGCUAUAAUGCCAAACAUCCAAACAAGUUGAUAAUUUACUAUUUAUUUUUUCAUCGUUAAAUUCCUUCAAUAGUUGGCAAUUCUUCGCCCACUUGUAAAUUUACCAAUUUAAUAAAAUCUUACUGUGUAAUGUACGAGUAUUUUGCACUAAAUCAUCCAACUUCGUUGGGCUUGAAUAUGACUCAUUUGAUUUCCUUUGUGUAAUGCUUGCGGAUAUUACUUUUAUUUGAUUGUUCUACUUUCUAACACGUGAUAGUAAGGCCAAGCAUUGGUCUAGGGUUGACCCUAGACUGACCUUGGACUAGCCCAACCUGGCCUAUUCUAGUCCAAUUUUGGAGGAACUAGGUCUGUCCUUGGUCCCAUAACCCAAAUUUCUUGGAAAAUUUUCAAAUAAGGAUCCAAGGUUCUAACAAUUUCUCAAAAAUGAUUCAAAGUGGAUCUUUUUUUCAAAAAAAAAAAAAAAGACCUGAAAUUGCCAUAGGAGUUUCAAAUAAAAGUUUAAACUCGCCAUCUGGCUGAUAUUCUAACUAGAAAGGGACAUUUUUGUCCAAAGACAAUUUUAACCCAAAUUUUAAUUAAAUUAGAUUAAAAAUUAAUCUAAAAGCUUUUAAAAAAAUACAUGCAGUGUGGGCCCUCACCUUUGGUUGGCAAGGGUUGCGACCCUCAUCGAGGUGCCUGCAACCUCAACGCCCUAUCGGCUAGGGGUAAGCGAUUUCGGGUUUCAUACAUGUUCCACUUGAGACUUAAAACUUACCCGUUGGAACACAUUCUUUAUUUUUGGAACAUGAAACUUAUCCUGCAUAUCUUAGAACUUGGAACUUACCCUAUCAUAAGUUCUAAGGCCGGUUCCAGGGUCUACCCAGGUUCCACCUAUAUUAUCAAUUGAUUGAUUGCAAUAAAUUAAACAUUUAAUGAUCACCACUUACUACUAUAAUUUACUUCAUAACUUAUAUUCAAACACACGAAAAAUAUAGAUGUUAAUAAAGUAAAAGUUUUAGUCAUAAAUGAAAGCUUAGAUUAGGGCAAAAGAAUAUACAUUCAUCAUCGAAUGACAUGGAUUAUCACAGAAUCACAUGAAAAUAUUGUUAGGGAAAUCCCUUAUGAUAUUUUGAAAAUGAAAAAAUAAAUUAAAGGCUAUUAACGUGUUUAAUGGUUGAGUAAUAGAUUAUGCAAAUGAUAGAACAUGUAAAUGAUAUUGUCGAAGUUUAUACUUGAAAGAACCAGAAGACAAAUUCAAUGCUUCGGCUGAACUUAUUCAGACUGUAUCCAGACCUUAAGGCUAAAUAUGUUUAAAAGCAUAAUAUGUUCAAACUUACGUCUAGAUUGUAAAGUUUACUUCAGACGGAAGAUACACAGACUCUACUUCAGACGAAAGACACUCGGACUUUACUUCCGACAGAACACUCUUAGACUUUACAUAUAGAAUGAGACACUAGUUCAGGACCUAACAAAUUCAUAACGAAGCAUGUCCAGAAUGAGACAACUUGACAAAAUGUAACACAAGCCCCAAACAUAUAACGGCUAGUGAUCUAGUUUGGAUUCUAUAUCAAGAUAGAUUUGAUUGAUUCAAUCUAAUUUAUUGACAAUUGGAUAUUAAAGACAAGAACUUUCUAAAAUGGAGAAGCUCUACUUAUGGAAACCAAGAUUCUAUUUGUAUAGGCCAUCAUAAUCAAAUUGGGAUUAUACUUUUGUCACUCAACGGCUACCAAAUCUUCUAGACAGAUCAAAUGGGUAGAUUGAAAAACGAUCUUUUGGAUACCGUGCAAUGGCUAAUUUGGAAGGUGGGGAGUAUUUAAGGAGAUUAAGGAUAUGAGCAAGAAAGAAAUGGAGUGUAGAAUUUAUAAUUCCAAAAUCUAAGCGAACUUCGAUCAUACACUUAUCUUUGGUGAGCUUAAACGUUUAUGAUCGUGAGAGAAAUACCAAAAGAGUGACUUAAUGAGAUAGUGUAAUCUACCACUAAGUGUUUGCACUCAAAGUUGUAAUCUCUUGUUGAUUGCAUAGUGAAAUCCAGCCAGAAGGCUGUUAGCAUGAGAGAGUGGAUGUAGACUUGAUUUAAGCUGAACCACUAUAAAUUUUGUGUACAACAUUCUCUUUCCUUAACUCUUCUUAUUUAAAUAUGUUGCAUACUUACAGGUUAUUUUAGAAGUCUGUUACAUCGCAUAACAGAUUCUGAACAUCUACUAGAAGUCUUGUGGCUCGUUUAGUCAAACUGUAAUCCUUAUUCAGACUUUACCCGCGACUGAUUUUAUUUUGCAUUUAUUUGUCAAGAUUUCUUUUGAACACCUAUUCACCCCCCUCUAGAUGUUCGUACUAGCACUUUUAGAUAUGGACUAAGAAAAAAAUUAUAACUCAUUCUAGAUUCUAGGUUUUAGGUUUUAGGUUCUAGGUUCCUCUAAUCAAGAACCUAAAACCUUCUCGUCAAAACAAGUUCCUCAUUUUUGAAAGCCUAUAACCUAUCUUGCAUACAUUCAACCUUGGAAUCUAUAAGUUCUUAUCAGUCUGAUUUUCAAGUUCCAGAUUCUACCUUGAAACAAUGCUCACCUAGGUCGAUGAUCAUGGGUUUUUUUUUUUGUAUGUUUCUUUAUUUUAUAUGUUUUUGCGUUUUUUUUCUUUUUUGAGUUUGUCUUUUUAUGGAAAAAUUUUUGGAUUUUUUUAACUUAAUUUAAUUAAGAUUUUGUGUAAAAAUUAGGAUUCAGUUAAAACGAUAUCGUUUUAGCGGUUUAGUUAAUCUUAAUGUACGUAGGAUACUAAGUGUAGGAGAUAAAAUAUCUAAAAAGUUAGGUCUUUUUGUUAGUUAAAUUAAAUGGAGUUAGUGGAAAAACUCAAUUUUUACACAAAAUCGAGUCUUAGCCUGUGGUUUUCGAGGGUGGCCUUGCCUGAGUAAGGUGAGGGCGACCCUCACCUGGUCCUCUCCACAUAUCAUCGGUGGCCUUAAGACUAGUCACUGAUGAAAAGGAAAAAAUAAGAAAAAGGAAAAAAAAAACAAAUUAAUAAUAAUAAUAGAGGGGGAAAUGCCAUUGACUAGCAACGAUGUCAUGUCUUUUUUUUAGGCACAUAUUUGCAAUAAGAUUCAUUUGAUACCUUUAUUUGACUAGCAACGAUGUCAUGUUUUUUUUUUAGGCACAUAUUUGCAAUAAGAUUCAUUUGAUACCUUUAUUGAGGCACAUAUUUGCAAUAAGAUUCUUUUGAUACCUUUAUUUAGAAUCUUUCCUAAUUUCUUUUUCCACAAACUCUUAAAGAAAGAAAAAGAAAAUUCCCUUUUGAAGGUCACACGUGAUCGAUGCCCGUCCUUUCAAUAAUGUUUUACUGUGAAGAAGGAAAAAUAUUACAGUCUCUUAAUAGUUUUGCGUUCAUUAUCCUCUGUUCUUUUCUCUCUUUUUUCCAGCACGUUCAGCUCUGCCAUUUCCAGACAAUUCAGCGGAGCCUAUUCCUAGGGUUGUUGAGAAAAUAUCAAAUACAAUGUCAAGUCAUUAUUGAGUCCUUUGUGGUCACGAAUAGCAGCUGUCAAAUGGCCUCAUACGCAGCUCAUUUCAGACCCAACAGGCUGCCUACAGUGGGCCCAUUCCAGCUUUGAUCCCAGCAAAUUUUCAGCAAAAACCGGUCCUCUUCCUUUGCUGAAACCAGUCCCACUUCCUGCUCUGACCGCCCUUUUCUAGUUCUGUUUACAUUAAAAUAAGGCCUUGAGUUUGAACCAGUUAAUUAACACAGUCCAAAGCAAGUCCGAUCGAAUUAAUGAAAUUCAACUACUUCUUCGAUUUGGUUCGAACCUGCAAUAGAUUCCUUACGUGCGUGUUCAACCGCUACACAUGAAGUUUGUUGUCUUCUUUCGUUGAAUUCUCUUCACAAGCAGCAGCAACAUCUAAUGAAGAGCCUUCUUCUAGUAGUAUAAUUUUAUAGAAGAGGAGCUCAUGAUUUAGUAGAAAUAGGGGAGCUUGUUGGAAAAUCUUGUCAACACGAGAAGCAAAUACAAAACAAAAGAAAGUGUAAUCAUUGGUUCUGGUGGCCCCUUGGUCGCUUUUUUUUUUUUUUUUUGUCUUUUCUUUUUCUUCCAUUUAUCUGACCGAAAGGGAUUCUCUCUCUUUGGUGUAUAUUACGAAAUUUGUUCCAUAAACACCGUGGGUAUUUGGUGUAAUUAUGGGACUCGAAAUUAAAGUGUGUCAUCGAUUGUAACAGUGUGCUCUCCAAUUAACUAGUAGGUCAUUAACAGCUUACUCUUUUUACUAAUACAAGUUUCAACAUUUGUAUCGAACGACGUCCAUUUCUUGUGUCAUUUACUAUUUCUCAUUUCUCAUUUCUCAUUUUAUUUUCUAUGAAAAUUUUUGUGUCCAUAUAAUUGCGAAGGUUACACAUAUUCAAUGACCCUCCAGGAAUAAUCUGGUGUGGGGAUGAAUUAAAGUGAAGAGUUGCCAACAUACAACUCUUUUUUAGUGUAAAAAUCAUUGAUAUUCUCUGUAUUGUGGGGAAGAAAAAUGUACACGUACAAUUAGAGAAUACGGGAUAUAUGAGCACUGACACGUUAAAAUAAUGAACACAAUCCUACUGAACACCACACAAGAUGGGGACUGUCGUCUAUCAUUCCUGAUUUUAUUUUCCCUGCAAAUUUUCAUGUGUCCAUAUAAUUGCGAAGGUCCGGUCCCUUCUCUGAUGGUUUACUGCAACCUCAAGCUGUAUUCACGCCAUUCUAGGUGGAAAUCACCAGGGAUGGUGCUGGUUUGGAAGCUAGUUUGGUUCUUUAAUUCUCUAGUUCAAUUCUUGUUUGCUUCUAGUCCAGUUGGGAUUAGAUGGUGGCUGGCUUAGGGGCUUAAUUAUGGGCAAUUAGAAGAUGGCAACGGGAAUUAAAAAAAAUAAAAAAUAAAAAAGGGAAAGUGAUUUUCUCGGAUCAGACACGGGCAGACCGCGCAAUCGUGCGGAAACGGUACACGCUCCUUGUUUAUUCAAUUGAGCUGAAAUGUUAAAGAGAGUUAGUCAACAGGCCGACGUAACUUGCGUAAAAAUUUUAGGCCGAACAGCUAUUGUGAAAUCCACUUUAACAUUUAGGCGGCCCAGUACAGGAUCAGCCGAUGUUUCUUAGAAAAAUACAAAUUAAGGAAACUACACUUAGAAUUAGUCCAUGAACUAUAUCAUUAGAAAAGAGACUCGAAAACGCUCAUCUCGAUGCUUGCAAUCUUUUGAGCUUGUUUGGGUCUUUAAUUGAUCAGGAGAAGCCAGUUCAAAAUUAUCGAGAAGAAAAUUGAGUCCAAGUAAGAACCAUAGAGUCGCUGUCAAUCAAAAUAAUAGCCAUCGGCCUGAGGUUCUCAUGAGACAUUGUCCCUAGUUGAAGAUUGUCGGAGAUCCCUAAUCUUCAUAAGAUAAAUGGAUGACUUACUCAUUUUGAAACCUAACUAUUAAUGAACUAUCAUGCCUCUAGCUUAAACAUGCAUAAGGGACGUGGCAAGAAAAAUGAAUGCAAGAUCAUAUAAAAUGAUUAUUUUUAUAUCAACAAUCAAACGCCACCCUCAUUGGUGAAUUUGAUUGCUGAAAUAAUUUUCUUUGAAAAUACAUGAUUAUUUCAUCGGUGAAAAUCAUGUUUCAACAUGAAGUAGUCCCUUGGAUAGGGAAGAUCAGAAAUUUCAACCAAAUUGAUGAUCGAAUUAGUUAUAUAGUAAUUUUGAAAAAAUGACAUGCCAUCUUACUAAGGCAAAAGUAAGUGCAUAAUUAUUUGAUUUUUUAGGACAAAUAAGUUGAUAAAGCAGUCCAUGAAAUUCAAGAUAGAACAAGACAUCAUAAUUUUGACAGGAAUUUUCGAUCUUUGGUAGCCAGAGAUUACAUUGAAUACCAAACUUAAGUUAUAAGACUCAGUUGCAUAACUUAGUACAAGAUUUGAUUGGAUAAUUCACAUAAGUUGUUGGACCAAUAUUGAAAUUAUCAAAACGAAGAAUCUAAUUUUACCUAAUUCGAUGAAAUGGAUGUACGAGAAUCAACAUGACCAGCACGUUUACUCCAUUUCAUAGCCAAAAGAUAUCUUCUUCUUUUUUCCUUUUUAUAAUGUGGACGGCAUAUAUUUCUUUUUCUUUAUUGUUUUGGGUUGGUUUCUCGUGAAGUGAAGAGGAUAAGAGUGUAUAUUUAUAUCCUGUUUUCCACGCAAUAAUCGCAUAGGUGCAGGGUGAGCAAUAGCUGAAAGCUUGGCCAAUGGAGUACUGCCCUACUUCACCCUUUCGGCUCGGCCUCCUCCUCCCGGCACUUCUAUUUUUCCUUCUCAAUCGUUGGAAGCGCACCAAGCUUCCCCCUCAGCCCCCAGCGUGGCCCAUGAUCGGCGACAUCCUCGACCUCGGGAUCAUGCCGUACCAGAACCUCCACAGCUUCCGAGCCGAGCAUGGGCCUGUCACGUGGUUGAAGCUCGGUUCUGUGAACACCAUGGCGAUCCAAUCAGCUCAGGCCGCCGCAGAGUUCUUCAAGGGCCACGACAUGGCAUUCGUGGUUGACGGCUCUCGGCUACGACCAAGGUUAUAUAUCUUCCGUUGCAUGUAUCAUGUACAUCUCUAUAAAUUUCAAAAAGCAUGCAUAAGUAAACUUUCCACUUAAUUUUAUUUGUAGAAGUCAGCUUGAAGUUUUAAGAGUUUAGAUGCUAAUUUAGUUUUGUUAGUGAAGCAGAGUCGAAACCAAGCUUAGCAAGCACUUUAUUAAGUUUGACUUGAGCUUAAAAAAUUCGACCUUUCGUGUUGAACAUUGGUAGUUAAUAGGCCACUUUCCACAUCCGAUGCAUCGAGAUUUCAUCUUGGAUUUCUAAACUCAAGCCCUAUCAAGCAAGGGGUUCUUCGUCGGAUUCUUUCAAGCCAUUGCGAAAUAAACAAUUGGUAGAACUCUGCAUGUUAGGAGUAGGGGCUUUCUUGUACGCUUCUCUCCCCACUAUCCUUUAAUUUAAAGUGAAGUGGAACCUUUGGAAAAAGCUUUGGGUCUAAUCCGCGGGUAAAAAUUUCUCCCGAAACCUCAAUCGCGUCAUUCAUAGUAAGUCAAGUAGAGCUCAUGAAUUACUUAGAGGUCGAUUUGACUAUAUCCCUAUUUUUAACUAUUUGCACAACUUGGAGCUAUAAUUUUUUUUCAUGUCUAAUAUGUUACGCGCUGCUAUACAGUCUCUUAUUAUAAUUAAUCGUAAAAAAGUUUCAUUUUAUGGAGUGCAAGGAAUCGACUUAUCCCAAUUCCUCUUUCUCCUGACAUUUAAUGUGGUGGGCAACAUGGUUCUCUCGCAAGAUCUAUUGGACCCAGAAUCAAAGGAAGGGCCCGAGUUCUACGAUGCCAUGAACCGGGUCAUGGAGUGGGGCGGCAAGCCUAACGUAGCCGACUUCAUGCCAUGGUUGAUAUGGUUGGACCCGCAGGGGAUCAAGGCAAGCAUGGCGAAGGAAAUGGGUCGAGCCAUGAAGAUUGCUGAAGGUUUUGUAAAAGAGAGGUUGGAGGAGCGAAAGCUAAGGGGAGAGAUGAGAACGACAAAUGACUUCUUGGAUGCGGUAUUGGAUUCUGAGGGCGAUGGAAAAGAAGGCCCUCGGAAAAUUUCUUCCCAGAACGUAAACAUAAUCAUUCCGGUGAGUUUGCUCCUCCCUUCCACGUCUAACACGGCCAAAAAGGCAUGAUCAUAUAUUACCAUCUUAGAGAUAUUAGGUCAAAUUCGGUUUAUUAAGUUGUGCAGUAAACUUAAUUGACAUUUAAACAAGUAGGAUCAAGGACAAGUUUUACUAGUUAAUAUUAAAAUAAGGGAGACAAUAUUUCCACCCCUUAUUUGACUAAAUCCAACCACUUUUCACCAAAAAGGCGAAAUUUAUCUAAGUCAUUCAAUUGCUAUUUAAAGUGGUGGCUCAAACUUAUUUACUUUCUUUCUUUUUCUAGUUUUUUCUUCUCCUAUGUAGGAACCAUUUAUCAUAAUCAAGAUUUAACAUUUUUCAUUUUGGUUUGUUGUGGAUAUCCCAUGUAUAUUAAAGGCACUAUGUUUUCACUUCAUCAUUAUCAAUAUUUAAUAUGUUUCGUUUUGGUUUAUUAAGCGGCGUGGUAAAAUUAAUUGACAUUUAAACAAAAGAUCACAUCAUGCGUCAAAGACAAAUUUUAGUAGUUAAUAUUAAAAUGAGGAUGGCACUAUUUUCGCCCCUUAUAUGACUACAUCCAUCCUCUUCUCCAAAAAGAUAAAAUGGUUCUUAAUCAUUUGAUUGCAAUUUAAAGUGGUGGCUCAAACUUAUUCACUUUCCUUCCUUUUCAAGUUUUUCUUCUUCUAUUAGGAUCUAUUUAUCAUAAUAUUGUGGAUAUCCCAUGUGUGUUAAAGGCACUAUGUUUUUGCUUUAAUAGUACAAUUUACUUAUGUAGAAACUAAUAAAGAAAAUUUUCAUUAAAUCAAAUUCAUUUCAAUGUUGUCUAAAAAAUUUGUUGUGCGUGUCACCAUUAAAUCAUUUCUUAUCAAUUUGUUCACAUAUACAUAUAAUGGGAUGAUCAACGAAAAAAAAAACCUACAAAUAAUUUUUGAAGUAAAAUCAUAAUUACGUUCUCCAAUGUAAAAAUUUUAAAAGGUAAAAUGUAAUUAAAUCACAAUUCUUAUUAAAUGAGAAAUGUCUUUUUAAAAAUUCAAGUGAAAUCUCAUCAAAUGGGAAUAACGAAAAUUAAUAUCAUCCAUGAAGUGUUUCUGAAAAAAGAAGAAGACCUAAUAAGAAAAGGUUUGACGGUGAUAUACAUAACAAAAAUAAAAGUUUAUGAAGAUGAGAUUGUUAGAAAAGUUGUCUAUACUAAUCUCUAGAUUCUAUAUGACAAUUAAUCCAUUACUUUGCUCAACAAUGUAAAAAAGAAUCAGGUUUCUUGGAAAUUUUUCUUUUCAACAUAACUUAUUCUGCAAAAGUAAAAUUUAAAAAUAAAAAGAAAACAAAAUGCCUCCAAUAUACACAUUCUAGCCAUAUUAAAUAAACACAAAACAUGUGAAAGUUUAAUUAUGGUGUAGAUUCUAAAUAAUAAUAGAAUAAGAAGGAAAAAGAAGGAAAGUGGAUAAAUUUGGGUCUACCACUUUAAAUUGCAAUUUAAUGAUUGAGGGCAAUUUUGCUUUUUUAAUGAAAAAUAGGGUGGAGUUAGUUAUAUGAGGGGUGGAAAUAGCGCAACCCUUAAAUAAACCAUAAAUCAAUCUGGUGUUUUCCUAGAGCAUUCGAGCUAGUUAUUAUAAAAUGAGUGGGAAUUGGCCAAACCAGGAUAGAAUAAAAAAAAUCUAUAUACCAGUAUCAACUUUUUGUUAUGCAAUGUUCUCUAAAAACUCAAAGUGUUAAAGGUUUUCAUAAAUAGUAAGUAGUUGUUGAAAAUGCUAUUUCAAUUGUGGAAGGUAUCAUUGGACCUUAGUAAACAAGUCUUAAGCCUAUAGAAGAGGUUGGAUUGAGAUCAACAAUCUUAUUCAAAUUGGAACACAAAAUGAGUAAUUCUUUUGUGAAUCUGUCGGCGCUCUUAACAUUUGUUUGUCAAUUCGAAGCAUAUAAAUUGCUAUGUUUGAUUGGGAUUUUUUAUCAGGUGAAGCACGAGAACUUUUACUAUUAACCCGACGAUUCAAGAGAGUGAUUUUCAAGCGAGAUAUAAUUUUUUAAUGAUGGCACAAGAAUCAAUAUUAGUGAUAUUCUAGCUAGACAUUAUAGUAUAUUAAAUGGGUGUUUUUUUUUUUUUUGAAUGGAAACCUUCAUUCAAUUUAUAGAAACAUUGCAUCCCGCUUCCCUAGCAUCUGAUAUAAGUAGAUCUAACAAAAUAGGUGGGGGGAAAGUAGGCCAAGAAGAAGGUAAAGACCCGCGCAACUCAGCCCUGGCAGCCCAAUCUGCGAUAGAGUUGGCUAAACGACGACAAAACCUAAUUUGGAGUCGAGAGAAACAGGGGUGGAGAGUAGUCGCUUCAGCAAACAUCGACCGAACCUCCCAUGGCGUCGUCUGAGGAUCUGUAAUUGCUUCGACCAUUGUAAGGCAAUCCGAUUCAACAAUCAGCGGAUCACUAGAUUUGCCGAGCCGCAAAAGAUGGUGCAGCGAUGACUUGAGUGCGAAGAGUUCAACCUGCAAAGCUGAGGUAGCAGUAACUCGACAACUAUAUCCUUCCACCAUUUUGUUAGGGAAAUCCCUUAUGAUGUUUUGAAGAUGACAAAAUAAAUCAAAGGCUACUAACAUGUUUAAUGGUUAAGUAAUAGACCAUGCAGAUGAUAGAACAUGUAAAGGAUAUUGUCAAAGUGUGAAGACGACCAGAAGACUGAACGUAACACAUGUCCAAAGUAUAUUCUGAAGAUUUCCAGACCUCUGUGUCAAAGUCUGAAGACUGCCAGACUUUAGUGUCAAAGUCUGUUCUACAUCAGAAGUCUGCUCAUUCUGACAUAUUCCAGACUGAACGUGAAUGAUGAACCAGAAGAUAGACUCUAUGUUGGAGCUGAACUUAUUCAGACGGUGUUCAGACCAUAAAGCUAAAUCUGUUCAGAAGCAGAUAUGUUCAGACCCAGAUUGUAAAGUCUACAGACUCAGAUUGUAAAGUCUAUUGCUUUCAGACUUUACAUCCAGAUUCGAUGAAACAUAACUCAAGCCCAAUCAUAUAACGGCUAGUGAACUGGUUUGGAUUCUACAUCAAGAUUGAUUUGAUUGAUUCAAUCUAAUUGAUUGACGAUUGGAUCUUGAAGACAAGAACUUUCUAUACGAAGAAGCUUUACUUAUGGAAACCAAGAUUCCGUUUGUAUGGGCAAUCGGAAUCAAUUUGGGAUUCUACCUUUGUCACUCAACGGCUACCAAAUCUUCUAGAUACAGAGCUGUCCAAUGGGUAUAUUGGAAGACGAUUCUCCGGGAUAUUGUCCAACGGGUAGUUUGGAAGUGGAGGAGUAUUUAAGGAGAUGAAGGACCGAUGAGCAAGUAAGAGACGGAGCGUAGAAUUUAUAAUUCCAAAGUCUGAGCGACUUUCGAUCAUAUACUUGUCUCUUGAGAGCUUAAACGUUUGUAAUCGUGAGAGAAAUACCAAAAGAGUGACUUAGUGAGAUAGUGUGAUCUACUACUAAGUGUUUGCACUCGAAGUUGUAAUCUCUUGUUGAUUGCAUAUUGGAAUCCAGCCAAGAAGGCUGUUAUCGUGGGAGAGUGGACGUAGGCUUGGAUUAAGCCGAACCACUAUAAAUCUUGUGUUCUUAUUCUCUUCCCUAACUCCUUUAUUUUGUUCAUACUAGUACUCUCACAUUUUACCUAUAUGAUUUCUACAAAUGUAAGCUAUGGAUCCUGUGGUAUCUGCAAUCUGAAAAGCCCCAUCAAUAUUGAUCUUCAGCACCCCUGGAUUAGGGGGUUGCCACAGAGAGCAUGGAUCGGAAAGAUUGAUUCCUGAGGUUGUCGCGAUAGAGGAGGUAUGCCGGUUUAAUCGGGCUAAUCGAAACUGAGCGAAAGCAGCUUCAACCACAAAAGAAGGAUCGGGCUUCUGACCACUAAAGAUAAACCUAUUUUGCGCCUUCCAUAUUUGCCAGAGGAGUGCAGCGACAACAUCCAUACCAAGUAAGAGCUGUUUAUGUUAGAAUUUGUCUACAAUCCAAUCUACAAUGCAUUGUGAAUUUGUUUGUAGCAUAAUGAUAUCAAUCUUAGGGUGAGACCAGACCGAGUUAAUCCACGGGCAUAGUAGAAAAAGAUGCUCGAUCAAUUCAGGGACUUCCUAUGUACAUAAUAUGCAUUUGGGGGGUUAUGAACUGAUAUGUUUGUUAUAAAGAUUGGCUUUGGUAGGCAGAGCAUUCUGACAAAUAGACCAAAAGAAAAGUCUAAUUUUGGGGACAGUUUUAAGAUUUCAAAUACUCUUCCAAAUUGGCUGAGAUGGCUGAAUGGAAGAUGAUACACUAUGAUCUAUUGUGAGAAGGGCUGAGUAUUUGAUUGAAUGAUAUGCACUCUUCACAGAAUACUGACCAAGAGGAGUAGCUAUCCAAAUUAGCUGAUCUUUUGUACAAUUAGAUCUGACUGGAAUGUUAAGAACUUCUUUGGUAACCUCAACAUCAAAUAACUAUUGAAGUAGAGGAACAUUCCACCGAUUGUGAUCCGGCAACAUCAAAUCAGCUACCCUUCGUAGCUCAUUACUAUUUGCAGGUCCACCGAGAGUUCCCCUAGGUAGCCAUCGAUCUUCACGAAUUCAAAUCUUUGUUCCAUCCCCCACCGACCACUGUAGCUUUGGUAAAAUUGAGUCCCUCCCUAUUAGUAAGCUCUGCCAACCCUAGGAAGGGCGGUUACCUUUGGCUGCACAACUAAAAUCUUGUGAGUGGAAAUAAAGACCUUUGAAUAGCUUACUCCAUAGGGAUAAAGGAUACUUGAUUAGUCUCCAGGCCUGUUUACCAAGUAUUGCUUUAUUGAAAGCAAUUAGAUCUCGGAAUCCAAAACCACCCUACUCCUUUAUGUACUUUAGUGACUCCCAAUUUCUCCAAUGAAUACCCUUCUUUGUACCAUCAGAUUGCCACCAAAAUCUCGCUAUCUUUUGCUCAAUAGACCGACAAAGAGACACAGGAAUCUUAAAGAUGGACAUGGUGUAUUGAGGGAUAGCUUGAACGACACUCUUGAUAAGGACCUCUUUUCCACCUUUCGAUACCAAUUUUUCUUUCCAUCCAUCUGAUUUUGAGUUCACUCUUCCCAAAAUCCAUGCAAACAUAUCUCGCUUAGAACAACCCCAAUUUGACGGGAUACCUAGGUAUUUUCCAGUCUUAUGAAGCACAGGAAUUCGAAAUUGGUGUGCUAGAUUGUCCUUAAGUGUAGUAGGACAGAAUUUACUGAAGAAGAUGUUUGUUUUAUUCCCGAUUGACUGCCUAACCAGUAGCUAAGCAAUAUUGGGUUCAAAAUGUUAGCUAGAUUUUGACAUUUCCAUAACUUUUCCCGUCUAAGAAAAGAUUGCAUCAUUUGCGAAAAAUAAAUGAGAUAAGGUAGGACACCAUCUAUUCAAUUGGAUUCCCUUAAGAUGACCCAUAUCAAUGGCUUGAUGUAUUAAAGUUGACAAAAGAUUCGCCAUUAGUAUGAACAGGUAAGGGGAAAGAGGAUCACCUUGUUGAAGGCAGCGCAUAGGAUGGAAGUAGUUAAGUUGAUCUCCAUUAAACUUGAUAGAUAUAGAUAUUGUCGUUAUACAAUGCAUCACCCACUGCACCCAAAUGGGAUGGAAACCUAGUCUGAGAAAAUAGUCUUUCAAGAAGUCCCAUUCCACUCUGUCAUAAGCUUUUUGCAUGUCCAUUUUUAAAAUUGCCUGAAAAUUCUACUUCCUAUUCCGAGUCUUCAGUUGGUGUAGCACUUCCUGAACUAUUAAUAUGUUGUCCUAGAUUUGGCAACCACUCACAAAAGCACUUUGUUCGGUAGAAAUCAAGUCAGGUAGGAGGGAUUUGAGUCUAUUAGCAAGGACUUUGGAUUUAUUUUGUAAGAAUAGUUACACAGGCUUAUGGGCCUAUAUUGGUCCAGGCUUUACGAGUUAGGGACUUUUGGGAUCAAAGAGAUAAUGGUCUUGUUUAGAUCAACGGGCAUAACUCCUGUUUGAAAAAACUUCUAGACGGAAAGAAUAAGCUCUUCCUUUAGGAUAUCCCAAUGAGUUUGGUAGAAGAGACCGUUUAAUCCAUCAGGGCCUAGUGCUUGAGUUUUACCCAACUAAAAAGUAGCUUUUCUAAUCUCUUCUGAUGUGAUCGCAGCAACUAAUUUGACAUUCAUUUCAAGUGUAACAACACUCGAACAUUGAUCCAGGAUGGGGCCAUAGUCUCGGUGUCCUGCUGACCUAUAAAGUUUUGAAUAUAAAGCCAUAGUCAUAUCCUUGAGAGUGUGAUCAUCUCUAACCCAUUCUUGGUUGUGAUCUAGUAACAUACUAAUCUUGUUCCUUUGUCGUCGCUGAAUAGUAGUUGCAUGAAAGAAUUUGGUAUUUUUGUCGCCCCACUUUAGCCAUUUUAUUCUAGAACGCAUUGCCCAAUACUGCUCAUCUUGCUACCAUGCCGCUUGUAGCUCUUGCUUUAAAUUUGCGGCUAAAUCUCUAUCAUAUGGACCGCUUGUCUGAUUAGUUAGAAAUUGUAAUUACUGUUGCAAAUCUGAGAUCUGUGAUUUGGCAUUAGAAAACUUACAUCGACUCCAUUUAUUUAGAGCUAAGCUGACCAGCCGAAGUUUGUGUGGCAGAUUGCGCCCAAUUGUCAUAGCCAAGGCCCAUGAAGUGGCUAUUGUGCUGCUACAAUCCUAGUGCUCUAUCCAAUAGGCCUCAAACAGAAAAGGUUUACAUCUUUUGCUUUGUUUGGCUUCUGUAUUUAAUAGCAGAGGGCUAUUGUCGGAGCCCACAGCAGGUAAUGCAAAAACCUCAGCUUCAGGGAAAGUUAGUCGCCAAUUUAGAUCACAUAGCACCCUAUCUAACCAUUAUUUUACCAAGUCAUCACCCUGACAAUUAUUCAUCCAGGUAAAAGCACAACAUUUACUAUCAAGAUCCAUGAGUGAACAAUCAUGUAAUACUUCUCUAAAUGAAUGUAUUUGAUGUGAGUCUGUUAUUCGUUUACCCACUUUCUCCUAUUGAGAGAUAAUCUCAUUAAAGUCUCCAGCACAAACCCAAGGUAAAGAGUUGAUGGAUGCAAUUUGGCAAAGAGUUUUCUAGAACAGUUGGCGAGAUUGAAACAACACCGGUGCAUGUAAGCAAGUUAACUUCAUCGUUAUACCUUUCCUUGAAUUCGUACAUAUAGUAUCAAAAAAGUGCUGAGUUGAGUCUUCCACUUGUAGGGAAAUAUGAGACUGCCAAAACAUAGCCAGUCCGCCAGCGAGUCCUAUAGGAUUAAUCAAGUGUGAGUUUAGGAAGUUAAGUCUAUGCUGAAGUCUAGUUAGUAUAGCCUUUGUGUUCUUCGUCUCCAUCAAAAAAACCCAGGUUAGGCUUCUCUUUGACCACAAGGACCUUAAGGGCUUGAACUGUGAGGGGGAAGGCCCAGUCCCUAACAAUUCCAACUGAGUAGCUUCAUUUUGCAAUCGGUGGCAUUUUAGGCAAAGCCACCUCAACCCACUUACCGUCAUCUUCAGCCGAAAUAACAUGAGUUUCCAUAAGUAAAUUUUCAUCAAGACCUUCAAAUAAGGGAAUAUGCGAGUCAUGGGGAAUUUGCCUUUUUAGUUUCUUUGCAAUCCUUUCCUUGGUCGAUAAUCGAGUAUACUUUUGUUUCUUUUUUUAUACAUCCUCCAUAAUCUAAUUCUGAUUGCCUUGCUGUUGUAUAGGUGAAGGAGGUAGUGCUGCGUUUAUGGAAGUCACCGGCAAAGUACUUGCUUGAAGGAGUGGCUGAAGCAGAGCAGCCGCAUUAGAUUGAAUUACCGAGCUGUGAUAAUGCUGAUAAUCUGUGUCCCUGUCCUUAAUAGUUAGUGGGACUUCUUUUACUCAUUUCAUCUUUUGUGCAGUAGGUAUAAUAGCGCUAGUUGAGGGAAUCGCAGACUUUUGGCCUUCAGGACAAAGGCACAGGUUAUGCUGUUGAUGCACUGAUGAGUGAGAGUAUAACAUGUCGGUCUUGAUUGAUGUUCCACUAUUGUAACUUCUAUGGGAGGUAACGCCGGUAGUUUUGUGUUCACUGAAGGAGGAGUUUCAGGUAUCACUUCUUUAGUGUCUUCAGAAUUAGCAUUCAUCCCAUAAAAGAUAAGCCAAUAGGGACUAUGUUCCUUGACCUCUGCUCUUAACCAUUGUCCAAAUGACAUUUUCUCUUUGCCUGUCAAUUUCGAUUCAUUGAAUGGGAUUUCUUGAUAAUAAGUAGCAUAGUGUCCUAGUCAACCACAGGAGUAGCAAAAAUGAGAAAGUCGCUUAUAACAAAAAUCAAGCUAGAUAGCCUUACCAGCUAUUCGAAUUAACUAUCCUAUUUUCAAUGGUUGACCUAGAUAAGGUUCUAUCCGAACAUAGCCAGCUCUGAUAGUAGUUCCCUCCUUUUUAUCAAUUUUCACCUCCAAUACUUUGUUUACACUCUUUACCGCUUUACAAAGCAUUUGGUCUGAACACCACUCAAGGGGUAGUCCAAAAACUUGUACUCAGAAUGCACAAGUAGUAAAAUCAUAGCAAUGUAAAUGUGUAUUUGGUCUCCAAGCCUUAAGUAUUACCAAAUGACCAGCAAAGUUCCAUGGACCACCCUCUAAUACUCUCUGUUUAUCAAUUUCUAAUUUGAAAGUUGCUACAUAAAGCCCAGCUUCACGUUGGGUAAUUUCAACUUGUUCUAUCCGCCAAACUCGCCUCAGAGUAUUUUGAAGAGCUUGAAGAUUGAUAGAAAGAUUUGAAAGAAUUGUACCUACAAACACAUUUCGGCACUCUUGUAGCUGUUCCAUCGGAGGUGAUUCGUCCCAGACCUCAAUAUCGUAGUCAGACCACAAACGACCCAUUCUGUGACUGAGGGCAGCCAGUCACGAUUCCUCUUCCUGAUGAUGGGAAUCCAUAAGUAAAUCCCCAAGGUAACGGCUGAAUUAGGUCAGAAAGGAUUCGGACAUGCUGGGGCGAUGGCGAAAAAACUGUAUAAGGAGAGGAAAAUGGGGAAGAUUUAGGGAGGAGAACAGAAGAUGGUGGAUAAUUCAAGGAAAAUUGGCAUCGUUGGUGUAAUUGAGUCUAAAAUUGAGAAUCAGACUGAACGAGGGUUGGAACCAGAAAUGCGAAGGAGAUGAAGAAAAGGACUGAAAGAGCAGUCAAUUGCUGGGUCAGAGCCAUCGGUAGCUGGGUUCAAUCCAUCUACAGCAGGGGGAUUACCAGUGGGGUUUGAGAUGAGAACUACCAUUAAUGGUAGAUAUGAACUCUGCAUGUCGAGAGAGAGCUUUAGAGAACUUGGGAUCGUCUAUAUUAAAUGGGUGUCUUUGAUGGUGUAGGAAAUGUUUUUCGCUGGAUCAAAGACUACAAGCAGCACCAUCGAGUGGGCGAUGGCGGAGCUACUCCGCCAACCCGAGUCCAUGAAAAAGGCCAAAGAUGAGAUUGCCAGGUUGUGGGGUUGACCAGAAAGCUCAAAGAAAAUAACACGGAAAAAAAACCCUUUUUGCAAGCUUUGGUGAAAUAAACCCGGAUGCUUUAAGGGAAACCAGAUUCAUGGGAUUUGAUAUACCCAAAGAUACACAGGUUUUGGUGAAUGCGUGGGGAAUUGGAAGAGACCCGGAUGCCAAGGAGGACGCAUUGGCGUUCAAACCAGAGAGGUUCCUAGGAUCUAACACUGACUUCAAGGGUCAAAACAUCGAGCUAAUUCCAUUUCGAUCAGGCAGAAGAAUGUGCGUCGGACUUUCAUUGGCGCAUAGGGUGCUUCAUCUGGGUCUUGCAACGUUGCUUUACCAUUUCAAUUAGGAACUGGGUGGUGGUUUGACUCCGAAGACCCUAGACAUGAGAGAGUGGGUCGGAAUAACACUAAGGAAGCUCCAUCCUUUGAAAGUGGUACCUAAGAAAUGUAGAGUGUGAUGUCUUUGGUAUAUUAUCCAUAGUAACUAGUUAUUGACUGGUAGUAAAAGAAAUGACAAGACAUGAUGCCAUGUACCAAAAACCAGCACAAGAAGUGAGAUUUUCAUGAAUAUAAUUUCAACAUAUAAUUACCCUAAGUAUAUAAGCACUGAUGUCUUCGGGAAACUACUGUUGGAGAAAACUUCCUUGAGUGUUUUGAAGUUGAGAAAACGUUUCCAUCAGUCUAGUCUGAAGAGUUGCAGACUCUUCCAUCAAAGUCUAAAGACCUCUGGACUACCAGACUCAAGACCCAAAGUCUAUCCUCAUUGACAGUUUCUAGAUUGUCGAAGAAGGCUUAUCCAGAACUGAGUAUUUCGUUGAAGAUUUGAUUCUAUCGACUGAAGAAGAUCUCUUGGUUGGAUACAGGAUGUCGGAAUCCAUUAUUCAAAUUGAGAUUGAUUCAGAGAUUUUGGAUCCGUUGAUUAGCAAAGUAUACUUAGAAGGUUCUACUUAUGGAAACCUAGAUCCUGAUUGUAUAGGCGAGUAGGAUUGGUGGGCUAUCGUCCUUAAAUAACUCGAAAUCUCCCUAAUUGAUUAUGUCCAACGGGUAGAUUGGAAGAACUCCUUUGGUAAGUGCCAAUGGGUGUGAUGGCAUGAAGGAGUAUAUAAGGAAGACGUUCCAGUUGUUCAAGUGUGUGCGCAAUAGAAGAAUUCCAAAGUCUAAAGCUCCUUGUUCUUAGUCAAUUCAAUUGUUGAGCAAAAUCUUGUACUCAAAACAGAGUUUAUAUCUUUGUGAGACCUUGAGAAAGUGUAGUAGAGCCUCUACACUGUGGAAUCAAGGAAGAGCUUUACUAUAACAACUCUUUUAAUUCAUAGUGAAAUCCAACUAGUGGGCUAUCAGUGCAGAAGAGUGGACGUAGGCUUGGAUUAAGCCAAACCACUAUAACCAUGUGUUCUUAUUCUCUUCCCUACGCUAUUUUACUUUGAUCGUAACUCAAUUUGUUUACAAGAGUCUAAUUUCCUUUUCAUAAUUUAUUAUUGAUUAGAGUUACACACUUCUCUCGGGGAAAUUUGUUUUUACACAUAUUCACCCCCCUCUAGGUGCUCGUACUAGCUUUCACAAUUUGUAUCAGAGCUUGUGUACUCACUUAAGUUGAAGUGUUUUACUUCAAAGUUAAAGAUCUAUGGCUAGUAUGUUGACUUAAGGUCUGGUUGAAGGGCAAAGCAAUGUCAAACCACCUUGUUUUGAUGGAAAGGAAUACAACAUAUGGAAAAACAAGAUGAAAGCAUUCCUAAGAUCAAAGGAUCCUCUGGAAUAGGAUGUGGUAGACAAAGGAAUCAUUCCUAAAACUGCACCAGUCUCAAAAAAAGGAAAAGAAGCUGUUGAGUCUAGUGAAAUUACUCAAGAAGAGAUAACCAAGAGACAAGCUCUUAAUGCAAAAGCAAUUUAUUCUUUAUAUUGUGCAUUAUCUCCUACUGAAUAUAACAAAAUAUCUUCUUAUGAAACAGCUAAAGAAGUCUGGGAUAGAUUACAUAUCACCUAUGAAGGAACUAAUCGAGUAAAAAAAACCAUAAUCAACAUUCUGCUCGGUCAAUAUGAAGCAUUCAAGAUGAAACCAAGAGAAUCUAUCAAUGACAUGUUUAGUCAUUUUACAGAAAUCGUGAAUGGUCUUGAAUAUCAAGGUCAACCAAUUUCUGGACCCAUGAAGGUAAACAAGCUACUGUGUGGACUGUCCAAGGAUUAGAAUCACAUAAGACCUCAAUAAGGGAUACACAAAGAAUCAUGCCACUCUCUAUUGACGAAUUGGUUGGGACUCUUCAGUCUUAUGAAGUGGAGCAAAUCAAUGAAGAUGAAGAUCCUAAAGGUAAGAAAUCUAUUGCAUUAAAAUCUAAUAAUGAUUCUAAUGUCACAGAUUCUGAAGACGGUAUGGAUGAUGAAGAGCUUGCUCUCAUAAUAAGAAGAUUCAAAAAACUAAAUAGAAAUGGGAGAAAAUUCAAUCCAAAUAAACAAUUUUUUCAAAAGCAACAGAUUAAGUCAGUUGAGGAUGAUGAAUCCAAUAAAGACGUAGUCUGCUUUGAAUGCAAGAAAAAGGGACACAUCAGACCCAACUGUCACAUUCUAAAGAAAAAGAAAGGAAAAGUUGAGAAAUAUCGAAAGGCAUUAAAGCAGAAACUUGGAGUGAUACAAAAUGUGAGGAAAGUGAUGAUGAUUAUGCCAAUAUUUGUCUCAUGGCACAAUUAGACUCAAAUUCAGAUUCAGACUCAGACUCAGAAAGUGAAAUCGAGGUAAGUAAUUUAAAAAUCCCUACUAAAGUUUCUAGAUACAUUGAUGAAUUGUGUCUUAGUCUCAAAACCUCUCUCAAAAGGAUUUCUGAACUUAAAAAGAAAAAUUCUGCACUUAAACAAUAGGAAAAUGUUCGGAAAUAAAAGGUCAAAAGUUUAGACAAAAGUGUUACUACUUUGAAAGAAAAUGCAAACAACAUUUCAAAAGAAAAUGCAUUCUUGAAAAAUGAUAUCUCAAGUAUUUCUAAAAGAUUUUCUACAAGAUCUGAGAAAUUUGAAAAAAUUCUUUCAAUACAAAGACCUUACUUCAACAAAUCAGGUUUAGGAAUGAUUGUUGAAACCAUUCCUCUAAUUGAUUUUCCUAAAGUAAAUGAAAGAAUUAAGCAAAGACCUACAAGAGAUUCUUACACAAAUCAUUUCCAAAAAGUUUUUGUAAAACCUGUAGGUCGCAGUGCUCUUAAAUGAUCUAAGUGCAAUAGCUCAUAUCAUUUUGAGAAAUAAUGUCUUAUGGUUUAGAAGCCUAUUAAGAAGGUAUGGACAAAGACUGUAUAUUACACUAAUACUGAUGGACCCAAGAAAAUAUGGGUACCAAAGAAAGCUUGAGUCUCUUUUUUAAAUGCAGGUCACUAUCAAGAAAAAUGUUAAAUGGUACUUGGAUAGUGGAUGCUCAAGACAUAUGACAGGAGAUUCAAAUUGCUUCAUAAAACUUAUACAAGUUAAUGGUGGAAAAGUUUCUUUUGGAGGAAAUAGCAAAUGAAGAAUUGUGGGAUAUGAAACUUUAAAGAUUGGAAGCUCACGAUCAGUAAUGUUUCCUUAGUAGAAUGACUCAACUACAACUUGCUGAGUAUCAGUUAGCUAUGCGACACUAGUUUCAAAAUCAACUUUCAAGAAGGAAUAUGUUCAGGAACUAGUAAAGACUCCUCUCAGUCUUUCAUGAGGCGAAGACAUGGGAUAUCUAUCUUUUGGAUAUCAAACCAGAUGAAACCCAAUGUCUAAUCUCAAUUCAAGAGGAAGCAAAUUUAUGGCACAAAAAACUUGGGCACAUCAACAUGAAGCAAAUAGCCAAAAUCUCAGUAAAUAAGCUUGUUCAUGGACUACCCAAACUAACAUACCAAAAGUCUGAUCUAUGCACACCAUGUGUGUUGGGAAAACAUGUAAGAAACUCAUUCAAACCAAAAAAAUCAAGUAUCCACUAAUUGUGUACUGUAGCUCUUGCAUAUGGAUCUCUUUGGACCAACCAGAACUAAGAGCAUUGGAGGUAAGAAAUACUACCUAGUAAUUGUGGAUGACUAUUUAUGAUUCACUUGGGUAUAUUUCCUGGCAAGUAAGUCUAAAACAUUUUCUUAUUUUAUAAAGUUUGCUAAAAAUGUCCAAAAUGAGAAAUUAUAUGUUAUUUCAAGUAUACAGACAGACCAUGGAGGUGAAUUUGAAAAUCAAGACUUUGCAAAAUUCUGCGAUGAAUCUGGUUUUCAGCAUGUGUUCUCUUCACCAUAUACUCCAGAGCAAAAUGGAGUCGUGGAAAGAAAGAAUAGAUUGCUGUAGAAAAUGGCUAGAACUCUUUUAAUUAAAAGCAACAUCUCUUCUCGUUUUUGGGCUGAAGUAGUUUCUACAAUGUGCUAUAUUAUUAAUAGUCUUUUUAAGGCAUAUUCUGAGAAAACUCCCUAUGAGUUAUUCAAAGGAAAUAAGCCAAUUGUUUUGUAUUUUCAUGUGUUUGGAUGUAAACGUUUUAUAUUGAAAAAUGCAAAUGAUCGAGUUGGUAAGUUUGAAGAAAAAUCAGAUGAAUGUAUCUUCCUUGGAUAUUCUAUUACAAGCAAAGCUUAUAGAGUAUACAACAAAAAGACUCGAUUUGUGGAGGAAUCGAUGAAUGUCAAAUUUCAAGACUUUAUGAAAAAUCAAUUGAUUCAAACUCAAUUUGAAGAAUCUGAACCUGCUCCAGACUCUACAAAGUCUAAAUCUCCAGAAGUAGCUCAGACUUCAUAAGACUAGCAACAAAUGAUCGUCGAAGAUUCAAAUGAGAAAAAUGAUCAACAAUCUGACAAAUCAACCAACAAAUGGAAGCAUAAGUCCAGUCAUCACAAAAAUCUCAUUAUUGGUGAUAUUAAUGAAGGAAUUCGCACAAAAUCCAAAAGGCGUGAAGAGUCUAGUGCUGUGGCUCUUAUUUCUGAAAUAGAACCCAAAAGUAUAGAAUAAGCUUUAACUAAUGAAAGCUGGAUUGAAGCUAUGCAAGAAGAACUCAAGCAAUUCACUAUCAAUGAUGUAUGGGAAUUGACUUCUAAACCGAAAGGUAAAUCUAUCAUUGAAGCUAAAUGAGUUUUCUGGAACAAGAUGAACGAGAAAGGAAAAGUCAUAAGAAACAAAGCAAGACUCAUGGCCAAUGGAUAUACGCAAAAAGAAGGGAUAGACUAUGAUGAGACUUACGUGCCAAUAGCAAGGUUAGAAGCAAUUAGAUUAUUACUUGUUUUUGCUUGUCAUAAGAAUUUCAAGUUAUUCCAAAUGGAUGUCAAAAGUGCUUUCCUAAAUGGAUUUAUCCAAGAGGAAGUCUAUGUGGAACAACCACCCGCUUUUGAAAACCCAAGGAAACCAUACUCUGUAUUCAGACUGAAAAAGGCUUUAUAUGGUUUAAAGCAAACACCUCGAGCUUGGUACAACAAACUAAGUAAGUUUUUAAUUCAAAAUAGUUUUGUCAAAGGUAAAGUAGAUACUACAUUGUUUAUCAAAAUAGAAAGUAAAAGUUUUUUUCUUGUUCAAAUUUAUGUUGAUAUUAUUUUUGGAUCUUCUAAUGAAAAUCUGUGCAAGAAAUUCUCUAAGUCUAUGCAGGAUGAAUUUGAAAUGAGUAUCAUGGGUGAACUAACCUUCUUUCUUGGGCUUCAAGUGAAACAACUAAAGGAGGGAACCUUUAUUCAUCAAGAAAAAUAUGCUAAAGGACUGGAGAAUUGCAAAAAGACUGAUAUACCAAUAUCAAGUUCUUUGAAGCUAGACAAAGAUGAAGGAGGAAAGAAAGUUUACUAGAAGCUAUAUAGGAGUAUUAUUGGUUCACUUCUUUAUCUUACUACUUCUAGACCUGACGUUUUGUUUAGUGUUUGUAUUUGUGCCAGAUUUCAAUCAGAUCCUAAAGAAUCUCAUUUAAGUGUUGCAAAGCGUAUAAUCAAAUACAUUGCCUCAACUUCAAAUUUAGGUCUCUUAUAUCCUAAAGAAUGAGACUUCACUCUUCUUGGAUACUCAGACGCAGAUCUAGCAGGAUGCAGAGUUGAUAGAAAGAGCAUCUCGGGCACCUAUCAACUACUUAGAAACAAGAUAGUGUCUUGGUUUUCAAGGAAGCAAAGUAUCGUAACUCUUUCUACGGUAGAAGCAGAAUAUGUAACUCUAAGAAGUUGUUGUCCACAAAUUAUGUGGAUAAAACAACAGCUAAGAGACUUUGAAAUUGAAGAUUCAUGCACAAAGGUCAAAUGCGACAACACCAGCACAAUCAAUCUUACCAAGAAUCCGAUUCUUCACUCAAGAGCAAAACAUAUAGAGAUUUGACAUCAUUUCAUUAGAGAUCAUGUUCAAAAUGGAGAAGUUUCGAUUCAGUUUAUUGAUUCAAAGAAUCGACUAUCGGAUAUAUUUACAAAGCCUUUGGAGAAAAAUCAAUUUGAAGUUAUUCGUUCCAGACUCAAUAUCUUAAAGUCUGAGGAAGUUCAGACUCAAGACUGAAAGUCUAAACACACUCAGACUCAAACAAUCAAGAUUUAUGACUGUAAGUUACUUCUAUUUUAUAAACUUAUCUCUCAGAUCAAAUCUCGAAAAUGUACGAUCAUCUAUCCGUAAUUGAUUGAUGUUAUUUCCCAGUCUUCGUGAUUAUUGCAAUCUUUCCUUUUUGGAAAAAAAAAGAAGUUAUUUUUUAAAUGACAGUUAUCUAAUUUUUGAAAAGGCGGUUAUUUUUUUUAAAUGCAUUUUUAUAUUUCCUUUUACGACGUUCCGUAUACCACGCUUCGACUGCCUUAUAUACUGUUGGUUCUUCUUCGUUUUACUCACAAAAGCCCUAAGAGAGCACAAAUCUUCCACUUAUGUCUUCUUAUCUUGUUUAAUGCUCAAAAAGUUUUCAUCUUUCUUAUGAAACAAGCUUGGAAUCUCUCAAAGACUGUGAAAAUGUCAUCUCAAAGAAAGUCUUCGAGGAUCACAAAUAGGGGACCACAGCAAAUGCGUGAGGGACCUACACAUUUUGAUCUCACUGAGGAAGAAGAAUCUCCUAGAGAGCGGCAGAGCCCACAAUAUUCUUAGCAGCGUCCAUCUCCUCCAUCUAGACCUCAGAAUAUUGAACAUCGAGAAGAAGAAGAAAUCAUCGAAGAUGCAGAACCGGUAAGAACUCAAAAGCUCUCUUUUACUUUUAAGCUUUACCAUGCUUUGAAGAGGAGUGGUACUCCUUUGAACUAUAUUGAUGAAUUUUUGAAAGACAAAGGGUAUCGAAAUGAAACCUAUCUUUUACGCACAAUGGAACGAUUGGGAAUUGCCCCUGCGAGGCCAGCAGAAGAAACAUUUGCAAAUAUCCCAAGCGAUCCACGUGUUAGAGGAUUGAGUCAACCUGAUGGGAAUGAUGGUGAAAGGAUGUACACUCAAUUUAAACCUAGAAUGGGUGUUGCGGCGAAAAUCCAAAGCAAAAUGACAGAUUUGUUUCGUUCGAAAGAACACAAGCAACUGUACUCUAAGUUGCUAAAGCGUGGUGUGAUUAACCCUAGAAGUAUGGACUUUGAUUUUCUUGAUUCUCUAAAUGUCAAGCUGAGAGAGAAAUUCAAUCUUCUUCAACUAGAACGGUUUUGUACUAAAUUUGACAGAGGCUCAUGCUGAACUCACUGCUUANNNNNNNNNNNNNNNNNNNNNNNNNNNNNNNNNNNNNNNNNNNNNNNNNNNNNNNNNNNNNNNNNNNNNNNNNNNNNNNNNNNNNNNNNNNNNNNNNNNNUAUUGCAUCAUAGGAAUGUGACACGAUGUGCAUGCUAGAGUUUCCAAAAUGUGUUGUUUUUGAACCUAGUCUAUGGGAUCUCUAAUCACUAGGUUAGGUUUCCUCCUCAUAAUAAAAACUUUUAACCCCAUUCCUUUUGAUGUGCAGUUUACUUACCCUCCCGACAAAUCUUUUGUCAAUGGAUCCACAAUGUUUUCCAUUGACUUCAUAAAGUCCAAAGAAAUUAUUAUGUUCAAGUGCAAUUGUCUCACAAUAUUAUAUCUAUGAUGACUGUGUCUAGACUUACCAUUCUAUAUCACAUUUUGUGCCCUUGUAAUCACUUCUUAAUUGUCAUAGUGAAUGCAUAUCAGAGGCACGGGUUUUGGCCACAAUAGAACAUAUUCUUAAAAUUGCCAAAGCCACUCUACUUCUUCUGUCACAACCCGAACCCCAUCUCCAGGGUUGCAAGCGACAAGGGUUAUUUUUCCAAGCCCACGAAUACCAAUAAUCGGAAGGAUGGGAACGUGCUCUUUCAUGUUCGCAUCUAGUAAGAAUUCCAUAAUUGUCUUCUUAUCAUCAUCUCUCCCUAUAAUAUCUCCCUCUCAUGUAUAAAGGGAUGCGUCUCUUCUCUCUUCCUCCACUCUCUAUUGGGGCGCUCAUCCAAGUGGAAUCCCCUAUUAGCCUUAAUGGCUUCUAUUCUCUUCACAAUGCUCUUACUUUUUUACUCCACUUCAGUUUAAAAGCAAGUUGGUUUGAACUUUGAGAAAAAUAUCUUUACCUUCUUGAUCAUUUCAUUAUAGCCCCUUAAUUUACGUCACAUGACUUCUAUGUUGAAUUCUUCAAGCACAUCGCAUCAUAAAAAGCGUCUUUCAGUUUCUCGAGCCAAACUUGGAUUUGGCGAAUCUGGUGGUAUUGCUCUUCUGCAUCGUCCAGAAUAGCGUGAAUUGUGGAGAUUGUGUCUUUGAGCUUCGCAAGUUCGUGCUUGACGCCCCAAUAACUCUACCACUUUUUCUAUUGCUUGAGGAACCAGCUUUGCAAUGAUAUCUCCAGCAAUGUUCCCAAUGACAGCUUCCGUCAUUUUGUUCUCUCUAUCUCUCUGUGUCAAUCUCUCUGGCUCUAUCAGUGGAGCAGAAGAUAUUAUUACAGUCGUUUAUAAGGCUAGAGACUUCCAAGACAUGUACAACAAGUUCAUGUUAAAGAUGGGAAUUCUCCUCAGCCACGCGUAAUAGAAAGAUGACGCUGUCAAUAAUACAUAUGGGACCCACCUAGGUUGGGUCCAAGGUUUUGGCCUGUCUAAAGACUUUGUAUCCAACCACUGGGAUUCGCCCCAGUGGCCACCCUUCCAACAUGAAAGGGUGAGGUGAGGGGUUCAAAUCCCCACCUUCUUAAGGGGGAUGGGGUGGGGACGAGUAAGUUUCAGAAGUGGGUUUCGACUCCCACGCCCUGCAAGAGGCAGGGCAAAAGUCUGACAGUGAAUGUAGAGUAGGCAUAGAGUAGGACUGACAAAAAAAAAAAGACUUUGCGUCCAUCUAGUAUUUAGUAGUCUAGCAUGCUUGCGUGGGCAAUGACAAUGCUGGCAUUGAAGAGACAGAGAUAUUUAUUGAUUAGUUUGUUUUUAUCUAACAGUUUCCGUGGCCCAGAAGCAAAUGGAAAAGAGAGGAAUAUUUAAAUGUCAAUAAUGAGAAAUUCUUAUCAGAAUAUUGACAUAGCAUUUUUCGACAAUAUUUUUUAUUGAAAUGGCAAUUAUUUCAAAAAAAAAUAUUCAUGUAAAGUUGACGUGACUAUUCUAUUCUAAAACGACGUCAUUUUACCUCAAAAUUUGAUUUUUAAUAUAAAUAUUAAUUAAGUUAAAUUUUAAAAAAAUUGUUAUGGCAAUGCAAUGAGGGCUCGCUACUACUGCCACCCCCACCAUCACUAGAAAGGUCCGAUGACAAUGGAGCAAAGGUCGGUCGAGGUUCUCAAGCCUCAACCAAUGGCCGAUGACACUGGCCAACUAGUGGCAAGAGUCGCCGACCAUCGGCCAAAGGUGCCAAGGACCGUCACUAACUGUGGCAUGGCUAGAUGACCCUUCCCCAGCCAGCAGCGACCUUGGCUAAAAUGGGUGAGGGCCGACAACUCUCAUUGGAUUUGGGGGAGGGUUGCGAGCCAUUGCCAACAUUAGGCUAGGGCCAGGGCUCGGCACCAGUCAAUCCUCACCCCACAAUCAUCGACCCUUUCGAUGGUGGCAGAGGCAGCGGCGACAACAGCUGCAACAACAGUGGCGAGGCACUUACUACUUUGCUAAAACCUUUUUUUUAAUAAAUUUAGUUUUUUAAUUUAACUUGUUUAAUUUUUAUAUUAAAAAUCAAUUUUGGGGCAAAACCACGUCAUUUUGCACUUUUAUUGCUGAGUAGGGAACUCCGAUGAGCCACUUAGACCACAUUUAUUCUUAAAAAUAAAAUAAAAUGUAACAUCGGAUUUCUAGCUAUCAUCAUCCAAGUUGGCACUUAAUUGUCCCAAUUUCAAAAAAAAAAAGUGAUACUUAAGUAUUUUUUUGGAAGUUUUGACAUUUAAGUGUCUAUCUGUGCCAGGUUUCAAUACUUACAGUAUACUUUUGUCCAUUUUCCAAGGUAUUGUCAUCCUCUAUUCACCAUCCUAAAAAGUCGUAACCAAAUUGUAAAUGCAAUAUCAAUCAAUCCUCCAAAGUUUUUUUUGUCGUUACUCAAGAAUUAAACCUAUUUAAUAGGUAUAGUUAUUGGUGCAUAAUUUCCUAAUUAAAUUAAAUUUCCCUGCAUGUCUCUUUUUCUAAGAAGAAUGUGGCCUUAUUCAUCUUGCUAUGUUUCUUUAAGCUUAUUCGGAAGCAGUUUCAAAAAUUAUUCCACCACUCAGAUCAAUUUGAUAGCGACUCUCCCAAAUUUUUAAAUAUCGCAUUAAUUUUCAUCUUUUGGUUUUAAUACACGUGGAGAGCGAUUUUGAGGGGAUUAAUUACUUUCUAAUUUUUUAUUAAUUCAUGGCUCACUGGAUAUUGUUAUAACUAUUAUUUAAUGAAAGGUUUUGCGUAGUCAAUACAUUUAUUUAAAAUUAUUGUUUUUGGUUAAAGGCUCCGUCCUUUAUAUUUUCCAAAGGAUAGCUAGUCAUUUUCUAAAUCUUGGGAUGCAUUUGCGAUAUGACAAAGCUGAUAUUAGAACUUAAGUUAUGAACUUAGGGAAUAUUAGUUAGCUUUUAUGGGGAUCUAUGAGGUGUGAGCUGCAAUUUAUCAGUUACUCAUAUAUAUGUAUGUAUAUUUACACAUAUGCAGCCCAUGUUGGGAUGGAGAUUCUUUUCGUGAAAAUAGAAAUUUCUAUAUGCUUAGAUAACAUGGUUGAUUUAUUAAAAUUCAGAUGAGAUCUCUAUAUCUCUCAAUUCAUAUUCAAAACACUUCUUCUUAUUAUCACAUAACAUUCUCACUAUCAUUUUACUAGAAAAUUGCAGCUUGAUUAGCUAACUUUGCUCUCCUUACUAAUCUCUCAAAUUUAUUUGCUUCCUAUGAGUAAUGCUUCUACGUUAUUGCUUUAUUUAUUUAUUUUUAUUCUCUAAUUAAAUAAAAAAAAUUCAUUAAGAUCUCUUCCUAUAUUGGGCAAUACCAAAAGCUGCGCAUUUAUGCCAUGUAAAAUCCUAUAAUUAGACAUUUCAUCAUUUUCAUGCAUGUCACUCACCUUUCUAGCACACACACUUUGUGCAUAAUCUCUUACUAGUUCAACUUCCGGUGGCAAUUAUCGAUUAGUGAUGCCUGAAUUUUUUGUCGACUGGUAAAGUAUGCAUUUUUGCAAAAAUAAAAAAUGAAUAAAACAAAAAAAGAGAAAAACAAAUAAAUAAAUGGAUGAGAGAGAGUCCAAUUGGGAUAUUAUAGCUUGCAAGGAACCAAAGCCGGCCCAUCAUAUCAGCCCAUCCGGCCAUUUGAUUUCGACCCGGUCCAUCAGCGUUACCUCACAAGUCAAGCUGACCAACUCACCUUCCUAGCAAUAGACCCGUUAAACGGGUGGGUUGGGUCGAGUUUGGGUCGGAUCAUAAAUGGUCCAACUCAAAUCGACCCAUUUAAUCCAUCUAUGACCCAUUUAUUACAAUGCAAAAUUUUUUACCAUACCCAACCCUUACCCGACCCAUUUAACUAAAAUGGUAUUGCUAAAAUAUUUUUAUAAAACACAAAUUAAUGGAAAAAUUUUAUAAUUUUUAAAAUAAUUAUUUCAAAAAAAUAGAAUUUUAAUUAUUUUUAUUUUUAUUUAUAAAAUAUAUUUUUCUUUUUUCUUUUUUCUUUUCUUAUUCUUCUUCUUCUUUGGCCAGCUGCCGGCCACGACGACGGCCGACCACAGGCGCCUGGCUUGUUAACGCCGGCAAGCUCGAGGCUCGCCGACACUGACGAGGCCUCCGCCUUGCCAGAUUCGACAAGCUAGAGGCUCACCAGGGUCAGGCAAGCUUGAGCUCGCCCCACACCAGAUUUGGCUAGGCUCGAGCAUCACCGGACGUCAGCGAGGCUCAAGCCUCACCGAACGUAGGCAAGGCCUCCGCCUCACCAGCCCCUCACCAAAUUUGGCGAGGCUCGAGCCUUGCCAGACACCAGUGAGUUCGAGUCUCGCAAGAUCGACGAGGCUCAAGCCUAGUCGGGUGUUGGCGAGGCCUCCGCCUCGCCCGACACCGACGAGCUAGAGGCUCACCUGGCCGGUCGUUAACCAUUGCCGUGCCGGCGACCGGAGGAAGAAGAAAGAAAAAAAAAGAAAAUUAAAUAAAAAAAAUAAUUAUAAUUUUGGUUUUUAUAAAAAAAAAUAAUAAUUUUGUAAAGUUAAAGAGAGAAUAGAGAGAUUGUGAGGUUUUGGGUGAAAAUGGAUUCUAAAUCCAACCCAUUUAAGACCCACUUAAAACCCACCUAUCAAAGUCUUUAAUUAUUGAACCCAUUUAACUACUUUUUUCUCAAAAAACAAGUGACCCAUUAUGACCCAUUUAUGAUUUAAAUUGGUCAUAUAUGGGUCUAAGACCAAUUUUGCCACCUCUACCUGGCAGCCCAUUUCACACUCAGCUUCAAGUAGGCUCAUAUCCAUGUCCGAUUCGCUUGAGGAAAAUCUGACCAGUAGAGCUGGCUUCGUAAGCCCAUCGGAGAGAAAGGCCUUUGACUUCAAAAUAUCUCUCUCUCAUUUUAACUAAACUAGAUCAUCUGUGGAUUCUAAAAUAUAUCUAAUAAAAAUAAAAGACAAGCAUUACGCGAUCCUUGAAGAACAAUGCAAAAGUUGAUAAAAGGGAUAAUUAGAAUUUACUAAAAUGAUACAUAUUCUAUUAACAUUUAUGGAGCCAGUGAGAGAAGCAUGAGUAAAAUGACCCAGCUACUUUUACCAGGGCUUUUUGGGAUAGAAAUACCAAGGCUCGUGAUCAUGCCUUGAUCCCUAACAGCUGGGCUCGAAUUCCUUGGUGGGGCCCUUGAUGUCGAGUCUGGUGUUCAUGAUUUCAGAAAUGCUUCGAAAGGUGCUUGACCCUCAUGGGCUUGGCAAAGCAUACUAAUAGGAAAGGAUUCAAUUGAGGAACACAUGCAAUGAUCUGCGGGGGAUGGAACUCUUAUUAACAUUCGACGGGAUAGAUGGUUGGCUUUUGGAAUCAUAGGGGGACCAGCUCCUAGAGGAGAACCAGAAAAGCUUGCAGAUUUAAUGGUCCCAAACAGCAAUGAGUGGAAUAUUUCCCUUCUAAGACAGAAUUUUGAUUGUCAUAUAGUAGCAGAGAUUAUGCCUAUCCCAAUUCGGCCACAACAUACAAAGGAUAGACUUAUCUGGAGAGGCAAACUAAAUGGAUCUUUCACAGUAAAGAGCUGUUAUAAUAUCCUAAGGAAGCAACAAGUCAAUCACAACCCAAAUCAAGCGUCCUCCUCUUUUCAUAUACCUCGCAGACUGUGGAAUGCAUUAUGGAACAUGAACUCAUCACCAAAAAUACGUUCUUUCCUAUGGUCAGUAUGUCAUAAUGCUUUGCCUACUCAAGAAAACCUUCAUCAUCGACACAUUAUACAAGAUCCCAUAUGCAGUUUAUGCGAAGAUCAGGCUAUUGAAUCACCAGAACAUUUGUUCUUAUUCUGCCCUUGGACACAACAAAUAUGGGAACAUCCAGAAAUUAACAUCCAGCAGCAUAUCAGAGGAGUAAAUCGAAUAGAAGCAUGGCUGAUCAGCUUAACAGAACACAAAGGUGACCUUCCUGACUUGGAAAUGAUCGCAUCCAUCCUCUGGCACAUUUGGAAGGCCCACAAUAACUGCAUAUUUCGCUAGUAGCAACCCCAACCGCACCACAUAGUGCAGACAGCCUUAGACAGUGCCAUCGCAAAUCAGAAUCCAUCUCAACAGAAACAGAGAGAAGGAACGCAUCAAACAAAUCAACAUUCGUUUUGGCGUCCGCCAGAUCAAGGAGAAAUGAAACUCAAUAUUGAUGCAGUUUACUAGCCUCAUAGCGGAGAAGCAUUGAUCACCUGUGUUUGCCGAAGCUCAUUAGGCCUUAUCGGUGGCCGUUUCCUCGGCCCUGCAAGCAGAGGCAACGGCAUUAAACCACACGCUCCACUUCUUGUUGAACACGGGCAAAAACUCAGAUCGGAUGACCUUGGAAACUAAUUGCUCAGUUCUUGUUGAGGCAAUGUGUAACCAUGAACUACCGCCUCGGGAGAUCAGAUCUUUGCUCGAAGACUGCAUGGUGCUGCUUCAAUGUUGCCCUAAUCUUCGGAUCGUCCAUUGCAGGAGGGAAAUGAACAAGGUUGCUGACCGGGCCGCAAAGGCCCAUCAGGCCGGUUCGCUACCUGCGGAUUGGGUCUUUAAUCCUCCUUUGUUUUUGCGUGAAAUGUUGUCCUUCGAUAUUAUGCAAAAUGCUCCUUCUACUUUUCGGUAGUAAUAAUAUUAUUACCUUUCUGACCCAAAAAAAAAAAAAAGAGGACUUUGUGCUUAAAUAUUUUCUUUUAUUUUGAAAUUCAUGAUUUUGCUAUGGCAAACAUUGAAAAAUCACUUCCAUGUAGAGUAGAAGUCUUGUUGCAUCGCAACUCAAUUAGGACGUGAAAGCAUUAGUUGGCAUCGGUACACAGCACGAUUUUCUCAAGUGUAUCAUGAGAGCGUAAAAUGAAGAGGGUUGUACUUUGCGGGGGAUUUCUAUUGUCCUUAGUUUACCCAAAACGAUUACAGUCCUCUGUCUCAAUCCGAUGCGAGUACCUGCUAGAAUUUAUGGUUUUUGGUCAUGGGUCGACGUUCCUUAACUACUACUAUUCUUCGUAUGCGUCACUGACGAUUUAUUUUUUAUAGAACAAUGACAUAGUAUGGAGUUUUUCUUCAAAAGUUGUCUGCUGAGAAUCCAAUAUUGGAUUGAAGGAGACAUCUGAAGAAUGAUAACUCACUGUUAAUGGAAGAGAGACUCUUGAGUGAUUCAUAAGCAAACCGUAUUCCUUAAAUAUGUCUUGUGUGGUUAGGGGGAUACUCUUUUUGAACACGUGAACCUCAUGGAACACGUCGAAUUGCUACAUUGAGUAUCGGAGCAGGACCCCCUUCAAUAGAUGGGUGAUUCUUAGAUGGACUAAGCCAUACCAAGUGAGAGAGCUCAGACAACAUAUGAGUCUUAAUAGACUUGUAAGAUGGCAAAGAUAAUAGGAAUGAACUAGACCACACAUAUAUAUGGGCAAUAUCACGAUACGAGCCAACAUUAAAAAGGACUCCAGAUCAUUAAACUGAAGGGAAUUUGUAAUGUUUUAGAGUCUCACAUCAAUGAGAGAUGCUCUACAUUGUGUGGUUACUCAAAAUACUCCUUUGGAUAACUUGGCUUAUGUGAAAUAGAGCAAGUGGUUAUAAAUCACAAAAUAUAUAUUCAAACAUACCUAUAGAGUAUUCCUUCCAGAAGACUUGUAACUAUGUAUGUAAAUGACUCUAAUUAGCUUAUGUUUUAGAAAUCAAGGGUCUCCUUGAAUGAUGGCCAUAAUUAACUCUUUCGUGAUAUCACUCGGAUAAUUUAGGUUGUAAUUACAAAUAGUUUGCAGACAACAACAUGAAUUGUCAUUCCUACUUCCAGACAUCGCAGCACUCCGGCGCAUAAUCACGUCAUUUUCCCAUCACUGUAGAAGAAGAAGAACGACGACGACAACAACAAAAAGCUUUUGUUUAUCAAACAUUUUCCGAAGGACCGCUAAAGUCAACUCACGGCCACACAUUCGCAUGCUUUCUUCAUGUUUUGGUGACUUCAUUUCGGUUCAACCUACGCUUUUAACACCAAUAAAAGAUCCCUAAAAGAAAACAUGACUUCUUAACACACUGCACACCACCGUCCAAGACAAGCAAUCCUACACAUAAGUCAACCUUUUUCCGGACCACAAUCAUCGUUGGCUCGACCUUUCUGUUCUUCAGACGUUCGUUUACUUGUUAUUUCCUCAUAGGUUGUGUUUUCCUUAGAAGGAUCAUAAACUGAGGGACGGCUCAGACAUUCGUUUACUUGUUUUCUCAAGUCUAUUGCGUUUAGAUUCCUCAACGAAUUCACCUGAUAGGCUAAUUAUUCCGUGAGUGAUCAGCUCAGGGAAAAGAACUAUAGGCGUGUUAAUGAAAAGUCCAACUUAUUAAAUUGAAAAUAGAACCUGAAAUUCAAGAUGUCACAACUCUUCCCCUUUUAUAAAAAUUUCAUCCUCAAAAUUUAGAGUAUACAAAUCUUUAAACAAAAAGGUGAGGGUACAGUCGUCUCAUCGAAUCUUCACUUUCUUAGGUUGCUCCCUAUGUGCCAUGGUGUUACCAGAUCACUUUAACCAAUGGGAUCAUCUUUGUGCACAGAAUCUGCUCUUUUCAAUCCACGAUCUAAACCGAGAUUUCCAUGUACGACACUCUGUCGUCCAUGUCUAAUUCCUCAAAAUUCAGCAUGUGAAUCGGGUCAGGCUCAUACUUCCUCAAUAUUGACACGUGAAAGACGUCAUGCACUUACGCCAACCUCAGAGGUAAUGCAAGACAAUACGCUAAAGUCCCUAUUCUUUCUAAAAUCUCAAAGGGACCUACGUACCUCGGACUCGGCUUCCCUUUCUUGCCAAAGCACGAAGUACCUCUCAUUGGUGACACUUUCAAAAAGACGUGCUCACCAACUUGGAAUUCCAACGGUCUCCGACGCUUAUCAGCAUAGCUUUUCUGGUAGCUCUGAGCGGUCUAUAAUCUGUCCUUGAUGACAACAACUGCAUCCACUAACUGCUGAACCAACUCUGGGCCUGUGAUCUUUCAUUCUCCAACCUCAUCCCAACAAACUGGUGUUCUACACGCUCUGUUGUACAACGCUUCGAAGGGAGCCAUCUAAAUGCUCUGAUGAUAGUCGUUUCUAUAGGUGAAUUCAACGAGAUGAAGCUGUUCCUCCUAGCUUCCCUUGAAAUCCAAUACGCAAGCUCGCAACAUGUCUUCGAGGGUUUGAAUUGUCCUCUCAAACUAGCCAUCCGUCUGAGGAUGAUAAGCCGUACUGUACUGCAGCUUCAUUCCUAAAACGAUCUACAGGCUCUUCCAAAAACAGCGAUAAACCUCGGGUCUCUAUUUGAUGUAAUCGUCACUGGCAUUCCAUGCAGAUGAAUGAUUUGACGCACACACAAUUAUGCAUGCUUGUCCAAAUCAAGGUCCUUUCGUACGGCAAUAAAGUGAGCCAACUUCGUCAGUCCGUCGACUAUACCCAACUGGGAAUCAUUCCUUCNNNNNNNNNNNNNNNNNNNNNNNNNNNNNNNNNNNNNNNNNNNNNNNNNNNNNNNNNNNNNNNNNNNNNNNNNNNNNNNNNNNNNNNNNNNNNNNNNNNNGGGAUAGAACGACGGAAGGAAAGAUUUCAUAUUUGAGGAUGAAUGCCUCCAACAUUUUGCUUCACAAGAUAGUGAUCAACUACCUCAAACCCAAAUCAACUUCAAAGACCGACGUUUCAAACUCGGAGGCAAAGCUGAUGUAUGCCAUUAACGCUGGCAAAAAGUUCUCUCUUCCACACACUAUUAUAUUCCACAUGUACAAAACAAUAGUGAAGGACAAGGACCAACUUCCUUACUCAACACUUGUCACCAAGUUAUUCAGACAUUUGAACAUUCAACUUCCCCGGAUUCUUUAUGUUCAAUUAUGCGAUCAAAUGGUGGUGGGACUGAAAAUGGUCUCUAAAAUGCGUCUAAAGGAACUUAACAAGGCUUUUGAGCAAUUCAAGGUUAAAACCCCUGUUAAGACUCACCCAGUCUCUUCGGCUGCAAAGCGGAAAGGGAAGGAGCCCAUGGUUGCUCCAUCCAAGAAAAAAAGAACACUCAUCUUGGAGGAUGAAGAGGAUGAGAAUGAUAUCACGAUUUUUGCUCUUGCAUUGAAGAACUUAAGUUGUUCUGUUCUAGAGACAAAGGAGAGACAGGAACAAGACAAGGACGAGAUCGAACAGAGGACUGGAGAGAGAGAAUCAUUGGAGAAAGAAGCAUAGGAAGAAAGGAUUGAGGAAGAAGAAGAAGAGGAAAGAGGAGAACAAGAAGAAGCAAAGCAUGAAGAGUACUUCUCACCGCCUGAAGGCAUUGAAACAAGGGGAGAUCCUGAGAAAAGAGGUACGUCCUCAAUUGUUGCCACUAGUGAAGGAGUAAGUCGUUCUCCAGCAGAUUCAGAAGACAUCUAUGCCUCUCAAUUUCUUGAGGAAGGCCAUGAGGUUUCAUCGCCCAAUCUGCAUGAUCGUGCUGACUUGCCAUCAUCUGCCAAUACACCAUCUGAUCGUGCAGAAGCCAGUACUCAAACUGAUAAUUCAGCAGACUUUCGCAGAGUGCUUGAUGUUCUCUUGAAGAUGCAAGGCCAAAUUUAUGCUCUGGGAUGCGAAGUACAGAACUUGCAAAAUGUAGGUCAAGCCUCUUCAGUUUCUUUGCAUGAUCAACUCCAUGCCCUUACUCUUCAAGUUCAAGCAAAUGCCAAGGGUGAAGAUGUGGCUCAACUAAAAGAGGAUUUGAAAAAGCUGGAAGGGAUUAUCUAGUCAUUAGGAGAUUUCUAGCUUGUUUGUGUUCCCAAGCAAUCAUAAUUCCAUUCUCUUUUCAUCUCUAUUUUUUUAAUGCUGACAAAAAAGGGGGAGAGAUGUGGUGCAGAUUUGAGAUUUAAACUUUUGAACUCUUGACUUUUGUGUUUGAUUGACUUUACUUUUGUGUUUGGUUGUUUGGCUAUGAUUGGAUUUGGAUUUGGACUGUUUAAACAUUUGUUUAUCUUAAGCACUAUUGGUAUUUCAUGGCAAAGAUAGUUGCUCAUUUACAAGACUAACCUACCUUCUGUGGAUGCAGAUUUUAAUAUUAUCUUUACUAAGCCAAUUAUCCUUUGUGAAAUAUCUAUGUUUGAUUGAGUAUUGUUUUACAGGUCAAAGUUAUCCAAAUCUGCAAGAAAGUUUUGUCACUAUCAAAAAGGGGGAGAUUGUUGGAGAAAAAUUCAUUAAGUGUUUUAAAGUUGACAAAACGUUUCCAUCAGUCUAGUCUGAAGACUUGCAGACUCUUCCAUCAAAGUCUUAAGACCUCCAGACUGCUAGACUCAAGACCCAAAGUCUAUCAUCAUUGACAGUUUCUAGACCGUCGAAGAAGGCUUAUCCAGAACUGAGUAUUUCAUUGAUGAUUUGAUUCUAUCAACUGAAGAAGAUCUCUUGGCUAGAUACAGCAUGUCGGAAUCCUUUAUUAAAAUUGAGAUUGAUUUAGGGAUUUUGAAUCCGUUGAUUGGCAAAGUAUAUUUGAAAGGUUCUAAUUAUGGAACCUAGAUCCUAAUUGUAUGGGGCNNNNNNNNNNNNNNNNNNNNNNNNNNNNNNNNNNNNNNNNNNNNNNNNNNNNNNNNNNNNNNNNNNNNNNNNNNNNNNNNNNNNNNNNNNNNNNNNNNNNNNNNNNNNNNNNNNNNNNNNNNNNNNNNNNNNNNNNNNNNNNNNNNNNNNNNNNNNNNNNNNNNNNNNNNNNNNNNNNNNNNNNNNNNNNNNNNNNNNNNNNNNNNNNNNNNNNNNNNNNNNNNNNNNNNNNNNNNNNNNNNNNNNNNNNNNNNNNNNNNNNNNNNNNNNNNNNNNNNNNNNNNNNNNNNNNNNNNNNNNNNNNNNNNNNNNNNNNNNNNNNNNNNNNNNNNNNNNNNNNNNNNNNNNNNNNNNNNNNNNNNNNNNNNNNNNNNNNNNNNNNNNNNNNNNNNNNNNNNNNNNNNNNNNNNNNNNNNNNNNNNNNNNNNNNNNNNNNNNNNNNNNNNNNNNNNNNNNNNNNNNNNNNNNNNNNNNNNNNNNNNNNNNNNNNNNNNNNNNNNNNNNNNNNNNNNNNNNNNNNNNNNNNNNNNNNNNNNNNNNNNNNNNNNNNNNNNNNNNNNNNNNNNNNNNNNNNNNNNNNNNNNNNNNNNNNNNNNNNNNNNNNNNNNNNNNNNNNNNNNNNNNNNNNNNNNNNNNNNNNNNNNNNNNNNNNNNNNNNNNNNNNNNNNNNNNNNNNNNNNNNNNNNNNNNNNNNNNNNNNNNNNNNNNNNNNNNNNNNNNNNNNNNNNNNNNNNNNNNNNNNNNNNNNNNNNNNNNNNNNNNNNNNNNNNNNNNNNNNNNNNNNNNNNNNNNNNNNNNNNNNNNNNNNNNNNNNNNNNNNNNNNNNNNNNNNNNNNNNNNNNNNNNNNNNNNNNNNNNNNNNNNNNNNNNNNNNNNNNNNNNNNNNNNNNNNNNNNNNNNNNNNNNNNNNNNNNNNNNNNNNNNNNNNNNNNNNNNNNNCAGUGUUGUGCCUUCACUUGCUGACAUGUCAAACACUUGACGACAUGCUUGGCAAUAUCCCGCUUCCAAACCAAACCACCCAUAGUGUUGACGCAAAUUUCUGAUACAUUUUCGUACUGUCGAGAUGAAUGUUGUAACUACUACACUGAGCUUCUGACAAGAUCUCUUCCUUAAGCACCUACAUCGUCAGGUACACAUAAUCGUCCUCAGAACCCUAGUGUUUCAUCAUCAGAAAUCUGAAAGUCAGGUUUCCUCUUUUCGGUAUCCUCUUGCAAGAUCUUCUGAAUCUCUGGAUCUGUCAACUGAAGCGUCUUGAUUCUGAUAUGCACUUCCAGCUCAAUUAUGAGGGUGGCCAUAAGAUUUGAAAGGUAGCCUACCUCAAAUUUGAAAAUCGAAUAUCGAGCCCUCUCAAGUAAGAUCCAUUCCUUGAGUACCAUCUACGCUACUAAAGAUUUCUGACUUAGCGUAUAUGCAACCUUGUUAGCCUUUCCAGGAUGAUAUAAAAUAUCACAAUCAUAGUCCUUCAAGAGUUUCAUUCAGCAACGCUAUCUCAUAUUCAACUCCUUCUGAGAGAAUAGAUACUUGAGACUUUGAUGGUCAGUGAAGAUCUGGAAUUUGUCUCCACACAAAUAAUGUCUCCAAAUCUUCAAAGCGAAAAUAAUUUAUAUGAGUUUUAAGUCAUGCGUCGAGUAAUUUAGUUCAUAAGGUCUCAAUUGAUAGGACACGUAUGCAACAACCCUACCAUGUUGCAUCAGCACACAACUCAGUCCUCUAAAUGACGCAUCACUAUAGAUCUCGUAUCCUCUAGGACCAGAUGGAAUCAUCAGCACGGGUGUGGUAGUCAACUUCUGCUUAAACUCUUGGAAACUAUGCUCGCACUUGUUUGUCCACAUGAAUUUCUCUUCCUUCUUCAGUAGUUGAGCCAACGAUGAGGCUAAAGCUGAAAAUCCUUCCACAAGCCUUCUGUAAUACCCUGCUAAACCUAGAAAGCUUCUGAUCUCUGUCACGGUUGUCGAUCUUGGCCAGUUGAUAACUACUUCGAUCUUGGACGGGUCCACGAAGAUUCCUUCGCCUGAAAUCACAUGCCCUAGGAAAGCAACACGAGUUAACCAAAACUCGCACUUGUUGAACUUGGCAUACAGCUCAUGAAUUCUCAAAGUUUGAAGUACCAUCCUCAAAUGCCUCUCGUGUUCCUCGGGACUUCUCGAGUACACCAGGAUAUUGUCAAUAAACACGAACACAAACUAAUCCAGAUACUCCUUGAACACUUGGUUCACCAGAUCCAUAAAUGUAGCUGAGGGUGUAUGAAUCCCUUAUCCAACAAUUUGCAUCUACACCUUCAGUUCUUUCAAUUUAGACAACACCAUCCGAUAAGGAGCCUUAGAGAUUGGCUCUGUCCCGAGUGCUAACUCAAUACGAACUCAAUCCCCUUUUCUAGCGGCAGACCUAGCGAUUCCUUUGGAAACACAUCUAGAAAUUCUUAUACUACUGAGAUGUCAUCAAUCUUUAGCUCCUCAAUUGUCGUAUCCACAACAGUUGCUAGGUACACCUUGGCAACCCCAGUCUAACAAACGAGUUGCCUCAAGCGACGNNNNNNNNNNNNNNNNNNNNNNNNNNNNNNNNNNNNNNNNNNNNNNNNNNNNNNNNNNNNNNNNNNNNNNNNNNNNNNNNNNNNNNNNNNNNNNNNNNNNACAAGCUGUUAUGUUAGCAUUUGGGUCUUGUUUAAGUUGUAUGACUUCAGCAUGUAGCAGGGUAGCUCAUCUUCCUUUUAUGACAUCGAUAAAACUUUACUGGUCGUUAAAAAAAAAAAAAACAAUUAAUCUAAAGUUGGUUCCACAGGUGAGUGCACAAAUGGAUGUCUUUAAUGGUGCCUACGAUAAAUUCCCCGAUUCAGAGACCCCGAGCAGUACUAACCAAAGUUAAGAAGGCAACGGCUUAAUUAGGUUGUUGAAUAAUAGAAUAAGGAGGUAAGAGAGACCGACAUGAAAGAAAAGGAACAAAAAGAAUAUUGUAUGAUCUUUUCAGAUCUUGUCAAAUUUAUAUGGACAAUUGAUCGCGUGCACCUGCACCACAACCAACAUAAACACGGUCGAAAAAUGGUCCUGGCCCACGCACUUUGUCACUUUUGCAAACUACGCUAAAAUAAAUAAAAGAUUGUAUAUUUGCUAAAGAAGCCCAUAGAUACCUCUCGAUUCGAGACGCGAACACCUCAAGUGGCAAAACUUGACACAUAUGAAUACAUAAGUACCACAACUUCCAAAAGAUAGACUUAAAUGUCAAAAUCAAAGAAGAAAUGAAUAUUUAAGCGCCAAUGAUGAGAAUUUCCAGCCAAACAACUAAUGUGGCUUUUUCUAGCAAAAUUUUUAACUGAUGUGACAAAUUUCUUUUUUUUUUAAAUCAUCCACAUGACGCUAACAUGAAUAGAUAAGCUUAAAACGAUAUCAUUUUAGUUCAAAUAUGAUAUUUAAUAUAAACAUUACAAAAUUAAAAAUUAAAAAAUAAUUUUAUAAAAAAGAAAAAAAAAGAAUUAAAUUUGGGGUCAUGGAGGCCCUUGCCACCACUGCCCCACCAUCGCUAGAAAGGGCCGGCAACGGUAGCCAACCCACGCCCUAUCCUCGGCAAAAAGGCCCCACUAUCACCAACCCUUUUUGGCCAGGGUGGGGCAACGACAACGAGGGUGAGGGCCUAGGUCUCCACGACCCCAAAUCUAAUUCCCUUUUUAAUAUAGUUUCUUAAAUUUAAUUUAAUUGAUAUUUAUGUUAAAAAUAAAAUUUCAGGGCAAAACAACAUUGUUUUGAGACAAGGAUGCUGAGUGGACAUUCCAGCAAGCCAUGUAAACUAGUAUUAAUGAAAUAAUACCACGAUGGAUUUUUGGCAAGUCUUACUGGAGUUGGUACUUAAGUGUCUAAUUUUUUUUUUUAAAAGUGACACUUAAGUGUACAUUUUGAAAGUUUUAACACUUAUGCAUCCACUCAUGCCAAGUUUAAACAGUUAUGGUAUACUUCUUCCAUCUUGAUUCACAUUCAAGAUCUAUCUAUACAUAAUCCAAAAGAAUCUACUGCACCUUUGGAUUUAAAUUUCUAAUCUGCUUUUGAACUUCUAAUCAAUAAAUUUAGUUUAGUAUGUUCUCCUUUUACUUUUCUGUGGCUGAUAUCAAUGAAGUUCUCUUUGGGACCAAUCAACUACAUACCAAAUGAAUGCGUCAACAAAUAAAAUUGAUACAGAUAAAGAAAAUCGGUUAAAGACCAUAGUUCAAUUUUUGUCCAUCAUCUUAGGUCAUUUCCAAGAGCGCAUUAACCUCUUACCUGACGAAAAGCUCUGACUUGUAAUGUACAUGAUUUAGUCCAAUUUUAAAAAUAAAUUAGGCUCUGAUCAUGCACAUAGUUCAUUUAUUGGUCCUAUCACCCAAGAAAAUGAAGGCAAAGGCAAUAAUUUGGUGAGAUUUUGUAGGAUCAUUACUAAUGUUCUAAGAGCUUAAACUAUUAUAUGACAGUGCGAUAUAAUAUUUGAAUGUUCUAACACCCCCUUCACACGUAGGUUGGACUUUGCCUAAGCCUAAAGCGUGGAAAUAUGGAAUUAAGGAAGCAAUUAGAGAGUUUGAAAAAAAUUGAACUCAGAACAUUACUGUGUGCCUCUUAAUGUUCAAGGUCAUUUUUUAAAUUGAGUGGAAAGAAUGUUUAUAUAGGCAUAGAUCUAGGGCUUUUCUGAAGAUGCCCCUUUCCAAAAUUGAAUCCAUGAAAUUAUGUGAUAGGUUCAAGAUAAGAAUUUGAGGCAUUUCUUUUUCCUAUCUCCACCAAACUUAAUUAUGUGAUAAUCUUUCCUAAUUUGCACUCCCCACGUGCAUCUUAUAUGCAAAUUUCGGCCACCUACGGUAUUCAAGGGGCUUGACUGAAUUUUAUACUCUUGCGGGCUUAGUCCAAUAAUUUAAUUAAUUUUAUAGCCCCUACUUAAACCCAUUAGAUCCGGUCCAAUUAGAAUUCAAUUUAUGCGGGCCUAUUACAAUAAAAAUAAAAUGUGCUACUGUGCAAAUGUAAAUUAAUAAUAUUUUUACUUAGGAAUCGACAUUGACUCCUAAUAUUCUUUGCAAUGAAUGGGCCAUCAAAAUUUAAUUGUUAACAACUGCUCUUCUUUAAAAGGAAGCUUGCAAAUGAUUCAUUCAAAGAUAAAUGAUACCUAAAAUUUAGCAAUGCAAAUGUAGUGUGAUGACUUUGUUUGUUGGAAAGAUAGAUCUCAAUGAGAAUGCAAUGACAUGUGAGAAAAUAUCGAUGUUAAUGCAGAGAUGGAAUACGUACAUGUAGAUUCGGAAAAGUAAAUUUUUAAAAGUCCUGACAAACACCUGGAAUUCACCUCAAACAUUUGAAAGAUUUGAAGAUUACUAAAUAGUUUUCAAACACCCUGAACUCGUCUCAAAUUCUCGAAAAAAAUUUAUCCAAUAAAUACCUAGAACUCACCUUAGACAAUUUAAAGGUUUCUUUACAAAAUAUCUGGAACUCAUCCCAGAUACUCGAACGGAUCUACCAGAAAAUACCAAGAACUCACCUUAAGUAUUUAAUGAUUUAGAUUGAAACAUUUGGAAGUCAUCACAGGAUUUGGUUUAAAGAUUUCUUAACUUAAUACUUAGAACUCUGCUUAGAUACUCUAAAAGAUUUAACUGAUAAACACCUAGAACUCACCUUAAGUAUUUAAUGAUUUAACUGAUAAGCACCCGAAAAUCAUCCCAGAAAUUGAAAAUUUUCUUAACGAAAAUUUUAGAAUCAUCUUGGAUAUUUGAAAAGGCUCUUUAACAAAUAUUUAGAACUCAUCUAGAAACUUGAAUAUUUAACCGAUAAACACCUAGAACUAUCCGUAAAUUUUUAGCGAUAUAUCUGCUAAACACUAGGAAAUCAUCCCAUGUGUUUAAAGAUUUAUUAACAAAAUAUCCAAAAUUCACCUUGAAUAUUAAAAAAAAAAGGGUUGGUCAAGAAACACCCGGAACUCACUCAAAAAGUUUAAAGAUUUCUUAACGAAAUAUCUACAAAUGACCGUAGAUAUUCCAAAUGGCCGUAGAUAUUCGAAAAGGUUUGGUAAAUAAACACCUGGAACUCUCUCUAGGAGCUUAAAGAUUUCACGAAAAAAUAUCUAGCACUCUAUAAUUAUUCAAAUCAGUUACCUGAACUCAUCUCAAAUUUUGUCGUUGGAUAAGAGAGGCACCUAGCGUUUUUCGUCUCAAAUAUUUGCAACUACUCAGAAUUUUCAAUCCUAAGACUUUGAAGUUACCUAGAGUUGUUCAUCUCAGUAGUUAGUAUGCUUAAGACUUUACACUUAGGACUUGAAACGUUUAAGGUUUGGUACUCAGGACCAGAAACAUGUAAGUUUUUGCACUUAGGAUAUGAAUUGUCUAAGGUUUUUCCUUUAGAACUUGAGAUGUCUAAGGUCUUUCACUUGGGACUCAAAUUGUCUAAAAUCUUCACUUAAGACUUGAGAUGUCUAAAGUUUUCUACUUACGAUUUGAAUUGUCCAAGGUUUUCCACUUAGGAUUUGGAAUACCUAAGGUUUUGCACUUAGGGCCAAAGGUUUUUCACUUAGGGUUUGGAAUACCUAUGGUUUUGCACUUACGGCUUCAACGAGUUUCUCAUGGUAAACCUCCUCAAGGAAAUCAAUUUCGAAAGUAAGUCCAAGGUAAUGAAGCACUUACAGGGCAUAAAGGACUUUUUGGUCUCUAAGGAAGUAUUUCCCAUCAAACACGACUAGAGCAAAUAGACGCGCAUUCAAAGAGAUAAAGGAGUUCAAGUUUAUCCUUGAAUGAGCACGCAUAUCUAGAAUCAAUCAUUUUCAUCAUUGAUUGCGGGUUAUGAAGAGGCAUUUUGCCAUAUCUACAUCACUAAAUUUCCACCGAGAGGAAUCAUCAUCAAGAUAAUUUUCACCACCGUGGCAUGGAUCUCUUGAAAAUACUAAAUAAGACUUUCAGUCUGAAAGGGCUUUUCACUUGCUCUCAUUUAGAAAGAUAUUUUAUCCCGGCUAUUGAUGCGGGAAAAAGAGAGACACUAGAUCUUGACAUUAUUAUAAUCUCAAUAAGAGUCUGAUUUUACUCACAAGUUGUAUGACCAUACCAAUCUAAAAGUGUUUAUGAUAUAACCGUAAUGUAGGCUUAGUCAACAGUUUAAAAUGGAUAAUUCAUGGCUCAUAAAGAAAUGUUAUUCAUUCAUUAUCUCUGGCGUUUUACAAAUCAAGAAACCUGCAAAAUGAGAUAAACUCUCUUACCCGCACUUCUUCGAGUAAAGCUUUUAACAUUUGAAACUCCUCCUUUAAUGUAAUUACCCUAAUUUGAAGAGACUCUAUAAGGGAUGUAACAUAAGCUCUUCGAGAGCAUGCAUGUCAGUGACUAAGUAUGUCAACCUGGAGAAUGCACAUGGGCUCGGUGAUUAGGCAGGUCAUCUUGGAAAAUCCACGUGGGCUAAGUGACUAAGUACAUUAACCUAGAGAAUGCACGUGAGCUCAAUGACUAGAUAUACCAUCUUGGAGAAUGCACGUGGACUCGGUGACUAAGUACAUUAACCUAAAGAAUGCACGUGGGCUCGAUGAAUAGAUAUACCAUCUUGGAGAAUAGAUAAUAUUGAAUGUACCGACUAGGGGAAAGGUCGUGAUGACAUGUAAUCGACUAAGUCGAUUGAUCGAUAAUUCAAUCUAAUUGAUGUGAUGUGAUGUGAUGUGAUGUGAUCGUGUAUAUUUGAUAUAUAUACUAACUUGCAAGAAUGAACUGGGGACAAGGUAAGUCCUCUGACCCGUGUUGUGCUUAGACAGCCUUUAGGACAUAUUGGCUUCCUAAUCGGGUCUUAAGAGGUAGAACUCGCUAAGACGUUGUCUCAUUAGUUAUUGUAUAACCAUUUUAGGUUCCUAGAUGGCCACUCUUGAGUUUUUGGGACGGCCUAAGAAGAUCACAGAGGAAACCUCUUACUUUCCAUUUCAUGGGUGCCCUAGGGGCUGAUCUUAUAAGCUAGUGAGGUCUAUAGUUAGGGUCGAUGCGGGUCUCACCCACAAGGUGCCCCAUCGAUAUAGAUCAUGGUACCACCGACCCAAGAUGGCCAGAGAGAGGGUCCCCUACUGGAGUCUAAGAUACCUUUGUGUGUUCUGGAGGCCGCCUUUGGAAAAGGCACCGCAAAUUCCCUUUUGGGCUCGAUCGUAGAUGCAGCAGAUUUGAAUUUUGAAGAUCUCGGAAGUUCGGUGCAAUAUGCUGAAGGCUCCAGUUGGAGUGUGGGGGAUGAUGAAGAGGAGGACGAGGACUCGUAGUUUGUGGAAUUCCCACCCCUACUUGUAGACCUUGUUUCUGAACUUGUUUAAGUUGAAUCUAACUUAGUAGUUCGCCUUAUAUAUAUGUGCACUGGUUUGCAAUGUAUAUAAGUGUGGUUGUUUUUUAAAGUUCGGAAUUUAAUCCUACUUUUCUAUCCCAUUACUUUAUUGUCUAAGGAUUAUUAUUAUAUUCUUCCGCAUGCAUAUUAAAACAAAAGGGUCGGCGAUGCGUCCUGGGACGUCGCUAUUAAUCGACUAGUUGAGGGAUGGGUGUACGCUCGAGAAUUGUGGCGUGACAGUUCAUAUCGUGGACAGAAAAGAACAAGUUCUGCAUACAAAGACCAUUCCAUUGGUCAAAGUGGUCUCACAACACCACGGUACUGAAGGAGCGACAUGGGAAACUUAAGAGUCGAUGAGACAAUUGUACCCCCACCUUCUUGCUUAAGUUUUGUAAUGAUUUAAAGUUCGAGGACGAAUUUUUUAUAAGAGGGGAAGAGUUGUGACAUCCUAGAUUUUCAAUCCUAUUUUCUAUUGAAUAAAUCGAGCAUUUCAUCAAUGCGCCUAUAAGGCUAUUCUCAGAGCUUAUCACUCUCGAGAUAUCUAGACUAUUUAGAGAAGCCAUUAAAGAAUUUUAAUACGAUAGAUUUGAGAAUUCAACCAAGAAUCGGCUUCUCAACCAUGCUCAUCUUUAGAGGCCAUUACGGCACAAUAUAAAAUUCAUUUGAAAUCAAAGAUAGACCAGUUCAACUGAGAUGUGUGGCUAAUUGUGGGUGACACCAUUAAAUUGGAAAAUUCUCGUUGGCCGGCACUAGAGUGAUUUUUCUAUCAUUUUGAUACCUUGUGUCCAAAUUUGAAUCCUUGAGAUUUUCAUGACAAUCGAAAGUCGCCAAUGCGUCGAGUGGGUUCAUUGUGGCUCGAAAAAAAUCAACCAAGGGUCAUUUGCUCUAAAAACUUCUAAAAACUACCCGGUAGUCUAGGUCACGCUAAAAACACACCAAAUUGAAAUUAACUACGAAAUUGAAUCUGAUUUCAGAAAUUGAAAGUUCCGUCAUGUCACAAUUAAUUCUAGGAGCGUCGACUCAGUCUCAGAAUAUUUUUCUACAACCCAAGACUUUUUAGGAAAAAGUCGGCUUAGAGCCGUUUUUUUCCAGAAAAAAGAUCGGGAUUGUUUUAGAUCGUGAAAUUGGGAAGUAAGUGGAUUGUAUGAGUGAAGAAAAAUGCCGAGAUGAUCGAUGAUGGGUUAAUUGGAUUUAUUGAUGCCAAAUUGGAUUUUUUGAAGCAAGAUUAAGUGUCCAUUUGACACUAAAACCCAUGAAAUGCGUAUGUCCCCCCAUUCCCACAACUUAUGGACCUCUUCAACCUUCUAGAUGAGUGCAUGGAUGGUUGAAUUGCAGCCAUAGAAGCCAGACUUGGCUAUGGGUGAUGUCAAGGAGACAUUUGAAUGGAAAAUAAGGCAAGUGGCCCCCUACAACCCCACCUUGUUCCCUCUCUCUCUCUCCAACCGGUCAGCAGCCUCCUUUCCCCUCCUCAUUGUGCCUUGCUCAAGCCCAACAAACCAGAGAAGCUGCCUAUCCAUGCUGCACGCCGUCGUGACCGUCGGAACGCCGUCCGCACGCCCCACCGCCCCACACGCAUGCCAUACCGCGCCACCGCCCAACCCGACGCCCCUGCUACUUCCAACCCUCUGUUCCACCAUCCCCGUAGCUUCCUCAGCUUGUGCCAGAGUCGUUUAGCCCACCUCCGACCUCCCAAACAAAGAAUUUGUGGGUGGGUUUCCAGCAAGCUUAUAGGCCCAUUUUGAGGUGGUUCUGAGCCUCGAAAGUUUGACCCACUUUGAGGAAAGUCGGUCCCCGUCGCAUUCCCAACAUUUUGAACUGAACGGAUCGCAAAACAAGUGAGUUGAACUCACUAAUCCUCAAUUAGUCAGUUAAUGAUGCUUAGAGUUUGAUUAUAUUAAUUAAGCAUGGUUUAGGUGGAUAGAUUAAAUUAGAUUAUAUUAGAUAAUUUAAUUAUCUGCCGAUGCAUGUCAGGUGGUUAGUUAGUGGCAUUAGCGAGUAGACUCGUGCUAUUAUUGGUUUAAUGAACCUUGAAAUUUUUCCGGGUCUGUUUCGAUGUCCAAUUAGGCAUUACGGGCCUAAGUUGGAUUUAUUGCAUUUAUUUAAUAAUUCCAUAAUUAUUUAUUUAUUUAUUUAUUUUUCGAAAAUUAGGCUGGAGUAGCCGACGAUCAGAAUUUUAUAUUGGUUAUUGUGGUACAGUCUGUUUAUUUAUUUGAGUUCGAAAUUGUGCCGAAUUGAUUUAAUUGUGAUUUUAGGAUUUUAUUCCUAAAAUAAUUAAAGUCGCUAAUUAAUUGGAAAAUUACCUAGCAUUGGUCUACAGCGCCAAAAAUCUAUUUUUGGAAUAUUAAAAAAAGUGUAAGAUUGAUAAUGAAAUUAUUAUAUUUUGGCUAAGGCUGAUCGUGUACCCACACACGAUUAUUUUAUCGAGAAUAAUAAAAAGAUGGAAUUGGUUGUAUGAUUGGAAUUAUAUACUAUAUCGGCCUACAGGGGAUAUGUCAAGUUAGCAGAAAGUAGUAUACCAAUAUACUAUAUCAGCCUACAGGCGAUAUGACAGCUUAGCAGAGAGCAGUAUACCUUAUCGGUUUUGAUUGAAUGUCGGUAUACUACAUCAGCCUAUGAGCGAUAUUACAGCUUAGCAGAAAGCAGUAUACCUUAUCAGCUUAGAUUGAACAAUGUCAAUAUACUAUAUCAGCCUAUGGGUGAUAUGGCAACUUAGCCGAGAGCAGUAUACCCGAUCAUCUCAGAAGUGAGCUAUAUUAUCUAUCUAUCAACUUAGUAGUGAGUAGUCUGAUAUGGAUAGAUUUAUAGAUAGUAUGAGAUGAGCCAACUAAGGAAGGGUCGAGAUGACAUGUAAUUGACCGAGUCGAUUGAUCAAUGAUUUGAUCUGAUGUUAUGAAUUGAUUGAUUGAUGUGAUUGGAGACAUCUGUAAAUGAUACUGCUUUGCAUGGUGGAACUAAGGCCAAGGUAAGUCCUCUAACUCGUGGUUGUGCUUAGGCAGCCCUUAGGGCGUAUUGGCUUCCUAAUUUGGCCUUAGGGGGUAGAACUUGCUGAGACAUUAUCUCACUGGUUAUUGUAUAAUCAGUUUCAAGUCCCUCGUUGACAGCGGGGGAGGACUUGAGGCCCGAAGUUUAGAAGGCGAAGCUCGGAGAAUCGGUGAGCAUGUCCGACUAGUUAGUCCUAGGACAUUUCUCUUUUGUUGAAAGCCGAUUCCUUUUUGCAUGCUUCCGUGUAUAAACCCGUGUGUUUAUAAAAAGGUAUUUUGUGAAAAAUUAGUCCUACUUUCCUAUUCCAUUGUUUUAUUGUUUGUGGAUUAUUUAUAUAUUUCCGCAUGCGUAUUGAAAAGAGAGGGUCGGCGAUGCAUCCUAGGACAUCUCUAUUUAAUCGACCAAGUGAGGGAUGUGUGCGUGCCUGAGGAUCAAGGCGUAACAUCCCCGUUUAAGUGGUAUCGGAGUAAUGGUUAGGGAUUGGAGUGAUAAGGUGCGAUGGACCAUAGGAUAGUGGUAGGAAAGACCUUUAAAUUCAUGUUGGUGCAUGUUUGUGGUAACUAAUUGAUAGACUUGCUUGUUAUUUAGAUCACUCUGUUUCUAAUUCGGCUUAGAAUUGGAAGCAGGCUUCAAUAAAGAAAGCUGAGCCAUGAGUGAUUAGGAGCCAAGAACUCCUGCCAAGAGGACUGCUAGGGCCAUAACUCAGGGUAGGAUGCUGACCAGGGUCGGUACACGAGGAGGCCGAGGUCGAGCGCCAGCACAGGCUAGCACUAGUGGCGUAGCACCACCUCCUGUUAGUGCUAGGGUUGCAGCCCCAAGUGAUCAAGGAACCAUUGGGAUCACCCAGGCUUUGGACACCAUGCGAGAAAUGAUGAGACAGCAGGCCUAGAAUCAAGCUGCCGCCUUAGAAGCCGCUGCCACUGCCUUUGCCAAUGCUGCCAUUGCUUCCGCAGCUAUUGCCGCAGCUGUUGCUGCACCUACCGCCACACCUGCUAAUGUUCCCAUUGAGAACAUAGAGGUGCAGAGAGAAAGACCAAUCCACAAGUUGGUUAUUGUCGUGCAAUCUGUUUAUUUAUUUGAAUUCUAAAUUGUGCCGAAUUGAUUUAAUUGUGAUUUUAGGAUUUUAUUCCUAAAUUAAUUAAAGUUGGUAAUUGACUGGAAAAUUAUCAGGUGUCGGUCUACAGCGCCAAAAAUAUAUUUUUCGACUAUCAAAAGAAGUGGGAGAUUGAAAGUGAAAUUAUUAUAUUUUGGCUAAGGCCGAUGGUGUACCCACACACAGCUAUUUUAUGGAGAAUGAUAAAAAUAUGUAAUUGAUUGUAUGAUUGGAAUUGUAUACUAUAUCGGCCUACGGACGAUAUGUCAACUUAACAAAGAGUAGUAUACCGAUAUACUAUAUCAGCCUAUGAGCGAUAUGGCAGCUUAGCAGAGAGCAGUAUACCUUAUCAGUUUUGAUUGAAUAUGUCGGUAUACUAUAUUAGCCUACAGGCAAUAUGGCAAUUUAACAGAGAUCAGUAUACCUUACCAGCUUAGAUUGAGUAAUGUCAAUAUACUAUAUCAGCCUACGGGCGAUAUGGCAGCUUAGCGAAGAGCAGUAUACCCGAUCAUCUCAGAAGCGAGGUAUACUAUAUAUCUAUCAACUUAGCAGUGAAUAGUCCUGAUACGGAUUGACUUAUAGAUAUUAUAAGAUAAGACGACAAAGAAAGAGUCGAGAUGACAUGUAAUCGACUAGGUCAGUUGAUCAAUGAUUUGAUUUGAUGUUAUGAAUUAAUUGAUUGAUGUGAUUGGAGACAUCUGUAAAUGAUACUGCUUUGCAGGGUGGAACUGAGGCCAAUGUAAGUUCUCUGACUCAUGAUUGUGCUUAGGUAGCCUUUAGGGCGUAUUGACUUCCUAAUCGGGUCUUAGGGGGUAGAACUUGUUGAGGUAUUGUCUCACUGAUUAUUGUAUAACUAUGUUCAGGUCCCUAGUUGACAGUGGUGGAGGACCUGAGGCCCGAAGUUUAGAAGGUUUUUGACACCUAAAUUUUGGUGAUCCAUUUAGUCAUUUAUCGCAUUAAAAAAUCAGGGAUUAAUUUUGACCCCUAAAAAAAUAAUAAUUUAAUUCCAAAACAUAUGGUCAUUAGAAGAAUAUUUCAUUUAAUUGCAUAUUUGUUAGGCCGGCGAUGAAUGGAUUUUGGUGAAUGGCUUUGAAUAUUGAAGCCAACAAGAGCAUUAAACUGUGGAUAAGUCGAUAAUUCCUCCAUGGUGAUUGAUAUUACAUGGGUGUCCUAAAUUGUUAAAAGUCAAUUAAGAAAUUUCCAGCUUAUUGGCACCAACAUAUUUGUGCAUUUAAGGGAAAGAAUGCAAAGGAAGGACAGCCUGUAAGCGGCCACCGAUUCGAACAUAGAGAAGCCCAUCCACGUGAAGGAAAAUUAUGCGCUUUCCCAUAAUUCGGUCAACGUGGGGAGCAAGAAAUUGACCAGCAUUAUUUUAAGAGGAAAGAUACGAGCAUAUGCACAAAGGAAAUUUGAAAGAUCAGCAUGAGAGGGGAAUGUUGGGCACGUUCUGCAUUGCGGGCAUGGAUUUGCAAAAAAUAUAUAUAUAUCGGCAUUCGAUCAAUAAAGAGGAAAGGAAAGAAAAUAUAUUUCAACGCAUGCACAGAAGGAAACAGAAUAUGCUUUCUUUCGUCAUUGGUUUACGCCCUUUCAAUAUAAAUUGACUCAUUACAGGACAAAAGCUGGGGGCAUUCUUCAUACGAGAGAAAAAACACGUGAGAAUCGAGAGUGGAGAGGGAGCUCUGCCAGAAGCUCUUCACGGCCGUGACUUUGCUGAGUUCGUGGCCGCACCUUGACACUGAUCUUGCUACCGAUCGUCUGUUGCAUUGACAACGACCAGCUUUCCAGUGAUCCUUCCCGAUGAUAGAGCAACAGCGUUCACUUCCAGUCAAGCCUUGAUCAACAACCACGAAGUUUUGGAGGCUACACAAUGGAAUACAAGGCCACGAAAGAGUGAGAGAGAAGGCUGCUUUCCUCGGUCAAAGACUUCGUUGGAUCCAAUUUGAAUUAUUUGCAGACACCUCAGUCCAUUCAAGCCAUCCCUGACGUUGAAGUCCCACGGCUAAAACAGCCAAAUUUGGUCAUCGCAAGUCCCUUGCACCAGGCGACUCCGCUAUUGUUGUGGCCUUGCUACACAACGGGGCUGCUUUUCUGGUCUCGCCGUGUGGACAACGAAGCUGCUGCUCCCCCCAUUUCGACGCGCCGCCCCUGCUUCAUCCUACCAUCGGUGGCGCUGCUGGGCUCGUGCCAAAUCAAAAGCCUCUUGGGCGCUCUUCGCAUUAAAUAUUUUUUUGGCCUUUGCAGGUUAAGAGGAGAGCUUCAAACGGGGGUCAAAGGAACUGUAUUGGGGGUUACAUUAAAAUAUAGAAAGGCUCCUAAGAGGAGACGAUCGGCAAAUAAGAAAGCCCACUUUUGGUUGUGUCCGAUAAUAUUGACGCAACCCUUACUAAGCCGAGAGCCCUCUCCACCGUUGAGUGCCGCGAGCGAUUCCCAAAACGUUAUUGUGAGCCAGCUACCGUGAAGCAAAGUUGAUCAUGACUCCUACGAUCCGAUACCCGUCCAAACUAGGAAGCAACAAUCAAGGUAGGUAAAAUUCCCAUCUAAAUUAAUUCUUGAAUAUUUCGUUUGCUCAAUUGAGGUAUUGCAUUCUUGAUUAAACCCCCCGAAUGAUGUUAUCUUGUCCCAUGUUUCCCGAAUAGUCUUUCAAAUUGGGAAAUCUUCCUAAUUUUGCAACGUACAUAUGAUUGACGGUCCGAUUUCACGCUCGAAAUAUGACCCGCAAUCGUACGGAAAAAUCACCAAUUCGAUCUCACGCUUGAGAUACGAUUCAUGAUUUUAUUUUAAAAUUGGCCAAUCCGAUCUCAUGCACGAGAUACAAUUCGUCAAUUUAUUUCCCAAAAUUAAAUGGACAUGGAUGAUAUCUUGCUUGAUUUGUUGCCGUAAUGUUGUUGAUGCCUUUAUUUGAUUGCUCCCGUAAAAGAAAACCCCAAAAAAUAUAAAUAUUUAGGUUAAUUGCAUAUUACGAUAGAUCGCAUGCUUAUUAGGGAAAUAAAAAUCAUGUGCACGUCAUAUAGAAUUAAGUUCAUACAAUGCAUGUCAUUUAGUAUUUUUGCUAGGCCCAUUUAAUUAGAAAUUACAUGUCAUUAGAAUUAGGUCAUUUAGUUAAUAUUGCAUAGCAUAUUGCAUGAUUUUCAUUAAUUAAGCGAAAAAAAAUAAAAAUUACAUGUUAAUUAUAAACCAUAUCUAGGGUUGUUGAUGUGGAUUUUAAUUUAACAUUGCAAAUGCUUUCGUUGCUAUGAGGUAAGUCCUGCAUUUUUCUAUUAUUUGCUUUCUUGGGUGUUAAAUGGGUGAUUUGUGCACCCGCAUGAUCACCUCACAUGUUAGGGGAGAUAGUUUAAAAUCAAUUCAAGCUGCCUGCAAAACCUUUUUUUCAAAAUAAAAGAAAUGGUACCGAAAGGGCGUUAGAGAAAUCUAGCGUAACCAAGUCCCCGUACCCAAAUCUCUAGUUCGUAGGAAUAAAGUAAAUCUCCCGUUACUUUACUUGGAUUUCUAAUCGACCCACCAAAAAUAGAUUAGUGGCGACUCAUAAUUUAAAAUCAAUUGCAUGUUAAGAACUUGAAUCUAAGUCGCGAAUUGGUAUGUGCUUGGGAAAGCCCGAGUUAAGUCUAGGCUUAACAAUCCAUUAGCCAAACCCUAGGUGGUUCACGCCUGAAAAAUUGGUCGCAACAAAGGUGAAGCCCGGAGAAUCAGUGAGCAUGCCCGACUAGUUAAUCUUAGGACAUUUCUCUUAUAUUGAAAGCCGAUUCCUUUUUGUAUGCUUCUAUGUAUAAACCGGUGUGUUUAUAAAACGGUCUUUUAUGAAAAAAAAAAAAAAAAAAAGGUCAUACUUUCCUAUCACAUUGUUUUAUUGUCUGUGGAUUAUUUAUAUGCUUCCGCAUGCGUAUUGAAAAGAAAGGGUCGAUGAUGCGUCCUAGGACGUCGCUAUUUAUUCAACCAAGUGAGGGAUUGGUGCAUGGCCAAGGAUCGGGGCAUGACAAUCACUCCAUAUGCAAUUAUCAUAGUACAUAUUAGUACCAAGGAUAGUUUUGGAAUCAUCAAGUUCUCAUUGGGAUGCUUUCUCAACUUGUAGCUGUAUUUUCUUUUCAACAAUUCAACAUUUUUGGACUUUGGUGGCCUUCAUCUUCAGUCGACACUCUGAACCAUGCUACUUCAUCAAGUCAACUCAUCAGCCUUGCCGCAAUAUGAGGAAUAAUCACCAACUAGGUUUAGAAAUGAAUUUGCAAGCUCAAAUGGGCUCUACAAGGAAUAAAAGUGUGUAUGAUAGAGAAAGAAAUGUUCUUCAUCACUUUAAGGCACCUAAAUUCUUGUUUGAGUUCAUCUGUAAUAAAGAUAGUCAAAGAUUAAUUCAAGUGAGGGCAAGAAAAGUUCUUUCAUUUUUCUCAACCUAUAAUGUCAACUUUACCUCAAUUCCGCCCCAGUGCGAGAACAAGGUUAAGUCGAAAGAAAAUUUUCCAAUCAUUCAAGCUCAAAAGGCUUAAACAAUAGUUUAACUACAAUGUUUAGGAUAAAGGAAUGAAUGGCCCCUCAUCAUUCAAUUUGCAUACCUUCCUCCAGAAACCAAUUACCUUGAGGACAUGAAAUUAUUCCACUCAUCUCAUAGUGUAUAAAUAAAGGACUAUAGGUAGGAUUAAGCUUGCAUUUCAUCAUUUUGAUGGAUGCUCUGAAUUUACUCUUCCCCCCUGCAAAACAAAGUGUACAGAGAUAUAAUGUAAGUAAUCAUAAGUACAAAUUGUGGCUUGGCUUAUGCAAAAUAUAGAUCCUCUAAGGAUCUCAUGAUUCAAGGCAUUAUACCUCUAUUAUCUCAUCAUGUAUUUUUUAAAGUCACAACAAGUUCUAUUUGCAAUGGAAAUAUUCCCGGGCCACAAUGCAAGGCGAUUACAAAAGGAACGAAGUGGCAAAUAGGUGCUUAAAACUUUUAUUUUCACUAAAUUUUGAGUGGAACAUAAGAAAGCCAGCCUUCAGAAUUAUCUCCUCGCCUCAUUUUUUAUUGGUAGGAUUUUAUAAUUAGGAUAGUUUGGUUUACUUCAACAUUCCAUCAAAAUAUGAAAAUUUUGAUGAACUUGCAUCUUAUUGAAUGAAAAUAAACAAAUUACAUUGUAUGGAAAAGGAAAUCCUAGUAAGCAAUCAAAUACAAAGAAUCAAGCACUAGAAAGCAUAAAUACUCCUAUACAAAUGAGUGUGUCAACAAUCAACGAUGCCCUAACUCUAGGUGAUUUGAACUCAUCCUAUCAUCCAGCCUUACAUCAAUGGCAAAGACUGCAUUUUCCAUUUGUGCAGAUAGCCUCAUUAUUUGACAGAUCAUCCCAACCAUUGGGCAUAAUGUCCUUGACAACAAGAUCAAUGCUUCGCAAUUUAGAGCAUAGCACAUAAUAGUCCUACUCGUUGCUUAAAUUGUUCCAUUGUACUAAAAGGCUCGAUGUUUGGAGGCAAGAGUAUAAAUUGGCCCAAAUCUCACACUCUCGCGAUUGGGUCGGGUGCUCUUGACACUAGCUCAAUCAAAAGGCCACCCUAUAGUCUUGCAAUCUCAAGUAUCAAGAAAGAAAGUUCAGGGUUUGAAAAGUGCAAUCCUUAGUCUCGUAGUUUUGUGGACAAGGUUGUAUUGUCUCAACACCAUCCUUUUUUUUCCUAAUAUGCAAUCUAGGUUCGAUUGCAGGAUUCAUGCAAAAGUUUAGUGUUAUGCACAACAGUUUAUAAUAUGCAUACAUCACUUCAAUAUUGAUCUAACGCAUACAUUCUCAACAUCUCUCUACAAAACAAAGUGUUAUAAUUCAUCCCUUAUAACUCUCAUAUGCAAGAACAUUUAACAUAAUUGUUAGUGGCACAUCUUAUCUCCAUACUGCUCAAACGAAAACAAGUUUUAAAAGAGAAAAUGCAGGCCUAAGUCAUUUGGAAUUGUCAAGUUGCUGGGACCUUUGCAGGAGUGAACCACCAAGGAAAAGAUAAUAGAUUACUGGGUAGGGUACGAAUGGUAACUCAUUAAAGAAGGUACCUUUGUCUAGCGCAGACUCUUCCGAGUCCAUACCAGUCACAACUUUGAGUUUUAAUUAAAUCAAUUAACUAUGUAAAUAAAUUCAUUUUGGGAUCACCACUAAUUUUUACAGGUUAAUUGGAAACCCAAGUAAAAUGCUCUUACAUUUUACUUCUACCGAUCAAAUAUUCAUGGAUUGGGAUUCGGUUAUGCAAGAUAAAUCUACCACCCUUUUGGUACAUUUUCUCUUUAUUUUAAACAUGUCUGGAAGCAGUUUAGAUCAUUUAAUCUUAAGCCACUAAUAUGCGAUGGGUGAUCAAGAGGGUGCACAAGGGUGAUCAAGAGGUCAAUGACUAUGUAAUGGGCACAAGGGUGCGCAAGCAAGAAUUUAACACUUAAUAUUCAAAGCAAUAAAUAAAUUGCUUAGGAAAGAGUAAAGAACCUCAGCACGUUAAGCAAACUUUAUUGUCGUCCAAUGCACAAAGUAUUCUGCAGUAUGUUAACUAAGAAUUAAACGACUAUGUAAUGCAUGCAUCUAGACAAGAUUUCAUCAUAUGAUUAUACAAUGCUAAUUAUUUCUAUCUACAAGAUGAGGUCAUUAAAAUCAAUCCUAAAAAUAUGUGACUCUCUAUAUGACGUGCAAUGUUGAAUGUCAUCAAUAUGAGAUAUGGAUGCAAUAUUUUUUGAGAUUUUCUUUAAAAGUAAAAAUAUGAAAUUAUUGUUUGGAAAAUCCCUUAUGAUGUUUUGAAGAUAACAAAAUAAAUCAAAGGCUACUAAGGUGUUUAAUGGUUGAGUAAUAGACUAUGCAGAUGAUAGAACAUAUAAAGGAUAUUGUCGAAGUCUAUACUUGGAAGAACCAUAAGACAGACUCUAUGAUGAAGCUAAACUUAUUCAGAUUGUGUCGAGACCUUAAGGCUAAAUAUGUUUAAAAGCAGAAUAUGUUCAGACUUAUGUCCAGAUUGUAAAGUCUAUUUCAAAUGGAAGACACUCAAACUUUACUUUCGACAUAACACUCUCAAACUUUACAUCUAGAACGAGACACAAGUCCAUAACGUGACAAGGUUUAGAAUGAGACACAAGUUCAGAAGGUAGUAGAUUCAGAACAAAACAUGUUCAGAACGAGACAACUUGACAGAACAAAACACAACCCCCAAACAUAUAACGGCUACUAAUCUGGUUUAGAUUCUACAUCAAGAUAGAUUUGAUUGACUCAAUCUAAUUUAUUGACAAUUGGAUCAUAAAGACAAGAAAUUUAUAAACGAAGAAGCUCUACUUAUGGAACCAAGAUUCUGUUUGUAUGGGCGAUCAGAAUCAAUUUGGGAUUCUACUUCUAUCACUCAAUGGCUAAUAAAUCUUCUUGAUACAGAUCUGUCCAAUGGGUAGAUUGGAAGAUGAUUCUCUAUAUACUAUCCAACAACUAGUUUGGAAGUGGAUAAGUAUUUAAGGAGACUAAGGACCGAUGAGCAAGUAAGAGACGAAGCGUAAAAUUUAUAAUUCCAAAGUCUAAGUGACCUUCGAUCAUAUACCUGUCUCUUAUGAGCUUAAACGUUUAUGAUCUUGUGAGCUUAAAAGUUUGUGAUCGUGAAAGAAAUACCAAAAGAGUGACUUAGUGAAAUGGCGUGAUCUAUCACUGAGUGUUUGCACUCAAAGUUGUAAUCUCUUGUUGAUUGCAUAGUGGAAUACAACCAAAAAGCUGUUAGCGUGGGAGAGUGAACGUAGGCUUGAUCUAAGCCGAACCACUAUAAAUUUCGUGUGCAACAUUCUCUUUCCUUAACUCUUUAUAUUUAAGUCUAUUAUAUACUUAUAUGUUAUUUCAGAAGUCUGUUCUAUCGUAUAACAGAUUCUAAACAUCUACCAGAAGUCUGGUGGCUCGCUUAUCAAACUUUGAUCCUUAUUCAGACUUUUCUCAAAAUUUAUUUUAUUAUGCAUUUAUUAGCCAAGAUUUAUUUUAAAUACUUAUUCACCUCCUCUAGGUGUUCGUACUAGCACUUUCAACUACCUAAUUCCACAUGAUGAAUUUAACCAAUAAGAAAAUUAAAUAUCAUUUUUAUGUGAUGCAUCUAAUCUAAUGAUAUGCAUAUCCUAAAGUUCUACAUGAUUAGUGAUUAAGUGACAAUGAAAUCACUAUAUUAUAUUAAUAAUUACUAAGGCUAACCUUAGAUUAUUAAAUAUCACUUCAUGAUAUGUACAUAAAAUGGGAAAGAUUUAAUUCGGUAUCCAAUCUUUAGUCUCAAAGAUUCGAUUUCCUAAUUUAUCCAACCGAAACAAAGAAUGGAAAUAUUUAAUUGAGGCUCCAAUCUUCGUGCCUAAAGAUUCAAUUUCACUGAUUAAACUUUUAUUUACAAAUCAAAAUAUUUAAAAUAGGAAACUAAAUAUUCUAACCCACCUUAAUACGCGAGGGAUAUACGCAAUAUCUAAUUACUAGUUCUAAUCGGGCGAGAUAGUGAUGACAUGAGCGGACAUGGAAGCUUAUCUGGAGCACCGAGAAACCUUCAAUGAAAGUGUCAAGCAACAGGGUUCAAGGAUGUGAUGACGGUGACAAGGGCUGGUGCUCGUUGAGAAUCACUCGGAUGCAUGCGAAGCUGCUCAGAGUCGGUCACAGACUGGUGCGGGUGUGCUGGUGCUUGCUGAAGCUGAGGUUGAGCGAUGGUGAUGCUGUGCACAGCGGUGGGAAACUUGUAGGAGAUGGUUAGAUCGAAGCGAAGCUCGGUAAGUUGGGCCGGUGCUUCUGCAUUGGUGCAAGUGGAGUGGCAAGGGGGAAACAGUGGUCGAGUGGCAAGGCACAGCGACCAAGUGGGGCUUGGCGGCUUUGAAAAAAUUCGGGACCUUCGUUAAACGUUCCCUCAAUUUUCUCGCUUUUGUAUGUGUGCCUCUUAGUUUCUAGCCCCUGUUUUGAAUUAGAAGGAAAGAAUACUUAUAUAGGUAUAGAUCUAGGGCUUUACUUAAGAUACCACCUUCCUAAAUUAAACAAAAGAGAUUAUGUGAUAUGUUCAAGAUAGAAUAUUGAGGUAUUCUCUUUCUUUUUUCCCCCAUAAUUAAAAUUUUCAAAAAUAAUGCUUUUAUUGCAUACAAACUUAAUUAGAUUAUUUUUACCCCAAAAAAAACUUAAUUAGAUUAUGCAAUUUUUCUUAAUUCGCACCUCCCAUGUCAUCUCAUAUGCAAAUUUUGGCCACUUAGGUUAUUCAAUAGACUUGGCCGAAUUUUUACUUUUGUAGACUUGUUCUAAUAAUUAAAUUAAGUUUAAAGCCCCUUACUUGAACCCAUUUGCUCCAGUUAAAUUAUAAUGCAAUUUAUGUGGGUCUAAUAUUUUUAUAAAAAUGCUCCUCAUUUGCAAAUGCAAAUUAAUAGUGCUUUUUUUUUUUAGGGGAUGAGAUAGUCUCCCAAUUUUCCAUACAUUGAAUGGGUCACCAUAAUUUAGGUGUCAACAGAAAAACUACAAGGCAUUCUUCUACAACCUUAAUGACUUUCAUUCUUUCCCCCAUUGCUUUUACUUUGUAACUCAUCUUCAAUUGAAAAGCAUGUCAGUUUCAAUUUGAGAAAAUUGUACAUACCUCCUUAAUCAUUUCACCGUGUUGGAAAUAUUAAUUACAUAUCAACACUAUUUGUCGUAAUCUGAAAAAAGCGAUAACAAAAUAAACAGGUGAUGAGGUACAACUAACUAAAUCUCUUUAAGGUAAUUAGUUCCUUCCAACAAUACUAAACAACUUCACGAAUUAUGUCUCCCAAGAUACAACAUGUCGAACAUGUUUGUAUCAACACUAUAUGAACAGAACUCUGUUGAGCACUUCUCAAAGCCGACACACUUAGACAAUGACUACCAAAAAAAUUAGUAAGUACUUUGAGGCAUUUUUUUUGUUAUUUUGAACUAAGAAGACAUGCCUAUUUAUAGAUGAGAGAAACAGCCGUAGAAAAUUGAAAGGAAAUUAACUCAAAAAUCAUGUCGGUUAUGCUUGUAUUAGUUUUUUUUGUUUUUUGGUCGGUAUGCUUGUAUUAGUUGAGUCAUUGACACUUAAUAACANNNNNNNNNNNNNNNNNNNNNNNNNNNNNNNNNNNNNNNNNNNNNNNNNNNNNNNNNNNNNNNNNNNNNNNNNNNNNNNNNNNNNNNNNNNNNNNNNNNNUAUGAUCGGUGUAUGCUUUAGAUCAUUCUUGUCUCCUUUCGCCAUCCCUAGUGGCGUCCUACCAACGGUAGUGGUGCUUAUCCCUGAACCUGCGCGGACAAUUCCUCACCCUGAUGGUCGUGUUGGCCCACAUUCAUAGCACGCUCCCGUGAUACCAAGACAUUGGGCUGAUCCAUACUUUCUUUCUACAAAUUUGGCACACAUUCGGUGAGUCCUCUACCUCUUGUCAUGUGACAGCACGCACCCUUUCUUGCACCGGAGACCUGUCCCAAUUACCCAACUGUGCAUUAUGCGGUGCAUUCUUCCUACUCUGGCUCAUCGGCGGCAGUGGCGGUAGCUAUUAUGGUUCCAUCUGCCCGAGCAGACAGUCCUUGAUCAAGUGGUUGUACUGGCAACACCCGUAACAAACCCUUGUCUUUUUAAAACACAAGGCGGAUCCAUGUCUUUUCCCACCGACAUGACACACGCCUUUCUGGUUGGGUGUUAGCUUUCCCAUUAUACUCCUUUGAGUGGGACGAUUGAAGUGCUUUCCUUCUGUCAUCAGUUUCUUCCCGAAUCAAUUGCUAACUCUAUCUGAACUAAACCACGACCUAAAUGUGGUGGCUCUCUCCCCAAUCACAAUUCCAGGUUGGGCCUCAACCAAUGCAGCAACAACAGCAGUUACGGCAUUGGCAGCGGCAGUGACAGCGACAACAGUGUCACGCCCCGAUCCUCAGGCACGCGCACAUCCCUUACCUUUGGUCGAUUUUAAAAUGCGAUAUCCCAGGACUAUGUAUCGCCGACCCUUUCAUUUAUAUAUGCACAUGCGAAAGCGGUUAUAAAUCCCCAGACAAUAAAACAAUGGGAUAGAUAAGUAGGACUAGAAAAUUGAACCUGAAAGUCAACACCCUUAUGUACAUCUAUAAUGACUCAGUCAUACAUCUACAUAUACAAACCAUGCUAAAAAGGUUGGUUUCUACUCAAUUAGAUUCUACAGCAAUAGUCAUCAGGAUCCUACUCUGGAUCAUCCCUUGGGGUUCUCUUUCAGAUACUCCUCUUUGAGUUCUUUCUCCUCACGGUUUUCCUCGUCAGGUUCCUCCUCCUUAAGCUCCUUAUCCGGGUCCUGAAAUGGUUAUUCAAUAACCACUGAGACAACGUCUCAGCAAGUUCUACCCCCUAAGACCCGAUUAGUAAACUAAUACACCUUAGGGCUGCCUAUACACAACAUGAGUUAGAGGACUUACCUUGGCCUUAGAUUCCACCUGCAUAUUAGCACAAAUCAAUAGGCACCCAAGUAAUCACAUCACAGAUCGAAGCAUCGAUCAAAUCGACCUAGUCGAUUACAUAUCAACAAGACCACUCACGGUCAUUUCCAUCCAAUCAACCAAUUCACAGCAUCAGAUCAAAACAAUGAUCAAUCGACCUAGUCGAUUACAUGUCAUUCGGACCACCUCUCGGUCACAUCAACACCAUACUUUAUAAUCUCCAUUCGGGUACAUAGUCACAGAGCCAGAUGAAUGCUCUCGGGCGUCUUUUUCGCCAAGGUGACGUACCAAUUACCGAUCACGAUAAUCUCCAGCAGUACACUUAGUCACAGAGCCUCAUUAAUGCUCUCGGGCGCUGCUUUCGCCAAGGUGACGUGUAUAAUGGGACAGCACUCGUGCGUUCUUUAAGGCGUCGUUUUCACCAGUGAUAUCUUCCAUCACCGAACCACGUAUGUCCAUACUGCUGCAUGUAAUAGACAGCACUCGUGCGUUCUUUAAGGCCGCCGUUUUCACAGUGAUAUCCUUUAAUCACGAACUACAGCAUUAUCGAUGCUAAAUAAUAACACUCGGCCAUCAACCAAUCAAUCAUUCAAUUUCAUCCAAUUUGGGAUAAAUCACUAAAAUUGCACAAUCAAAUCAAUUCCACGCAAUGUAGAGCUCAAAUAAAUAAACGGACUGCACCACGACAAUCAGCACGAAAUUCUGGUCACCGGCCAUCCCAGUUGAAUUUCCGGAAAAUAAAUAAUUAAAUAAUUAAUUUCGAAAAUUAAUAUUUAAUUCCUAAAAAUUCCAUCUAGGCCCGAUUUGCUGAAUUAACACCCGAUGAGGGACGGGAAAAAUCCCAAGAAGCAUCCAAUAAAUACUAUAGGCAAUUAUCUAUCUAAUUACACUAAUCACACAACUAAUAUGCAAAGUAAUUAACUAAUAAUCACUAAGCAAUUCUAAUCUAACCACAUAAUUACACUUAAUUAACACUAAUCAACAUUUAAGUAUAAUUAGUACACUAAGAAGGCACUAGUGAGUAAAACUCACUUGGUAAAGCGAAGAUCGAAAACCGCGACGGCGGCCGAAUUCCAAAGUUUCGGCGGCGACGAUAGACACUCGAGCCGGGCCUACAAGCCUCGCAAGCCCACAACAAAGGCUGGCCUUGGGCCGACUUGCUUCACGGGCCCAAGAUAGGCUGAACUUGCUGGGCCUUGCUGAAAUACAAAUGAUGUUGGACUCGACACUCGGGCUGAGAUGGGCUUGAAACAAAACUGAACUAGGCUUCAAGAUAUGGGCUGGACUUCAAUUGCUUUGCUGGAAAUUGGGCUUGGCCAAUUAACUCACGUGGACUGGGCUGGGCUGCAGCUGAAGUAAUUCGACUGGGCUUGAAAUGGCCCUCAGCUGGACUGAACUUUACUGGGCCCAAAUGAUUGAAAGUGUUGGGCUAAGGGCAGGCCGCUGGAGAAGACCGAAGACUGUUGGAGCUGGUGUCACGCGUGGGCUGGGCUGCUGCGGUUGGCCCACGAACUGGAGAAGCAGCUGCUGGCGUGCACUGGAAUCUUCGAGCUUCGCUGGCAACAAGGGGACAAGAUGCAGCUUCGCUCGGUGGGGGAUUUCUUCGGUCAAUCUUCAGCGGUUUUCAGCUGGGUCUUGACCGGUGAAAUGGACCGAAACGUGGCAGAGAUGGGGAGCAGCUGUUGGCGUCGAUGGACGUGGGAAGAAGACGCAACGUGGCUUCGCUGGGGUCUUCAAUUCGCUUAAGUCCACGGACGUGAGUCUUCUUCAGUGGAAGGCCUCGCGCGGCUGAAGAAGAAGAGGCGCGGAUGAAGAGUCUUCAGUGGAAGCUGCAGCUUCAUUGGACGUGGCUGCUUGAAGAUUGUCGGUGGACGUGGCAGCGGCAGGAAUUGCUCAGUCAACCAAGGAAUUCGGUGACUUGCUGGUUGACCGAGAGAGCGCAGACGUUGGACGGGUGGCAAGGAGAUUUCGGUGGAGAUGGGGGGCGUCCGUUGGCGUUGAUGCUGAGUCGUGGAUGAAGAAGCCGCUUGGGGUUUUGGUGAGUGGAGGUUUCACGGUCAACACCAGCUUCGCUGGUUGACCGAACUGAAUGAAUUAGUUCGGUGGGUGGAGCUACAGGGAAUCAUGGCCUAAAGUGGAGAAGCGGACGAAGGUGCGGCAGCUUGGGGGAGAAAACUCGGUGAACUUGUUUCGCGGCUUCAGUGGAGAAAGAUGGAGUCUUCGCUGGGGGGAGAGCUGAGACGACGGAGAGAGAGAUCUUCGGACGUGUGGCUGGUUUCUCUCGGUGGUAAAANNNNNNNNNNNNNNNNNNNNNNNNNNNNNNNNNNNNNNNNNNNNNNNNNNNNNNNNNNNNNNNNNNNNNNNNNNNNNNNNNNNNNNNNNNNNNNNNNNNNNNNNNNNNNNNNNNNNNNNNNNNNNNNNNNNNNNNNNNNNNNNNNNNNNNNNNNNNNNNNNNNNNNNNNNNNNNNNNNNNNNNNNNNNNNNNNNNNNNNNNNNNNNNNNNNNNNNNNNNNNNNNNNNNNNNNNNNNNNNNNNNNNNNNNNNNNNNNNNNNNNNNNNNNNNNNNNNNNNNNNNNNNNNNNNNNNNNNNNNNNNNNNNNNNNNNNNNNNNNNNNNNNNNNNNNNNNNNNNNNNNNNNNNNNNNNNNNNNNNNNNNNNNNNNNNNNNNNNNNNNNNNNNNNNNNNNNNNNNNNNNNNNNNNNNNNNNNNNNNNNNNNNNNNNNNNNNNNNNNNNNNNNNNNNNNNNNNNNNNNNNNNNNNNNNNNNNNNNNNNNNNNNNNNNNNNNNNNNNNNNNNNNNNNNNNNNNNNNNNNAUAAAUCAAUCGACGCUCAAUGUCUCAAUUACUAUUUUUCCUCAUCCAAUAAACCAUCGUGCAUCUCAAUUUUGUAACCAGAAUUGAUCCUCGGCUUCAACUGAACAAAAACAACCAUAUUUAUUCAGUUGAAAUUAGAACCCGAAAGUGACAGCUUGAUUCUAUGCUUGCUAACCCAAAAUGCUUCCCAAAGUCUCAAGCGCCUAAACGAUCCCAUCAAAUCUAGGAUCGCUCAGUGCUACUAAACUCACAGUACUGGCCUGCAACGGUACUCUUACACUCACAUUGGCCUGAGCCUGCGCUCUACCUCGGGUACCUCGAGUAUCAACCCUUGUCAACGUCCUACCCCGAGUUACAGUUCCUACUAACCUAUGCCUAGGAGUUCUCCGCUCAUGAUCACUCAUGCUACAGGAUCUUAUAGAAACAUGUUUCCAAUUCCAAUACCAUAUUAGAAUUUGAGUGAUCCCACAAACAAGCUACCAAUCAGCUAUCACUCGCAUACAUCAACAUAAUUAAAAGGCAUUUCCUACUAACUAUCCUAAGAACCCAUCGCACCUUAUCACUCCAACUAUUGACUAGCUCUAUUACCACUCCGGGCGGGGAUGUCAUGCCCCAAUCCUUGAGCGUGUGCCCAUCCCUCGGUGGUCAAUAAUAAAAAUGUGACUUCCCAAAACGAGUCACUGACCCUUUCAUUUUAUUGCAUAUUCGGAAGCGAAUAACAAAUCCCCUAACAGUAACCAUCUGGGAUAUAAAAGCAAGACAACAGAUUCACAAGCAAAACAUGUUUUUAUAAAUAUACUGAGUCAUGUACAAAGGUUUAUAACCAAAAGACUUCAAAAGACUGCCUCUCCAAAAAGAAAUUGUCAUAUUUGACCUACACCACGAAUCACCUCAGCUCGGCUCCAAGUCCUCCACCCUACGGUACUGAAAAGUUAAGCCCACGACGAGGUAAGAUAUAAAUUUCAACGAAUUCAUGCUCUAAACCCCGAUUAGGAGGGUAAUACGCCUAGAGGCGUCCUAACCACAUAACCACACAACUACAGAGACUUACCUUGUCUCAUAUCCUUCCUGCAUGUCAGCAAAGUUCAUACCACAGACAACACAAAAGCAUGAGCAGUAAACAAGCUCAUCAACUGGAACGCCACACUCAAAUUUCAAACAAGCACAGGGGUCCUGAUUAUAUCAAAUCGUUAUGACACAUCCCAUACAGUGCCACACAAUUUUAUCCCAUAAUUCGGCACAUCUAUCUCACUCAAUCAUGUGUUUUAAUUGAUUACUACUACCCGCACAAGCAGUUUUACCCAACACACAUCAGUCCUCUGGCAUAGCCAGGUUUCAUCUCACUCCUUUGAGCAAAACUACAUCCUCCGACACACAUCAGGGAUGGCAUUCCUUACGGCAUACCCGAAGGAGCUUUAAUCCAGAAUCUAUUGUGACCGGCUUCCCAUAUAGAGUUAACAUCCACUCAUACACACUGGGGACGGGUUCUCUUAACCAACACACGAUCAUUCAAUUAUGGCAAAAAACACUGUGCAUUACAUUCAAAUGUCCCAAUUAAAAUAAUGCACUUGGCUCAUUUUCUUCGUAUUAAAAACACCCGAUGAAAAUAGUCGUUUGUGGGUACACGAUCAGAUCAAAUCAAAAAAAAAAUUGAUAUCCUUCCUUUUAAAAUCCCACUAUUUUAUAUAGUAUAUAAAACAAUUUUCGGUGUCAAAAUCCGACACCUAGGAUUUUCUAAAUAAAUAUUGAAUUUCAAAAAAUUUCGAAUAAAUAACCAAAAUUCUAAUCAGUACUCAAUUUGCACAAAUUAACACCUAAUUGCAUAAACUAAACAUACCAUUGUAAUCAACACGAAAUUUUGGUCACCGACUAUCCCGGUCUAAUUUCCGAAAAAUAAUUAAUAAUAAAUAAUUAUGAAAAAUAAUUAAAUAAUGUAAAUUAAAUCAAUAAAUGCAAACUUAGGCUAAAAAUUGCUAAUCUAACCACCUGUUGAACUAAUUAAUUUAUACUAACCAUUCUAACUAUAAUGCCACAUAAUAAACUAACUAAUUACAAGUUCUAACCACCUAAUUCACUAAUCUAACUAACCUAAAUUAAUUAAACAAGCUAAUAACUAUCAUAAUAUAAUCUUAAUAUAAUCUAAACACCCCUUUAACAUCAUUAGCCUACUAAUUAGAGUUUAGUGCAUAAACUCGCUGAUUUAGCGCGAAAACCGGUUCACCGCAAUGGUGGCGCAACAGCAACCGAAACUUGAACUUUUGGCAACACCAAUGGAGACUUGGACUGGGUCAAAAAUAGCUCACAAACUAAUUGCUUGAGCUGAAAACCAAUUAUGCUCAAGAACUCGUCGCGAGCUUGGCUUAGCGGCUCGAGACUACAGCGUGUGAAGGUGAAGAGAGCAGUUGGAGGUGGCAGGUGGCGUCAACGCUAGUGGUCCACAAACCAGAUGAAGAAGCAGCUUCGAGCGGAGAGGAGCUGCUGGAGUCAAUGUUGGCGGAGAAGGCGUUGCUGGAGUUUGACUCGGUGAAUCAACACCACGCGAAGAUGGGUAAGGCGGCAGCGAAAUGGAGGUGGGACAGGCGAUGGUGGUGGAGUAGCUACAAGAUAGACUCGACAGAGGGAAAUGGAAGUAGGUGCUGGCGGAGAGAGAGAGAGAGAGAAACAACGGAGCUGCUUCGGUGAAGGAAUAAAUGAACGAAAGCAUAAGGUAGAGGGGUUGGUCAAACCGGCGUGCGCGAGAGAAAGGACCAAAGGAGAGGGGCAGCUUGGCGUAAGGAGGAAGCUGCAAUUUGGGGGAAAGAAGUCCACAAAAUUAUCCACUCAAUUAAAUGCUUGGUCUCACAAGCCUUCAAGUUAAUCCCCUUUGUCCCCCAAUCACUUUCAUGCAUCUAAAUCCCCACAAAUAACAAGUUUUGAUGCCAAAUGUUGCAGCCCCCUUCAAGCUUACGAAUUUCCCUCAAAUAGACUUCAAUUUCUUCACCAAUUGAUGUCCAAUUUUGCUGAGGAGGAAGCCCACACAAUUUCUACAAUUUCCCUUCACCAAGUAGCUCACUUUGGAGGCCAAAAAUCCCUUCAAUUUGGCACAUCCAAAUUUCCGUUCUUUUCCGAAUCGUCCGAAUUGAUUUUCCGUAAGAAUCUUGAACUCGCCGAAAAUUCUUCGAAAGAUGAGUCAACAUUCCUAAAAUAAAUCGUGACAUGAAAAAACUUUUAUUUUCUAAAAUCAAGUUCAACUUCACGGUUAAUUUCAAUCUGGUGCGAUUUUAGCGUGUCCUAACCUACCGGGUAGCGUUUAGAAAUUUUUAGCGCAUUUGACCUGUGCUCGAUUAUUUCGAGCCACAUUGUGCAUCUUCGACACAUUUGCAACUCUCAAUUGUUGUGAAAAUCUCAAGAUUUCAAAUACGGACACAGGGUACAAAAAUGAUAGAAAAAUCGGUCUAGUGCCGUUCAAUAGAAAUUUUGCAAUUAGGUGCAAUCACCCACACACUAAUCACAUACCUCUAUCGAAUCAACCUAUCUUCAAUUUCUAAUUAAUUUUGACGGUGCCGUAAUGACUCUUUCAGAUUAGCACAGUCGAGUUGGUUGAAUUCUCAAGUCUAUUGCAUUUAGAUUCCUUAAUAGCUUCACCUAAUAGGCCAGUUAUCCCGUGAGUGAUCAGCUCAGGGAAAAGAACUAUAGACGCAUCGAUGAAAAGCCCAACUUAUUAAAUUGAAAACAAAACUUGAAAUUCAAGAUGUCACUGUGGCACCCCUCGAACGGCCCCCGAUCCGUUAUGGUCGCCACAAUGCACUUACCUUUCUCUUGUCUUGACAAUAUAUCACUCUAAUAGCAUAGAAUCAUAAUAAGCCCAUAACUCCUGGGGGUUUAUAUCUUUUGAUCAGUCCCUACACAGAAAUAUGGCGGAAGCAUAUCCAACAACUCCCUUCCCUAUAUUUAGAAAAUGAUGCACACCAACUAAACAUUUAUAGAUAAAAGCCGAACACUUUUAUUUACUUAAACCAGACGGACAUCAUUCAUCGGUAUAUCAAAAUGCCAUAGUCUUCUAUAAUCGGCUAUACUUUAAAAGAUGACCGACAUCUUUUCCAACAAUCGUAUACUUAAAGUCCAUUAAUCAAUGUCAACGUCCAAAAGUUCCUUCCUUUGUUGUCCUCCUCCUCACAAUCAUAUCCAACCACUCGAUCCAUUUGCUAGUGGCGGUGAUAGUAGAGGCAUCUUAUCUAGUCUGAAAUGUUAGUCUCCAAAAUGGGUGAGUACAACCACUCAGCAGUAAAAGAUUCAUUAAGUUAUAUCAUGCAAUACCAUCAAUAUCUAGAUUCAUACAAGAUAGACAAGAUAGGCAAUCAAUGAAUAAGUAUGCAUCCAAACCAUAUAACUCUUCAAUGCAAUGAUCAGUGCAUUUCCAACCAAUAAGAUGCAUCAUGUCCAAUCACACAAGUCCUGAUCAUAGGGUCAAACUGUAAUGACACGUCUCAUUUCAUGCCAUACAAUUUAGUCCUAUAACCAGACCACACACACACUUAGUGGAACCAUCAGUUUUAACAUUCAAAAGGUUUCACCCCCCAGAGGACCAAUGUUUGUGUCCUUAUGGGCAAUCGCACCCAAUUCUAGCGUCGCGAAGUCCUCCGGUACACACCUCUGAACAUCUCGCAUCCCACCUGGCAUCACGAGGAAUUGCUGGGGCUCGCCAUAAAAAUUGGUUAUCCAUGCCUUCCGGGAAUUAUGUACCGACAUACCACCGGGCAUCCGGCACACACCUCCAAGCAUCUCUACUCCCGAGGAAAAUCCUCUGGGCAUGUAUUCAAAAUACAACUAGGCAUCCAAAGGGCAUCAACUCAUUCAAACCUUUGGGCAUUCUAACUCCCGGGGCAUCGUUGACCCGAGGGUCCAACGGCAAUAAUUAACAUCUUAAUUUCCAAAAACACUUUUCAAUGCAAUGACAAAAUGUCUCUUGAGUCUCAUCACAUCUCAAUAUUGCAUAAUAUGCCAAUGACAGUAUCAUCAUGUCACAUAACAACCCAAGAUGCAUUCACUUUUGAAAUCAGUUGAGCAAAGUCUGAGUAAAACAGCUUAAAAACCAAAAUGUGCAGCUUUAAUGAAAAUUUCGAAAUAACCCCUAAAUGAACUCAGAAAAUUAUGAAAUUUGGAUAUGUUGUAAAAAAGACCUAAAGGAAAAUGUUUCAUGAAGAACACUAAGUCAGAUUCACUGUAUAUCAAGAGCAAUAAUUUCGAUAUUCCCUACUAACACUCUGUAAUAAUUUCCAGAUUUAACAUUUACAAGAAAAAUCAUUUCACCGACCAAAACUUGUCCAUUUAUUCUCAAUUUUUGAGAUGUUAUUCCUACAGAUGUUCUCUCCAACUUUCAUUAAGUAUUCGAAGUUCAACUCUAUCUAGAUAAAUACAGAAAAUUCGUGGAAUCAUCAAAGGUCAGGCUGUUUUUCUACGGAACAGUUUUCUGUUUUAAAAUGAAUUGCUUCUAUCUACACAUUCUUGUAUUCAUAUAGCUAUAACUAUGAGUUAAACUCAAUCUAAUGGAUGUUAUAUUAAGUAAAAUGAUUAUAUUCCUUAUCUUCAUCUCUAGAAAUUAAAGCUACACAAUAUAAACGAUUUUCUAUCCAUGUUCAUCUAAGACAGAAAACAUCUAAUGCUUUUCUCUUCAUUUCCAGCUCAAUCAAACCGUUUGUUUUACUACAAAUUCAUCAUGUAGCAUCUCAACACACUUACACAGCAUCUAGGAGUAGUCAUAGUACAUUUUCACUCACCUAGAACCCUUCACAACUCGGUACAAAGCACGUACUCACAUCUUGGCUCAUGUAACUCAACAUGCAUCACCUUUUCUAAACUCAACACACACCAUUACACCUCACUCAACAAUCACAGCUCACUCACAAUUAGAUUUCGAGACAUGCAAGCCUCAAAUGCAACAUGCAAUGACUUAUAGCCUCGAUCUAGAACUUAUCUAGCUCAAUCCAACAUAAAAUAACAACUUCGCAUUCAAUCCUCCACAGAUUGGCAUUCAGUUUUUAUCUCAACCCUUCCUCAAGUCUAUUGCACUACACUAGAUAGCAACAGCACUACAUCACAUAGAUUGAUGAACUUCUACUUGCCUCUAAUUCCUUAGCUUGACAGCAAGUAAAACCGAAAGCUUGGGCUUGGCUCAACAGCGACAAAGACCGGCGGCGACAACGGUGGCAGCUCGAGCACGAGCACGGGUGAUCUCUUCUUCCUCACACUGUGCACUCACUCACUGCUUGCAUCUCUCUCUCUCUCACUUGCUCACUCGCUCGUUCGGUCUCUCUCUCUCUCUCUGCUCAAAAUUCUAUUCGGUUCACUCUCUUUCUUCACCAUCAAAACCGAGCUAAUAAUUCCCUCAAAAUUAAUUAGACUAAUGAUGAUAUUUGCAUGUAGGGGUUUCGAUGGAUGCAUGCAUGGAGGACAGGUGGGGGAGACAUGGCAAUUUUCUUUGGCCACUUGUAGACACGAACGAAGCAGCUGUUCCAAGCUCCUCCUUCGCUGGCCACCGAAAUGGAGAGCAACGUGGCUGCUGCUGGGUGCCCCUCGGUCAACCACCCACCUUGGUUGACUCCUCAACGUUCGUAUGGGCUGCAUGGGCGUGGGCUGUGGGCUCUUCAUUCCAACGUGAUUAUGGGCUGUAGACGUGGGCCAUAUACGUGAGCUUCAUGUUGCUGCAUGGGUCAACAAUCUUAUUUUGUUGACUGGUUGGACAACAAAGAAAGGCGCGGCUGCAAGUCUUGUACGUGCAUGGGAUAUUUGGGUUGGCAUGGUCCUCAUGCGUAAGAAGAAACGGCCAGCUCGAGGCGGCCGAUUUUUUUGGUGCUCCUCACCAACGUNNNNNNNNNNNNNNNNNNNNNNNNNNNNNNNNNNNNNNNNNNNNNNNNNNNNNNNNNNNNNNNNNNNNNNNNNNNNNNNNNNNNNNNNNNNNNNNNNNNNNNNNNNNNNNNNNNNNNNNNNNNNNNNNNNNNNNNNNNNNNNNNNNNNNNNNNNNNNNNNNNNNNNNNNNNNNNNNNNNNNNNNNNNNNNNNNNNNNNNNNNNNNNNNNNNNNNNNNNNNNNNNNNNNNNNNNNNNNNNNNNNNNNNNNNNNNNNNNNNNNNNNNNNNNNNNNNNNNNNNNNNNNNNNNNNNNNNNNNNNNNNNNNNNNNNNNNNNNNNNNNNNNNNNNNNNNNNNNNNNNNNNNNNNNNNNNNNNNNNNNNNNNNNNNNNNNNNNNNNNNNNNNNNNNNNNNNNNNNNNNNNNNNNNNNNNNNNNNNNNNNNNNNNNNNNNNNNNNNNNNNNNNNNNNNNNNNNNNNNNNNNNNNNNNNNNNNNNNNNNNNNNNNNNNNNNNNNNNNNNNNNNNNNNNNNNNNNNNNNNNNNNNNNNNNNNNNNNNNNNNNNNNNNNNNNNNNNNNNNNNNNNNNNNNNNNNNNNNNNNNNNNNNNNNNNNNNNNNNNNNNNNNNNNNNNNNNNNNNNNNNNNNNNNNNNNNNNNNNNNNNNNNNNNNNNNNNNNNNNNNNNNNNNNNNNNNNNNNNNNNNNNNNNNNNNNNNNNNNNNNNNNNNNNNNNNNNNNNNNNNNNNNNNNNNNNNNNNNNNNNNNNNNNNNNNNNNNNNNNNNNNNNNNNNNNNNNNNNNNNAAGGUGAUUAACGUUAAAGAGAAAACGAACAAGAAAAAACAAAACAAGAAGAGAUCAUUCACAUCAAGGUUUUUCUGUCUGCUCAAGCAUUUGGCUAAAGUACACUUCAAGUGCCAAAAGUUGGUAUAAAUGGACACUUAAGUGCAAAAAAUUACAAAAGUGACACUUAAGUGCCAAAAUUGGAAAGAAAUGGAUCACUUAAAUGCCAAUCUGGCCAAAAUCCGGCCAAAAUGCUGAUGUGCGCAAUUUUCGGCAAAGUAAGUGCAAAACGGCGUCAUUUUGCAUGCUGACGUGGCCAGAUAAUGAAAAAAUGACGUCAUUUUGGUGCUAACAUGGUAAAAAUUAAUAUAAAAAUUAAUUAAAUUUAAUUGAAAACUAAAUUUAUUUAAAAAUUUUGAAAAUACAAAUACAAAUAUUUUUUUAAAAAAAAAGGUGGGAGGGAGGCGGCGGCAGCUGAGGGCUCAACCCUCAGCUGCCUCCCUUUUUAAAUAUUUUAAAUAUUUUUAUUUUAUUUUAAAAAAUUUUAAAAAUUUUAAUUUUUAAUUUAAUUUAAUUUAAUUUUUAUAUUAAUUUUUUACCACAUUAGCACUAAAACAACGCCGUUUUGCACUCGUUUCGCCGGAAAAUUGACAUAUUAGCAUUUUGGCCGGAUUUUGGCCAAAUUAAUACUUAAGUGAUCCAUUUUGCUCUGUUUUUGGCACUUAAGUGUCCCUUUGUACCAACUUUUAGCACUCCAAGGGUCUUGGUGUCUAAGCAUUUUAUUUAUCAUUUUGAUAGUGUUACUUUCUUGUUUCCAUACUUGUAUGAUCAUCCAUCGCAUGUAAGUGGUUUAAGACCAAAUCAAUCAAGGCUACUUGCAAAACAUUUUGUGAAAUAAAGUGAAGGUGCCAAAGGGAGAUAGAUUUAUCUAGCAUAAUCAAGUCCCUUAUCCAUGAAAUCUCUAGUUCACAAAAAUAAAGUGUUCUCUCACAUUUUACUCGGGUUUUUAAUCAACCAUAGUAGACUAAUGGCAAUUCUUAAAUGAAUUGAAUUGGAUGUCUAAAUAAUUUAAUUAAAACCCCAAAGUUGUGAUUGUUGGGGGUUUGAGAGAACCCGCAUUAGACAAUGGUACCGUCUUUUUAAUGAGUUACCAUUUGUACUUGCAUGAUAAUCCAUUAACUUUCUCUUAGUGGUCCACCUCUAAGAAGGUCAUGACAAUUGGCAAUUAGAGAGUGGCAACUAAAUUAAAGAAGGAAAAGUGAGCUUGUUGAAUUAGAGACGAGUUGACCGAGCAACCGCAUGGAAACAAUGAAUACACACUCCUCAUUCAUCCGAUUGCACUAAAAUGUUGAGGGGAGUUAGUCAACAAGCGGACGAAGCUUGUGUAAAAUUUUUAGACCAAACGGAUAUUGAAAAUUUCAGUUUUGAAGGCUUGACAACAUUGUCUUUUUGUCCAGGCAUCUUGGUGCAAGAUCAUCCAACAUUCCUUGAAAAAAUGCAAAUUUAGGAACUAUUCUUGAAACUAGCAUGUGAGCCAUAUAUUGUUUGAAAAUAGAUGUAAAGACACUCGUCGUGAUACUUUUUUUUUCUCAAAAUUGUCAUGAUACUUAUCUUGCAAUUGUUUUGAGCUUGUUUGGGUCUUCAAUCAAUCAAGAGAAGUUGGGUAUAAAUUACUAGGAAGAAAAUUGAGUCCAAGUGUGAAUUGGUGCUGUUAUAGCUCUUUGGAGUGAUCAUAAUUUUUCCCGUAGAGCCUGAGGUUCUCAUACUACAUUGUCCCUAGUCGAAGAGUAUAGGAGAUUCCUAAUAUUCAUCAUAUGCACGGAUGACCUAUGUGAGCUGAAACCUUACUAUUAAUGAAAGAUCAUGCCUCUAGUUUAUAUGUGCAAAAGGAAUGCCACGAGAAAAAUGUAUGCAAUGUUGUAUAAACUGAUUGUUUUGUUUUUAUCAUGGGUCAAAUUUAUGAGAUGCAAAUGUAUGAUAAAUUCAUUAGUGAAAUUCAGGUGUCGACAUCAAAAGUCCUUUAAAUAGUGAAGAUUGGAAAUUUCGAUCAAAUUGAUGAUUGGACUUAUAUAUAUGAUGCUUUUGAAAAAGACAAGCCAUCUUACUAAGGCAAAAGUUGUUGGAGUUAUCCCACAUUGAUUAUGGAAUUUUUUAGUGGUUAGUUUAUAAAUAUGAGAGAAAGUCUCACCCUUUGGGUAAACGUUUGAGAUGAGAGAAGCGCAAGAUUACCAAACAUUGGUGUUAGAGCCAAUAGUAGAUUGGCGGCCCCCAAUCUGUUCAAGAUAUCUCAAGAAAAGGAAUCUAGUUACCAACAUAGUUUCUAGGCAAUGUGUGUUGUGGUAUAACACAAUCCCAAUGGUAGUCUUCAUGGUUCGAUUCAAAGAAAAAAAAACAUGGAUAAAGGUGAGGUGUUGGAGAUUCAAGUUAAGAUUAGUUAAAUAUAAAAAGAUACCUAAGUUAAGGGGAACAAACCUAACAAUGAGCUCAUAUGUAAUGGGGAGAUUGUUGAGAUAUACAUGUGAGUUAUCUCAAAGAAAGGAAUCUAGUGACUAACACAGUUUCCGGGCAGUGUGUGUUGUGGUGUUGCAACGCAAUCAAAUGGUAGUUUUCAUGGUUCGGUCCGAUGAAAAAGAAUAUGGAUGAAGGUGAAUGUUGGAGAUUCAAGUUGAGAUAAGUUAAUGUAGAAAGAUACCUGAAUUAAGGGGGAACAAACCUAACAUGGAGCUCACACGUGAUGGGGAAGAUUGUUGAGAUACAUAUGUAAGUAGGAAUUUAGCGACUAACACAGUUUUCAGGCAAUGUGUGUUGUGGUGUUGCAACGCAAUCCAAUGGCAGUUUUCAUGGUACGGUCUGAUGAAAAAGAACAUGGAUGAAAGUGAAUGUUGGAGAUUCAAGUUGAGAUAAGUUAAUAUAGAAAGAUACAUGAAUUAAGGGGGAACAAACUUAACAUUGAGCUCAUACAUGAUGGGGAGAUUGUUGAGAUACAUAUGUAAGUUGUGUUAGGAAAGUCCCACAGUGGAGAAUUGUAGUGCAAAGUAAUUAAUAUAUCUAGCUGGCUAAUAACUCAUUGCUUUAAGCUUUUGAAUGAAGAUAUGUAUAAUUAGAUAUGUUAAUUGGCUUAGACUUGGGCUCUUUCUUAGCAAUCUCCUAGGUUAAAGAUAUUGGACAUCUGUUAUACACUCUCAACAAAAGUAAACACAUAAUUAUCCGAUUUUGAUAGGACAAAUUAGUUGAUAAACCAAUUCGUGAAACCCAAGAAAGAACCAGACAUCAUAAUUUUGUGGUACCGAAGUAAAGUUGUAGGACUUAAAUGCACAAAUUAAAAGUUACGGAUUUGAUUGCAUAAUUCGUGUAAGUUGUUUGACCAAAAAUGAAAUUAUUCCAAUUAAAUAAGAAUCGAAUUUAACCUAAUACGAUGAAAUGGAUGGAUCACCGGACUUACGUGACCAACAUGUUCACUCCUAUCCAUAGCCAAAAGAUAUAUUAAUGUUUUCUCCUUUUUAUAUUGUGGACGCAAAUAAUAGCAUCUCCUGCUUUUUCUUUAUUGUUUUGGGUUGCUUUCUUGUGAACAGGAUAAGAGUGUAUAUUAAUNNNNNNNNNNNNNNNNNNNNNNNNNNNNNNNNNNNNNNNNNNNNNNNNNNNNNNNNNNNNNNNNNNNNNNNNNNNNNNNNNNNNNNNNNNNNNNNNNNNNNNNNNNNNNNNNNNNNNNNNNNNNNNNNNNNNNNNNNNNNNNNNNNNNNNNNNCCCCUCAGCCCCCCGCAUGGCCCGUGAUCGGCAAUAUCCUCGACCUCGGGACCAUGCCGCACCAGAACCUCCACAACUUCCGAGCCAAGCACGGGCCUGUGACGUGGUUGAAGCUCGGUUCCGUGAACACCAUGGUGAUUCAAUCAGCUCAGGCCGCGGCAGAGUUCUUCAAGGGCCAUGACUCCGCGUUCGCAGACCGCAAGUGUCCCCAUGCAUUGACAGCUCUCGGUUAUGACCAAGGCUCGCUCGCUAUAGGUCGUUACGGUAGCUACUGGCGCGUUCUCAGGCGUCUCUGCUCUGCUGAGCUCCUCGUGACCAAGCGCGUCAACGAGACAGCCCAUCUCAGGCAGAAGUGCGUCGACAACAUGGCCAUGUAUUUAGAGGAAGAAAUGGCGGCUAAACAAGUAACAACAGGUUAUUUCUUAAGUGCUUCGUGUUACUUUGGACGUUUGCGUUUCAUGUGUAACCUUGAAUGACCGAAAUAAUAGUUUUCUUCUUCAAAGGGAAAAAAAAAAAAAAGCAACAGAGAGAGAGAAAGGAACGUUUAAACUCCCUAUAAAAUAUCAAAAGAGGAUAUGUUGGGACUUCUGCACCGUUAGGAGUUAACGAUCCACGCUGUCAAAAGAAUCGUAUUUCAGUAAAGAACGCAACCUGCAACUAGAUCUACCUAAGAAAACAUUGGGCCUGCUUUUUACGGAUAAAGGAACCGGCAGUGUUUAUUUUUUGUAAAAUGUAUGAUUGAGUUCUAAAAUCUUCUUCUUCUUUUUUUCUUUUUUCUUUUUUCUACUAUUGAGUUCUUAAAUUAUACAUCUUUUAAUUUGAGUUGGCCCUCCUCUUAAAUAUGCUAAUGCAUUGGUUACGAUGAAUAUUGCAUCCCCACCAUAUGUUAGCACUGACUAGACUAACUAAUUAGGGAGACAUGAAUUCUUUUUUACGUGCCAAGAUGGGUAAGAAAGAUUAUAAAAAUAAAGAAAUCUAAAUCCAAGUAAACAUUCACCAACCCAAGCGUUGCCUCAAUUUAUUGCAUGACCCAACUCACCUCCAUCCUAGUUAUUCAAUUUGUCUAUGUCAUUCUAUUUUUAGGUUUUUUAAGAAUUCACUUAAGACACCAUGUUGGUUUUCAAUGAGGACGUAACCGCCAUGUCAACAUUUAUAUCUACUUCUUUAAUGGAAGGACUAAAUCAAAGAAGAAGUUAUACGGCUCGAGGAUCUAAUUGCACAACAAAUUUAGGAACCUAAUUAGAACUUUUUAUAAAAGUUUAGGGACUGCUGGUACUUUUAUCCCUUUGUUUUGUUGCGGUAAUUGACAAAUUCAACAAAAUAGAUACCAGUGUAAAUAAUUCAAGUUGCCCAAGAGCUACUGGUGUUUAAAGUGCUAUUUAGUCAAACUUGCUUUCAUUCUUCUCGAGUUUGAGUCGAACUAGAGUGGCUCUACAGUUGAAUUAUGCCAAGCUCGAGUAGCUUUACCAUUGAAUUGGGUCAAACUCCAGCAUGAUCAAGUAGUUGGGUUUUAUAUAUCUUCUGAUGCAUUGAUCAAGUAUAUCCCCAUUAUUAUGCAAGAGAAUGCAAAAGUAAACUUUCCACUUUAUUUUAUUUGUAGAAGCCAAGUUGGAGUUUUUAAGAGUUCAGAUGCUAAUUUAGUUUUGUUAGUGAAAAAUAUCCGAAAACAAGCUUAUCAAGAACUUUAUUAAGUUCGACUUGAGCUUGAAAAAUCCAACUUUUGUCUUGAACAUUGCAGCUUGGAGGUUGAUUCCUCCAUCCCUCCUUAAACUAGUUGCAAAACUUGGUGCAAUAAUUUUUUUUUUCAUGUCUAAUUCAUUACGUUCUGCUAUACAUUCUCUAAUUAAUCGUUCAAAAUUUCUAAUUUUUAUGAAGAGCAAGGAAUCGACUUAUCCCACUUCCUCUUUCUCAUGACAUUUAAUGUGGUGGGUAAUAUGGUACUCUCGCGGGAUCUGUUGGACCCAAAAUCAAAGGACGGGCCUGAGUUCUUUGAUGCCAUGAACUGGUUCAUGGAAUGGGCUGGCAAGCCCAACGUAGCCGACUUCCUGCCGUGGUUGAAAUGGCUGGACCCGCAGGGAAUCAAGGCAAGCAUGGCGAAGGACAUGGGUCGAGCCAUGAAGUUUGCUGAAGGUUUUGUAAAAGAGAGGUUGGAGGAGCGAAAGCUGAGGGGAGAGAUGAGAACGACAAAUGACUUCUUGGAUGCGGUAUUGGAUUAUGAGGGCGAUGGAAAAGAAGGCCCUCGCAAAAUCUCUUCCCCGAACGUCAUCAUAAUAAUUCUGGUAUCCUCUCUUCCACUCUUGGCAAAAAAGAAAUGAUUAACAUCUUAAGGAUAUUAGGUCCAGUUCAGUUUGUAAAGUGGGGUGGUAAACUUAAUUGACAAUUAACAAGCAGGUCAUAUCACGCGUCAUUCUCUACAAACGCGUGUUUUCGUAGAACAUUCUAGCACUAGAUUUUAUAAUAACUAGCCUUUUCCAAUCAACUAUCUAUGAAAACAUUUUACACUUUAAGUUUGUAGAGAACGUUGCAUAACAAAAAGCUACUGCUAUUAUAAAGAUGUUACCAUUCUUUACUGAUUUAGCCAAUCUGUGCUCAUUUUGUAAUAACUAGCUAAGAAUGUUCUACGAAAACAUAAGAUUGAUUUAUGGUUAUUUUUUAUAAAAAGAAAAUCUAGUGCUAGAAAGACACAUUGAAUUAUUUAUUAAAUUAAGUCGAUGUGAAUUUGACUGAUUAAUAGAACAUGUUGGAUAUCCACAAUGAAUGAGUGAAUAGUAUGUUGAUCAGAUGUGUGAUUUAAUAUUGACUAUAAAUAUAAUCGAUGCUCAAACACCAGCAUUGGUUAUAAGAAGCCAAUAAAAUUAAGUUGACAAGGCAUGAACAGUUUUUGUCCAUGGACUUAUAAAUGAAAGUCAAGUUAAUGUCGGUCGAGUCGAGAAGUAUUGACAUUGGCUCACAAAAUUUGGUCGAAUCAAACCGACUGCAAGGAUAAAACUAGCGCGAACAAUUAUUGUAGUCAAACUUCUAGGACGGAACAAUUUUUAAAGUUGUUGACCGGCAGUUGCAGUGAAGCAAUCGUUUAUAGCCGAGACUACAAAAAGAGCACAUCUUAAGGGAAAAAGACGCACAAACAUAAAAAGAACACACUUCACUUUCUUGCCAUUCAUUUUCAGCAACUUAAUUCUUGCCAUUCCAGUUGUUUAUUUCAUUUUUUCCAAUCAAACACCUGCUCUUGCCCUUUUAUAAAUAUUUCUGUUGUCAUUAGUGGAUUCAUUUCGUCAAUUUUAGGAUCCAAUCAUCAAAUUCUUGUUCCUUUCUUUAUGCGCAAUUGUCUGUCAAUUCGAAGCAUAGGAGCUGCUAUGUUUGACAAGGAUUGUAUCAGGUGAAGCAUGAUGAUUUUUACUAUUAAGCCCACGAUUUGAGGGAGUGAUUUUUGAGCGAACUGAAUAUCUUAAUUAUAGCAAAAGAAUCAACAUUGGUGGUAACCCUAGCAAGACAUGAUCUUGUACUAAAUGGGUCUAAUUGAUGGUGCAGGAAAUGUUUUUUGCUGGAUCAGAGACUACAAGCAGCACCAUCGAGUGGGCGAUGGCGGAGCUACUCCGCCAACCCGUGUCAAUGAAAAAAGCCAAAUAUGAGAUUAACCAGAUUGUGGGGUUGAACAGAAAACUCGAAGAAAGUGACACGGAAAAAAUGCCGUUUUUGCAAGCUGUGGUGAAGGAAACCCUAAGAUUGCAUCCACCAGUACCUUUGCUUCUCCCACGAAAUGCUAUAAAAGAAACCAAUUUCAUGGGCUUUGAUAUACCCAAAGAUACCCAGGUUUUCGUGAAUGCAUGGGGCAUUGGAAGAGACCCAGAUGCUUGGGAGGACCCAUCAGCAUUCAAACCAGAGAGGUUUCUAGGAUCUAAAAUUGACUACAAAGGUCAAAACUUUGAGCUAAUUCCAUUCGGAUCAGGCAGAAGAAUGUGCGUCGGACUUUCGUUGGCAGAUAGGGUGCUUCAUCUCGGUCUUGCGAAGUUGCUGUAUCAUUUCGAUUGGGAACUCGGUGAUGGUUUGACUCCAGAGACCCUCGACAUGAGAGAGCGGGUGGGAAUAACACUACGGAAGCUCCAUCCUUUAAAAGUGAUACCUAAAAAAUGUAGUGUGUGAGGUCUUUAGAAUAUAUUAAUGGUAACUAGUUAUAUUCCUUACUAGUUAAUAAGGAAAUGACAAGACGUGAUGUCAUGUAUCCAAAACAAGCAGAAGAUGUUAAGUUUCAUGAACAUAAUUUCAACAUAUUAUUACCCUAAGGUUGUUGGUGUUGAUGUUAUUGUGUCGAGGAUUAAUGAACCUACCCAAGGAAGACUUCUUAAGAAUGGUGUUUUUACUCCACAAACACCUCAAGGAAAAUUACCAAAAAGUUCUUAAACCUAUUAUAUUUUUUUUUUAUCAAUUUAGGAUGUGUUUGUUUCACGAAAAACGUAAUGUUUUUGGAAAAUGUUUUCCGGGAAACCAUUUUCCACGAAAAUGGUUAAUUUUCCUUCGUUUGGUGAUACGUGACUAAAAGUAUUUUCUAGUGUUUGGAUCGCAUUUGAAAAAUGAUUGAAUGGCAUUUGAUCUAACAAUUGACAACAGUGUGCCUCUUACUUCCAAAUUAAUUUGUUGGAUCCAUGUUACUUUAUAAAAGGAUUUUCUAAAAUAAUACAUAAUAUUUGUGUUGACCAGAAAAAUGAUUGAAUGACAUUUGUCCUAACGAUUGGGCAUGCUGAUAUCCUGGCCUCGAGCUUGAUUUAUCGAGCUUGAGCAUGGUCGACUUCACAAAGCUCGAAAUCGACCUCAAAUUCUUCAAAUUGCAAGACUAAGUACUACAUCAUGUAGCUAUUUGCAGCAUCUAUACAUGUAUCCAUACAAUCCUUGAUUACUUGAUUCGGCCUGUGAGUUAUUCGAGAGCAAUCUAAAAGCUGGAGAUUGAGUCAAGUAAACCAUUUUCAAUAGACGUACUUGCAUGAUUUCGGCAAUUCAUGUGGCUCCGGCGAGCUUGGGGCCAUCUCACAGACCAACGUGUCCCUCCAAUCCGCUGGCACCACCUUGAACAAAUUGAAAUCUGAGAAGUAGAGCACCUUCCUCCCCUUCUCGCUCAAGUACCACUCCCUCCUUCCCUCACUCUCAUGGAACCUCUGCACCCCUUGUGACAUCCUGAUUUUCUGAUUCUGUUUUCGAUUGAAUGAAUUAGGCUUUUUAUCGACACGCCUAUAGUUCUUUUUCCUGAGUUGAUCAUUCAUGAGAUAACUAGUCUAUCAGGUGAAGCUGUUAAGGAAUCUAAAUGCAAUAAACUGGAGAAUUCGACUAGAAAUCAACUGCUUGACCGUGCUAAUCUGCAAUGAUUAAUACGACACCGUCAAAAUCAAUUAGAGAUCAAAGAUAGGUCGAUUCGAAAGAGAUAUGUGAUUAGUGUGCGGGUGAUUCCAUCUAAUUUCAAAAUUUAUGUCGAACGGCACUAAACCAAUUUUUCUGUCAUUUCUGUACUCUGUGCCCGUAUUUGAAAUCUCAAGAUUUUCACGACAACCGAAAGUCACCAAUGUGUUGAAGAUGUAUAGUGUGGCUCGAAAAUAAUUGAUCUAGGGUCAAAUGCGCUAAAAAUUCUUAAAAGCUACCCGGUAUGUUAGGUCACGCUAAAAUCGUGCAUGAUUGAAAUUAACCGUGAAAUUGAACCCGAUUAAAUUCUGUCAUGUCACAAUUUAUUUUAGGAACAUCGAUUCAUCCUCUGAAAAUUUUUCGACUAAUUGGGAAUUUUGGCGAAAAAUCGAAGUUGGGCCGUUUUGGACCAGAAAAAUUAGAUGGCCAUUUUUUGUUGCGCUUUUGACUUUUAAGUUGGACUAAUUGGCAAGGAAAAAUGUGAAAUAUGAUGUGGGCACCUUGGCUGAAUUUAUGGGCAUCAAUUUGAGUCCAAUUGAAGAGAAAUUGAAGUAAAAUUGAAGAGGCAAAUGUCCAAAUUCGCAGCCACCAGGGGGGGUAGCAACUUUUGGACCCUUUGGAUGACUUCUAUGAGAAGCUUUGGUGUAGAAAUUGCUGCUGUGGAUAGGGCUGAUCAAGUGGGGGCCAAGCAAUGAGUGAAUGGGAUAUUUGUGAAUACUUUGUGGCCAUUUGGUAGCCCCCCUUCAAGCUAUAGCCUUCUUCUUCUUCCUUAGCCUUGCUUUCUCCGUUAGUGUUGUGUUUUGAGCUCAAGAAAACCAGAUAACCAGCUAGCCAGCCCCUCACACCGUCAACCACCCAUCCUAGCCAUCCGAGCACCACCGAGCACUGCCCGAGCUCCCGUACCUGCUGUCCCGCUCGCGCGCCUAUCUGCACAUCCCCACCGCUUGCGCUCGUCACCCAUGCCCUGCUCGUCGAUUGUUGGAGCUAAUCCAGCCACCUACCGUCACCGUCGAGCCCCUCCACCGCUCGUCCAAGCCGCCUAGUCCACUUUCUCGCCAUUCCAGCCCGUUUCAGCCGUGAAGCCCUUCAGUCCAACCCUUGGAUAGAACCGAAGGCCCAGCUCUAGCAGUGAGCUGUUGGGAUGUUUUUCGGGCCCUUUCGGACCUUCGUUGGUGUCGCUAUAGGCUAGGUUCUCGCCUGCCUUGGUGUCGCCGUCACUGUGAACUCAUCGGCCCUCAAAAUCAGUGAGUUUACUUGCUAAACUUUGCUUAGGGAGUUAAUUAUACUUGAGUGUUGAUUAGCUUAAGUUAAGUAUGGCUUAGGUGGUUAGUUUAAAUAAAUUAGUGAUUUAAUUGCUUAAUUAUAAUAAUUAUGUGGUUAGAUUAGAUUAGUUAAGGGUUAAUUAGAUUGUAUUAUUUAUUGAGCAUGGUGCAUUAUUUUUCUAGGCCCGUUUAGGUAGUUAGAUUAGCAUUAUUAGGCCUAAGUUGGUAUUUAUCUAUUUAAUUUGUAUUUAUUAAUUAAUUUUUUUAUUUAUUUAAUUAUUUAAUCUUUUCCAAAAAUUAUACCGGAAUAGUCGGUGACCGGAAUUUCGUGCUAAUUGCAGUGGUGCACUUAGUUUACGCAAUUGAUUGUUAAAUUGUCCAAUUGAGUGGUGAUUGUGAAUUUUGAGUAUUUAUUUCAAAAUUGUGAAAAUUUGGUAUUUAAUCAGAAAAUACCGAGCAUCGGUUUUUAACAUCAAAAAUGUUUUUAGGUACUAUAUUAAUUAGUGAGAUUUUUAAAAAGGAAGAUAUCGCAUUUUUGGCCCAAACUAACUAUGUACCCAUAUACAAUUAUUUUACUUUGUGUUUUUAAUAUGAAAAAAAAAAAAAUAGGUCAAGUUCAUUAUUUUAAUUGAAGCAUUUGAGUGCAAAGCACAAUGUCCUUGGCCGAGAUUGAUUGAUCGUAUGAUGGUUAAGUGAACCCGUCCCCGAUGUGCGUUGGUAAGACGUUGCCCCUAUAUAGGAUUCCCCUAGACAACGGAUACCAGUCGCAGUAGAUUCUAAACCAAUGCUCCUUCGAGAAUGCCGUCUCGAUGUGCGUCGGUGGAUGUUGCUAUGCUCAAGGGGGGAGACAAAGCCUGCCUACGCUAGAAGACCAAUGUGUGUCGGUAGAUUGUGUAUAUGCGGGCAAUAAUCAAUUGGAACGUAUGAUUAAUUGAAAUUGACGCACCGGAUUUUUAGAUAAGAUUGUGUGGCAUGGUAUAGGACAUGUCAUAAUGAUUUGGCCUUAUAAUCGGGACUCCUGUGAUCGAUUGAUAGGUUGAUUGAUUGAUUGAUUGAUUGAAAUGUGAAUUGAGACGUUCUAAAUGAUCGAGUGUUAUUACUAUACAUAUAUAAUAUAUGAAUUGUACUGACAUGCAAAAGGGAACUAAGGCGCCCAUCCUUGAGCGCGUGCCCAUCCAUCGGUGGUCGAUUAAAUUGCAAUGUCCUAGAACGCAUAGCCAACCCAUUCAUUUUAAUGCGCAUGUAGAAGCGAAUAAAUAAAUCCCCAGACAACACAAAGAUGGGAUAAAAAAGUAGGGCCAAAAUUUUGAAAACCACAACACACUUUUAUACACAGCAGACUAAGUCAUAUACAAUUCUAGUAUAUUAUUACAAGUCCUUUACGUGUUCGAACCCUCAACCAAAGACUCCGAGGUCUCUGGCUCCAGGGAACUCGGGUCUAUCACUACACCACCAGGAGGGUCAGCCGUACCCUUGCCAAAAGCGAUCUCUAGCACCGACAUAGGAAUCUCAAACUCUAAUAGGGGACCUUCUCUGGGUCCACCUCGCCCGUAACAAAACCACAAUUUGAAUUGAUGGGGUACCCUCUGGGGCAGACCCUCAUCAACCCAGAUAAUGAAUCUCACGAGUUCGUAGACCUAGGCUCCCAGGCUCCCAUGGAAGGAAAUCUGAGAGAUCUAUUCGGUGACCUUCUUCGGCUGGCCAAAACGCUCAAGAGGAGUAGUCAUCUAAGGACCUAAAAAUGUUGAGCCCACGAUGAGAUGAGACAAUGUCUUAGCAAGUUUACCCCCUAAACUCCGACUGGAAUGAAAUAUGCCUAAAGGCAGUCUAUGCACACACAAGAUAGAGGACUUACCUCGCCUUAGUUCAUUCCUGCAAGUUAGUAUAAUCCAUAUACUCAACCAAUCAAUUCAAUUCAGUUCAUCGAUCAGCUCAGUCAAAUUAUCCAACAAUCAAUCGAUUGACUCAAGUCGAUAUCAUCAGUACUAUUUAUCAAUUCGAUAUGACCACUGCUCACACAAACUAAAAUAGAUGGUCUUUGGUCUCACAAGUUGCAAUAUAUGGCCAUAAUUCUCAUAAGCUGAUAUAGAUAGAUAAUAGCUCACUCAAGCUGAUAAAUAUAAAUCAUGCUUCCACAAGCUAAUAAAACAAUCUUAUCUCACACAAGUAUAUAUAUAUAUAUCAUGCUCCCAUAAGCUGAUUAAACGAUCUUAACUCACACAAGCUGAUAUCACAAGCUGAAAUAUCGAGCUCAUAAGCUAAUAUAGUAUAUUGCUCUCGCAAGUUGACAUGCAAAAGGGACUCUCACAAAGCUAAUGAUAAAUAUGCUCGCACAAGCUCAAACUAAAUGGUCUCAUAAGCUAACAAAACACCGAGUUGAAAAUACCUGAUAAAGAUAAUCAUGUAUGGGUACACAGUCGGCUUGAGCCAAAAUUUCAAUAUAUUUCUUUUCAAAAAUCCCACUAUUUAUAAUUGUCCAUAAACACAUUUUUGGCAUUAUAAACUGACGCCCGGUAUUUUCUAAUUAAAUACCGAAAUUACUCAAAUUUGGGAUAAAUACCCAAAUUUACAAUUUCCACUCAAUUUGCACAAAUUAGCACUCAAUUAAAUAAAUCAAACAUACCAUUGUAAUCGGCAUGAAAUUCCGAUCACUGGCUAUCUUAGUAGAAUUUCCAGAAAAUAAUAAAUAAUUAAAUAAAUACUAAAAUUAAUUAAAUAAAUACAAUUAAAUACAAUAAAUAGGAACUUAGAUCGGAAAAGCCUAAUUAAACACUGAGACAGGCCCGGAAAAUUUCCGAACCAAUCUACAUAAAUAAUAUGAUCUAUCUAGUCUCUAAUUAAGUUGUUCUAACCACCUAACUUGCAUAAACGAAUAUUUAAAUCGCUAAUCCGUUCUAACUAACCACAUAAACCAUACUUAGCCUAAACUAAUUAACCCUUAAGAUCAUUAAUUCCCUAAGUAAAGUUUAGCAAGUAAACUCAUCGGUUUUGCGAUCCGGUGAGUCCACGAUGACGCAAUGCGGAGACGGGCAAUAAACUCCAAAGCGGCGACACCCGACAAGGCCUGGAAGUUUCCUAAAACGGGCCUUGAAGUCCACAGAAGCUUGCUGGCCUUCGAUUCUAGUUGAUGGGCCUAGAGGCUGCUCGAGUAGCCAAGAGCCGCAAGGAGUGACGGUGACGGUCCCAUGGGGCUAGCACGGGUUCGCACGAGGGCGCAACACAUGCGGAAGGCGAGCGGCGGUGACAAACAGUCUAGCGGUGGCUUGCAAUGGUAGGGGGUGGCUGGCUCGGUUUUCUAGUUCUUUGGAGCUUCAAGGUGCAGAGCUGGCAGAGCGGCCUGGGCGUCGCGGAGGGCUGCUUAGAAUGACGGUAACCGGCAGUAACGACAACGAGCUUUGUGCAGCAAGGGAGAUUGGCUGAUCAGGGGGCUGUUGCAGAGGUAGUGGCGCGGCAGCUAUGGACGAUGGCGAGCAGCGCGAAGGCAAAGGGCAACGCGGGCGCGGGCAAGGUGCGGUCGUUGGGCGUUAGGUACAGUUGCUGCAAGCGAGGCGGAGGCGGUGGGAUGUGGGCACGGUGGUGCGGCGCGGUUGAGGAAGAUCCGGCGGUCGGUUGCAGACGCGAGCAACGAGGGUGGAAGAGAUGAUGAAUAGUCCCCCAUUUACUGCGCUGCUUUCCCUUUCCUUUUCUCUCUCCCUCUCUUUGAUUUUUCUCACGAAAAUUCUCUACUCUCCGAAUUUUGCUCUCAAUUUUUUGAAAACCUACCUCCCUACACGAAAAUUAUGUCUCGCUUUUAUAGUGAUUUCCAGAUAGCCGCUUUCCAUGACAACUUUCAAGUAUCCAUCUUCUGUUGCAUUAAAUCAAAGCCUGGAAAUCAGAGCAUGAUUUCGCAAUCAGCUCGAUUUUGCUUUAUUCCUUCCAUUUUAUCGAAAUCUUUGCCCUUUAUUCACCUGAUUUUUCAAUUAUUUCUGCAUUUAUCAAAAUCUAAAUACUCAUCAGAAUUUCAAAUUUCGAUGCAUAAUAAAUCAAAUCAAUUUCCAAUUUUUUCCUUUUUUUUUCAUUUUUUUGUUAUGAUGCAUUUUUUUAGGGGUUAAAAUUAAUUCCUAAUUUUUAUGCAAAAAAUCAAUGACUAAGUCACCAAAAUGUAGGUCUCAACAAGGCAGCAGGCCCAGAAUCAAGCUACUGCCUUUGCCGCUGCCAUAGAAGCCGCCGCCACUGCUGCCAAUGCUGUUGUUGCUGCCGCAGCUGUUGCCGCACCUGUUGCUGCACCUACUACCGCGACUGCCGAUGUUCCAGUUGAGAACAUAGAGGUGUAGAGAGAAAGACCGAUCCACAAGCUAGUGAAGCAUUUUUUGAAACUGAGCCCUCCAAGAUUUAUGGGUACUGGAGACCUUGAUGCCGCUUCACUGUGGAUUCAGGAUUUGGAGAAAGCCUUUGUAAUCCUGAUGUGCACAAAAGCAGAGAAGGUAACCUUGGUAGUAUAUCAAUUGCAGGGCAAUGCCAACAUCUGGUGGAGAGCCGCCAGAGAGACAGUGUUUCUAGAAGGAGUGGUCUCGUUCAAAGAACAUUACUUUUCGAGGAACACCAAGGAGUAGAAAAUAGAAGAAUUCCUGCGACUCCGUCAGGGGUCAACGACUGUUGACCAAUAUGGGGUCAAGUUUGCAGAGCUAUCUCAGUAUGCUUCGAGACUGAUUAAAGAUCCUGAGGAGAAGGCUCAAAGGUUCAAGAAUGGCCUUCGACAAGAGUUGAAGCAGUCGUUGGUGCCAUUCAACUUAAUUGAUUACCGAGAAAUCUACCAUCGAGCACAGCUACUUGAAAGGAGCCUCACUGAGCAAGUCACCUCGCCUGGAUCAAGAUUUACUUCACACCGAGAAGGAAUUCAUCAGGGAAAGAGGCCCAUGCCUGGAAGUAGAUUCCAAAUCCUGCCCAACAGGAAGGGUGGAGUUAGCAAGUCUAGACCAAGACGAAUCGAGAUGUGUCGCCUUUGUGGAAGACCACAUGCUGUAAAUCAAUGCCCCUGAAGGAUGGGCACCUAUUUUGAAUUUGGCCAAUAGGGUCACAAGGCCAGAGAUUGUCCUAGUAGACCAAGAAGACAACCGCAAUUGCCGCCGCCGCCGCCGCCACCUAUGGGACAGAUCAGAGGAUAUGCGCCUCAAAACGCGCCGCAAGGAGGUCAACUGAGACCUCUAGUUCAGGGCACGGUGUAUGCCAUCACACAAGGUCAGGCAUAGCGCCUGACGUGAUCACAGGUAUGGUUUUGCUGAACGACCGUCCUACUUACACUUUAUUCCACUCAGGAGCAACUCAUCCCUUAUUGCCGAGCAAUAUGUUAAUUUGUUAAUAUUAAAGUCCUAUAUGUUGGAGUCGGCAAUUUGCAUAUCCACACCAUUUAAGGAUAAAGUUAUUGCUGCUUUGGGUUGUUCUCAUUGCAAGUUAACGAUUGGUGAGCGACUGGGGAAAAUAGACUUGUUAGUCCUAGCCAUGUAUGACUUUGAUUUGAUAAUUGGCAUGGACUGGCUCAACAAAACAAUGAGCUAUAAUGGACUGCUAUUACAAGGCAAUUCAAUUUGACCCGUUAAAGGAUGAGAGCUUCGAGUUUAUCGGAAAUCAAGGAGGACCCUCGAUUGUCCUGAUCUCGUUGCUAGAGGCAACUCGUCUGUUAGACGAGGGAGGUCAAGGUUACUUGGCAAUUAUUGUGGAUACAACAGUUGUGGAGCUAAAGAUGGAAGACAUUGUUGUGGUGUUAGAAUUUCCAGAUGUCUUUCCAAGGGAAUUGCCAGGAUUGCCACCAGAGAGAGAAAUUGAGUUCGUAAUCGAGCUAGCACCCGGAACAGAGCCAACCUCUAAGGCUCCUUACCGGAUGGCGUUUUCUGAGUUGAAGGAAUUGAAGGUGCAGAUGCAAGAGCUAUUGGAAAAAGGAUUCAUUUGUCCCAGUGUAAAGAAGAAACAUGGUUCGUUGCAUCUAUGUAUUGACUAUCGACAACUCAAUCAGGUAACGAUUAAGAACAAGUAUCCACUCUCGAGGAUUGAUGACUUGUUUAAUUAGUUGCAAGGAGCAUCGAAUUUUCAAAGAUCGACUUGAGGACAGGAUAUCAUUAGCUAAGAAUCAAGAAGGAGGACAUUCCAAAGUCAACAUUCCGUACUCAGUAUGGCUAUUACGAGUUCACGGUAAUGCCAUUCGGGUUGACGAAUGCUCCUGAUGCCUUCAUGAAUUUGAUGAACUGAAUAUUCAAAGAAUAUCUAGAUCAGUUUGUGAUCGUAUUUAUUGAUGAUAUUCUGGUGUAUUCAAGGAGUGAUGAAGAUCAUGAUAGUCAUCUGAGACUAGUGCUGCAGACACUAAGAGUCCAUCAGUUGUAAGCCAAGUUCAGCAAGUGUGAGUUUUGGUUGACUCAUGUUGCUUUCUUAGGUCACGUGAUUUUAGGCGAAGGAAUCUUUAUGGACUAGAGCAAGAUUGAAGCCAUGAUCAACUGGCCAAGACUGACUACAGUGACAGAGAUCAGAAGUUUUCUAGGUUUGGGAGGUUAUUACAGACGGUUUGUGGAAGACUUCUCAUCAUUAGCGUCGCCACUAACAAAACUCCUAAAGAAAGAAGAGAAAUUUGUGUGGACAGAUAAGUGCGAGAGUAGUUUCCAAGAGUUUAAGGAAAAGCUUACUACCGCACCUAUGCUGACCAUUCCAUCUGGCUCUGGAGGAUUUGAGAUCUAUAGUGAUGUGUCACUCAGAGGAUUAGGUUGCGUGCUGAUGCAACAUGGCAGAGUUGUUGCAUACGCCUCCCAUUAGUCGAGGCCUUAUGGAUAGCACUAUCCAACGCAUGACUUAGAACUCGUAGCGAUUAUUUUUGCCCUGAAGAUUUGGAGACAUUAUUUGUGCGGAGAAAAAUUCAAAAUCUUCACGGACCAUCAAAGUCUCAAGUACUUGUUCUCUCAGAAAGAGUUGAACAUAAGACAACGUCGAUGGAUGGAAUUACUGAAGGACUAUGAUUGUGAUAUUCUAUAUCACCUGGGAAAGGCAAACAAAGUUGUCGAUGCUUUGAGUCGAAAGUCUUCAGUUGCUCAUAAUUUGAUUAAAGAGUGGAACUUAAUCGAGAGAGCUCAAGAUUCAAUAUUUAAGUUUGAGGUAGGCCACCUUUCCAAUCUUAGGCCACCCUCAGAAUUGAACUGGAUGUCCAAAUCAGAAUUAAGCUACUCCAACCAACAGACCUAGAUGAGCAAAAGAUCCUUCAAGAGGACACUGAGAAAAGAAAGACUAACUUUCAGGUUUUUGAUGAUGGAACGCUGAGCUUCCGAGGACAAUUCGUUGUACUUGACGAUGUGGAGCUUAGAGAGAAUUUUCUAUUAGAAGCGCAUCGUAGCAGUUAUAGCAUCUAUCCCGGUAGUAUCAAGAUGUAUCCGAAUUUGCAUCUACACUAUUGGUAGUUUUGUAUGAAAGCGGACAUCGCCAAGCAUGUCGCCAAAUGUUUGACAUGUCAGCAGGUUAAAACUCAAUAUUGCAAGCCGAGAGAACUUCUGCAACCUCUCGAGAUCUCAGAAUGGAAAUGGGAGCAUAUCAUGAUGAAUUUCGUGACAGGACUACCAAGGAGUCAAAGAGGAAAUGAUUCGAUUUGGAUAGUGGUCGACAGACUGACGAAGUUGGCUCACUUCAUUGUAGUUCGAAAGGACCUCAGUUUGGAUAGACAUACAGAUCUAUACGUGCGUUAAGUGGUUCGGCUACAUGGAGUGCCGGUUACGAUAACUUCAGAUAGAAACCUGAGGUUUACCGCCACCUUUUGGAAGAGCUUACAGAGUGCCUUAGGUAUCAAGCUGUAAUACAGUACGGCAUAUCAUCCUCAAACGGAUGGCCAGUCUGAGAGGACAAUUCAAACCCUUGAGGACAUGUUGAGAGCUUGUGUACUAGACUUCAAAGGAAGUUGGAAAAAACAACUUCAUCUGGUGGAAUUUGCCUACAACAACAGUUAUCAGCAGAGCAUUCAGAUGACUCCUUUUGAAGUGUUGUAUGGCAAAGUAUGCAGAACAUCAGUGUGUUGGGAUGAAGUUGGGGAAAGAAAGAUUACAGGACCAGAGUUGGUUCAACAAUUAGUGGAUGCCGUGGCAGUGAUCAGAGGUAGAUUAAAGACCGCUCAGAGCAGACAGAAAAGUUACGCAGAUAAGCGUCGAAGGCUUUUGAAAUUCUAAGUUGGUGAUCACAUUUUUCUGAAGGUAUCACCAAUGAGGAGAACUUCGCGCUUUGGUAAGAAAGGAAAUCUGAGUUCGAAGUACGUAAGUCCGUUUGAAAUUCUUGAAAGAAUUGGGACCUUAGCAUAUCGUCUUGCAUUACCGCCAAGAUUAGCGCAAGUGCACGACGUCUUUUAUGUGUCGAUGUUGAGGAAGUACAAGCCUGACCCAACCCACAUGCUUAAUUUUGAAGAAUUAGAUGUGGAUAACCGUGUGUCAUACGUUGAAAGCCCGAUUUUUGUAACAUCCUAGAUUUUCAUUCUUGUUUUCUACUGAAUAAAUUGGGCAUUUCAUUAAUGUAAUAGACUUGAGAAUUCGAUCAGGGAUCAGUUACUCGAUCGUGCUCAUCUGCUGAGAUUAUUAUGGCAAGGUAUAAAAUCGAUUUCAGAUAAGAAAGAGGUCAGUUCGACUAAGAUGUGUGGUUAAUCGUGGGUGACACCACUAAAUUGGAAAAUUCUCAUCAACCGAUCCUAGACUGAUUCUUCUGUCGUUUUGGUACCCUGUGUCCGUAUUUGAAUCGUCAAGAUUUUCAUGAUAAUUGAGAGUCGCCAAUGUGUCAAGUGGGUUCAUUGUAGCUCGAAGAAAAUCGACCACGGGUCAUUUGCACUAAAAACCUCUGAAAACUACCUAGUAGCCUAAGUCUCGCUAAAAACGCGCCGAAUGAAAUUUAACCACAAAUUCGAGUCCGAUUUCAGAAAAUUGAAGAUUCUUUCAUGUCAUAAUAAAUUCUCGGAACGUCGACUCAGUCUCAGAAGAUUUUUCUGUGACCCGAGACUUUUUGAGAAAAAGUCGGCAUAGGACCAUUUUUGUUUAGAAAAAGGCCGGAGAUCGUUUUGAUAAGCAUGAUGGAUAUAUAGGUUAGGAAAAAUAUCGAUUUGAUCAAUGGAGGGUCAAUUGAAUUUAUUGAGGCCAAUUAAGAUUGAGUCGAGCAAAGAUCGGUGUCCAAUUGAAGCUAAUUGCUUGUAAAUUCGUAACUCCCCCCAUCCACCACCAUUUUGGACCAAUUCAAGGUUGAAAUGAGGAGCCCUGGUGGCUCAUGGACAGCCAAGGAAGAUGCUUGGCCAAGGAGGAGUCUUGGAGAACAAGUUAUGGAAAAAAUGGCCAUGGUGGCCCCCAAACCUUAUCCAUUGCCUUUCUUCCUCCACAAGCUGCCGUCCAAGCCUUACUGCUGUUCGACCACCAUAGCAACCGAAGAAGCAGCCGAAGCAAGCCCGUUGCCGCUAAGACUGCCCGCACUGUCGCCGAAAGCCGCCCUCCGCCCGCGCAAGUGCCACACGCACCACCGCACCUUGCCGUGCCUCAUGCCAUCGUUCCAGCUUGCUUCACCGCUCAGCAAGCCUUUUGGACGGCUGUGAGUUGCUGCCAACCGCCGUUCAAGCUCCACCAACCCCUGCCAAGGUCCGGUUUUGCUUCCUCAGGCCAUCCCCGCCUCAACUGAUCAAUCCCCUUGCCGUUUCAACCAUUAACCAGCCACAAUAGAAGCAAAAAGAAGUGCAUUUUCAGCCACCUUCAAGGUUCAUUUUGAGGUGUUUCCGAGCCUCAAAACCUAGGCCCACCUUGGAGAAAAGCGUCCCCCGCGCUAUUCUCGUCGGUAUGAUCCAACCCACGUGUUAAACAAGUAGUUUUGCUCACUAAUCCCUUAUUAGUAAGCUAAUGAUGCUUAGGGGUUGAUUAGAUUUAAUUAAGUGAAAUUAUGUGGAUAGAUUAGAUUAGAGUAAUUAAAUUAAGGACUUAUCAAUGCAUGUUAGGCAAAUGGUUUGGUGUAGUUAGCAAGGAAAUAGGUCAUAGUAUUUUUAUUGAGCGAGUCUCGGUAAUAUUUCCAAGUUCAUCUUGGCUUCCAAUUAGGUUAUAACGGGCCUAAAGUUGGAUUUANNNNNNNNNNNNNNNNNNNNNNNNNNNNNNNNNNNNNNNNNNNNNNNNNNNNNNNNNNNNNNNNNNNNNNNNNNNNNNNNNNNNNNNNNNNNNNNNNNNNNNNNNNNNNNNNNNNNNNNNNNNNNNNNNNNNNNNNNNNNNNNNNNNNNNNNNNNNNNNNNNNNNNNNNNNNNNNNNNNNNNNNNNNNNNNNNNNNNNNNNNNNNNNNNNNNNNNNNNNNNNNNNNNNNNNNNNNNNNNNNNNNNNNNNNNNNNNNNNNNNNNNNNNNNNNNNNNNNNNNNNNNNNNNNNNNNNNNNNNNNNNNNNNNNNNNNNNNNNNNNNNNNNNNNNNNNNNNNNNNNNNNNNNNNNNNNNNNNNNNNNNNNNNNNNNNNNNNNNNNNNNNNNNNNNNNNNNNNNNNNNNNNNNNNNNNNNNNNNNNNNNNNNNNNNNNNNNNNNNNNNNNNNNNNNNNNNNNNNNNNNNNNNNNNNNNNNNNNNNNNNNNNNNNNNNNNNNNNNNNNNNNNNNNNNNNNNNNNNNNNNNNNNNNNNNNNNNNNNNNNNNNNNNNNNNNNNNNNNNNNNNNNNNNNNNNNNNNNNNNNNNNNNNNNNNNNNNNNNNNNNNNNNNNNNNNNNNNNNNNNNNNNNNNNNNNNNNNNNNNNNNNNNNNNNNNNNNNNNNNNNNNNNNNNNNNNNNNNNNNNNNNNNNNNNNNNNNNNNNNNNNNNNNNNNNNNNNNNNNNNNNNNNNNNNNNNNNNNNNNNNNNNNNNNNNNNNNNNNNNNNNNNNNNNNNNNNNNNNNNNNNNNNNNNNNNNNNNNNNNNNNNNNNNNNNNNNNNNNNNNNNNNNNNNNNNNNNNNNNNNNNNNNNNNNNNNNNNNNNNNNNNNNNNNNNNNNNNNNNNNNNNNNNNNNNNNNNNNNNNNNNNNNNNNNNNNNNNNNNNNNNNNNNNNNNNNNNNNNNNNNNNNNNNNNNNNNNNNNNNNNNNNNNNNNNNNNNNNNNNNNNNNNNNNNNNNNNNNNNNNNNNNNNNNNNNNNNNNNNNNNNNNNNNNNNNNNNNNNNNNNNNNNNNNNNNNNNNNNNNNNNNNNNNNNNNNNNNNNNNNNNNNNNNNNNNNNNNNNNNNNNNNNNNNNNNNNNNNNNNNNNNNNNNNNNNNNNNNNNNNNNNNNNNNNNNNNNNNNNNNNNNNNNNNNNNNNNNNNNNNNNNNNNNNNNNNNNNNNNNNNNNNNNNNNNNNNNNNNNNNNNNNNNNNNNNNNNNNNNNNNNNNNNNNNNNNNNNNNNNNNNNNNNNNNNNNNNNNNNNNNNNNNNNNNNNNNNNNNNNNNNNNNNNNNNNNNNNNNNNNNNNNNNNNNNNNNNNNNNNNNNNNNNNNNNNNNNNNNNNNNNNNNNNNNNNNNNNNNNNNNNNNNNNNNNNNNNNNNNNNNNNNNNNNNNNNNNNNNNNNNNNNNNNNNNNNNNNNNNNNNNNNNNNNNNNNNNNNNNNNNNNNNNNNNNNNNNNNNNNNNNNNNNNNNNNNNNNNNNNNNNNNNNNNNNNNNNNNNNNNNNNNNNNNNNNNNNNNNNNNNNNNNNNNNNNNNNNNNNNNNNNNNNNNNNNNNNNNNNNNNNNNNNNNNNNNNNNNNNNNNNNNNNNNNNNNNNNNNNNNNNNNNNNNNNNNNNNNNNNNNNNNNNNNNNNNNNNNNNNNNNNNNNNNNNNNNNNNNNNNNNNNNNNNNNNNNNNNNNNNNNNNNNNNNNNNNNNNNNNNNNNNNNNNNNNNNNNNNNNNNNNNNNNNNNNNNNNNNNNNNNNNNNNNNNNNNNNNNNNNNNNNNNNNNNNNNNNNNNNNNNNNNNNNNNNNNNNNNNNNNNNNNNNNNNNNNNNNNNNNNNNNNNNNNNNNNNNNNNNNNNNNNNNNNNNNNNNNNNNNNNNNNNNNNNNNUUUUGGUAAUUGAUUGGAAAUCAACCGAGCGUCGUUACAGCGUCAAAAGUAUGUUAUGGUUGUUGAAAAUGGUGGGACUUGUGAAAAAUGAAAUUGUUAUAUUUUGGUUAAGGCCCAACCGUAUACCCACACACGGCUAUUUUAACGGGUAUGAUAGAAUGUGAGAAAGAAUGCCAUACUACGUCAGCUCGAUGGCUAAGGAUGUCAUCUCAAAGAAAGACAUCAUAUUUUGUUGGCUCAGCAAUUUGAUAUAUCAUCUUGGAAAAAGCACGUGGACUCAGUGACUAAAUAUGUCAACCUGGAGAAUGCACGUGGGCUCGGUAAUUAGGCAGGUCAUCUUGGAAAAUGCACAUGGGCUCGAUGACUAAGUACAUUAACCUAGAGAAUGCACGUGAGCUCGAUGACUAGAUAUACCAUCUUGGAGAAUGCACGUGGGCUCAGUGACUAAGUACAUUAACCCGGAGAAUGCAUGUGGGCUCGAUGAAUAGAUAUACCAUCUUGGAGAAUAGAUGAUAUUGAAUGUACCGACCAGGGGAAAGGUCGUGAUGACAUGUAAUCGACUAAGUCGAUUGAUCGAUAAUUCAAUUUGAUUGAUGUGAUGUGAUGCGAUCGUGUACAUUUGAUAUAUAUACUAACUUGCAAGAAUGAACUAAGGCCAAGGUAAGUCCUCUAACCCGUUUUAUGCUUAAGUAGCCUUUAGGGCAUAUUGGCUUCCUAAUCGGGUCUUAGGGGGUAAAACUCGCUAAGACGUUGUCUCAUUGGUUAUUGUAUAACAAUUUCAGGUUCCUAUAUGACCACUCUUGAGUUUUUGGGACGGCCUAAGAAGAUCAUAGAGCAGACCUCUUACUUUCCGUUUCAUGGGUGCCCUAGGGGCUGAACCUAUGAGCUGGUGAGGUCUAUUAGGUUGAUGCGGGUCUCACCCACAAGGUGCCCCAUCGAUAUAGAUCGUGGUACCGCCGGCUCAAAAUGGCUAGAGAGAGGGUCCCCUAUCGGAGUUUGAGAUACCUCUGUGUGUUUGGAGGCCGCCUUUGGAAAAGGCACCGCAAAUUCCCCUCCUGGCUCAGUCGUAGAUGCAACAGAUCUGAAUUUUGAAGAUCUCGGAAAUUCGGUGCAGUUUGCUGAAGGCUCCAGUUGGAGUGUGGAGGAUGAUGAAGAGGAGGACGAGGACCCGUAGUUUGUGGAAUCCCCACCCUUACUUGUAGACCUUGUUUCCGAACUUGUUAAGUUGAAUCUAACUUAGCAGUUUGCCUUAUAUAUAUGUGCACUAGUUUGCAAUGUAUAUAAGUAUGGUUGUUUUUGAAAGUUCGGAAUUUAGUCCUACUUUCCUAUCUCAUUACUUUAUGGUUUGGGGAUUAUUAUUAUAUGCUUCCGCAUGCAUAUUAAAAUGAAAGGGUCGGCGAUACGUUUUGGGACGUCGCUAUUAAUCGACCAGUUGAGAGAUGGGUGUGUGCUCAAGAAUUGGAGCGUGACAAUUCAGAUCGUGGACAGAAAAGAACAAGUUCUGCGUACAAAGACCAUUCAAUUGGUCAAAGUGGUCUCGUAACACCACAGUACUGAAGGAGCGUUAUGGGAAACUGAAGAGUCGAUGAGACAGUUAUACCCCCACCUUUUUGCUUAAGUUUUGUAAUGAUUUAAAGUUUAAGGAUAAAAAUUUUAUAAGAGAGGAAGAGUUGUAACAUCCCAAAUUUUCAAUCAUAUUUUCUAUUGAAUAAAUCGAGCAUUUCAUCAAUGCGCCUAUAAGGCUAUUCUCAGAGCUGAUCAUUCUCGAGAUAACUAGACUAUUCAAGGAAGCCAUUAAAGAAUUUUAAUACGAUAGACUUGAGAAUUUGACUAGGAAUCGGCUUCUCAACCGUGCUCAUCUUUAGAGGCUAUUACGGCACAGUAUAAAAUUGAUUUGAAAUCAAAGAUAGAUCGGUUCGACUGAGAUGUGUGACUAAUCGUGGGUGACAGCAUUAAAUUGGAAAAUUCUCGUUAGCCGGCACUAGACUGAUUUUUCUAUCGUUUUGAUACCCUGUGUCCAUAUUUGAAUCCUCGAGAUUUUUACGACAACCGAGAGUCACCAAUAUGUCGAGUGGGUUCAUUAUGGCUCAAACAAAAUCGACCAAGGGUCAUUUGCACUAAAAAUUUCUGAAAACUACCCAGUAGCUUAGGUCAUACUAAAAACGCGCCAGAUUGAAAUUAACUGCGAAAUUAAAUCCGAUUUCAAAAAUUGAAAGUUCCGUCAUGUCACAAUUAAUUUUAGGAGCGUUGACUCAGUCUUAGAAGAUUUUUCUGCAACCCAAGAUUUUUUAGGAAAAAGUUAGCUUAGGGCCGUUUUUUCCAGAAAAAGGUCGGGAUCGUUUUAGGUCGCAAAAUUGAGAAGUAAGUUGAUUGUAUGGGUGAAGGAAAAUGCCAAGAUGAUUGAUGAUGGGUUGAUUAGAUUUAUUGAGGCCAAAUUGGAUUGUUUGAAGCAAGAUUAAGUGUCCAUUUGAUGCCAAAACCCAUGAAAUUCAUAUGUCCCCCCAUUCCCACAACUUAUGGACCUCUUCAACCUUCUAGAUGAGUGCAUGGAUGGUUGAAUUGUAGCCAUAGAAGCCAGACUUGGCUGUGGGUGAAGUCAAUGAGACAUUUGAAUGGAAAAUAAGGCAAAUGGCCCCCUCCAACCCCAUAUUGUUCCCUCUCUCUCCAACCAGUCGGCAGCCUCUUUUCCCCUCCUCAUUGUGCCUUACUCGAGGCCGGCAAACCAGAGAAGCUGCCCAUCCACGCCGCACGCCGCCGUGACCGUCAGAACGCCGUCCGCAUGCCCCACCGCCCCGCACGAGUGCCCUACCGUGCCACCGCCCAACCCGACGCCCUUGUUGCUUCUAGCCCUCUGUUCCGCCAUCCUAGUAGCUUCCUUAGCUUGUGCCAGAGUCGUUUGGCCCACCUCCGACCUCCCAAACAGAGAGUUUGUGGGUGGGUUUCCAGCAAGCGUGUAGGCCUGUUUUGAGGUGGUUUUGGGCCUCAAAAGUUUGGCCCUCUUUGAGAAAAGUCGGUCACUGUUGCGUUCCCAACAUUUUGAACUGGACGAAUUGCGAAACAAGUGAGUUGAACUCACUAAUCCUCACUUAGUUGGUUAAUGAUGCUUAGAGGUUAAUUAGAUUAAUUAAGCAUGGUUUAGGUGGGAGGUUGGGAUACCUAGAGUGCCAUAACUUGACGCGGAGGGACACUUAAGUGCCAUAACUUUAAAAUUGUACACUUAAGUGCCAAUAUAGGAGUAAAAUGAAACACUUAAGUGUCAAUCUGGCCAAAAUCCGGCGAAAAUGCAAACGUGGCAUUUUCCGGCAACAAGCUUAACCGACGUGACAAUUUAUUAAAAAAAAAACACACGUAGAGGAGGAAAACGAUGUCGCCCCAUACUAUGCAUUUGGCCGAACUAAAUGACGUCAUUUUCCCUUAGUGCUAAACAACGUCGUUUUGCUUAUUUGGAUUUUACCCGUUCGUCGAUCGGUUCACACGGGAUCUGACGUCCUCUCCAUCGCCGUUCACAGCUCGUCGUUCGUAGGUCAUCGGUCACCGUCGUCGCUCGCCAUCAUCAAUUUGCUUAGGUUUUUUCUCUUCUUCCUCUCUCCCGUGGUGAAAUUAGGACUCCGACUCGUUUAUUAGGGCUCAGACUUGAAAUUUGGGGGUCGGCUAGUAUUAAUGUGAGAUUUAUAGCUCAGAUGUGGUACUACAAUCCUAUUAGGGGGUUCGAAUUGACAAUUUAGGAUCGGCCUCGAAAUGUAGGCUCAGUGUAGGGCUCGGCGGGGGGAAAAUUAGGGCUCAGUGUAGGGCUCGACGUCGCCUCAUCCACUGUGAUGUGUGAUUCAUUCAAGGUGUUGAAUUGUGAUGUGCGAAAGUAAUUUAUGGUGGUCGGAUGUGAAAUCUGCGAUGGUGAUUGGUGAUUGUUAGGGUUCAGAGUAUUGGACCUUGGACAUGUUCGAAUCGAAUCUCUUGUUGUCAUGGGGAUGGGGACUUCUGGGUAUUUUUUUAAUAAAUUGCAUUGUUGAGGACCCAUGCUGAGGGAUCUCUCUAUAUUUUAAAGGAAUGCGGCGACAUAUUCAAAGUAGUUGUCGGGUCUCAUCUCUAUUAUCCUUGUCCUAAGCUCUUUCAAGCCUCUUGUUUUCAAGUUGUAGCUGUCGUCUGACCCCAUCUUCCCUCUCUCUUUCUUCUUUUCUUUAUCUUUAAUAAAGACUAUGUUGCUGUCAUCGUUUACUAUGGUGGGGAUUUUGUGAUUGGGGAGGAUGAGUGGGAGUAUGAGGGGGGAAUGAGUGUACUAUCUUUGUAGAUACAAAGAAGGCAUCUUAUAUUAGAUUUGUUAGGGAUAUAGUGACAUUUUUUUCUUGUAGAGUACAAAAGUUACUGUACUGUGUUCCUGGGAAAGGCUUGAGAGAUGGUUUGAGAGUUUUGGAAGAUGAUAAUGGUUUUAGGGAUGUCUUAUAUCAUUAUCUUGAUGGUGAAGAUGCGAAAGUAUUUGUUGAAAACAAUAGUAAUAGUGAGGACGAAGAUGAUGAUAGAGAUAGCACCCAAGUAGGAGAAGGAGGAGAUGGUAUUCAAGCUAGUACUGAGGUUAGGGAUGAAGCAGGGCAUGAUGGACAGGACGGGGAGGAGAGGGGCACAGAUGCCAUUCACCGGAGCGAUUGUGACAUAGGUGAUGUCACCAUCACUGAAUUAGAUUGCGAAGUAGCUGAAUCCAGUGAUGGUGAUGAUGACGAUGACGAUGACGAUGACGAUGAAGGGUUGGCUGCUGAAGCUGAAAAUUUAUUAAUCUUAAGUGACGACAACGAUGAGAAGUUUACACGGUCAAGAAAAAAACAAAGAGACUUUUUGUCAGAUAGAUUUGCAACUUUGCAAGUAGCUAAUGAAGUUCCAAAUAGAGACGAAGGCCUUGUAGAUGUUGGUGUUGCUGGCUAGGAGACAGAUUAUGAAGAAAACAUCGAUAUCGCUACUUCCCAGGACAAACUUGAAGAAGAUCAACGAGCUGUGCGUAGAAAGGAAAAGUAAGUUUCCUUCCUAUGAUCCAUCAGUUGCCUCUCCUACUUUGUCAGUAGGUAUGAAAUUCCAUGAUGCGAUACAAUUUAAGAAAGCUAUACUGAAGAACUCCAUUGCUGCACAAAUAAAUAUUGAUUUCAUUAGAAAUACCAAGAAAUUUGUAAGAGCCAAGUGUUCGUAGCAAAACUGUACAUGGAAGAUUUAAGGCGCGUUUGUUAAGAAGAGUGGGUCUUUCUAGAUUAGAGCCUACCAAGAGGAACACACUUGUUCCAUUAAAUUUCAAAACAAAAGGAUAAUAAGUGCAUGGUUGUCCAAGCACUUCUUCGAUCUGAUCAAGCUGAUGCCCGAGAUGAAAAUUACUAACUUUAGGAUGCUGGUGAAUGAGCGUGUAGGCAUCAAUGUAUCUAGGAGUCAAUGCAAAAGAGCAAAGCAAAAGGUGAUAAAGAUACUUAUUGGUCAGUAUGCUAAGGAAUAUGGGCAGGUGUGGGAGUAUGCUUGGGAGUGUAGGCUGCAAAACCCUACAAGUAGAGUGUAUGUAGAGGUGGUUGAGAGACCACUUCCUGAUCAUGGGACCAAGUUCAAUAAGUUCUAUGUGUGCUUUGAUGCAUGCAGACGAGGAUUUUUAGCUAGUUGUAGACGGAUUAUAGGAUUGGACAGUUGUUUCUUGAAGGGCUUGUGCAAGGGAGAAUUGUUGGCGGUGAUUGGAAGAGAUACAAAUAAUCAAAUGUUCCCACUAACUUGGGCUAUUGUAAAGAUUGAGAACAAGAACAAUUGGUCCUGGUUCUUGAAAAAUCUGAUGGCUGACUUGGAGAUAACAAACGGGGAAGGGUGGGCGAUCAUGAGCGACCAACAAAAGUUAAUGCUUGCUUUUUGAAAAAUUUAGUCAGUAGUUUGCUUUGUAAUAUGAACAUGUAAUUUGCUCUAAUAUUUCUUACUUUGAAUUAUUGUAGGGAUUGGUUCCGGCAGUAGCCGAGUUGUUGCCCCAUGCUGAACAUCAAAUGUGUGCGCGGCACAUAUACGGAAAUUGGGCAAAGACCUACAAAUGGGAUAAGUUGCAAUUGCAAUUUUGGCAAUUAGCAAAGAGUGCAAACAUGACUGACUUUAGGAUAGCCAAAGAAUGACUACUUCAGUUGACAAAGGAAGGUUGUGCUACCCUAUUUCAACUAGAAUCGAAGCAUUGGUGCAGGACAUCCUUCAGUGAGGAGUUCAAGUGCGAUAACGUCGACAACAACAUUUGUGAAGUAUUUAAUUCGAAGAUAAUAGAUGCCAGAUGCAAACCAGUCAUCUUAAUGCUUGAAGAUAUACGAGUUGCAGUUAUGACUCGGCUGCAGAAACAAAGAGAUGAGGCUGCAAAGUGGACAAGACAAUAUGAUCCUAGGAUUGCCAAGAAAUUGGAUGAGAACUGGGCUGCAAGUAGGCAUUGUCAUCCCAUUUGGAAUGGAAAUGACGGAUAUGAGAUAAUGAAGGGUGCUGAUAAGUAUGUUGUCAAUCUAGGAAGUAGGAAGUGUUCAUGUAAAGCAUGGCAAGUAAGUGGAAUUCUAUGUGCCCAUGCCAUAUGUGCCAUCCAGUUGAAGAGCGACAAUACAGAUGAUUACAUCGAUGAUUGGUACCAUAAAUCAAAAUACCUUGCUUCCAAUCAGUUCAUGAUGCAGCCAAUUAAAAGUAGCAAGUUUUGGGAGCCCACGGAUCAUGAAGCACCUCAACCUUUGACACUGAAGAAGAAAAUUGGAAGGACAAAACGAAGAUGAAGAAUGGCGGAGGGAGAGGUCUCGAGUCAACAAAGAAUGAGCAAGCAGGGUGCAAAGAUAACGUGCUCUUAUUGUCACCUAGCAGGCCAUAAUAUUAAAGGUUGUCAAUUGAGGAAGCAACAACAACCGUUGAGGCAAGGUGAAGGGCCUAGUGAAGAGACAGUUGGAGAAAUGCAAACAACAGGGCCAAGUGAGUCGACUGUUCUUUAGUCAACAACUAGAACCCCGGUAAGUCAUGAAAUUUAUUUUAUGUUUAUGUUGCUUUGUCGUUUAUCAUAAAAAUGUACAUAAUAUCCUAUUUAGCCUUGUAUGUAAUGUGUUUGUUAGGUCACAAGAAGAACCCCAGUAGGUCACGAAACUGAACAGCCUGUUCGAAGAAGGCAAUGUAGAAGACGGCCAACUGAAGGAUUGGCCCAAGCAGCAUCACGGCCAACUGAAGGAUUGGCCCAAGCAGCAUCACGGCUAGCUGAAGGAUUAGCCCAAGCAGCAUCACGGCCAGUUUAAUCGAUUGUUCUUCAGCAGCGAAAGAAAUACCCAGUGGUAAAUUCAACCAUUUGUAUUCAGUUUUUCAUUUUCUUUACAUUAUUAUAUGUCUCAAUAUUAUAUUUAUGGUGUCAUUUGCCUCUUUCUCAGGUUCGAAGAAAGCAAGUUGGAACUCAACUGCCAACUGAAGAGCCAUCACAAGAGCCACCUCAAGGGUCAUCACAGGGGCCACCAGAAGAAUCACUACAAGGGGCACCACAAGUACCACCACUAGUACCACCAGAAGGCCCAACAGAAGGAGGUGUCACUGAAGUUGAAGGGCUACACAGAAGAACAACUAGAAGAAGGCCAGGUGAAGGGGCAGUUACACAAAGGCCAUCUAGAAGACGCCCAGCUGAAGAAUUGGUCGAAGAAGCCCUAGCUGUAGCUGAAGGGCCCAAGAAAGCAAGAAAAAGAGUCAACAAAUCACAAGUUCCUGAAAGUGACGCCCCUAUUCAAACAAGAGGGGCACUUGGGAAGAUGUUAAGACAAUAUGGUUAUGGCAUUUAUAUAGAUGAGCGUACUAAAACAGUUAUUCUCAAUGUAAGUUUUAUUGGCUGCAUUUAAUUUAAUUUAUGCUAUUGACUUUUGCUAACAAUUUAUUGUUUUUUUUUUUUUUUGUAGCCUAGAGAAGUUUAGAGGUUAUUAUUCUCAAGCCCAACUCAAGAAUCAACGGCUGCACCACAAAAAAGAAAACAUCAACUGUGCNNNNNNNNNNNNNNNNNNNNNNNNNNNNNNNNNNNNNNNNNNNNNNNNNNNNNNNNNNNNNNNNNNNNNNNNNNNNNNNNNNNNNNNNNNNNNNNNNNNNNNNNNNNNNNNNNNNNNNNNNNNNNNNNNNNNNNNNNNNNNNNNNNNNNNNNNNNNNNNNNNNNNNNNNNNNNNNNNNNNNNNNNNNNNNNNNNNNNNNNNNNNNNNNNNNNNNNNNNNUCGUGAGAUGAGACGUGAUAGAAUUUGUGGAGCUUAUGAGUCAAAUAGUUAUGUAAACGUUAACGUUAUAAUAACACUUGCUAUGGAUGGUUGUCUUUUUUUUUUCUUUCCUUUUCUUUAGUUUGUCAUUCAUUGAUAUUGUGAUACUUAAUUUCAAUAUCAAUGAAAAUGAAAUGAUCUUGCGCUGCUUGUCAAUUUUUGUUGUUUGUCAUGGAUUCUGCUUUUACUUGCUGCUGAUGCUGUUGGUGUUCCGUGGUCGUAGCUGGAGUGCUAGUGUGGCUCGUGGUGGUGGAUGGUAAUGUUUGGUGGUGGUGAGUUUGUUGUUGGGGUGCUAAUGUGGUGGCUGGGGUGCUGGUGUGGGUGGUGGUGAUGCUUGGUAAUUAUGGGUUUGUGGUGGAGGUUACAGGCUUAUGAUGCACUUACACCUGGUACAAGUGUGCAAUUUGCACAUCUUACACCAUGUGUACUGGUGCAAGCUAGUGCAAGGCUCAACUUGCUUGCACUAGUACCUUGUGUAGUAACACCACCAACAUGGUGGUGGCUGGAGUGCCUAGUGUGUAGUGUGGCUAGUGGUGAUGGUUGGUGGUGCAGCCGGUGGUGGUGGCUUGCGCAAUUUUUAGAGAAAACCCACAAAAAAAUUGGCACUUAACUAGUCAUAUUCUAAAAAACUUGGCACUUAACUGUUCACUUUUAACUACAAGUGACACUUAACUGAUCACUUUAAUAAUAACUUGACACUUAAGUGAUCAUUUUUUCAUCGCGACUAGCACUUAAGUGAUUAAUAAAUGCAACUUAUGGCACUCAGGUAAUCACUCAUGUUUGUCUUGUGUAUAUGUUGGUCUGCAUCAAAACAGAGAAGAUAAUGGUAAACUUAUGGCAACUCCAUAUGACAGCACAAACAACAACAACGCCACAAGGAUCUUGUGGAACAACACAAACUUCUUCGCAUCUUUCAAAAAGAAAAAAGCCUACAUUUAAUUCAGAACAACACCAUUUUUAACUAUGGCAGUCAGAGAAACUUUUUCUCAUUUUCAAGUAGUUUACAUUUCAUCAUAAAGUACAAUAGACAACAAAACAACACCAUAAUAAACGCUUGGUAACACUUUCGUUCAAUUUUCAUCAUUGAAACUUCAUUCUUGAAAGGUUUAGUUGAAGAUGUUUGAGCAUGCAUUAAGACUUCAUUCUUGAAAAGUUUAACUGAAGACGCUUGAGCUUGCAUUGAGUCAACAUCGUCCAAGUCGUCCACGAACACAGAAGGAGAUUGCUGUCUUUUAUGAAGUAGAUCCAAUAUCACCUCUGUGGCUCAAUCAGAGAACUUUGCAUCGACCCAUUUGAAGUAUUUGCACUUCGACGCUUCUUUAUAUCGGGCGCAUCCAUAAAAUUUUAUCCCAGGAUUGAUUCGAGUCCACGAUGUUCUUCUUGGACUCGGUAACCCACAAAAACAAAAACGCUGACCUUCUCCUUCGCUUCGGUGAGAGGAAAUUGAGGCGCUACUGCGAGUCCUGCUCUCCAUUUCCAAGAUUCGACGAAGGAAUCUUGGGCAAAUGAAAAUUAGGGUUCGAGACUUGGAUUCGAGCACUUUAAUAGGGAUUUUGGCCGAUUUAGGGUUUUAGAUUUGGGGCAUUUGGGGAGAUGACGUCGUUUUUGGAAGAUUUGGGGCUUUUAUUAUGCAGACGACGUAGUUUCUGGUGAGUUAGAGCCAACUCAGCUCUUUAGCGAGCCACGUACGCAAUAAAAAAUAAUAAAAUAUUGCCACGUAGGAUAUCCAGCAAGGGUCGCCGGAGGUGGCACUUAAGUGUCCCACUAGAAAAAGAAAGUGGCACUUAAGUGUACUGUUUUGAAGUUAUGGCACAUAAGUGUCCCCCCGUGCCAAGUAAAGGCACUUGGGCUGUUCUUCUGCCAUUUAGGUGGAUAGAUUAGAUUAGAUAAUUUAAUUAUCUGCCGAUGCAUGUUAGGUGGUUAGUUAGUGACAUUAGCGAGUAGACUUGUGCUAUUAUUGGUUUAACGAACCUUGAAAUUUUUCCGGGUCUAUUUCAGCGUCCAAUUAGGCAUUACAAGCCUAAGUUGGAUUUAUUGCAUUUAUUUAAUAAUUUCCAUAAUUAAUUACUUAUUUUCCAAAAAUUAGGCUGGGAUAGCCGACGAUCAUAAUUUUAUGCUGGUUAUUAUGGUGCAUUCUGUUUAUUUAUUUGAGUUCUAAAUUAUGCUGAAUUGAUUUAGUUGUGAUUUUAGGAUUUUAUUCCUAAAUUAAUUAAAGUUGGUAAUUAACUGGAAAAUUACCCGGCAUCGGUCUACAGAGCCAAAAAUAUAUUUUUGGACUAUUAAAAAAAGUGAGAGAUUGAAAGUUUUGGUUGUGUGAUUGGAAUGAUAUACUAUAUCAGCCUACGGGGGAUAUGUCAAGUUAGUAGAGAGCAGUAUACCGAUAUACUAUAUCAGCCUACAAGCGAUAUGACAGCUUAGUAGAGAGCAGUAUACAUUAUCGGUUUUAAUUAAAUAUGUCGGUAUACUAUAUCAGCGUACGAGCGAUAUUGCAGCUUAGCAGAGAGCAAUAUAUCUUAUCAGCUUAGAUUGAACAAUGUCGGUAUACUAUAUUGCCCUACGGGCGAUAUGGCAGCUUAACGGAGAGCAGUAUACCCGAUCAUCUCAAAAGUGCUCUAUAUUAUCUAUUUAUCAACUUAGCAAUGAGCAGUCCUGAUAUGGAUGGACUUAUAGAUAGUAUGAGAUCAAUCGACUAGGUCGAGAUGACAUGUAAUCGACUGGGUCAUUGAUCAAUGAUUUGAUCUGAUGUUAUGAAUUGAUUGAUUGAUGUGAUUGGAGAUAUCUGUAAAUGAUAUUGCUUUGUAGGGUGGAACUGAGGCCAAGGUAAGUCCUCUGACUCGUGGUUAUGCUUAGGCAACCCUUAGGGCGUAUUGGCUUCCUAAUUAGGCCUUAGAGGGUAGAACUUGCUAAGACAUUGUCUCACUGGUUAUUGUAUAACUAUUUUCAGGUCCCUAGUUAACAGCAGGGGAGGACCUGAAGCUCAAAGUUUAGAAGGUGAAGCCCGGAGAAUCGGCGAGCAUGUUCGACUAGUUAGUCCUAAGACAUUUCUCUUUUGUUGAAAGCCAAUUCCUUUUUGUAGGCUUCUGUGUAUAAACCUAUGUGUUUAUAAAAAGGUCUUUUGUAAAAAAUUGGCCCAUACUUUUAUAAACCUAUGGAUUAUUUAUAUACUUUUGCAUGCGUAUUGAAAAGAAGGGUCGGCGAUACGUCCUAGGACGUCUCUAUUUAAUCGACCAAGUGAGGGAUGGGUGCGUGCCCGAGUAUCAAGGCGUGACAUCCCCGUUUAAGUGGUAUCGAAGCAAUGGUUAGGGAUUGUAGUGAUAAAGUACGAUGGACCAUAGGAUAGUGGUAGGAAAGACCUUUAAAUUCAUGCUGGUGCAUGUCUGUGGUAACUGAUUGAUAGACUUGCUUAUUAUUUGGAUCACUCUAUUUCUAAUUCAGCUUAGAAUUGGAAGUAGGCUUCCGUAGAGAAAGCUAAGCCAUGAGUGAUCAGGAGCCAAGAACUCUUGCCAAGAUGACUGCUAGGGCCAUAACUCGGGGUAGGAUGCCGACCAGGGUCGGUACCCAAGGAGGCCGAGGUCGAACGCCAGCACAAGCUAGCGCUAGUGGCGUAGCACCACCUCCUAUUGGUGCUAGGGUUGCAACCCCAGGUGAUCAAGGAACCAUUGGGAUCACCCAGGCUUUGGACACCAUGCGAGAAAUGAUGGGACAAUAGGCCCAGAAUCAAGCUGCCGCCUUUGCCGCCGCCUUAGAAGCCACUGCCACUGCCUCUGCCAAUGCUGCCAUUGCUGCCGCACCUGUUGCUGCACCUGCCACCGCACCCGCCGAUGUUCCAGUUGAGAACAUAGAGGUGCAGAGAGAAAGACCGAUCCACGAGCUAGUUAUUGUGGUGUAGUCUAUUUAUUUAUUUGAAUUCUAAAUUGUGCUGAAUGAUUUAAUUGUGAUUUUAGGAUUUUAUUCCUAAAUUAAUUAAAGUUGGUAAUUGAUUGGAAAAUUACCGGGCGUCAGUUUACAACGCCAAAAAUCUAUUUUUGGACUAUUAAAAGAAGUGGGAGAUUGAAAGUGAAAUUAUCAUAUUUUGGCUAAGGCCGAUCGUGUAUCCACACACAGCUAUUUUAUGGAGAAUGAUAAAAAGAUGGAAUUGAUUGUAUGAUUAGAAUGGUAUACUAUAUCGGCCUACGGGCGAUAUGACAACUUAGCAGAGAGCAGUAUACCUUAUCAGUUUUGAUUGAAUAUGUCGAUAUACUAUAUCAGCCUACGAGCGAUAUGGCAAUUUAGUAGAGAGCAGUAUACCUUACCAGCUUAGAUUGAGUAAUGUCGGUAUACUAUAUCAGCCUAUGGGCGAUAUGGCAGCUUAGCGGAGAGUAGUAUACCCAAUCAUCUCAGAAGCAAGGUAUAUUAUCUAUCUAUCAACUUAGCAAUGAGUAGUCCUGAUACUGAUUGACUUAUAGAUAGUAUGAGAUAAGCCAACCAAGAAAGGGUCGAGUUGACAUGUAAUCGACUAGGUCGGUUGAUCAAUGAUUUGAUCUGAUGUCAUGAAUUGAUUGAUUGAUGUGAUUGGAGACAUCUGUAAAUGAUACCACUUUGUAGGGUGGAACUGAGGCCAAGGUAAGUUCUCUGACUCGUGGUUGUGCUUAGGCAACUCUUAGGGCGUAUUGGUUUCCUAACCGGGUCUUAGGGGGUAGAACUUGCUAAGACAUUAUCUCACUGAUUAUUGUAUAACAAUUUUCAGGUCCCUAGUUGACAGCGGUGGAAGACCUGAGGCCCAAAGUUUAGAAGGUGAAGCCCGGAGAAUCAGCGAGCAUGUCCGACUAGUUAAUCCUAGGACAUUUCUCUUUUGUUGAAAGCCGAUUCCUUUUUGUAGACUUCCGUGUAUAAACCUGUGUGUUUAUAAAAGGGUCUUUUAUGAAAAAUCGGUCUUACUUUCCUAUCUCAUUGUUUUAUUGUCUGAGAAUUAUUUAUAUACUCUCGCAUGCGAAUUGAAAAGAAAGGGUCGAUGAUGCAUCCUGGGACAUUGCUAUUUAAUCGACCAAGUGAGGGAUGGGUGCAUGCCCGAGGAUCGAGGUGUGACGAUCACUCCAUCUACAGUUAUCAUAGUAGAUAUUAGUACCAAGGAUAGUUUUGGAAUCAUCAAGUUCUCAUUGGGAUGCUUUCUCAACUUGUAGCUGUAUUUUCUUUUCCACGAUUUGACAUUUUUGGACUUUGGUGGCCUUCAUCUUCAGUUGAUGCUCUGAACCAUGCUACUUCAUCAAGUCAACUCAUCUGCCUUGCCGCAAUAUGAGGAAUAAUCACCAACUAGGUUUAGAAAUGAAUUUGCAGGCUCAAAUGGGCUCUACAAGGAAUAAAAGUGUGUAUGAUAGAGAAAGAAAUGCUCUUCAUCACUUUAAGGCACCUAAAUUCUUGUUUGAGUUCAUCUGUAAUAAAGAUAGUCAAAGAUUAAUUCAAGUGAGGGCAAGAAAAGUUCUUUCAUUUUUCUGAACCUAUAAUGUCAACUUUACCUCAAUUCUGCCCCAGUGUGAGAUGGUUCUUAACAAGGUUAAGUCGAAAGAAAAUUUUCCAAUCAUUCAAGCUCAAAAGGCUUAAACAAUAGUUUAACUACAAUGUUUAGGAUAAAGGAAUGAAUGGCCCCUCAUCAUUCAAUUUGCAUACCUUCCUCCAGAAACCAAUUACCUUGAGGACAUGAAAUUAUUCCACUCAUCUCAUAGUGUAUAAAUAAAGGACUAUAGGUAGGAUUAAGCUUGCAUUUCAUCAUUUUGAUGGAUGCUCUGAAUUUACUCUUCCCCCCUGCAAAACAAAGUGUUACAGAGAUAUAAUGUAGUAAUCAUAAGUACAAAUUGUGGCUUGGCUUUAUGCAAAAUAUAGAUCCUCUAAGGAUCUCAUGAUUCAAGGCAUUAUACCUCUAUUUAUCUCAUCAUGUAUUUUUUAAAGUCACAACAAGUUCUAUUUGAAAUGGAAAUAUUCCUGGGCCACAAUGCAAGGCGAUUACAAAAGGAACGAAGUGGCAAAUAGGUGCUUAAAACUUUUAUUUUCACUAAAUUUUGAGUGGAACAUAAGAAAGCCAGCCUUUAGAAUUAUCUCCUCGCCUCAUUUUUAUUGGUAGGAUUUUAUCAUUAGGAUAGUUUGGUUUACUUCAACAUUCCAUCAAAAUAUGAAAAUUUUGAUGAACUUGCAUCUUAUUGUGUGGCAUCCCAAAAUUCAUGGCGACCUCCAGAUACAUUAAGGCCUAUGAAUAGGUGAUGGAAGUACCAUCAAGUUGUAUUGUAGCCAUUUGAUCCAUGAUUUGCAAUAAGAUUUAUGGCCAAGCUUUUAAUGAAUAAUUAUUUGAUAGGAAAGAAAAUUCUAUUCUUGGCUAUGUGGUUUAUAGGCUGGAAUUUAUUAAUUUAUGUUGCAAGCUUUAUGGCCAAGUGAAUAAGUGUAAUUAGGUAAUUAUAUGAUGGGUAAUUAGGUGAUGAUUAAAGGGAAAAAUUAGAAGAGUGGGUUGAAUUUUAUUGGCCCAAGAUCAGCCCCACCAUUCGGCCCUUUUGGCCUGGCCCGCGAAGCCCAAAGGAAAGGGUUGCCAUCCGACCGGCCCAAGGAGCCCAAUGGGCUGUCGACCAAAGGGGAGAGGCCAGCCCAACCAGCCCAUCCUCUUGCAUGGAAAUUACCAAGUGGCUUAGGGGACUUACCAAGUGUCAUCUGCAUGCAAAGAAAUGAUUACAUGCUAAUCACGAGGGGGAAGAAAGAAGAAGGGGCGGAUUGAGAAAGGGGGGGUGUCACACGAAGAGAAAGGAGGAAAGAGAGAGAGUGACCAUCCAAGAGAAAGAGAGAAGAGAGAAAGGGAAAAAGCGAGCGAGCGAGAGAAGAAGGGGAAGAGGGAGGCCAAUUUGCUGCCAUUCGUCACCGCCACCGAGUCCCGCCUUGCCUCGCCAUCUUUGCUUGUUAUUUUGUGCUCGGAUUAGAGGCAAGUAGAGUCCUAAAACCUACCCUUUGUUUGCUGUGAUAUGUAUUGUAAGGGAUGAAAAACUUUGGUUGUGAUAGAAGUAAAAAAAAUUGAAGCUCUAGGGAAAAAUAAGGUAGCCUUGCAUUCUGUUUUCUAGAGAGGCAGUCCAACCUUUGAUGAAUUUGUGAGCUGCAUGCGACUUUUUGUUGGAAUCUCACUUCGACUUCUUGAAGAAAGUUGUAUAGAACUUCUUGUAGAGUAACAUAUCAAAAUUUUAGAAGAAAUGAACAAGUAUAGACCGGUGAAACUAUUUUUCUUUGAAGAAGUUAGAUCUGGAAAUCGUAAUGCUGACCUAGUGUGAUUCUGUGAAUUUUAUAAACUUCUCCGGUCGAAAUUUGAUCUCAUGUUCUGAAUGAAAGUUGAAGAUGACAUGUUAAGGAGUAACAUACUAAAAUUUUAGAGGAAAUGGAUGAGUUUAGGUUGAUGAAACGAUUUUAUCCGAAAUGGUCAGAUCUGAGAAUUUUUGCUGAGGGUUAGAAACGGCUACGGUGAUUAUAGUUUUUAAUCUAUCAUAAAUCCGAUUUCGAGUUCUUCAUGAAAUAUUUACUUCUGGAUCUCUUCUAUAAUAUAUAAAAAAUUUCAGAAUUUUUGGAGUUGAUUUAAGAUUUUUACUGAAUUUGUGAAUAAAACUGUGUAUGGCAAUAUUCCGAAAUUAUAAAGACUGUGAUAUGUGGACUGUAACAAAUUGUAUGAUGUUCUUUUGAUAUGGUGUUCUUCACAGAAUAUUUUCCUCUAGAUCUUGUAUAUAACAUGUCAAAUUUUUAUAAUUUAUUAAGGCUGUUUACUAAAUUUUCAAGAAUUAUGACCAAAGGAGUGCAAUCUCUUUUUAUCCAAAAUUGUUGUAUUUUCAAAAAUAAAUGAAAUUGCUCCAUGGGAUAUAAUGUCUUGAGUGGUUGAUUAUGGCAUGUUAUAUGACAUCAAAAACUGGUUGAGACCCUUGAUAUUGUUGCAUCAAAUGCCAUGUUGAAAUUGAGAUACAUGUGUGAAUAUAAAUUGAGAUAAUAACGAGACCGUCGGAGGUGUGAGCCGACGAUGCCCUGGGAGUAUUGGGAUGCCCAGAGUGUGGGUGCCGGAUGCCCAGGGAGUGUUGGGAUGCCCGGAGGUGUGUGCCGGGGGGAUUCCUCGUGAUGCUAGUUGGGGUACGAGAUGCACGGAGGUGCGUGCCAGAUGCCCGGAGGUGUGUGCCAGAGGCUCCUCACGAUGCUAGGUUCGAUGCGAGCGAUAAAUUGUGAGAUGCAAACAUUGGUCCCUGGGAAGAAAAUGAUGUGAUCUAAUUGAAAGAUAAAGAUCGAGAAAUUGAAUCAUAUGGCAUGGGAUGAAUCUCAUGGGAAUGCAAGCAUGUAGUACAUUAUGGUACAUGCACGUUGCAUGGUGAUAUAUGCAUGGCUGCUUGGUGAUACAUGUAUAAGUGCAUGGUGGUAUAUGCACGUUGCAUGGUGUUAUGCAUGGCUGCUCGAUGAUAUAGUACAAGUGCAUGGUGAUUUAUGCAUGUUGUAUGGUGAUAUAUGCAUGGUUGUAAGGUAAGGUAUGCUUGAAUGCAUGAAUGAUAUGUGUUUUAUUCUUGAUACCUUGAUUGUUCUGUUUGACACAUUGUGUAGUUUGGUGGAUCUUUACUGCUGAAUGGUUGUACUCACCCCUUUUGGGGAUUAACAUUUUAGAUUAGAAAGAUGUCUUUGCUACCAGUUGCACGCGGUACUUAUUAUGGAUUGCCAUCUGAUGUCGAGGUAGAGUGCACGGAGAAUUUUGUGUUAGUGUGCCUGGUCUGGUGUUUAUUCGAGUCACUGUCUUAGUGAUGUACGAUGUGGGUCUUGCUGAUGACCUGGUUAUCCAGGAGUUUUUGUCUGUUCAUGUCCGGCGUGGUGAGUGAUGCUAAGGAUGCUGCCGCCGCCACCACCGCCCGAUGCACUGAGUUGGGUGUGAUGGCACGUAUAGCUGGUGGGAGCUGACACUUUUUGGGGAUAGCUGACGCUUGUUUAUGGAGGGGUGUACAUGUUUGAUGUGGGGUCGAGUUCUCUUUUGAGUUAUAGCCAAGUAUAGUUAAAAAUCUUGGCCUUUUGCUGUACCGACCCGAGAUGUCCAUCGUGAAAAUGUAAAUAAAAAGCGACUCGGCUUUAUCGUUUUAUAUGGUGAAUAAUUGAUGUGCAAUUACAUUAUUGUUAUUGUAGUGAGGGAUGGUGAGAUACGUUUAUGCUUCCGCUAAUGAACUCCGCAGGGACUUUUACAAAAAAAAUGGAAAAAAAUUCUAUUGAUCAACCCCUAUAAGCUAUGGUUUCACUUUAAUUAAAAAGUUACCUUACUAGUAUGUAGUAGGAUGAGUGACAAGUACCUGUGGUGACCCUAACGGAUCGGGGGCCGUCGAGGGUUGCCACAGCGAUUGGUACAGAGCAAUGGUUAUAGUUGGAGUAAUAAGGAGCCUCAUUUGGAAAUUGAGGAAUAUGAUGACAAUGCACACUAUAGGAUAUUAACUGGAAUAGUUGAGUAACUUUGAAUAACAGGUGAAGGGUAUUCACUCGUAGAUCUCUAGUAGUUAGUAUGAGUUGCUUUUAGGUGCCAGUAACAUGUUUAUGUUACUUAUAUAGUUAUAGUUACUUUCUAAUGGAGACAAUGAGUCUCAGAUUAUUCCUGAGGCAAAUGCUUGGAAACUGCAGGAAAGUCAUGGUGCGAGCUGGAAGUGCUCAUCCAUCAAGGGUUGAAGCCUUUGCUACAAGGGCUGAAUCUCGAAUGGAAGAUAUCCUGCAGGCAUUGGCCAAUAUUGGAAAUCUGAUGGAAAUGCAAGCGCAGCAACAACUCGAAGUGGAACGUCGCCCUCAAGGACUGGUGGAAAAAUUUCUGAAGCUGAAGCCACCUAAGUUUAGUGGAAUAAGAAGUCCUGAAGAGGCGGAACAUUGGAUUGAUGGGAUUGAACAUAUUUUCCGGUUGUUGGACUGUAGUGAUGCUGAGAAAAUAGUUUUGGCAGAGUACCAGCUGGAAGGAAAUGCAAAGUUUUGGUGGAAAGCUUCGAAGGAUAUGAUCUUUCCACUAAAUACCAAUGUGAACUGCGAUGAGUUUGUUAGAGCUUUUAAUAUGAAGCAUUUCUCUAACUGUGCUAAGGAUAAGAAGAUCAAUGAAUUUGUUCAGUUGGAACAAAGGGAGCUAACAGUGGAUCAAUAUAAGGCAAAAUUUUCUGAAUUGUCUAGGUAUGCUCCCAGAUUGAUUGAGGAUCAUGAGGAAAAAGCUAAGAGAUUUCUGAAAGGGUUGAGGACUGAUAUUAGGAAACAACUGGUGCCUUUGAAUAUAAGGAAUUAUCAUGAGAUUUAUGAAAGGGUACAGUUAGUGGAGCAAGAGCUGGUAAAAGAGCGAUCAGAGUCUAAGAGAUAGUGGAGCUUUAGUGAUAUCAUAAGAGGUAAGAGACCGUAUCCUGGUCAAGGUCAGACGUGGGAUGCGAAGAAAAAGAGCAAUUUUGGAAAUUUUGGAAGAGCUAGGGAUGGCCUGAAUAUAGGGAAAGCACUAGGGGUGUGCAACUAGACUGGGUCAACUCGAUUCCCGAAUUGGCCCACCCGGAAAACAGGGUCGGGAACCGAUUCUAAUUGAAACCGGUCCGGGAACCAAUUCCCAAAAUGUAGAACCGGUUUGAACCAGUCCGGGAACCGAUUCCAAGGGAUUACCCACCUGGGAACCGGAUCGACCGAACCGGUUUGGGAACGGGUUUGAGAACCAACCCAAAAAGACCAAAACCCUAAAUUAUUUCUAUCUGCUCUCACACCCGCAAACUUCCCCAAGCUCACAACCUCCACCGAUUCCCUGCACCGCCUAUCCCCUGCAACGCUGGCCUCCGAGCAGCAACGCCACACCACUCUCACUACCGCCUCACCAGCGAGCCCGCGCCUACCUCUCCGCCCAAGCGCUGAUUCGCGCUCGUCCUCACAUCUGCUAUCGCUGCACCAUAGAAGAGCCUGACGCCAACAGAUUUGAGCCAAUCGCCAUGACGCUCGCGCCUCCGAUCUCCUUUCCUGACGCUCCCCACAACAGCUCAACCCAGCACCAUCGCGCUUUGCCUCACCCGCAAGCCCACCGCCUCUGCUCGAGCCUCCACCCGCGACGCUCCUGCUUCGACACCCAUCAAAUCUACCCUGGACCCACGAAGCCGUCGUUGUCCCAUCUCGCCGAAACUCUCACCUGCGAGCACGCAUCCCUGCACUGCGCCACACCACCGUGCUUGCCUUGCUCCGCUCCUGCAGCUAGAUCCGACCACCGCGACCUCCGAUCAGUGACCCGACACCACAGAUCCAGCGAUUCGACAACCCGGCGUUGCCCUCUACUCUGUUCAUUUCUGCCAAUGACUGACGCCAGCAAACCCUAAUUUGUUCCAUCCGAGCACUGACGCUGCUUCCGCUCGUCCACCGUCGCCUUCCUCCUGCGACACCUGUAGCCCGUGAGAUCCUGACGUCACCACUCCGCCUCUCCCUGCUCCGCACCCUCCAAAAUCGCGAUGCCGCCUCUAUCAACCCGGUUCCUAGCUACUCGCCAACCUUGCAAAACAGGUUCCAGUAUAAAACAAGGUUAACCUUGUUCCUGGACCGGAAAAAUAGGGUGGGUUGGGAACAGGGUCCAUUGCAAACAAGGUCAAGAACAAGGUCCAAAAAAAGAGAACUAGUUAUAACAGGGUCGAGUACAGGGUCCAGGUCUAAAUCCUACCCACCUUGGACCCGAUCACCCCUAGAAAGCACCCUAUCAGCCUGAUGUUUGUCGAAGGUGUGAUGGGCGGCAUUGCCCAGGACCUUACAAUGGACGGCUAAGAUGUUAUGAUUGUGGACGAGUAGGUUACCUUAAGAAAGACUGCCCACAAGAGAGGUCGCAAAUGAGUGUUGGCUCGGUGCGACAGGCAUAGCAGAGUGCUGUUAGACUAAACUUACCAAGGAAUCCUCAGAGGCCACCGCACAAGGAAGGGUGUAUGUGGUCACCCAAGAGGAAGCGGAAGCUUCCAUAAAUGUUAUAUCAGGUACGAAUUUUAUAAAUGGCAAGAAGGCAUAUGCAUUAUUUGACACGAGUGCUACGCAUUCAUUUAUAUCUGAAAGAUAUAGGCAAUUGAGUGAAAUAGAAGUUACGCCUCUUGAGACGCCUCUUUGUGUUUCCAUGCCUUUAAAGAAUAUGGUAUUAUCUACAAUGAUGUGUGCAAAAUGUAAGAUAUCAAUAGGAGGAAGGGAUAUGGAAAUAAACCUAGUCGUAAUGGCUAUGUAUGACUUUGAUGUUAUCAUAGAAAUGGACUGGCUCCAUAAGCAUAAGGCUACGGUGGAUUGCUAUAGGAAAGUGAUCCAGUUCAUGUUGCUUGAUCAAUUUAGUUUCAAAUUUUUCGGAGGUUAGACAAACCCCUCUAUAGCCAUUAUCUCAAUGGUAGAAGCUUGUGAACUACUUGAUGAAGGAUGUCAAGGAUACCUAGCAGUGGUAAGAGAUCUUACUAAGAAAGAGGCUGAAAUCAGUGAGAUUCAAGUAGUCAGAGAAAUUUAGGAUGUGUUUCCUGAGGAGUUGCCUGGAUUACGACUAGAGUGAGAGAUUGAGUUUGAAAUUAAACUAAUGCCUGGAACAGGACCGAUAUCGAAAGCCCUGUAUAGGAUGGCCUUAGUUAAGUUGAAGGAAUUGAAGGUGCAACUACAAGAGUUGCUUGAUAAAGGAUUUACUAGGCCAAGUGCUUCACCUUGGGGUGCACCAGUUCUAUUUGUGAAAAAGAAAGACAGGUCGAUGCGUCUAUGUAUUGAUUACAGACAGCUGAAUCAAGUGACUAUAAAAAAUAAGUAUCAUUUACCUAGAAUUGAUAAUUUAUUCGACCAACUACAAGGAAGUUCAGUCUUUUCUAAGAUUGACUUGAGAUUGGGAUACCAUCAGUUAAGGAUUAAGAAAGAAGACGUUCCUAAGACUGCAUUUAGGACUCAUUGUGGACAUUAUUAGUUCUUAGUUAUGCCUUUUGGAUUGACGAAUGCACCAGCUGCAUUCAUGGAUUUAAUGAAUAGGAUAUUUAAGCCUUAUCUGGAUUAGUUUGUGAUUGUUUUCCUCAAUGAUAUCCCGGUAUAUGCUAGAGGACUUGAAGAGCACGAGCAACACUUGAGCAUAAUUUUGCAAACUCUGAGAAAUCAUAAGUUGUAUGCCAAAUUCAGCAAGUGUGAAUAUUGGCUAGACCGGAUAAUAUUUUUAGGACACGUGGUGUCAGGAGGAGGAAUUGCAGUGGACCCGGCAAAAGUUGAGAUGGUAAUAAAUUGGCCGAGAACGACAACACCCACUGAGAUCAAAAGUUUCUUAGGACUGGCUAGUUAUUAUAGAACAUUUAUUGAAGGAAUUUCACGACUGGCAGGCCCCUUAACAAAAUUAACGCGGAAGAAUGUAAAGUUUGAAUGGAAUGGAGAAUGUGAAAGGAGCUUUUAGGAACUUAAAAAGAAAAUUGACCACGGCUCCAAUCUUGACUAUACCAUCUGGGUCUGAUGGUUUUACAGUAUAGAGUGAUGCAUCUCACAAAGGACUGGGAUGUGUUUUGAUGCAACAUGGCAAUGUCAUAGCUUAUGCAUCAAGGCAAUUGAAACCCCAUGAAUUGAAUUACCCAACACAUGAUUUAGAAUUGGCAGCUAUAGUGUUUCCUUUGAAGAUAUGGAGACACUAUCUGUAUGGAGAGAAGUUUGAAAUCUAUAGAUCAUAAGAGCCUGAAGUAUUUGUUUUCGCAAAAAGAGUUGAACAUGAGACAAAGGAGGUGGAUGGAGUUAUUGAAAAAUUAUGACAGUGAGAUACGAUACCAUCCAGAAAAGGCAAAUAAGGUGGCAGAUGCCCUUAGUCGAAAGUCAGCUAUGGACAUGGCUAGUCUAAGAAUAACAGAGUGGAAUAUGUUAAAGUCUAUUGUGGAUUCAGACUUCAAGUUGGAAAUGGAGUAUGCUUACUACAUUAAGGAUUGAGCUUGAAAUCAUUCGGAAAGUUAAGAUUUUACAAAAAUCUGACCCGGAGAUUUUGAAGAUACAAAACGCUGUGUCUUUAGGAAAAGACCAGAAUUUCAAGUCUUUGAAGAUGGAGUGGUAAGAUGCCAAUGAUGACUUUGUGUUCCCGACGAUGAAGAAGUGAAGAGGGAAAUUCUAUCGGAGGCACAUAGGAGUAAUUAUAGUAUUCAUCCGGGUAGUACAAAGAUGUACAGGAAUUUGCGUCGGCAAUUUUCGUGGAAUGGCAUGAAAGUAGAUACGGCUAAACACGUUUCUCAAUGUGUAAUAUGCCAACAAGUGAAGGUAGAACAUCGCAAACCUGCAAGACUAUUGAGACCGUUAGACAUACUAGAAUGGAAAUGGGAGCAUGUAACGAUGGACUUUGUACAAGGACUACCAAGGACAUCAAAUGGUCACGAUUCGAUUUGGGUGAUAGUGGAUCGCUUGACUAAGUCUGCUCAUUUCCUAAUUGUCCGCAUAAACUAUUCAAUGAAUAAACUUGCUGAGAUGUAUGUAAGCCAGGUAAUACGCUUACAUGGUAUUCCUGUAACGAUCACCUCUGAUCGAGACUCUAGGUUUACUUCAAAUUUUUGGCGAAGCCUCCAAAAUGCCUUAGGGACAAAGCUUCAAUUUAGUACUGCAUUUCAUCCUCAAACAGAUGGACAAACAUAAAAAGUGAUCUAGACUCUAGAAGAUAUGCUGAGAGCCUGUGUUAUUGACUUUAGAGGAAAUUGGGAUGAAAAUUUGCACCUAAUAGAGUUCGCAUAUACUAAUAGUUUUCAGAAAAGUAUAGGCAUGGCUCCAUAUGAUAUGGAAGAAGAUGCAGAACCCCUAUCUGUUGGAAUGAAGUAGGUGAAGGAAAACUAACAGGACCCGAGCUAGUGCAAGUUACUACAGAAGCGAUCGAGAUAAUCAUGAAAAGACUUAAGACAGCCCAGAACCGACAAAGAGACUAUGCAUAUAGGCGUAGAAGGCCUUUAGAGUUUAAUGUGGGAGAUCAUGUAUUUCUUAAAGUAUCCCCUAUGAAAGGGCGGAUUGAACAAGAGGGGGCGUGUUGCACGAAGAGAGAGGAGGAAAGAGAGAGAGAGAGUGACUAUCCGAGAGAAAGAGAGAAGAAAGAAAGGGAAAGAGCAAGCGAGCGAGAGAAGAAGGGGAAGAGGGAGGCCAAUUUGCUGCCGUUCGUCACCGCCGCCGAGUCCCGCCUUGCCUCGCCAUAUUUGCUUGCUGUUUUGUGCUCGGAUUAGAGGCGAGUAGAGUCCUAAAACCUACCCUUUGUUUGCUGUGAUAUGUAUUGUAAGGGAUGAUAAACUUUGGUUGUGGUAGAAGUAAAAAAAUCGAAGCUCUAGGGAAAAAUAAGGUAGCCUUGCAUUCUGUUUUCUAGAGAGGCAGUCCGACCUUUGAUGAAUUUGUGAGCUGCAUGCCACUUUUUAGUUGAAAUCUCACUUCGACUUCUUGACGAAAGUUGUAGAGAACUUCUUCGAGAGUAACAUAUCAAAAUUUCAAAAGAAAUGAACAAGUAUAGACCGGUGAAACUAUUUUUCUUUGAAGAAGUUAGAUCUGGAAAUCGUAAUGCUGACCUAGUGUGAUUCUGUGAAUUUUAUAAAAUUCUCUGGUUGAAUUUUGAUCUCAUGUUCUGAAUGAAAGUUGAAUAUGACAUAUUAAUGAGUAACAUACUAAAAUUUUAGAGGAAAUAGAUGAGUUUAGGUUGGUGAAACGAUUUUAUCCGAAAUGGUCAGAUCUGGGAAUUUUUGCUGAGGGUUCGAAACGGCUACGGUGAUUAUAGUUUUUAACCUAUCAUAAAACCGAUUUCGAGUUCUUCAUGAAAUAUUUACUUCUGAAUCUCAUCUAUAAUAUAUAAAAAUUUCAGAAUUUUUGGAGUUCAUUUAGGAUUUUUACUGAAUUUGUGAAUGAAACUGUGUAUGGCAAUAUUCCGAAAUUAUAAAGACUGUGAUAUGUGGACUGUACCGAAUUGUAUGAUGUUCUUUUGAUAUGGUGUCCUUCACGGAAUAUGUUCCUCUAGAUCUUUUAUAUAACAUGUCAAGUUUUUAGAAUUUAUUAAGGCUUUUUACUAAAUUUUCAAGAAUUAUGACCAAAGGAGUGCAAUCUCUUUUUAUCCGAAAUUGCUGUAUUUUCAAAAUUAAAUGAAAUUGCUCCAUGGGAUAUAAUGUCUUGAGUGGUUGAUUAUGCUGCAUAUGUGGUGACAUAUAGCAUGUUAUAUGAUGUCAAAAACUAGUUGAGACCCUUGAUAUUGUUGCAUCAAAUGCCAUGUUGAAAUUGAGAUACAUGUGUGAAUAUAAAUUGAGAUAAUAACGAGACCGUCGGAGGUGUGAGCCAACGAUGCCCCGGGAGUAUUGGGAUGCCCGGAGUGUGUAUUGGGAUGCCCGGAGUGUGUGUGCCGGAUGCCUUGGGAGUGUUGGGAUGCUCGGAGGUGUGUGCCGGGGGGAUUCCUCGUGAUGCUAGUUGGGGUACAAGAUGCCCAGAGGUGCGUGCCGGAUUACCGAAGGUGUGUGCUGGAGGCUCCUCGCGAUGCCAAGUUAGAUGCGAGCGAUAAAUUGUGGGAUGCAAACAUUGGUCCCUGGGAAGAAAAUGAUGUGAUCUAAUUGAAAGAUAAAGAUCGAGAAAUUGAAUCAUAUGGCAUGGGAUGAACCUCAUGGGAAUGCAAGCAUGGAGUGCAUGGUGGUAUAUGCACGUUACAUGGUGAUAUAUGCAUGGCUGCUUGAUGAUACAUGUAUAAGUGCAUGGUGGUAUAUACACGUUGCAUGGUGUUAUGCAUGGCUACUCGAUGAUAUAAGUACAAGUGCAUGGUGAUUUAUGCAUGUUGUAUGGUGAUAUAUGCUUGGCUAUAAGGUGAGGUAUGCUUGAAUGCAUGAAUGAUAUGUGUUUUAUUUUUGAUACCUUGAUUGUUCUAUUUGACGCAUUGUGUAGUUUGGUGGAUCUUUACUGCUGAGUGGUUGUACUCAAUCCUUUUGGGGAUUAACAUUUCAGAUUAGAAAAAUGCCUUUGCUACCAGUUGCACGCGGUACUUAUUAUGGAUUGCCAUCUGAUGUCGAGGUGGAGUGGACGGAGCAUUCCUGUGUUAGUGUGCCUGGUCUGGUGUUUGUUCAAGUCUGUGUCUUAGUGAUGUACGAUGUGGGUCUUGCUAAUGGCCUGGUUGUCCAAGAGUUUUUGUCUGUUCAUGUCCGACGUGGUGGAGUGAUGCUAGGGAUGCUGCCGCCACCGUCGCCCAAUGCACCGAAUUGGGUGUGAUGGCACAUAUAGCUGGUGGGAGCUGACACUUUUCGGGGAUAGCCGCCGCUUGUUGAUGGAGGGGUGUACAUGUUUGAUGUGGGGUUGAGUUCUCUUUUGAGUUAUAGCCAAGUAUAGUUAAAAAUCUUGGCCUUUUGUUGUACCGACCCGAGAUGUCCAUCGUGAAAAUGUAAACAAAAAGCGACUCGGCUUUAUCAUUUUAUAUGGUGAAUAGUUGGUGUGCAAUUGCAUUAUUGUUAUUGGAGUGAGGGAUGGUGAGAUAUGUUUAUGCUUCCGCUGAUGAACUGCGCUGGGACCUUUACAAAAAAAAAUGGAAAAGAAUUCUAUUGAUCAAUCCCUAUGAACUAUGGUUUCACUUUAAUUAAAAAGUUACCUUAUUGGUAUGUAGUAGGAUGAGUGACAAGUACCUGUGGUGACCUUAACGGAUCGGGAGCCGUCGAGGGGUUCCACAUAUUGAAUAGAAAUAAACAAAUUACAUUGUAUGGAAAUGGAAAUCCUAGAAAACAAUCAAAUACAAAGAAUCAAGCACUAGAAAGCAUAAAUACUCCUAUACAAAUGAGUGUGUCAACAAUCAAAGAUGCCCUAACUCUAGGUGAUUUGAACUCAUCCUAUCAUCCAGCCUUACAUCAAUGGCAAAGACUGCUUUUUCCAUUUGUGCAGAUAGCCUCAUUAUUUGAUAGAUCAUCCCAACCAGUGGGCAUAAUGUCCUUGACAACAAGAUCAAUGCUUCGCAAUUUAGAGCAUAGCACAUAAUAGUCCUACUCGUUGCUUAAAUUGUUCCAUUGUACUAAAAGGCUCGAUGUUUGGAGGCAAGAGUAUAAAUUGGCCCAAAUCUCACACUCUCGCGAUUGGGUCGGGUGCUCUUGACACUAGCUCAAUCAAAAGGCUACCCUGUAGUCUUGCAAUCUCAAGUAUCAAGAAAGAAAGUUCAGGGUUUGAAAAGUGCAAUCCUUAGUCUCGUAGUUUUGUGGACAAGGUUGUAUCAUCUCAACACCAUCCUUUUUUUUUCCAAAUAUGCAAUCUAGGUUUGAUCGCAGGAUUCAUGCAAAAGUUUAGUGUUAGAUCAAAGUAAAACAUGCAUAACAGUUUAUAAUAUGCAUACAUCACUUCAAAAUAUUGAUCUAACACAUACAUUCUCAACAUCUCUCUACAAAACAAAGUGUUAUGAUUCAUCCCUUAUAACUUUCAUAUGCAAGAACAUUUAACAUAACUAUUAGUGGCACACCUUAUCUCCAUACUACUCAAACGAAAACAAUUUUUAAAAGAGAAAAUUCAGGCCUAAGUCAUUUGGAAUUGUCAAGUUGUUGGGACCUUUCCAGGAGUGAACCACCAAGGAAAAGAUAAUAGAUUACUAGGUAGGGUACGAAUGGUAACUCAUUAAAGAAGGUACAUUUGUCUAGUGUAGACUCUCCCGAACCCAUACCAGUCAUAACUUUGAGUUUUAAUUAAAUCAAUUAACUAUGUAAAAUCACCACUAAUUUUUACAGGUUAAUUGGAAACCCAAGUAAAACAUAAGAGAACAUUUUACUUCUACCGAUUAAAGAUUCAUGGAUAUUGGGAUUCGGUUAUGCAAGAUAAAUCUACCACCCUUUUGGUACAUUCUCUCUUUAUUUUAAACAUGUCUGGAAGCAGUUUAGAUCAUUUAAUCCUAAGCUACUAAUAUGCGAUGGGUGAUCAAGAGGGUGCACAAGGGUGAUCAAGAGGUAAACGACUAUGUAAUGCGCACAAGGGUGCGCAAGCAAGAAUUUAACACUUAAUAUUCAAAGCGAUAAAUAAACUGCUUAGGAAAGAGUAAAGAACCUCAGCACGUUAAGCAAACUUUAUUGUCAUCCAAUGCACAAAGUAUUCUGCAGUAUGUUAACUAAGAAUUAAACGACUAUGUAAUGCAUGCAUCUAGACAAGAUUUCUACAUAUGAUUAUACAAUGCUAAUUAUUUCUAUCUACAAGAUGAUGUCAUUAAAAUCAAUCCUAAAAAUAUGUGACUCUCCAUAUGACGUGCAAUGUUGAAUGUCAUCAAUAUGAGAUAUGGAUGCAAUAUUUUUUGAGAUUUUCUUUAAAAGUAAAAAUAGGAAACUACUAUUCGAGAAAUGCCUUAUGAUGUUUUGAAGAUGACAAAAUAAAUCAAAGGUUACUAACGUGUUUAAUGGUUGAGUAAUAGACUAUGCAGAUGAUAGAACAUGUAAAGGAUAUUGUCGAAGUCUAUACUUGGAAGAACCAAAAAACAGACUCUAUGCUGAAGCUGAACUUAUUCAAACUGUGUCCAAACCUUAAGGCUAAAUAUGUUCAGACUUACGUCUAGAUUGUAAAGUCUAUUUCAGAUGGAAGACACUCAAACUUUACUUUCAACAAACUUUACUUUCAACAGAACACUCUUAGACUUUACAUCUAAAACGAGACACAAGUCCAUAACGUGACAAGGUCCAGAACGAGACACAAGUUCAGAAAGUAGUAGAUUCAGAACAAAACAUGUUCAGAACGAGACAACUUGACAGAACGUAACACAACCCCCAAACAUAUAACGGCUAGUGAUUUGGUUUGGAUUCUACAUCAAGAUAGAUUUGAUUGACUCAAUCUAAUUGAUUGACAAUUAGAUCAUGAAGACAAGAACUUUCUAAAUGAAGAAGCUCUACAUAUGGAAACCAAGAUUUUGUUUGUAUGGGCGAUUAGAAUCAAUUUGGAAUUCUACUUCUAUCACUCAACGGCUAAUAAAUCUUCUUGAUACAGAUCUGUCCAAUGGGUAGAUUGGAAGACGAUUCUCUAGAUAUUAUCCAACAGCUAGUUUGAAAGUGGAGGAGUAUUUAAGGAGACUAAGAACCGAUGAGCAAGUAAGAGAUGAAGCGUAGAAUUUAUAAUUUCAAAGUCUAAGUGACCUUCGAUCAUACACUUGUCUCUUGUGAGCUUAAACGUUUGUGAUCGUGAGAGAAAUACCAAAAGAGUGACUUAGUGAGAUAGUGUGAUCUAUCACUGAGUAUUUGCACUCAAAGUUGUAAUCUCUUGUUGAUCGCAUAGUGGAAUCCAGCCAAAAGGCUGUUAGUAUAGUAGAGUGGACGUAGGCUUGAUCUAAGCCGAACCACUAUAAAUUUCUUGUGCAACAUUCUCUUUCCGUAACUCUUUAUAUUUAAGUCUAUUGCAUACUUAUAUGUUAUUUCAGAAGUUUGUUCCAUUGUAUAACAUAUUCUAAACAUCAACCAAAAGUCUGGUGGCUAGCUUAUCAGACUUUGAUCCUUAUUCAGACUUUUCUCAAAAUUUAUUUUAUUAUGCAUUUAUUAGCCAAGAUUUAUUUUAAAUACUUAUUCACCUCCUCUAGGUGUUCGUACUAGCACUUUCAACUACCUAAUUCCACAUGAUGAAUUUAACCAAUAAGAAAAUUAAAUAUCAUUUUUAUGUGAUGCAUCUAAUCUAAUGAUAUGCAUAUCCUAAAGUUCUACAUGAUUAGUGAUUAAGUGACAAUGAAAUCACUAUAUUAUAUUAAUAAUUACUAAGGCUAACCUUAGAUUAUUAAAUAUCACUUCAUGAUAUGUACAUAAAAUGGGAAAGAUUUAAUUCGGUAUCCAAUCUUUAGUCUCAAAGAUUCGAUUUCCUAAUUUAUCCAACCGAAACAAAGAAUGAAAAUAUUUAAUUGAGGCUCCAAUCUUCGCGCUUAAAGAUUCGAUUUCCCCGAUUAAACUUUUCUUUACAAAUCAAAAUAUUUAAAAUAGGAAACUAAAUAUUCUAACUUAUCUUAAUACGCGAGGGAUAUACGCAAUAUCUAAUUACUAGUUCUAAUCGGGCGAGAUUGUGAUGACAUGAGCGGACAAAAUGAACAUCAGACCGAUUGACUAGCGCUAAGAGGUUACUCGAGUUGCCGUAGAGUAGCUGUGAAACGUUGGAGUGCCACCGGUACAGCUAGGUGGCUAGGAACUCGCCUGAAGAUUUUCGGGUAAUGGCUAGACAUUAUAGUGAUGCUAGCUGCGUCGGAAGCUUAUCUGGAGCACCGAGAAACCUUCAAUAAAAGUGUCAAGCAACAGGGUUCAAGGAUGUGAUGACGGUGACAAGGGCUGGUGCUCGUUGAGAAUCACUCGGAUGCAUGCGAAGCUGCUCAGAGUCGGUCACAGACUGGUGCGGGUGUGCUGGUGCUUGCUGAAGCUGAGGUUGAGCGAUGGUGAUGCUGAGCACAGCGGUGGGAAACUUGUAGGAGAUGGUUAGAUCGAAGCGAAGCUCGGUAAGUUGGGCCGGUGCUUCUGCAUUGGUGCAAGUGGAGUGGCAAGGGAAAAACAGUGAGUCGAGUGGCAAGGGACAGCGACCAAGUGGGGCUUGGCGGCCUUGAAAAAAUUCGGGACCUUCGUUAAACGUUCCCUCAAUUUUCUCGCUUUUGUAUGUGUGCCUCUUAGUUUCUAGCCCCUGUUUUGAAUUAGAAGGAAAGAAUACUUAUAUAGGUAUAGAUCUAGGGCUUUACAUAAGAUACCACUUUCCUAAAUUAAACAAAAGAGAUUAUGUGAUAUGUUCAAGAUAGAAUAUUGAGGUAUUCUCUUUCUUUUUUCCCCCAUAAUUAAAAUUUACAAAAAUAAUGCUUUUAUUGCAUACAAACUUAAUUAGAUUAUUUUUACCCAAAAAAAAACUUAAUUAGAUUAUGCAAUUUUUCUUAAUUCGCACCUCCCAUGUCAUCUCAUAUGCAAAUUUUGGCCACUUAGGUUAUUCAAUAGACUUGGCCGAAUUUUUACUUUUGUAGACUUAUUCUAAUAAUUAAAUUAAGUUUAAAGCCCCUUACUUGAACCCAUUUGCUCCAGUUAAAUUAUAAUGCAAUUUAUGUGGGUCUAAUAUUUUUAUAAAAAUGCUCCUCAUUUGCAAAUGCAAAUUAAUAGUGUUUUUUUUUUUUAGGGGAUGAGACAGUCUCCCAAUUUUCCAUACAUUGAAUGGGUUACCAAAAUUUAGAUGUCAACAGAAAAACUACAAGGCACUCUUCUACAACCUUAAUGACUUCCAUUCUUUCCCCCACUGCUUUUACUUUGUAACUCAUCUUCAAUUGAAAAGCAUGUCAGUUUCAAUUUGAGAAAAUUGUACAUACCUCCGUAAUCAUUUCACCGUGUUGGAAAUAUUAAUUACAUAUCAACACUAUUUGUCGUAAUAUGAAAAAAGCGAUAACAAAAUAAACAGGUGAUGAGGUGCAACUAACUGAAUCUCUUUAAGGUGAUUAGUUCCUUCCAACAAUACUAAACAACUUCACGAAUUAUGUCUCCCAAGAUACAACAUGUCGAACAUGUUUGUAUCAACACUAUAUGAACAGAACUCUGUUGAGCACUUCUCAAAACUGACACACUUAGACAAUGACUACCGAAAAAAUUAGAUAAGUACUUUGAGGCAUUUUUGUUGUUAUUUUGAACUAAGAAGACAUGCCUAUUUAUAGAUGAGAGAAACAGCCGUAGAAAAUUGAAAGGAAAUGAACUCAAAAAUCAUGUCGGUUAUGCUUGUAUUAGUUUUUUUGUUUUUUGGUCGGUAUGCUUGUAUUAGUUGAGUCAUUGACACUUAAUAACAACAAUAUUAAAUUCAAAAACCAUAGCGAAGAGUCAUUAAACCGUAAUUGCAACAAUUAGGGCAUAAUUUGAAGGGACAUAAUGGUUACACGUGAAUUGAAGUGACAUCUCACUAAUGUUGAGCCAUUAAAACCUAUAAUUACAACAAUAAUUACAACAAUCUUCCCCAUCAAAGACUCUACAGAACUUUGACUCAAAGAAAUCCAAAGGUGCAUGUGGAAAAUAAACUGCAUCAAGAGAGGUAACUUCGCUUUGAACCUUCUUUAGUGAAAGUCUACCGGACUUACCUAACCAAUCAAUGGAUUAAGCCUUGAAUCACUAGUUGUUGGUAUAAGCGCAAACAAUAGACCUCACAUAGAGUAUCUCUGAAUCAAUAUUGGUUCUCGAUUAUGUUUAUUCUUUCAGGCAUGAACCUCUUGUGAUUCAUGCAUGCUUUAGAAAAUCUAGCCUUUGAAGAUUUUCAAAGAUUUUCAUAGAGUCGGCCAGCCCCACACAAAUAGGCGCAUUCUUAUCAAAGGCAUGCUACCAUACUUUACUAGGAUAUUGGAAUCCAAGCUAUAUGAAUCAUUAAACGCAUAGCAUACCCUAAAGACAAUAUAGGCACUGUUGCAUCAUAGGAAUGUGACACAAUGUGCACGCUAAAGUUUCCAAAAUGUGUGGUUUUUGAACCUAGUCUAUGGGAUCUCCAAUCACUAGGUUAGGUUUCCACCUCAUAACCUCUUUAAUAAUAAAAACUUUUAACCCCAUUCCUUUUGAUGUGCAGUUUACUUACCCUCUCGACAAACCUUUUGUCAACGGAUCCACAAUGUUUUCCAUUGACUUCAUAAAGUCCAAAGAAAUUAUUAUGUUCAAGUGCAAUUGUCUCACAAUAUUAUAUCUAUGAUGAUUGUGUCUAGACUUACCAUUAUAUAUCACAUUUUGUGCCCUUGCAGUCACUUCUUAAUUGUCAUAGUGAAUGCAUAUCAGAGACACGGGUUUUGGCCACAAUAGAACAUAUUCUUAAAAUUGCCAAAGCCACUCUACUUCUUCUAUCACGACCCGAACCCCAUCUCCAGGGUUGCAAGCGACAAGGGUUAUUUUUCCAAGCCCACCAAUAUCAAUAAUCAGAAGGAUGGGAACGUGCUCUUUCAUGUUCGCAUCUAGUAAGAAUUCCAUAAUUGUCUUCUUAUCAUCAUCUCUCCCUAUAAUAUCUCCCUCUCGUAUAAAGGGAUGCGUCUCUUCUCUCUUCCUCCACUCUCUCUUGGGGCGCUCAUCCAAGUGGAAUCCCCUAUUAGCCUUAAUGGCUUCUAUUCUCUUCACACUGCUCUUACUUUUUUACUCCACUUCAGUUUAAAAGCAAGUUGGUUUGAACUUUGAGAAAAAUAUCUUUACCUUCUUGAUCAUUUCAUUAUGGCCCCUUAAUUCACGUCACAUGACUUCUAUGUUGAAUUCUUCAAGCACAUCGCAUCAUAAAAAGCGUCUUUCAGUUUCUCGAGCCAAACUUGGAUUUGGCGAAUCUGGUGGUAUUGCUCUUCUGCAUCGUCCAGAAUAGCGUGAAUUGUGGAGACUGUGUCUUUGAGCUUCGCCAGUUCGUGCUUGACGCCCCCAAUAACUCUCCCACUUUUUCUAUUGCUUGAGGAACCAGCUUUGCAAUGAUAUCUCCAGCAAUGUUCCCAAUGACAGCUUCCGCCAUUUUGUUCUCUCUAUCUCUCUGUGUCAGUCUCUCUGGCUCUAUCAGUGGAGCAGAAGAUAUUACUACAGUCGUUUAUAAGGCUAGAGACUUCCAAGACAUGUACAACAAGUUCAUGUUAAAGAUGGGAAUUCUCCUCAGCCACGCGUAAUAGAAAGAUGACGCUGUCAAUAAUGCAUAUGGGACCCACCUAGGUUAGGUCCAAGGUUUUGGCCUGUCUAAAGACUUUGCGUCCAUCUAGUAUUUAGUAGUCUAGCAUGCUUGCGUGGGCAAUGACAAUGCUGGCAUUGAAGUGACAGAGAUAUUUAUUGAUUAGUUUGUUUUUAUCUAACAGUUUCCGUGGCCCAUAAGCAAAUGGAAAAGAGAGGAAUAUUUAAAUGUCAAUAAUGAGAAAUUCUUAUCAGAAUAUUGACAUAGCAUUUUUCAACAAUAUUUUUUUUAUUGAAAUGGCAAUUAGUUCAAAAAAAAAAUAUUCAUGUAAAGUUGAUGUGACUAUUCUAUCCUAAAACGACGUCAUUUUACCUCAAAAUUUGAUUUUUAAUAUAAAUAUUAAUUAAGUUAAAUUUUAAAAAAAAAUGGUUAUGGCAAUGCAAUGAGGGCUCACUACUACUGCCACCCCACCAUCACUAGAAAGGUCCAAUGACAAUGGAGCAAAGGUCGGUCGAGGUUCUCAAGCCUCAACCAAUGGUCGAUGACCCUGGCCAACUAGUGGCAAGAGUCGCCGACCAUCGGCCAAAGGUGCCAAGGAUCGUCACUAACUGUGGCAUGGCUAGAUGACCCUUCCCCAGCCAGCGGCAACCUUGGCUGAAAUGGGUGAGGGCCGACGACCCUCAUUGGAUUUGGGGGAGGGUUGCGAGCCAUUGCCAACAAUAGGCUAGGGCCAGGGCUCGGCACUAGUCAAUCCUCACCCCACAAUCAUCGACCCUUUCGAUGGUGGCAGAGGCGGCGGCGGCAACAGCGGCAACAACAGUGGCGAGGCGCUUACUACUUUGCUAAAACCUUUUUUUUUUAAUAAAUUUAGUUUUUUAAUUUAACUUAUUUAAUUUUUAUAUUAAAAAUCAAUUUUGGGGCAAAACAACGUCAUUUUGCACUUUUAUUGCUGAGUAGGGAACUCCGAUGAGCCACUUAGACCACAUUUAUUCUUUUAAAAAAAAUGUAACAUCGGAUUUCUAACUAUCAUCAUCGAAGUUGGCACUUAAUUGUCCCAAUUUUCAAAAAAGAAGAAGAAGUGAUACUUAAGUAUAUUUUUUGGAAGUUUUGACAUUUAAGUGUCUAUUUGUGCUAGGUUUCAAUACUUACAAUAUACUUUUGUGUGGCACCCCUCGACGGCCCCCGAUCCGAUUUGGGUCGCCACAGUUUGCUUACCAUUUACUUUCCUAAUAACAUGUCACUCUGAUACCAUUUCAAUUGCAGCGGGUCCAUACAACCAUGGGGGUUUACAUCUUUUAUUAACGGUCCCUUGCGCAAUUUACAUAACGGAAGCAUAUCCAACAAUUCCCUUCCCUACAUUCAGAAAUCGAUGCACACCAACUAAACAUUUAUAGGUAAAAGCCGUACACUUUUGUUUACAUAACUUGAUGAACAUCAUUAGUCGAUACAUCAAAAUUGCCACAGUCUUUCUAUACUUGGCUAUAUUUUAAAAGAUGACCGACAUCUUCUCCCACAAUCGUAUGCUUAAGGUCCAUCAACUAGUGUCGGCGUCCAAAGGUUCCCUCCUUUGCUAUUCUUCUCCUCACGGUCAUAUCCAACCGCUCAAACCAUCUACUAAUCUAAAAUGUUGGUCAACAAAAGGGGUGAGUACAACCACUUAGCAGGUAAAGGAAUCCAAUAACAACUCGAUGCAUCAUACAAAUCAUACAUGCAUUACAAGCGUAACUUACCUUGCAGCCAUGCAUAUUACUAUCAUGCAUCAUCAUGNNNNNNNNNNNNNNNNNNNNNNNNNNNNNNNNNNNNNNNNNNNNNNNNNNNNNNNNNNNNNNNNNNNNNNNNNNNNNNNNNNNNNNNNNNNNNNNNNNNNNNNNNNNNNNNNNNNNNNNNNNNNNNNNNNNNNNNNNNNNNNNNNNNNNNNNNNNNNNNNNNNNNNNNNNNNNNNNNNNNNNNNNNNNNNNNNNNNNNNNNNNNNNNNNNNNNNNNNNNNNNNNNNNNNNNNNNNNNNNNNNNNNNNNNNNNNNNNNNNNNNNNNNNNNNNNNNNNNNNNNNNNNNNNNNNNNNNNNNNNNNNNNNNNNNNNNNNNNNNNNNNNNNNNNNNNNNNNNNNNNNNNNNNUCAUGCAUAUCAUACCAUGGGUGAUCAUCAUGUCACAUCACAUAUCAUCACCAUCAUCAUGCAUAUCAUACCAUGGGUGAUCAUCAUAUCACAUCACAUAUCAUCACCAUCAUCAUGCAUAUCAUCAUGCAUAUCAUACCAUGGGUGAUCAUCAUAUCAUAUCAUCACCAUCAUCAUGUAUAUCAUACCAUAUCAUGCCAUGAGUUAAUUUUCAUCUUUAUCUUUAAAUUUGAUCACCACAUCACCCUUCCUCGAUUCAUCAAUUUCAUCCCAUAUUUUACACUCGCAUCCCAUGCGAGAAAAACCUCCGGGCAUGUAUCCAAGAUACAACCGGGCAUCCGGCCCCCCACAUUCCGGGCAUCUCGCAUCCCAACUAGCAUCACGAGGAACCUCCGGGCAUGUAUCCAAGAUACAACCGGACAUCCGGCCUUUACCCUUCUAGCCGGGCAUCUCGCACCCAAAUCCUGGCAUCGCGAGGCAUUCCCUUCGGGCAAAGACCUCCGACAGGGCUUCCGGAAUUAUGUACCAACAUACCACCAGGCCUCCCCUGGAAUUACGUACCGUAUACCACCGGGCAUCCCGACACUCCCGAGGAAUCUCCGGAAUUACGCCACUAGGCCACCGAGCAUCAUCAUCCACCACAACCACUUCCUCACUUAUCAUUAUCCACAUUUACCAUUAUUUUGAUCUCAAUUUAACAUGGCAUAUGAUUCACACAUGCAUCACAAUUCAUGGCCAUACAUACACCAAUGUCUUAUCAUACAUGCAACAAUGCAUAAUUAUUUAUUAAUAAAUUCAACGGAAUUUAUGGCCAAUAAAAUAAUCCAUUUUAUUAUUAUUAUUAUUAUUAUUAUUAUUAUUUUAUUAUUAUUUUAUUUAUUUUUAUUAUCAUAUUUAUUUAUUUCCAUAAAUAAAUAUUAAAUUCAAUAUCUAUGAUUUUCCCAAAAUCAUAAAAUUCAAGCAAUCAUUAAAUCAAACCAAUAGGAUGACAAUUGCAUGAAAAAUUCAUGGCCAACUUGAAUUUCACACAAUUUCACAAUUUCCACUAAAUAGCACAUAAUAUUCGGAUAAUGACCAGAAUACACAGUUUCCGAAGAAAUUCGAUUAAAAUAUCCAUACGGUCUCCAAAAAUUACGAAAUUUUACAGAGUGAUAGCCAAGACAUUUUCGUACAACUUUCAUGAAGAACUCCAAGCCAGAUUAUUUUUAUAUUAUUUUAUACAACCUCACGAAGCUUCUGGAUCUACUACCGCAUCGUCCAGUGCACAUAUCACCGAAAUAUUAAGAUUUGACCUACCUAUUCUCUUUCGUUUCCUCUGAAAUUUAGAUAUGUUAUACAUCAAGGUGUCCUAUACAAGUUUCAUGAAGAGAUCUAAGUCAAAUAACCAGAGUAGAGUUAUCAUUUAGGUCCUUGAAUUCUCGGAUAUCUCAAAAUACAUCACCAGAAUCAUCUCCUUCAAGAUCUAGUCGAUUCACUAGGGUAUACUUGUUCAUUUAACUUAAAAUUUAAGUAUGUUGUAUUUUAAGAUGUUACCUACAACUUUCAUGAAGACAUCAAAGUCAAAUAUUCAACAUAAAUCAACAUGCAAACAAGAAUCCAACAAGAAGUCAGUGAAAACUUCACAGAUCUAGGGUCUCCGUAUAAUAGAACUUUAACCCCUCAUAUCUUCAUCAUUUUCCACGAAAUUUCCGUAUGUUGUAGUUCAAGAUGUUAUCUACAACUCUCAUGAAGAUAUCACAGCCAAAAUCGAACUCUAAACAUGCAUUCAAGCUCUCACAACAUUCUGACUCAAACAGUUCAUACGAAAAUAUUCCAGAUCUAGCAUCCCCGUAGGAUGAGAGUUUGACCCCUCAAAUCUCAAUCAUUUUCCACGAAAUGUUAUUAUGUUGUAUUAAAAGAUGUUAGCUACAACUUUCAUGAAGAAAUCGAAACAAAAAUCGGACUCUAAACACACAUGCAAGCUCAAACAAGUUUCUGACUCCAAACAGUUCAUGCGAAAACAUUGGUGCAAGAGUAGAAAGUGGAUUCCCAACUUGCCUCUAGACCUCACGAACAGCACGAGCGGACGGCACACGGCGGCGAACGGGCUCCUUUCUCUCCCUCUCGGCUUCCUCUCUCUCUUGCACGAUUCUCUCUCUCUCUCCCUCACUUGGCCGAAUGGCUAACCAGCCAUUCUCUUUCCUCUUCUUCCCUUUUAUAUUGCAUGCACUCUAGGUUUGCAUGAGGGACAAGUGUAAUUGUGGAGGAAGACAAGUGUCCACCAUGCUUCACCUCCUCCAUGCCACUUGUCCUAUUGCAUGCAUCAUGGGCCGGCCACCUCUUCCUUUGGGCCUUAAUGGGCCGGUCGAACUCCCUCUUGGGCCGACUAGCUUGGCCCAUCAAGCUUAGGCCAAAUGGGCUUAAGGCCCAUUCGAAAAUUAACCCAUUUUUCCCUUCUUUUCUUUUGAAUUCCUUCUAUAAAUAUUUUUAAAUUUCCAUUUUCAUCUUGGCCAAAGUCUUGGGACAUUUUGUUCAUUGAAAUUUAAUUUAUAAAGUACAUGGCCAAGCAUAAAUUAUUAAUCUAUCAAAUCUAAAUUUUCACAAUCAUAUGCACAAAUCAUCUAAUUAAAGACUAAUGGCUAAAGCAUAAGCCAUGGAAAUUUUUAUCACUUGAUUAGGAACUUUAACACACCUCAUGGCUUGGCUUUGAAUUUUGGGAUGCCACAUUUUGUCCAUUUUCCAAGGUAUUGUCAUCCUCUAUUCACCAUCCUAAAAAGUCGUAACCAAAUUGUAAAUGCAAUAUCAAUCAAUCCUCCAAAGUUUUUUUGUCGUUACUCAAGAAUUAAACCUAUUUAAUAGGUAUAGUUAUUGGUGCAUAAUUUCCUAAUUAAAUUAAAUUUCCCUGCAUGUCUCUUUUUCUAAGAAGAAUGUGGCCUUAUUCAUCUUGCUAUGUUUCUUUAAGCUUAUUCGGAAGCAGUUUCAAAAAUUAUUCCACCACUCAGAUCAAUUUGAUAGCGACUCUCCCAAAUUUUUAAAUAUCGCAUUAAUUUUCAUCUUUUGGUUUUAAUACACGUGGAGAGCGAUUUUGAGGGUAUUAAUUACUUUCUACUUUUUGAUUAAUUCAUGGCUCACUGGAUAUUGUUAUAACUAUUAUUUAAUGAAAGGUUUUGCGUAGUCAAUACAUUUAUUUAAAAUUAUUGUUUUUGGUUAAAGGCUCCGUCCUUUAUAUUUUCCAAAGGAUAGCUAGUCAUUUUCUAAAUCUUGGGAUGCAUUUGCGAUAUGACAAAGCUGAUAUUAGAACUUAAGUUAUGAACUUAGGGAAUAUUAGUUAGCUUUUAUGGGGAUCUAUGAGGUGUGAGCUGCAAUUUAUCAGUUACUCAUAUAUAUGUAUGUAUAUUUACACAUAUGCAGUCCAUGUUGGGAUGGAGAUUCUUUUCGUGAAAAUAGAAAUUUCUAUAUGCUUAGAUAACAUGGUUGAUUUAUUAAAAUUCAGAUGAGAUCUCUAUAUCUCUCAAUUCAUAUUCAAAACACUUCUUCUUAUUAUCACAUAACAUUCUCACUAUCAUUUUACUAGAAAAUUGCAGCUUGAUUAGCGAACUUUGCUCUCCUUACUAAUUUCUCAAAUUUAUUCGCUUCCUAUGACUAAUGCUUCUACGUUAUUGCUUUAUUUAUUUAUUUUUAUUCUCUAAUUAAAUAAAAAAAAAUUCAUUAAGAUCUCUUCCUAUAUUGGGCAAUACCAAAAGCUGCGCAUUUAUGCCAUGUAAAACCCUAUAAUUAGACAUUUCAUCAUUUUCAUGCAUGUCACUCACCUUUCUAGCACACACACUUUGUGUACAAUCUCUUACUAGUUCAACUUCCGGUGGCAAUUAUCGAUUAGUGAUGCCUGAAUUUUUGUCGACUGGUAAAGUAUGCAUUUUUGCAAAAAUAAAAAAUGAAUACAACAAAAAAAGAGAAAAACAAAUAAAUAAAUGGAUGAGAGAGAGUCCAAUUGGGAUAUUAUAGCUUGCAAGGAACCAAAGCCGGCCCAUCAUAUCAGCCCAUCCGGCCAUUUGAUUUCGACCCAGUCCAUCAGCGUUACCUCACAAGUCAAGCCGACCAACUCACCUUCCUAGCAAUAGACCCGUUAAACGGGUGGGUCGGGUCGAGUUUGGGUCGGAUCAUAAAUGGUCCAACUCAAAUCGACCAAUUUAACCCAUCUAUGACCAAUUUAUUGCAAUGCAAAAUUUUUGACUCAUACACAACCCUUACCCGACCCAUUUAACUAAACUUAAGGAAGCUUAUUAUAUAUAUGGUAUUACUAAAAUAUUUUUAUACAACACAAAUUAAUGGAAAAUUUUUAUAAUUUUAAUAGAAUUUUAAUUAUUUUUAUUUUUAUUUAUAAAAUAUAUUUUUCUUUUUUCUUUUUUCUUUUUUUAUUCUUCUUCUUCUUUGGCUAGCUGCCGACCACGACGACAGCUAGCCACAGGCGCCUGGCUUGUUAACGCUGGCGAGCUCGAGGCUCACCGACACUGACGAGGCCUCCGCCUUGCCAGAUUCGGCGAGCUAGAGGCUCACCAGGGUCGGGCGAGCUUGAGCUCGCCCCUCACCAGAUUUGGCUAGGCUUGAGCAUCGCCGGACGUCAGCGAGGCUCGAGCCUCACUGAACGUCAGCAAGGCCUCUGCCUCACCAGCCCCUCGCCAGAUUUGGCAAGGCUCGAGCCUUGCCAGACACCGGCGAGUUCAAGUCUUGCCAAAUCGGCGAGGCUCAAGCCUAGCCUAGCGUCGGCGAGGCCUCCGCCUCGCCCAACACCAACAAGCUCGAGGCUCACCUGGCCAGUCGCUAGCCAUCGCCGUGCCGGCGACCGGAGGAAGAAGAAAGAAAAAAAAAGAAAAUUAAAUAAUAAUUAUAAUUAUAAUUAUAAUUUCAGUUUUUAUAAAAAAAAAAAAAAAUUUUGUAAAGUUAAAGAGAGAAUAGAGAGAUUGUGAGGUUUUGGGUGAAAAUGGAUUCUAAAUCCAACCCAUUUAAGACCCACUUAAAACCCACCUAUCAAAGUCUUUAAUAUUGAACCCAUUUAACUACUUUUUUCUCAAAAAACAAGUGACCCAUAUAUGACCAAUUUAUGAUUUAAAUGGGUCAUAUAUGGAUCUAAGACCCAUUUUGUCACUUCUACCUGGCAGCCCAUUUCACACUCAGCUUCAAGUAGGCUCAUAUCCAUGUCUGAUUCGCUUGAGGAAAAUCCGACCCGUAGAGCUGGCUUCGGAAGCCCAUCGGAGAGAAAGGCCUUUGACUUCAAAAUAUCUCUCUCUCUCUCUCUCAUUUUAACUAAACUAGAUCAUCUGUGGAUUCUAAAAUAUAUCUAAUAAAAAGAAAAGACAAGCAUUACGCGAUCCUUGAAGAACAAUGCAAAAGUUGAUAAAAGGGAUAAUUAGAAUUUACUAAAAUGAUACAUAUUCUAUUAACAUUUAUGGAGCCAGUGAGAGAAGCAUGAGUAAAAUGACCCAGCUACUUUUACCAGGGCUUUUUGGGAUAGAAAUACCAAGGCUCGUGAUCAUGCCUUGAUCCCCAACAGCUGGGCUCGAAUUCCUUGGUGGGGCCCUUGAUGUCGAGUCUGGUGUUCAAGAUUUCAGAAAUGCUUCGAAAGGUGCUCGACCCUCAUGGGCUUGGUAAAGCAUACUAAUAGGAAGGGAUUCGAUUGAAGAACACAUGCAAUGGUCUAUGGGGGAUGGAACUCUUAUUAACAUUCGACAAGAUAGAUGGUUGGCUUCCGGAAUCAUAGGGGGACCAGCUCCUAGAGGAGAACCAGAAAAGCUUGUAGAUUUAAUGGUCCCAAACAGCAAUGAGUGGAAUAUUUCCCUUCUAAGACAUCAUUUUGAUUGUCAUACAGUAGCAGAGAUUAUGUCUAUCCCAAUUUGGCCACAACAUACAAAGGAUAGACUUAUCUAGAGAGGCAAGCCAAAUGGAUCUUUCAUAGUAAAGAGCUGUUAUAAUAUCCUAAGGAAGCAACAAGUCAAUCACAACCCAAAUCAAGCAUCCUCCUCUUUUCAGAUACCUCGCAGACUGUGGAAUGCAUUAUGGAACAUGAAAUCAUCACCAAAAAUACGUUCUUUCCUAUGGUCAGUAUGUCAUAACGCUUUGCCUACUCAAGAAAACCUUCAUCAUCGACACAUUAUAAAAGAUCUCAUAUGCAGUUUAUGCGAAGAUCAGGCUAUUGAAUCACCAGAACAUUUGUUCUUAUUCUGCCCUUGGACACAACAUAUAUGGGAACAUCCAGAAAUCAACAUCCAGCAGCAUAUCGGAGGAGUAAAUCGGAUAGAAGCAUGGCUGGUCAGCUUAACAGAACACAAAGGUGACUUACCUGACUUGGAAACGAUCGCAUCCAUCCUCUGGCACAUUUGGAAGGCCCGCAAUAACUACAUAUUUCGCCAGUAGCAACCCCAACCGCACCACAUAGUGCAGACAGCCUUAGCCAAUGCCAUCGCAAAUCGGAAUCCAUCUUGGCAGAAACAGAGACAAGGAACGCAACAAACAGAUCAGCAUUUGUUUUGGCAUCUGCCAGAUCAAGGAGAAAUGAAACUCAAUAUUGAUGCAGCUUACUAGCCUCGUAGCGGAGAAGCAUCGAUCGCCUAUGUUUGUCAAAGCUCAUCAGGCCUUUUAAUCGAUGGCUUUGCUCAAUCGGUGGCCGUUUCCUCGGCCCUGCAAGCAAAGGCAACGGCGUUAAACCACACGCUCCACUUCUUGCUGAACAUGGGCAAAAACUCAGAUCGGAUGACCUUGGAAACUGAUUGCUCAGUUCUUGUUGAGGCGAUGUGUAACCAUGAACUGCCGCCUUGGGAGAUCAGAUCUUUGCUCGAAGACUGCACGGUGCUGCUUCAAUGUUGCCCUAAUCUUCGGAUCGUCCAUUGCAGGAGGGAAAUGAACAAGGUUGUUGACCGGGCCGCGAAGGCCCAUCAAGCCAGUUCGCUACCUGCAGAUUGGGUCUUUAAUCCUCCUUUGUUUUUGCGUGAAAUGUUGUCCUUCGAUAUUAUGCAAAAUGCUCCUUCUACUUUUCGGUAGUAAUAAUAUUAUUACCUUUCUGACAAAAAAAAAAAAAAGACUUUGUGCUUAAAGAUUUUCUUUUAUUUUGAAAUUCAUGAUUUUGCUAUGGCAAACAUUGAAAAAUCACUUCCAUGUAGAGUAGAAGUCUUGUUUGCAUCGCAACUCAUUUAGGACGUGAAAGCAUUAGUUGGCAUCGGUACACAGCACGGUUCUCUCAAGUGUAUCAUGAGAGCGUAAAAUGAAGAGGGUUGUACUUUGCGGGGGAUUUCUAUUGUCCUUAGUUUACCCAAAACGAUUACAGUCCUCUGUCUCAAUCCGAUGCAAGUACCUGCAAGAAUUUAUGGUUUUUGGUCGCGGGUCGACGUUCCUUAACUACUACUAUUCUCCGUAUGCGUCACUGACGAUUUAUUUUUUAUAGAACAAUGACAUAGUAUGGAGUUUUUCUUCAAAAGUUGUGCUGAGAAUCCACUAUUGGAUUGAAGGAGACAUUUGAAGAAUGAUAACUCACUGUUAAUGGAAGAGACUCUUGAGUGAUUCAUAAGCAAACUGUAUUCCUUAAAUAUGUCUUGUGUGGUUAGGGGGAUACUCUUUUUGAACACGUGAACCUCAUGGAACACAUCGAAUUGCUACAUUGAGUAUUGGAGUAGGACCCCCUUCAAUAGAUGGGUGAUUCUUAGAUGGACUAAGCCAUACCAAGUGAGAGAGCUCAGACAACAUAUGAGUCUUAAUAGACUUGUAAGAUGGCAAAGAUAAUAGAAAUGAACUAGACCACACAUAAUAUAUGGGCAAUAUCACGAUACGAGCCAACAUUAAAAAGGACUCCAGGUCAUUAAAUUGAAGGGAAUUUGUAAUGUUUUAGAGUCUCACAUCAAUGAGAGAUGCUCUACAUUGUGUGGUUACUCAAAAUACUCCUUUGGAUAACUUGGCUUAUGUGAAAUAGAGCAAGUGGUUAUAAAUCACAAAAUAUAUAUAUAUUCAAACAUACCUAUAGAGUAUUCCUUCCAGAAGACUUGUAACUAUGUAUGUAAAUGACUCUAAUUAGCUUAUGUUUUAGAAAUCGAGGGUCUCCUUGAAUGAUGGCCAUAAUUAACUCUUUCGUGAUAUCACUCGGAUAAUUUAGGUUGUAAUUACAAAUAGUUUGCAGACAACAACAUGAAUUGUCAUUCCUACUUCCAGACAUCGCAGCACUCCGGCGCAUAAUCACGUCAUUUUCCCAUCACUGUAGAAGAAGAAGAACGACGACAACAACAACAAAAAGCUUUUGUUUAUUAAACAUUUUCCGAAGGACCGCUAAAGUCAACUCACGGCCACACAUUCGCAUGCUUUCUUCAUGUUUUGGUGACUUCAUUUUGGUUCAACCUACGUAUUUUAACACCAAUAAAAGAUCCCUAAAAGAAAACAUGACUUCUUAGCACACCGAACACCACUGUCCAAGACAAGCAAUCCUACACAUAAGUCAACCUUUUUCUGGACCACAAUCAUCGUUGGCUCGACCUUUCUGUUCUUCAGACGUUCGUUUACUUGUUAUUUCCUCAUAGGUUGUGUUUUCCUUAGAAGGAUCAUAAACUGAGGGACAGCUCAGACAUUCGUUUACUUGUUUUCUCAAGUCUAUUGCGUUUAGAUUCCUUAACGAAUUCACCUGAUAGGCUAAUUAUUCCGUGAGUGAUCAGUUCAGGGAAAAAAACUAUAGGCGUGUUGAUGAAAAGUCCAACUUAUUAAAUUGAAAACAGAACCUAAAAUUCAAGAUGUCACAACUCUUCCCCUUUUAUAAAAAUUUAAUCCUCGAAAUUUAGACCAUACAAAUCUUUAAACAAAAAGGUGAUGGUACAGUCAUCUCAUCGAAUCUUCACUUUCUUAGGUUGCUCCCUCUGUGCCAUGGUGUUGCCAGACCACUUCAACCAAUGGGAUCAUCUUAGUGCGCAGAAUCUGCUCUUUUCGAUCCACGAUCUAAAUCGGGAUUUCCAUGUACGACACUCUGCCGUCCACGUCUAAUUCCUCAAAAUUCAGCAUGUGAAUCGGGUCAGGCUUAUACUUCCUCAACAUUGACACGUGGAAGACAUCAUGCACUUACGCCAACCUCAGUGGUAAUGCAAGACAAUACGCUAAAGUCCCUAUUCUUUCUAAAAUCUCAAAGGGACCUACGUACCUCGAACUCAGCUUCCCUUUCUUGCCAAAUCACGAAGUACCUCUCAUUGGUGACACUUUUAGAAAGACGUGCUCACCAACUUGGAAUUCCAACGGUCUCCGACGCUUAUCAACAUAGCUUUUCUGGCAGCUCUGAGCGGUCUAUAAUCUGUCCCUGAUGACAGCAACUGCAUCCACUAAUUGCUGAACCAACUUUGGGCCUGUGAUCUUUCGUUCUCCAACCUCAUCCCAACAAACUGGUGUUCUACACACUCUGUUGUACAACGCUUCGAAGGGAGCCAUCUAAAUGCUCUGCUAAUAGUUGUUUCUGUAGGCGAAUUCAACAAGAUGAAGUUGUUCCUCCUAGCUUCCCUUGAAAUCCAAUACGCAAGCUCGCAACAUAUCUUCGAGGGUUUGAAUUGUCCUCUCAAACUAGCCAUCCGUCUGAGGAUGAUAAGCCGUACUAUACUGCAGCUUCAUUCCUAAAACGAUCUGCAGGCUCUUCCAAAAAACGGCAAUAAAUCUUGGGUCUCUAUCUGAUGUAAUCGUCACUGGCACUCCAUGCAGGCGAACGAUUUGACGCACACACAAUUAUGCAUGCCUGUCCAAAUCAAGGUCCUUUCGUACGGCAAUAAAGUGAGCCGACUUCGUCAGUCCAUCGACUAUUACCCAAAUGGAAUCAUUCCUUCUCUGACUCCUUAGUAAACAUGUCACAAAAUCCAUUGUGAUGUGUUCCCAUUUCCACUCGAGAAUCUUGAGAGGUUACAAAAGUCCCCUCGGCUUACAGUGUUGUGCCUUCACUUACUGACAUGUCAAACACUUGACGGCAUGCUUGGCAAUAUCCGCCUUCAAACCAAACCACCAAUAGUAUUGACGCAGAUUCUGAUACAUUUUCGUAUUGUCAGGAUGAAUGUUGUAACUGCUACAAUGAGCUUCUGAUAAGAUCUCUUCCUUAAGCACUACAUCGUCAGGUACACAUAAUCGUCCUCAGAACCCUAGUGUUUCAUCAUCAAAAAUCUGAAAGUCAGGUUUGCUCUUUUCGGUAUCCUCUUGCAAGAUCUUCUGAAUCUCUGGAUCUGUCAACUAAAGCGUCUUGAUUCUAAUAUGCACUUCCAGCUCAAUUAUGAGGGUGGCCAUAAGAUUUGAAAGGUAGCCUACCUCAAAUUUGAAAACCGAAUAUCGAGCCCUCUCAAGUAAGAUCCAUUCCUUGAGUACCAUCUACACUACUGAAGAUUUCCGACUUAGCGUAUAUGCAACCUUGUUAGCCUUUCCAGGGUGAUACAAAAUAUCACAAUCAUAGUUCUUCAAGAGUUCCAUUCAGCAACGCUGUCUCAUAUUCAACUCCUUCUGAGAGAAUAGAUACUUGAGACUUUGAUGGUUAGCGAAGAUCUGGAAUAUUUCUCCGCACAAAUAAUGUCUCCAAAUCUUCAAAGUGAAAAUAAUUGCUAUGAGUUUUAAGUCAUGCGUCAAGUAAUUCAGUUCAUAAGGUCUCAAUUGACAGGACGCGUAUGCAACAACCCUACCAUGUUGCAUCAGCACACAACUCAGUCCUCUAAAUGACGCAUCACUAUAGAUCUCGUAUCCUCUAGGGCCAAAUGGAAUCGUCAGCAUAGGUGCGGUAGUCAGCUUCUACUUAAACUCUUGGAAACUAUGCUCGCACUUGUCUGUCCACACGAAUUUCUCUUCCUUCUUCAGUAGUUGAGUCAACAAUGAGGCUAAAGCUGAAAAUCCUUCCAUAAGCCUUCUGUAAUACCCUGCUAAACCUAAAAAGCUUCUGAUCUCUGUCACGGUUGUCGAUCUUGGCCAGUUGAUAACUACUUCGAUCUUGGACGGGUCCACGGAGAUUCCUUCGCCUGAAAUCAUGUGCCCUAGGAAAGCAACACGAGUUAACCAAAACUCACACUUGCUGAACUUGGCAUACAGCUCAUGAAUUCUCAAAGUCUGAAGUACCAUCCUCAAAUGCCUCUCGUGUUCCUCGGGACUUCUCGAGUACACCAGGAUAUUGUCAAUAAACACGAACACAAACUGAUCCAGAUACUCCUUAAACACUCGGUUCAUCAGAUCCAUAAAAGUAGCUGGGGGUGUAUGAAUCCCUUAUCCAACAAUUCCUGCAUCUGCACCUUCAGUUCUUUCAAUUUAGACAACGCCAUCUGGUAAGGAGCCUUAGAGAUUGGCUCUGUCCCGGGUGCUAACUCAAUACGAACUCAAUCUCCUUUUUCUAGCGGCAGACCUAGCGAUUCCUUUGGAAACACAUCUAGAAAUUCUUAUACUACUGAGAUGUCAUCAAUCUUCAGCUCCUCAAUUGUCGUAUCCACAACAGUCGCUAGGUAACCUUGGCAACCCCCGUCUAACAAACGAGUUGCCUCAAGCGAGGUGAUUAAAGGGAUCGAGGGUCCUCCUCAACUUUCGAUAAAUUCGAAGCUUUCACCUACUAACGGUUUAAACUGGAUCACCUUAUGACAACAAUUCAUUACAACAAAAAGCUCCUCGAGCCACACCUUUUUUAUAUAUGACAUCAAAGUUAUACAUAAGCAAACUAGUCAAGUACAACUCUAGCUAGUAAUUCUUCUUUCUACAACUUUAUUACAACAAACUGAAAUUCUCCAAACUUAACCACAACUUUGCUACGUUACAUUGAUAACAUCACCCCAAAAGCAUUUUUCCUCUGAUCGGUGUAUGCUUUAGUUCAUUCUCAUCUCCUUCACCAUCCUAGUGGCGACCUACUGGCGGUAGUGGUGCUUAUCAUGAACCUGCGCGAACAGUUCCUCACCUGAUGGCCGUGUUGGCCACAUUCAUAGCACGCUCCUGUGAUACCAAGACAUUGGGCUGAUCCAUGCUUUCUUCUACAAAUUUGGCACACAUUCGGUGAGUCCUCUACCUCCUGUCAGGUGACAGCACACACCCUUUCUUGCAUCGGAGACCUAUCCCAAUUACCCAACUGUGCGUUCUGCAGCGCAUUCUUCCUACUCUGGCUCAUCGGCGGCGGUGGCGGUAGCUGUUAUGGUUCCAUCUGCCUGAGCAGACAGUCCUUGAUCAGGUGGUUGUACUGGCAACACCCGUAACAAACCCUUGUCUCUUUAAAACACAAGGCAGAUCCAUGUCUUUUCCCACCGACACGACACACGCCCUUCUGGUUGGGUGUUAGCUUUCCCAUUAUACUCCUUUGAGUGGGACGAUUGAAGUGCUUUCCUUCUGUCAUCGGUUUCUUCCCGAAUCGAUUGCUAACUCUAUCUGAACUAAACCAUGACCUAAAUGUGGCAGCUCUCUCCUCAAUCACAAUUCCAAGUUGGGCCUCAACCAGUGCGGCAACAACAGCAGUUACAGCAUUGGCAGCGGUAGUGACAGUAGCAACAGCGACAGCUUGAUUCUAUGCUUGCUGACCCAAAAUGCUUCCCAAAGUCUCAAGCGCCUGAACGAUCCCGUCAAAUCUAGGAUCGCUCAGUGCUACUACACUCACAGUACCGGCCUGCAACAGUACUCUUACACUCACGCUGGCCUGAGCCUGUGCUCUACCUCGGGUACCUCGGGUAUCAACCCUUGUCAACGUCCUACCCCGAGUUACAGUUCCUACUAACCUCUGCCUAGGAGUUCUCCACUCCUGAUCACUCAUGCUACAGGAUCUUAUAGAAACCUAUUUUCCAAUUCCAAUACCAUAUUAGAAUUUGAGUGAUCCCACAAACAAGCUACCAAUCAGCUAUCACUCGCAUACAUCAGCAUAAUUAAAAGGCAUUUCCUACUAACUAUCCCAAGAACCCAUCGCACCUUAUCACUCCAACUAUUGACUAGCUCUGAUACCACUUCGAGCGGGGAUGUCAUGCCCCAAUCCUUGAACGCAUGCUCAUCCCUCGGUGGUCAAUAAUAAAAAUGUGACUUCCCAGAACGAGUCACCUACCCUUUCAUUUUAUUGCACAUUCGGAAGCAAAUAACAAAUCCCCUAACAGUAACCAUCCGGGAUAUAAAAGCAAGACAACAGAUUCACAAGCAAAACAUGCUUUUAUAAGUAUACUGAGUCAUGUACAAAGGUCUAUAACCAGAAGACUUUAAAAGACUACCUCUCCAAAAAGAAAUUGUCCUAUUUGACCUACACCACGAAUCACCUCAGCUCAGCUCUAGGUCCUCCACCCUACGAUCCUAAAAAGUUAAGCCCACGACGGGGUAAGAUAUAAAUUUCAGCGAGUUCAUGCUCUAAACCCCGAUUAUGAGGGUAAUACGCCUAGAGGCGUCCUAACCACAUAACCACACAACUACAGAGACUUACCUUGUCUCAUAUCCUCCCUGCAUGUCAGCAAAGUUCAUACCACAGACAACACAAAAGCAUGAGCAGUAAUCAAUUUCAUCAACUGGAACGCCACACUCAAAUUUCAAACAAGCACAGGGGUCCUGAUUAUAGGGUCAAAUCGUUAUGACACGUCCCAUACAGUGCCACACAAUUUUAUCUCAUAAUUCGUCACAUCUAUCUCACUUAAUCAUGCAUUCUAAUUGAUUAUUACUACCCGCACAAGCAGUUUUACCCAACACACAUCGGUCCUCUGGCAUAGCCAGGUUUCAUCUCACUCCUUUAAGCAAAACUACAUCCUCUGACACACAUCAGGGAUGGCAUUCCUUACGGCAUACCUGAAGGAGCUUCAGUACAGAAUCUACUGUGACCGGCUUCCCAUAUAGGGUUAACGUCCACUCAUACACACUGGGGACGGGUUCUCUUAACUAGCACACGAUCAUUCAAUUAUGGCCAAAGACACUGUGCAUUGCAUUCAAAUGUCCCAAUUAAAAUAAUGCACUUGGCUCAUUUUCUUCGUAUUAACACUCAAUGAAAAUAGUCGUGUGUGGGUACACGAUCAGAUCAAAUCAAAAAAACUGAUAUCCUUCCUUUUAAAAUCCCACUAUUUUACAUAUUAUAUAAAACCAUUUUCGGUGUCAAAAUUCGACACCUGGGAUUUUCUAAAUAAAUAUUGAAUUUCACAAAUUUUCGAAUAAAUAACCAAAAUUCUAAUCAAUACUCAAUUUGCACAAAUUAACACCUAAUUGCAUAAACUGAACACACCAUUGUAAUCAACACGAAAUUCUGGUCACCGACUAUCCCAAUCUAAUUUCCGAAAAAUAAUUAUCAAUUAAAUAAUUAUGAAAAUUAAUUAAAUAAUGUAAAUUAAAUCAAUAAAUGCAAACUUAGGCUAAAAUUUGCUAAUCUAACCACCUGUUGAACUAAUUAAUUUAUACUAACCAUUCUAACUAUAAUGCCACAUAAUAAACUAACUAAUUACAAGUUCUAACCACCUAAUUCACUAAUCUAACUAACCUAAAUUAAUUAAACAAGCUAAUAACUAUCCUAAUAUAAUCUUAAUAUAAUCUAAACACCCCUUAAACAUCAUUAGCCUACUAAUUAGAGUUUAGUGCAUAAACUCACUGGUUUAGCGCGAAAACCGAUUCACCGCAAUGGUGGCGCGACAGCAACCGAAACUUGAACUUUUUGCAACACCAACGGAGACUUAGAUCGGGUCGAAAACAGCUCACAAACUCAUUGCUUGAGCUGAAAACCAAUUUUGCUAAUGAACUCGUCGCGGGCUUGGCUUAGCGGCUCGAGACUGCAGCGUGUGGAGGUGAAGAGAGCAGUUGGACGUGGCAGGUGGCGUCGACGCUAGUGGUCCACAAACCAGAUGAAGAAGCAGCUUCGAGCGGAGAGGAGCUGCUGGAGUCAAUGUUGGCGGAGAAGGCGUUGCUGGAGUUUAACUCGGUGAAUCAACACCACGUGAAGAUGGGUAAGGCGGCAGCAAAAUGGAGGUGGGACAGGCGAUGGUGGUGGAGUAGCUACAAGAUAGACUCAACGGAGGGAAAUGGAAAGCAGGUGCUCACGGAGAGAGAGAGAGAGAGAGAGAGAGAGAGAGAGAGAGAGAGAACAACGGAGCUGCUUCGGUGAAGGAAUAAAUGAACGAAAGCAUAAGGCAGAGGGGUUGGUCAAACCGGCGUGCGCGAGAGAAAGACUGAAGGAGAGGGGCAGCUUGGCGUAAGGAGGAAGCUGCAGUUUGGGGGAAAGAAGUCCACAAAAUUAUCCACUCGAUUAAAUGCUUGGUCUCACAAGCCUUCAAGUUAAUCCCCUUUGUCCCCCAAUCACUUUCAUGCAUCUAAAUCCCCACAAAUAACAAGUUUUGAUGCCAAAUGUUGCAGCCCCCUUCAAGCUUACGAAUUUCCCUCAAAUAGACUUCAAUUUCUUCACCAAUUGAUGUCCAAUUUUGCUGAGGAGGAAGCCCACACAAUUUCUACAAUUUCCCUUCACCAAGUAGCUCACUUUGGAGGCCAAAAAUCCCUUCAAUUUGGCACAUCCAAAUUUCCGUUCUUUUCCGAAUCGUCCGAAUUGAUUUUCCGUAAGAAUCUCGAACUCGCCGAAAAUUCUUCGAAGGAUGAGUCGAUGUUCCUAAAAUAAAUCGUGACAUGACAAAACUUUUAUUUUCUGAAAUCAAGUUCAACUUCACAGUUAAUUUCAAUCUGGUGCGAUUUUAGCGUGUCCUAACCUACCGGGUAGCUUUUAGGAAUUUUUAGCGCAUUUGACCUGUGGUCGAUUAUUUUCAAGCCACAUUGUGCAUCUUCAACACAUUGGCGACUCUCAAUUGUUGUGAAAAUCUCGAGAUUUCAAAUACGGACACAGGGUACGAAAAUGGUAGAAAAAUCGAUGUAGUGUUGUUCAACAGAAAUUUUGCAAUUAGGUGGAAUCACCCACACACUAAUCACAUACAUUUAUCGAAUCGACCUAUCUUCAAUUUCUGAUCGAUUUUGACGGUGCCGUAAUGUGACACCCCGAACCCUUCAAGGGUCGCCACAGGCACCAACGUUACACCUUACUACCUCUCUAUAGAAGAAGCGUCGUAAUUCAUAGACUUUUUUUUUAAAUGGUCCCAGCGCGACUCAUUAGCGAAAGCAAAAUAAAACAUCACCAUCUCUCCCCCUACCAACCAUGAUACAAAUACACACCACUAAUCACCAUGAUUAAUAGACAAGCCACGACACUUUAUUUACAUAUAUUUUCAAGAUGGGAUUUCUUUAGGUCGAUACAUCAAAAGGAAAAGCCAGGACUCAGCCAUGUUCGGCCUAAAACCCCAAAAAGAACCCUCGACCCGCUACAACUCUCGUGCAACAAUCCCCAUCAUCAGUGUCGGCUAACUAUCCCCAAAAAGAUCCGGCUCCUACUCAUCACGCAUGGGCCCUCACACCCAACCUGGUGCAUCAGGCGGUGGCGGCGGCAACAUCCCUCGCAUCACCCCAUCGCGACAAAUGUGGACAGAGAUGAACUCCUGGACAACCGGGCCCCCAGCCAGGCCUACGUCGUACAUGACUAAACAGCGCACUCGAAUAUACGUCAAUCCAAGAACAGAAGGACAGCCAAACUCCUUGCACUCAACCUCGACAUCGGAUGGUAGACCGUAAAACACACCCCGCGUGACGGCAGGGAGCGGCAUGCUGCUAAUAUGAAAUGUUGGUCCCCAAAAGGGGUGAGUACAACCACUCAACAGGUAAAGGAAUCUAAUAACCACUCAAUGCAUCAAACAAAUCAUACAUGCAUUCCAGGCAUUACUUACCUUGAAGCCAUGCGUAUACUAUCAUGCAUCAUCACCACAAUCAUAACACAUACAUGUAUAUCAUCAUGUCAUACUCAUAUCAUCGUCAUCAUGACAUCAUCAUAUCAUAUCAUGUAUCAUCAUCAUUAUCAUGCCAUAGGUGAUCAUCAUCAUAUCACAUCAUACAUCAUCAUCAUCAUCAUCAUCAUCAUCAUCAUCAUCAUAUCAUGUCAUAUCAUAUCAUCGUCAUCAUCGUCAUCAUGCCAUAGGUGAUCAUCAUAUCAUAUCAUAUCAUAUCAUAUCAUCAUCAUCAUCAUCAUCAUCAUAUCAUGUCAUAUAAUAUCAUCAUCAUCAUCGUCAUCAUGCCAUAGGUGAUCAGCAUCAUCAUAUUAUACACAUGUCGUCAUCAUCAUGCCAUAGGUGAUCAUUAUCACAUCACAUCAUACAUCAUCAUCAUCAUGCAUAUCAUCAUGCCAUGGGUGAUCAUCAUCAUGUCAUAUCAUAUCAUCAUCAUCAUGCAUAUCAUCAUGCCAUGGGUGAUCAUCAUCAUGUCAUAUCAUAUCAUGCAUGGUUCAAUUUCCACUUUUAACUUUCAAUUUGAUCACCACAUCACCCUUCCUCGGAUCACCACUUUCAUCUCAUAAUUUACACUCACAUCCCAUGCGAGAAAAAUCUCCGGCAUUCAGCCAUUCAAGGCCACCGGGCAUCCGGCCCCCCACAUUCCGGGCAUCUCGCACCUCAACUGGCAUCACGAGGCAUCCUCUCGGGCAAAGACCUCCAAUGAGGCUUCCGGCACUUACACUCCCUGGCCGGGCAUCCCGCACCCCUACUGGCAUCGCGAGGCAUCCUCUCGGGCAAAGACCUCCGACGAGGCUUCCGACACCCCCAACUUUCCGGGCAUCCUAAAACUCCCAGGGCCAUCUGGCAAUGUAUCUCUAUACAUUCCGGGCAUUAUCAUCCGCCACAACAAUCUCCUCAUUUAACAUUAUUCAUGUUCACCAAUUUCGGUCUCAAUUUAGCAUGGCAUAUGAUGCAAUGGCAACCAAAAAUCAUGUUCAACAUUGAAUUCACACAUGCCUCUCAAUUCAUUGUCAUGCAUACAUCAAGACCACAUUAUACAUGCAACAUGGUACAAUUAUUCAUAAAAUAAAAUUUAUGGAAUUUAUGCCAAUUAAAAUAAUCCAUUUAUCAUGCCCUUUUUUACAUUUAUUUAAAUUCCAGCUUGUGCCACUUUCAAAAAUAUUAAAUUUAAAUAUCUAUAUAAUUCUCAAAAAUCAUAAAAAUUAGGGCAAGUAAUAAACAAGACAAUAGGAUAAUGAUUUCAUGCAAAAUACAUGGCCAAAUAGAAUUCCACACAAAUCCAUAAUUCUCACAAAACAGCAUAUAAUUUUCGGAUAAAAUCAGAAUGCACAGUUUCCGAAAUAAUUUGAUUAAAAUAUCCAUAUGACCUCCAAAAAUUACGAAAUUUUACCGAGUUAUAGCCAAGAUACUAAAGUAAAUUUUUCAUGCAGACUUCCAAGCCAAAUUCGUUUUAUAUUAUUUUCUAAAGUCACACGAAGCUUCUGGAUCCAACUCCGAAACGUCCAGUGCAUGCUUCUCCGAAAUACUGAGUUUUCACCUACCUACCCUUCUUCGUUUCCUCUGAAAUUUGGAUAUGUUUUACAUUAAGAUGUUUUAUACAAGUUUCAUGAAGAUAUAUAAGUCAAAUAGCCAGAGUAUAGUCGUUGUUUAGGUCCAUGAAGUCUCGGGUGUCUUGUAAUACAUCUCCAGAAUUACCGUCUUCAAGAUCUAGUUGAUUUACUAAGUUAUAAUUGUUCAUUUUACUUCAUAUUUUAGUAUGUUGUAGUUUAAGAUGUCCCCUACAACUUUCAUGAAGAAAUUGAAGAGAUAUUAUUAGGACAACUCAAUAUACAACCACAAAUCCAUCAAGAGGUCAGUGAAAUCUUUCCAGAUCUGAGGUCUCCGUAGGAUGAGAGUUUAACCCCUCAAAUCUCCAUCAUGUUUCACCAAAUUUUAGUAUGUUGUAUUUUAAGAUGUUAGCUACAACUUUAAUGAAGAUAUCGAAGCCCAAAUCAGACUCUAAACAUGAAUGCAAGCUCUCACAACAUUCUGACUCCAGCGGAUUCAAACGAAAACAGCAACCUUGCUCAAGAACAAGUCAUCCAAACUUCGGUUUUCCUCUCCUAAUCACCCAAAAUUCGACAUACAUGUAACACACACACAUGCAAGAGCAGCAAGAGGACCCCAACUUGCCUCUAGACCGAACGGACGACGGCACACUGCGGCAAGCACAGCGGACGGACGGCGACGACUCCUCCUCGGCUUCUCCUCCCUCUCGGCCACUCUCCCUCUCUCUCUCUCUCGCGCGAAAUCUCUCUCUCUCUCUCCCUCACUUGGCCGAAUAAAGCAACCGUCCACCUCUCUCUCUCUCUUCCCUUUUAUUUCCCCUAAACCUCAUCAUUAGUAAUCAUUGUUUGCCUUUCAAUUGACCAAUGCAUGCCAUCCUUCUCUAAGCCAAUGCAUGAAGACCUCUUGCCACUUGUCUUCAUAAUGGACUUGGGCUUUUUGGGCUUGGGCCGGCCACUCUUGGACCUCCUCUUGGGCUGGUCGACAGCCCCCUUUUGUGGGCCUAAUUGGGCCGACUAGCUUGGCCCAUCAAGGCUUUGGCCAAUGGGCCUAAGGCCCAACCUAAUAAAAAAUUAAAUUUUCCUUUUUAUAAUUUCCUUCUAUGAAUUUUAAAUUUUAAAUUCCACAUGGCCAAAGUCUUAUGACAUUUUGUUUAUAGGAAUUUAAUUUAUAAGAUGCAUGGCCAAGCAUAGAUUAUUAUCAUUAAUCUAUCAAAUUUAAAAUCUCAUAAUCACAAGCACAAAUCACCUAAUCUUAAAAGAAAACUAAUGGCUAAAGCAUUAAACCAUAGGUAAUUUCAUUACCUAAUUAGAGGCUUUAACACACCUUAUAACUUGACUUUGAAUUUUGGGAUGCCACACGUAAUGACCCUUUCAGAUUAGCACAGUCGAGCAGUUGACUCCCGGUUGAAUUCUCAAGUCUAUUGCAUUUAGAUUCAUUAACGGCUUCACCUAAUAGGCUAGUUAUCUCGUGAGUGAUCAGCUCAGAUAAAAGAACUAUAGACGCGUCGAUGAAAAGCCCAGCUUAUUAAAUUGAAAACAAAACUUGAAAUUCAAGAUGUUGCUAUGGCACCCCUCGAACGGCCCCCGAUCCGUUGGGGUCGCCACAAUGCACUUACCUUUCUCUUGUCUUGACAAUAUAUCACUCUAAUCGCAUAGAAUCAUAAUAGGCCCAUAACUCCUGGGGGUUUAUAUCUUUUGAUCAGUCCCUGCACAGAAAUAUGGCGGAAGCGUAUCCAACAACUCCCUUCCCUAUAUUUAGAAAAUGAUGCACACCAACUAAACAUUUAUAGGUAAAAGCCGAACAAUGUUAUUUACUUAAACCAGAUGGACAUCAUUCAUCGGUACAUCAAAAUGCCGUAGUCUUCUAUAAUCGGCUAUACUUCAAAAGAUGACCGACAUCUUUUCCAACAAUCGUAUACUUAAAGUCCAUUAAUCAAUGUCAACGUCCAAAAGUUCCUUCCUUUGUUGUCCUCCUCCUCACAAUCAUAUCCAACCACUCGGUCCAUUUGCUGGUGGCGGUGAUAGCAGAGGCAUCUUAUCUAGUCUGAAAUGUUAGUCUCCAAAAUGGGUGAGUACAACCACUCAGCAGUAAAAGAUUCAUUAAGCUAUAUCACGCAAUACCAUCAAUAUCUAGAUUCAUACAAAGAUAGACAAGAUAGGCAAUCAAUGAAUGAGUAUGCAUCCAAACCAUAUAACUCUUCAAUGCAAUGAUCAGUGCAUUUCCAACCAAUAAGAUGCAUCAUGUCCAAUCACACAAGUCCCGAUCAUAGGGUCAAACUGUAAUGACACGUCUCAUUCCAUGCCAUACAAUUUAGUCCUAUAACCAAACCACACACACACUUAGUGGAACCAUCAGUUUUAACAUUCAAAAGGUUUCACCCCCCAGAGGACCAAUGUUUGUGUCCUUCUGGGCAUUUGCACCCAAUCCUAGCAUCGCGAAGCCCUCCGGUACACACCUCCGAACGUCUCGCAUCCCACCUGGUAUCACGAGGAAUUGCCAGGGCUCGCCAUAAAAAUAGUUACCCUUGCCUUCCGAAAUUACGUACCGACAUACCACCGGGCAUCCGGCACACACCUUCGGGCAUCUCAACUCCCGAGGAAAAUCCUCUGGGCAUGUAUUCAAAAUACAACUAGGCAUCCAAAGGGCAUCGACUCAUUCGAACCUCUGGGCAUUUCGACUCCCGGGGCAUCGUUGACCCGAGGGUCCAACGACAAUAAUUAACAUCUUAAUUUCCAAAAACACUUUUCAAUGCAAUGAAAAAAUGUCUCUUGAGUCUCAUCACAUCUCAAUAUUGCAUAAUAUGCCAAUGCCAGUAUCAUCAUGUCACAUAACAACCCAAGAUGCAUUCACUUUUGAAAUCAGUUGAGCAAAGUCGGAGUAAAACAACUUAAAAACCAAAAUGUGCAGCUUUAAUGAAAAUUUCGAAAUAACCCCUAAAUGAACUCAGAAAAUUAUGAAAUUUGGAUAUGUUGUAAAAAAGACCUAAAGGAAAAUGUUUCAUGAAGAACACUAAGUCAGAUUCACUGUAUAUCAAGAGCAAUAAUUUCGAUAUUCCCUACUAACACUCUGUAAUAAUUUCCAGAUUUAACAUUUACAAGAAAAAUCAUUUCACCGACCAAAACUUGUCCAUUUAUUAUCAAUUUUUGAGAUGUUAUUCCUACAGAUGUGCUCUCCAACUUUCAUUAAGUAUUCGAAGUUCAACUCUAUCCGGAUAAAUACAGAAAAUUCGUGGAAUCAUCAAAGGUCAGGCUGUUUUUCUACGGAACGGUUUUUCUGUUUUAAAAUGAAUUGCUUCUAUCUACACAUUCUUGUAUUCAUAUAGCUAUAACUAUGAGUUAAACUCAAUCUAAUGGAUGUUAUAUUAAGUAAAAUGAUUAUAUUCCUUAUCUUCAUCUCUAGAAAUUAAAGCUACACAAUAUAAACGAUUUUCUAUCCAUGUUCAUCUAAGACAGAAAACAUCUAAUUCUUUUCUCUUCAUUUCCAGCUCAAUCAAACCAUUUGUUUUACUACAAAUUCAUCAUGUAGUAUCUCAACACACUUACACAGCAUCUAGGAGUAGUCAUAGUACAUUUUCACUCACCUAGAACCCUUCACAACUUGGUACAAAGCACAUACCCACAUCUUGGCUCAUGUAACUCAACAUGCAUCACCUUUUCUAAACUCAACACACACCAUUACACCUCACUCAACAAUCACAGCUCACUCACAAUUAGAUUUCGAGACAUGCAAGCCUCAAAUGCAACAUGCAAUGACUUAUAGCCUCGAUCUAGAACUUAUCUAGCUCAAUCCAACAUAAAAUAACAACUUCGCAUUCAAUCCUCCACAGAUUGGCAUUCAGUUUUCAUCUCAACCCUUCCUCAAGUCUAUUGCACUACACUAGACAGCAACAGCACUACAUCACAUAGAUUGAUGAACUUCUACUUGCCUGUAAUUCCUUAGCUUGACAGCAAGUAAAACCGAAAGCUCGGGCUUGGCUCAACGGCGACGAAGACCGGCGGCGACGGCGGCGGCAGCUCGAGCACGAGCACGGGCGAUCUCUUCUUCCUCACACCGUGCACUCACUCACUGCUUGCAUCUCUCUCUCACUUGCUCACUCGCUCGUUCGGUCUCUCUCUCUCUCUACUCAAAAUUCUAUUCGGUUCACUCUCUUUCUUCACCAUCAAAACCGAGCUAAUAAUUCCCUCAAAAUUAAUUAGACUAAUGAUGAUAUUUGCAUGUAGGGGUUUCGAUGGAUGCAUGCAUGGAGGACAGGUGGGGGAGACAUGGCAAUUUUCUUUGGCCACUUGUAGACACGAACGAAGCAGCUGUUCCAAGCUCCUCCUUCGCUGGCCACCGAAAUGGAGAGCAACGUGGCUGCUGCUGGGUGCCCCUCGGUCAACCACCCACCUUGGUUGACUCCUCAACGUUCGUAUGGGCUGCAUGGGCGUGGGCUGUGGGCUCUUCAUUCCAACGUGAUUAUGGGCUGUAGACGUGGGCCAUAUACGUGAGCUUUAUGUUGCUGCAUGGGUCGACAAUCUUAUUUUGUUGACUGGUUGGACAACAAAGAAAGGCGCGGCUGCAAGUCUUGUACGUGCAUGGGAUAUUUGGGUUGGCAUGGUCCUCAUGCGUAAGAAGAAACGGCCAGCUCGAGGCGGCCGAUUUUUUUGGUGCUCCUUCACCAACGUAUUCGGGUCAGCGUGUUAGGAACUCGGGCAUGAUCGAGAAUCGGCGCGAAAAUAGGGGACUCCUCGACGAUUUCUGUUAUCAACUUCCAUGUACAAAGAGGUCAAAAACAACUGGCAUGUAAGGCUCAUUUAGCAAGGUGCAAAUGCGGGUGAGGUUGGUCUCGCAAGUGGCCUUACCUAAGGGAAUUUUUUUUUUUUUUGACGAGACUAUGGCUUACUUGGCAAUUACACCAUCGCUAAAAGAAAUGCAUUGGUCCAACAAUAAUAUGAGCCAAUGAUCGUGUAUAGCACCAACGGCAUAAUUUGAUGAUACUUUCGUCAUUUAAUCACGAACCGCCGCGCAUCCAAGGGCUGUCGAAAUUUUCGGCUGCCACAGUCACAUUUAUGAUGGGCUGUGUUUGAGUAGCCCCUCUACCAUUCAACAAAGAGUAAAUGCUUUUCAAAUUGAAAAGGGAAGGUCUUGUUUUUCUUUAGUCAAAGAACAUUAGUUCGUAAGAAGCAAGGACUUCAUGUCUUUGUCUCAUUUGUUGUUCAUGUGUUUUUUCUUCACUUUGUGGAGUUUCUUGUUUUCUAUUUGAUGUUAGUUAACCUAUGCACACAUCUAACCACUUUAAAAGGUUGUGGACUUCAGAUCUGUAGUUAUACAGAAGCGAAGAGCAUUUUCAUUUCCAUUAUUUCUCUCUCUAGUCUUCAUUUGUGCCUUGUUCCAAACUUCCAAAAGUUGUCAUAUUCUUUUUGGUUCCACCAUCACUAUGGGAGGGAUCAUCAACUAUAAAUCUUUCUUGCAUUCAAUUUCUGGGUGCGCAUAAUCUACAUACUGGCCAAAGCCGUUUCCUACUCGAGCCUCUCUAGAGUCGCCAUCGAUAAAAAAUUUAGCUGUCAAUUUCUCUCUCGCAUUGGGAGGGAUCAUCAACUAUUAAUCUCUCUCGCAUUCAAUUUCUGGGUGCGCAUAAUCUACAUACUGGCCGCUGUCAAGCCCGCUGUUCUCAUGCUACUUCAUCCCUAGUUGAAGAGUGUAGGAGAUUCCUAAUCUCCAUGAGAUAAAUGGAUAACUCACGUGAAUUGACACCUAAUUAUUAAUAACCUAUCAUGCCUCUAGUUUAUAUGUGCAGGAGGAACGCCACGAGAAAAAUGAAUUCAAGUUCAUAUAAACUACACCUAAUUAUUAAUAGACUAUCGUGCCUCUAAUUUAUAUGUGCAGGAGGAACGCCACGAGAAAAAUUAAUUCAAGUUCAUAUUAACUACACCUAAUUAUUAAUAAACUAUCGUGCCUCUAGUUUAUAUGUGCAGGAGGAACGCCACGAGAAAAAUGAAUUCAUGUUCAUAUAAACUAACUGUUUUUUGAUCAAGGGUAAAUUCCAGCCAUUAUCUUGGAGUUUGAUUGCUGAAAUGAUUUUCUUUGAUAAUCCAUGAUGAAUUCAUUGGUGAAAUUCAUGUUUCACCAUCAAGUAGUCCUUUGGAGAGUUGAGAUUAGAAAUUUCGAUCAAAUUGAUGAUCGGAUUAUAUAUAUAUAUAUUAUUUUUGAUAAAUAACAUGCCAUCUUACCAAGGCAAAAGUAAGUAUAUAACUAUAUGAUUUUGGCAAGACAAAUAAAUUGAUCAAGCAAUCCGCGAAAUCCAAGGAAGAACAAGACAUCAAUAUAUUGAAUAUUGAAUUAAAGUUAUAGGGCUUGAUUGCACAAAUUAAUAGUUAGAAGAUUACAUUGCAUAAUUUACGUAAGUUUUUGGACCAAAAAGGAAAUUAUUAUGAUGAUGUAAGAAUCGAGUUUUACCUAUUUCGAUGAAAUGGAUGGAUCACGAGAAUCAACGUGACCAGCAUGUUUACCCCUUUUCAUUGCCAAAAGACAAAAUUAAUGUUUUCUCCUGUAUUUCCUUUUAUUUAUUGUUUUGGGUUGUGUGAACAGGAUAAGAGUGUCUAUUUAUAUCGUGUUUCCCGUACAAUAAUCGCAGAAGCGUAAGGUGAGAAAUAGCUCAAAGCUUAGCCAAUGGAGUCCUACCCUAUUUCGCUCUUUUGGCUCGGCCUCCUCCUCCCGGCACUUCUAGUUUUCCUUCACAACCGUCGGAAGCGCACCAAGCUUCCCCCUCAGCCCCCAGCAUGGCCCGUGAUCGGCAACAUCCUCGACCUCGGGACCAUGGCGCACCAGAACCUCCACAACCUCCGAGCCAAGCAUGGGCCUGUCUUGUGGUUGAAGCUCGGUUCCGUGAACACCGUGGCGAUCCAAUCAGCUCAAGCGGCCAUGGAGUUAUUCAAGGGCCAUGACUUCGUGUUCGCGGACCGCAAAUGUCCCCAUGCGCUUACUGCUCUUGGCUAUGACCAAGGCUCGCUCGCUGUUGGUCGUUAUGGUGACUACUGGCGCGCUCUCCGGCGUCUCUGCUCCGCGGAGCUCUUCGUGAACAAGCGCGUCAACGAUGCGGCCCACCUCAGGCAAAAAUGUGUCGACAGCAUGAUCAUGUAUAUAGAGGAAGAAAUGGCAGUCAAACAAGCAAC
rnacentral:lncRNA from 1 species